rnacentral:lncRNA from 1 species
UAUUAAGCAUGAACAAAAUCAUUCAGGCUACGAAGUAUGAGGCAUCGUGUUGUUCAACUUAUGGUGACUCUUGAAAGUCAACUUGGACAUUUAGAUUAUCAGAAGAAAAGUUCUUCUAUCAUGCAAAGUGUACAGUUAAUUCUAGGAAAAAUGCCUCAAAAUUGCUCCAUGUUAACCAUCAGUUUCGUUUUAAGGAUGAUGAUCAUAUCAUGAGUUAUAUGAGUUUUGCUUUCUGUAAACCAAACAAAGUCGAUACAUUUCAAACAAAUAUCAGUGCAUGUAAACAAAUCCUAAUACAAUCAUAAUAUCAAAUAAAAUCACUACUACAUAAACUAUAUAUAUUAAAAAAAAAAAACACUAGUGCAAUUUUACCUCUUUUGGAAUAUUGAAGUAUCAAGCACUAAGCAAUGGAAGCCAUGCAUACUAUCUCCAAUCGUUUGACCCCCUCUUGAUCCAACAAUGUCUUCAACAAGUUCUCCUGAGCAUGCAACCAUCAAAUGACAAAGACCCUUGGAUAAAGCCACCUAAUGAUAACAAUUACAUGUUAGCUUGCUCUGGUGAAACAUCUAACAUGAUACGUGGAAUAAUCCAAUCAUAGGAAUAAACUUACAGCAGGUACUUUUGAAGUUUAGCAAAUAGUCAGCAUCUUACAUCUAUCAAAAUAUUAUCCAAGCUGUUUGACAUUUUAACCAAGCUAUCGUUGAAGAAACGAACACACUAAAUAUUAAAAGAGAGAGAGAGAGAGAGAACUUACCAGGAGAGAUUGUCCACAGCCUCUGCCAAUUAAAGUGAUGAAGCACCACCUUCGAGUCCUCCGUGAACAUCGCCAGCAAAUCCUUCUCCGGAUUCCACUCGGCCAUUUUCCCCUGCCAAUCAGAAGAUAUCGACCAAAAACCUCACACAAAACCGAAUGGGAAAACAAUCGAAUCGACCCACCCAUUAUCAGGUCGCGAAAGAAGGCAGACUGGAGCCGAACCUGAGUCGCCAGCGGCUUGUCGAACUGAAGCUGAAAGGGAAGCACGUGCCGCGACCCUUGGUCGGUCUCCAUAGCUGAAAAAGCUCCGGGAGAAGCCAAAAACGCAGCCAAAGCGUCCGGUGGCAAAUGCGAACUGAGAGGGAGGGCUAGUGGUGGAGGGUAGAGCCCGAAAACCCUAGAAGAAAGCCUGGUGGAAGAGAAGAGCGAGUACCCGAGUGCACUGGAGCCUGAUAAUUUUGCUGAUAAGAUUACGAAAGAGGAAGAACAGGCGGGAGAGAAUUUGACUCUUGAGGAAGCAGAGUGAAUUUGAUUACGGGCCGAGCCUUGGGGCCCGGUCCCAAUAUGGGCUGCGAUAUUGGCUUAAACCCAAGCCCAAGAAACUCUAAUUUAGCCCAAAAUCUAAACCCAAAUUUAACCGACAGCCUAACUAAGCCCACUUCCCCGCCAUUCUCUCACUCUACUGCAGUCCCUUGGUCUGCCGUUGCCUCUCAAUUCCUCCUUCCAAACGAACAGAACACAAGAACCCACCACCGUUAAAGCUCACCGAAAAUGUACUUGCUGAUCAUAGGACAGAUUACACCGCCCCGCACGUAUUCAUGUUGCCCACUUUGGAUAACUCGACUGUCGAGAUUAAACCGAAUGGGCUUGGGUUUAGGCAUUUCGUCGAGCGUUUGAAGCACACUGGCUAAAAAGGGGGUAAAUCCGACCACCAAGGCCACAUUUGGUAACGAUUUUAUUCCCGGGAGUAGAUUCUGAUUAGAAAUGAUUUUUGUUAUUCUAUUUCCGGAAAUAAAUUCUAAGCAUUUUAAACCAUUGGGUAACUAUCCAAAAUGUCUUAUUCUGGAAUAUAAUUGCGUUUAAUACUGUGCUAAUUGAUUCUAUUCCAAAUCAAUUUUUUUUAAUUUUUAAAUAAUUUUUAUACUAUUAUACUUUUUUUCUUUUUUGUUUUUUCCUUUUUCCUUUUUUUCUAUUUUCUUUUUCUUUUUUCUCCUAUUCUUCUUCUUCUUCUGGCCGGUCACCGAAAUGGCGACCGGCCUAACAAGGGCCAGCGACCUCACCGGAGCAUCGCCGGCCCUCAUCGGCUGAGCCUCGUCGGCAGUUAGGCGAGGCUCGCCUAGCCCUCGCUUAGCCCAAUCGAGGCUUGGCCUCGCCCAGCCCUAGUGCAACCACCGACAAGCUUGCCAGACCUCUCCUUGGCCUGGCGAGCCUUCAGCGAGCUCACCGGACUGGUCGCUGGCUACCGGCGGAUGGUGGUGGCGGACGGUGGCGAACAGCAAUGGAUGGCGGUGGUGGACGGUGGCGAACGGCAAACAGAGGAGAGGAGGGGAGAGACUUGAGCUUCCACUUUUCUUCCACUUUAUUUUUAUUUUUAUUUUCUGAUUUUGGAAAAAGAAUUUUUUUUUUUUAUUCUCGAUUCUACUCUAAAUCUGUUCUCGGGAACAAAUUUGUUUUCGGGAAUAAAAAUUUUAUCAAACGCGAUUUUGUUCCUAAAUUACUCCUAGAAACAAAGAAUCAGAAUUUAGCCAUAUUUGGAUGGUUACCAAAUAGGGCCCAACUCGUGCCGGGACUCGCAAUAAUUGAUAGACAGCGACCCCAAAACAGCGGCGCACGGACGAAGGGUGCCAGCGCUCGCGUGAACCAGCCAAGGACGAAGCCUGGUCUAGCGAGCCCAGAAUGGGGCAAGACGGGCACAAACAGAGGAGACGUCGGCCAAGAGUCCCUACCCAGCUUGGUGACGGCGAAUGGAGGGUGAGUUUGAUAGAUCGGACCAAGCCCAGUUGCCUCGCAAGCCUCCAAGCCGGGAUCCUCGGAAAAAUGGCUCACCCCACGAAAAAUGGAAAAUAAAAAAAGGAACUUGACCUACCGGAGACUUAGCGCGGGGAACGGGAGCUGCGCCCUUAAGAGCGCGGUUGGGAGUCGUCGGCUGGGUUUUGGGCGUGACCGGACUGCCGGAGGGCUCCUCUCUCUCCCUCCCUCCCUUUCUCUCUCGGUUGCUGUCACAGUCUCUCCACCCUUCUCUCUCUCAUCCUCUUUCACUCUAUUUCUCUCCAAAAAUCCCACCUUUACCUCGCUUUCCUUCCCUCCCUUUUUCUCUGCUGUGACUAAUUUUACUUUCCUUCCUAAUUAGUCUUCCAGUAUAUUUCCACUUUAUGCUACGGUAAAUUAUCUUUUCUUUAAUUUUUCACAUGCAUUAGGAAAAUAAAAAUCAAAAUAAACCUUAAGAGGCACUUUUUGAAUGAUUCGUGGUCACGUUAAAGUUAUACGAAAGAACCGAGACUAAAUGAAGCAAAAAAUUACGGAUCCCGUUGAUGCUUUUGGCCUAUUUUAGCGUUUAGUUCCUCAUGCCUAAGUUAUUGUAGAUUGCAUGCUCCCAUGGACUUCCCGCAUUUGGUGUGACACUUUUAUGGGAUUGCAAAGUAGAAGGAAUGGCUAAGACUCUAUUGGAAUGUUUUUUAAGAGGAUGAUCGAAUGGGUAGUAGGGCUAGUUAUCAGUGCAAUCUUGUGGAUAGAAGGAUGAGGGCUUCUAAAUCACCUAUAUUUUAUAUACUAUUUAGAUUAUUUAAUUAUAAACAUCAGAGUAUAUGUAUUUACUAAGAAUGUUUUCUAGAAGUAACUGCGUAACUUGUUCUCCUUAAACUAGAGCACCAGUUAAAACAACAAUUGUAUGCCCUUGCAGGAUUCACAUAAAUGAUAGUUUCCCACUACUCAAUUUAUUGCAUUGAUCUUAGACAAUAAUGUGAUGAAAAUUGUCUUUUUCAGAAAACUGAGCCGUAGAUAGGUGUUUAUUUAUUUGUAUAAGUUGGGCAUGCUUAUCAUCAUUUUCUAAAAUUUAUUGCAUGUUAUAAUGAGUUUGCGAUUGUCCGUAGUUUCUUUCUCAAAAUGCUUCGACCGGCCUUGCCAGAUUUGGUGAGGGCCAACACUCACCCUCGCCUAGGCGCAAUCUGACAAGGCCGACCCUUGCUGGUCAUGGCUAUGGUCAAUGCUAGUGAUGGCCAUAGACAAAGACAAAAGGGAAAGGGAAAAAAAAGGAAAAAGAAAUCAAUAAAUUCAAAAAAAUUAUUAAAAAAUUAUUAAAAUUGCUCAUAUCAGUGUCGAUUGGUCAGCUGAUGUUCACGUUAGCCAUUUCCAAACUAAAUUGGCUUGAUGAGCUGAAUUGAUAGUAAUGUUAAAAAGUUUUUGGCUAAAUUGAUCCAAUUGAAAGGAUUAUGACUAAAUUAGUAUCAAUAUAAUAUGUUUAAAACUUUUUUGGUACUUUUCCUCUCGACAAGCAAUAGCAAAGAUAGACAGUCAAGGAUUGACUAGACUUUGCUCAAGUCUUUGUCCAUAUGCCAGAUCAAGGUGAGUGAUGAUGUGAUUUGAUGGAAGGCCUUGUUCUUGAGUACUUACAUUUAAUUGAGAAACUUGAAAGAGUGUGAGAUUGAUAGAUGUUGGCCAGUUGAAGCUAACAAUCCACUAUUAAAGAUUCUCGCUACUCAUUUUUUUGUCAUCGCAAGUAACAUGGUGUUUUCUGCACUAAGAAGGUUAGAAUAGUUGAAGCCUCACUAUGAUUCUUUUUGUUAGUCGAAAUAGCAGCACUCUCAUAAAAAUGAAAACUAGAGAGGAUUACAAAGAAGGCCAGGAGAAAUAGUGCUGCAAUUGUCAAGAGAAACCAAUUUUUUUUUAAAAAAAAAAGCACCAUUUGAAUUUUUUUUUAACCAAAAUGAAAGUUAUAUUUUAACUUGCGAUGAACUUUGAAGAAACUUGAAGCUGACUUUACUUGAGCAUCUCCGAAAGCCAGAGUAUAUCUUUCAAGAAAAGGGUUGCUGCCAAACGUCAAACCUUUCAAAUUGAGCAAAUUGAGCAAACUUCACAAAAUUGAGUCGGAAAAAUGGAGUCGAUUGCCCAUUAGCUUGCAAAAGAAUGCCGACCAAGGGCUGAACAUGAGAAACCAUUGGUUUAUUGAAUUGAAGCUGAAACAGAAACACGCGCUGCAGUCCUUCAUCAAUCUCCAUAGCUAAAAAGCUUUGCAAGCACACAGAAAACACAAUGCUAAGGCUGGAACAAAUCGCGAGAAGUGUACAAAAGCAUCGAUUGAAAAUGCGAGCUAAAAGAGAGCUUGUGAAGGACAGAGCUCGAAAGACCGAGAGGAAGGCUUGAGGCUAGUUAGGAGAGGAUAGAGCUGAAGAGUAACACAAAGAAUGGAAAAGUGAGAGAGAGAGAGAGAGUAAGAAAGUCCACUAGAGUUUGAAAUGAUGCGGAGAAAAUUGUAGAAGAGGAAUGGCCAGGAGAGUAAAUAAGAGACAAAAACAAGAUUACAGGAGUAAAGGUGGACUCAUUUGAUUGAGGGCUGGCUGAGCUGGGUUGAAUUGUGCCAUAUCCUUAAUGGAACUUGUUGUCUGAGCUCAUUCAUCAUAAAUAUGUGAUUUUGAAAUGGGCCAGGUUACCAGAGUGUUGCGUUUACUUAUAACCAUAGUAGCCACAUUGAGCUCUUGUUAUCAAAUUGAUUAAUGAAAGGAUGAUAUCGAACUUUUUUUAUAUAUCUUAGGGAUUAGAUUGAACAUUAAACUAAUGAAAAAUUUAUGGAUGACAUUGCACCUUUGACUAAAGUUCAUAAACUAUUUGUGUCUUUAUUUCCUUUUGUUAGAGCUAAAUCUUUAUUACAAAGCUAAACCAACAUCAAUCAAGCUUCAAUAUCCUAAUAGAAGCACAAUCUCAAAUGCACAUCAAUUGGGCUCUAGUGACCUUGUUUUUCACACUAGAAACAUUUUCUACUUUAGUUCCAACAACAAUGUUAUUGGGGAGAAUUGGGUAAUGAUUCACUAAGGACUAACCCAAUCCAUGAGCAAUUUCUUCCCAAAACUAAAUUGACCAAAAUGGACUUAACCUUGGCAACAAGCAGCAGUGUUUUCCAACAACAAACCUCAAAAUAAGUAAAUAUAUGCUGAAAUGUUAAAGAAACAAUGCAACAAAUAAUAUUAAGAUUUUUACAUUGAAAACUCAAUGCAGGAAAAAAUCAUAGAUAACUUAAAAACUUUCACUAAUCACCAGGAAUAAUAACAUCUACAUUGCAAUAGAUUAAACAGAUGGAUUAAUACAAAUAGAGCAAGAAACCUUAAUCGUGAUUGGAAAAAACGAGAGAGAAUUUAGAAGAUUGUUAAUGAGUGAAAUUGAUCAACUACUAGUCUCGAUUUAACAAAUAACAAACUGAAAAUUUAUGCUAAUUUUAACGACGUUUGGCCUUCGACCCGGGACUUGGAAAGUCGCUUUCCCUUUCUUUCUUCUCGUGUGUUUCUUGGGGAACACUCUAUCUUUGUCUUCCUCCUUUUUCUUUUUCUCCUGUGCUCUUGGGAAACUCCCUCUCCACCCGCUCUGCGCCCCCCCCCCCCCCCCCAAAAAAAAAACACCCGUUUCUACACUCUUCACUUCACGAACAACUUCUCUCUUUCUUUUUCCUUUUGACUUUUUGGCCUUUUUCUUUUUCUUUCAUGUUAUGUUAGCUGAACCCCACAGAGGCCGACCCAGCCAAGAUCAAAACCCGAAUCACAAAGAACUCUCUUUGAAUAAUGACUCCAGUAGACUUGCAUACAGGUGUCAAGUAUGAUACUAACUUAAAAUACAAUCAUCUCAUUCGUCGGCCAUUAUAUCAAACAAGUUGGCUAGACUUUCAGUAUUUUGGAAACCUCUUAUGGAAACCUCUUAAGUUAACGGACAGUUUCAGCUCUGCAAAGCUUCUAUAAAAAAUAAUUAGGGAAAUGUGGGAUGAUAAGAUGCAAGCAUCCUUUGCCAUUCCAAGGAUGUAUAGUCAAAGUUGGGAGAAGUUCAAGAAACAUCGAGCCCCCCUCAUUUGAUGAUCUUGAAAGUCUUCCAUAAACCCAUACUAAAGCCGUUGGACUUUGAAAUAAGAUUUCAAGUUUGAAACUUAACUGCAAAUUAGAAAUAACAUGUACGAUAUGAAGAAUAUAAUAUUGUUUAUUAAGAAUCAAGAUCAAGAAGUCAUAUAUAAGCAAUCCUAUAAAGGCACACGGAGAAAUGAAUAGCAUGAAAAAGUAGUUCUGCUCUACAAAUGUGGAUAUCUAGAUCACAUAAGUAGUUUCAGAUUAAAGGUAUAUACCCCAUAGAAGGGCAAUGAAUUGGGAAUGUAUCCGAUGGGUGCUGAAACUGACGUAAGAGGGAAUUGUGAUAAUAAAUUCUUACAAAGUAUCUUUUUCAAAAUAGAAGAGAAAGGUGUGACAUCCUGAAAUUCGAGUCCUCUGAGGAAUGAAUGGAUGUGAAUUUCGUCAAUGCAUUGUUGGUUGAUCUCACUCGGAAUUGAUCACUCCUGAGAUACUGACCUUGAGGGGAAAGGCUAAUGAGGACAGAACUCGUACGACUAGAGGACUCGACCUGGGAAAACGACUUGACCGUGAGAUUUACGUGAGGACGAUCCUGUAGAUAGGUAAGCCGAUUCUAAGGACGACUAAAAGUCGAUUCGCGGACAGAACAUAAUGGAACGACGGGUGAUUCCGUUUACUGUUAUCGAAUCCACGAACGACCCUAUGUCGAUCCUCAGUAAUCGUGUACUUUGAAAUAAGAAUCUAUCCCUCGUAAUUUCAUGCAGUCAAGGACGUCCAUGCGUCGAGAUGUCUUGAACGUGAUUUGAUACGAGUCGGUCACGCGUGAAUCCUCAAAGCCACCCGUCAGUUUGAGUUGUAACCGAAAUAGCAUUUGGCAAAAUUGACAUGGCAAGAGAACUUAUUAUUGGACUUCGAAUUAUCGGGAAUGUCCAGGACGGACUUUGGAUGAAGCUACAUCAAACAAUCGACAGAGCCAGUUAAGCCGAGCAAUUGGAAAAGGGAUUUUCGGACCGAGGAAGCGAGCCCGUGAGAUCGUGGGCCGGGACAAGCCAGUGUGGGCCCUAGGCCCAAAGUUGGACAGCCACCUUAAUAGGCCUAAGUCAAGCAAAUAGGCCCAUUGGGCCAAACCUACUAUUUAUCUUCUAAGCCCAGGGGCUAAUUCUUAUCCAUUUCAAGCUCAACAAAUUCCCAAGCCCAUUCCUAUUCAUGGCCAAGCCCAAUCCUUAGGCCCAUCCACCAAUUUCAGCCCAAGGUCAGAUUUGUAAUUUGUGCAAGGUGAAAUGACCAAAAUACCCCUAGUGGUAGGGAGAAAAGGCUAGAGAAGAGAGAGAAAAUGAUGAUGGCUUGGCAUGGGGACUUGAAGCAAGCAUUUAUGGGGGUCUUGACAGCCCUCACUUCACUCUCUCUCUCCCCCAUUCGGCCUCCAAACCGGACGAGCUCCUCUCUUCCUCGUUUUCUCUCUCCUUCAGUUUCUGCUCCAGCUGACCCUUCAGUGAAGAAUCGAGUCAAAAGUGGUCUUCCCGGAUGAAUCAGCCAACGAGCCACCUAUCACCGUGACCAGGAGAGACAGAACGUUCCAACGAGCCCAAUUUCGUCCCGAACGGAGCCACCGGCCGGCCUGGGCGCCGCCGUGAAGGAACCGGUCGCCGGUCCGUCGGUCCGCCUGCAGCCUGCACUGUUUCGCGUUUUCGGCCAUUUUUCUCCCAUUCCGGUCCUUCCUCCGCCCAUCCCAACCUCCAGCAAGAUCCCCAAGACCCCCGGGAGCCACCAGUUGCCAACCACCCGCUUGCCGGAGCUCCGAUCGGCCUGUUUUCGCCAUUGAAGCUGCUGGUUUCUUCUCUGCAGUUCAGCCAAGAUCAGAAGCAGAAGACAGCAAGGUUUUGGAGACCUUGUGGCCCAUUUUCAAGCCCUUCCCGGCCUCCGUUGGUGUCGCCGCUUUGGGGUUUAUCGACCUCCUUGGUGUCGUGGUCGCCGUGAACUCACCGGCGCUCAAAACCGGUGAGUUUAUCCUCUAAUUCUUGCUUAGUGAGUUAAUGACAUUUAAUGGGUGUUUAGAUUAGUCUAAUUAGGUUUAUGUGAUUAAAUUAGAUUAUUUUAAUGUAAAUUAGAUUAGUUGUAUGAUUAGUUUAAUGGGUGUUUAAUUAGGGCUAAUGGUAUGAUUAAAUUAGUGUAAUCUUGUUUAAGCCCUAAUUAAUUAUUUUUAAUUAAUUAAUUAUUUUGAAUUUAUAAAUAUUAUUUUAUUAAAUUAUAUUAUUAUAAAAUAAUAUUUAAUUAUUUAAUUUUCGGAAUUAAAUUUAAUUAUUUAAUAAUUUCGAAAAUUAUGCCGAGAUGGCCGGUCGUUAGAAUUUCGCGCUGAUCGCAGCAGUGCAGUCAAUUUGUGUUAAUUGUAUGUUUAAAUUGAGAAAUUGAGUGAUUGAUGAUUAUGGUUAAUAAUUCCAAAAGUGUGGAAUUGUGUGAAAUUAAUGAAGUUGUGGUAUUUAACUUGAAAAUACCCGGUGUUGGCUUUUAGCACCGUAAUUGGUUUGUAUGACUAGUUUGAAUCGAUUGGAUUGAUUGAUUGAUUGAAUUGAGGUAUGAGUUGGUUUAUUAUUGAAUGAUCAGCUUUGGCGAGCAUUUGUUUAUAUAUAUGUAUCAGCUUGGGCGAGCAAUUAUGAUAUGCACAUAUAUAUAUGGCAGCUUCCGAUGAGCUAUAGUAUACUAUAUUGAAUAUUGCGGCAGCUUCUGGUGAGCUAAGAUCGUUUUAUCAGCUGUGCGAGCACGAUCUAUAUAUAUAUCAGCUUGUGAGAGCAACGAUCCAUAUAUCAGCUUGUGCGAGCUAUCAUCUAUGUAUAUAUCAGCCUUGUGCGAGCUACCAUCUAUAUCAACUUGUGAGAGCAUUGCAUCCAUUUCAGCUUGUGCGAGCCAUAAUUGUAUUGAUGGAUGAAUAGAUGGUAUGGUUUAAUAGAUGAUAUGAAUUGAUAGAUGUGUGGAUCGUAUGAUAUCAAUUGGAUUGACUGAAUUGAUAGACCGAUGGAUAUGUCGGUAGUUUCAGCUUGUGCGAGCAUUGCUUGAAUAUGAAUUGUACUGACGUGCAGGAAAGGGACUGAGGCGAGGUAAGUCCUCUAUCAUAUUUGUGUGGCUAGAGCGCCCUGAGGCGUAUUUUCUUCCUAAUUGAGUUUUAGAGGGUAGGACUUGCUGAGACGUAAUCUCAUCCCGGCUGUGGGAUAAUAUUUCAGGUCCCUAGAUGACGGUCAUGGAGGACCGGAAGUCCUGGAGUUCGGAAGGUGGAGGUUGAAGAAUCAGCGAACGUGUUUGACAAGUUGGUCAUAGGACAGUUCCCUAGUUGUUGAGCCUGUCUAUUUUGUAGACAAUCCAGUGUUGUAUAUAAACCUAUGUGUUUAUAAGAAAGCUUGUUUGGUUGUGAUUGAUUGCCUGCUUUUCUAUCCCAAGUUAAAUGUUGUCAGGGGAUUUGUUUCGCUUCCGCAUGCGUAAUAAAAAUGAAUGGGUCGGUGACGUGUCAUGGGAAGUCGCAUUUCUAUCGAUCAGAGUGGGAUGUUCGCGCGCUCGGAGGAUCGGGGCGUGACAAAAGGCAUCUGGGCAACUUCCUUCAAAGUGUGAUAAUCACGUUAGGUUUUAAUCAGGGAACAUGAGAUCAAUAUUUCUAUACACAAGGGUAACAAGCUAAAUAGAGAGCCCAAUCCGAUAAGAUCACCCAACUAAAGCUUCCAUGUACAUUGUCAAGUGAUCAAACUUUAGAUCAAAUAUGAAAAACUAGACUAUUAGAUGGAGGGUAAUUGAAAAACCAUUGUUGAGGACAACCUCAAGAAGACAACCCCAAACCCCCAAUGGUUUCCUUCUCUUUCUCUCGUUAUAGUCUCAAGGUUCUGAUCACUCAGGCAAAGAAAUGAAAAAUAUAGGCACAACUUUAUGGUAAUAGGCAUUUGGAUAGAAAUAUCUACAUACAAACCCUAUUAACAAUAAGUCCUAAACUAGCCAAUUAUUUCAGCUCAAAUAAUUAAAAAGUUGGCUAAACCCAAAAGCAAAAGCUUUUUAUUAAAUUAUUGCAAUGUUUACAGAAACCAAUUAUGGUAAUAGGCAUUUGGAUAGAAUAUCUACAUACAAACCCUAUCAACAAUAAGUCCUAAACUAGCCAUACAAGAAAUGGUUAUUGCAACUCAAAUAAUUGAAGAGUUGGCUAAACCCAAAAGCAAAAGCUUUUUAUUAAAUGAUCGCCGUUUAUAGAAACCAAUUUUGAGCCCAGGUAAUCAUACUUAAACUCCUGUUAUGGAUACAAAGAGAUUUAGAAUUUCACAUUUGGUACACAUUAGCAAUGAGGACCAGACUUGAUGGGGGGGGGGAGCAAUUACUGCAAACAACAGAUAACAAUAAUGAUUUAUACCAUAGUUCAUAUUUUUCCCACUGAGGUAGCAUUUGUAAGAACAUUUAUGAAUAAAAAAAGUAGAUAUAGCAUUAAUUGGAGAUCUACAAUGAAAGAGCAAUAAAAAACACAUUCAAGUAAGAACUUUUAUAAGCAAAAAAGAUUCUAUCACAUUUCAGUUUUCUAAUUCAUUUGUUGAUACCUGUGUUCCAUUUGCUAAAAUUCCUUUGCAAGUGUCCUUCGCAAUUAUUUGAUGUCCCCAAAUCCUCCAAACUGCAAUAGUUCUCUGACUCUCUGCAUCGUUUCUCUGAUGCAAUACUGAGGUUAAGACAAUGUUGAAAAUUAGAAUCGGAUUUUGUGGUUAUUUUGUUUCCAGAUUUUCCAGAUCUUCCAGAUUUUCCAGAUUUUAUUUUUCUAGAUUUUGCUUGUUUGCUUUUAGGAAUUUGUUUAUUACGGUUUAGGUUGCUGUGGCAGCUAUAAAAAAAGGUUAGAUGCCUCAUGUAAAUAUUCAUUAUUUGGAGAAUAAAAACUCAGAGUAAUUUCUCCUAAAUUUCUUCACGGUAUCAGAGCACGAUUUGGACCAUUCUUUUCUACCUUAUUUCCGAGAGUUUCCACCGUGACAAAAUACCCUAAAGCUGCCAUGGCAAGCGAGGUUGAGAGUGAAACCUCAUAUCCUAGAGCUUAGAACUCUCCUCACAUUACCCAACCUAUCAAUAUAUCCAAAGGUGAAACUCUUCUCAUCACCGGUCAUAAACUUACCUGUCACAACUUCAAUCGAUAGUCCCAUUCUGUCAUGAUUUUUGUUUGCGGAAAAGGUAAAGAAGAUUACCUAAUUGGAGCUAUCGUACAACCUGAGAAGAUGAGCCCAAAUUAUCGAACAUGGAAGGCGGAAAAUAACAUGGUGAUGUGUUGGUUGCUAAAUUCAAUGACAAAUGAAACAAGGGAGAAUUUCAUGUACUACAAGACAACAAAGGAGAUUUGAGAUGCUGUUCAUGAAACUUAUUCAAAUAAAGACAACACCUCAGCCAUAUUCGAGAUCAAGGGCAUUCUCCAUGAUCUAAGGCAAGGGAAAUCUUCUGCCACUGAUUAUUUUAACCAACUCAGACGCCAUUGGCAACAACUUGACAUGCUGUAAGAUAUGAUGUGGAGUAGCCCUGAAGAUAAUAAGCGGUGCAAGCAGAUUUAAGAUUGAGAACGUAUCUCAAAUUUUUGUUAGGCUUGAAUCAAGAGCUUAAUGAGGUACGUGGAUGACUUCUAAGCAUAAAACCCCUAUCUAGUGUAUGAGAAUUUUUUGCUAAGGUUAGGAGAGAAGAGACUCGACGAAAGGUGAUGCUUGGUUCUUCAAACAACCAAACCAAUCCAGCAAAUUCUGCUCUAAUAGCUCGAGGAUCUCAACCAUCCUACAAUCGAGGCAAUCAAUCAAACAACAACAACCAGUGAAGGGGUGGUCGUCCAUGGUGUGAUCAUUGCAAACGAACGGGUCACACAAAAGACACAUACUGGAAAAUUCAUGGUUAGCCAGAUGAUUGGAAGCCAUCAACCUCACAUCCUACUCAAAAUCGAGAGAGCAAAAGCAACGUAGUCCAAACCGAAACAAUCUCUUCAGGAGAUUCGAGUCCCUUCAACAAAGAGCAACUGGAGAUUCUAAAAAAGCAGUUUCAAGAAUCAGUUCAGAAGGCAACCCAUCCAGAAGGGGUUAGUACAUCAACGAUAGCGCAAUGAGGUAAUUCUCUAAAUGCCUGUAGUGCUAAAUAAGAGAAGAUCACCUCUUGGAUUAUAGACUCAGGAGCAUCCAACCACAUGACCGAAGAUAUCACGGUGUUCAAUGAGUACAAUCCAUGUCAAAGUGGCAUUAGUGUUCGAAUUGCUGAUGGUUCUUGCUCAAAUGUGGCUAGUGUUGGAUCGGUGGUUAUUUCAAAAGAUAUAACACUAAAUUCAGUAUUAUUUAUUCCCAAACUCAGCUAUAAUCUUCUCCAUCAGCAAGUUAACCAAAGAUUUAGGCUGCAUUACUAAAUUUUUCCCACACUCAUGUGAAUUUCAGGUUUUGAACUCGGGGAUGACGAUUGGCAAUGCUGAGAUGGAUGCGGGUCUCUAUCUUUUGCUAGUUAAUGCCUCAGAAUGGAAAAACAAGAAACUGUCAUGUGUAGCAUCUCAUGCUAAAGAAGAGAGUGACGUAAAAUUGUGGCACUAUAGAUCAGGUCAUCCAAAUUUCUCGUACUUAAAAAGGUUGCUACCUUCUUUGUUCAAUAAAGAUUCAAUAAAACUUCAAUGUGAGGUGUCACUUAUCCAAACAUACUCGCAAUUUGUAUCCUUUGCAACCUUAUAAGUCUUCUCAUCCAUUUCACAUGAUUCAUAGUGAUUUUCGGGGGCCUUCUCAUGUCAAUAACAUUUCCAGUUCUAGGUGGUUUGUUACUUUCAUUGAUAAUCAUACAAGACUCUCUUGGCUUUUCCUAAUGAAAGAAAACUAAGAUAUUGGCCAAAUUUUUUAAACCUUCAAUUUAAUGAUCCAAACCCAAUUCAGCACAAAAAUCCAAGUUUUCAAAAUGGAUAACGGGAGAGAAUACUUUUACUCACAACUCGGGUAAUAUUUAAACAGUCAUGGUAUCAUACAUAUUAGCUCUUGUGUAGAAACUCCACAACAAAAUGGAGUAGCGGAGAGGAAAAAUAGGCCUCUUUUGGAAGUCGCUCGCUUUCUUAUGUUAACCACCCAUGUUCCUAAAUAUUUUUGGGGAAAAGCAGUGUUGACAGCCACAUAUCUCAUCAAUCGUAUGCCUUCCCGUCUCCUAGAUUUCCAAACACCAUUUCAAAGGCUACUUCGUACCUACCCACAUAUUUGUUUUGCCUCACAUAUCCCACUCAAAGUAUUCAGUUGCACAGCAUUUGUUCAUAUAAAUCAGCAACAUUAUAGCAAGCUAGAUCCUAAGUCCCUCAAAUGUGUGUUUCUAGAAUACACUCUAAAUCAAAGUGGAUAUCAGUGUUAUAGCCCACAAACAAAGCAUUUUUAUACCACCAUGGAUGUUACCUUCUUUGAGCACCAGUCAUUUCACUCAAAAAAUACCAUUCAGGGGGAGAGUUGUGAGGAAAAUUAUUUUUGGGACACUUUUCAUUCACUCGGGUCAUAAUAAACAAAUACCAAUUCUGCUUGUCUUCCAUGUCUACCCAUUCCAACAUCCGAAAGUCUUUCGUGUCUACCCAUUCAAGAUGCUACACAAGACAAAAAUAAAGAGGUAUUAUCUACUCUAAGUGGAAAACUCAAAAGGAGUUGGAGGACUGUAUUAUAUCAAAGCCGGCUCAAGAAACAAACGUGAGUUCAAAACCCACAUAGAUGAAGGUAAUGCUCCUAUAAGCUCAGAAAAUUUUGCUGUACUUAAUGAUCUUGAUCAGCCCAUUGCUCUUAGUAAAGAGAAGAGAUAGUGCACUCAACAUCCCAUUAACAAUUUUGUGUCUUAUGAAAAGUUGUCUCCUAAAUACAAGGCAUUUGUUUCAACGUUGAGCAACAUUCAAAUUUCUAAAAAUAUUCAGGAGGCACUUGCUCAAUCCAAGUAGAAAAAAGCAGUUCUUGAGGAAAUUCAUGCACUUGAAAAGAAUAAUACUUGGGAAUAAACAAAAUUGCCAGCUAGGAAGAAAUUGGUGGGAUGUAAGUAAGUCUUUACAGUUAAAUACAAUGCUGAUGGUAGUGUUGAUCGUUUUAAGGCAAUGCUGGUUGCUAAGGGAUUUACACAAUUAUAUGAUAUAGACUACAAAGAAACCUUCAUUCCGAUGGCCAAACUAAACUCCAUUCGGGUGUUGCUCUCCCUUGAAGCUAACUUGAACUGGCCCCUACAUCAAUUAGACAUAAAGAAUGCCUUCUUGAAUGGGGAAUUGGAGGAAGAAGUCUUUAUGGAGGUUCCACUGAGAAUUGACACUAAAGAGAGCUUCAACAAGGUAUGCAAACUUAAGAAAUCCCUGUACGGCCUAAAGCAAUUACCUCGUGCUUGGUUCGAGAGGUUAAUAAGGGUCGUUAAGAAGCUAAAUUUCAUUCAAUGUCAAACAGACCACACAAUAUUUGUCAAGAAGUCAGCUGAAGGUAAAAGAGCAGUAAUGAUUGUGUAUUCGAUGAUAUAAUCCUAACUGGUGACAAUUUGAAGGAGAUUGGAAAAUUGAAGAAUAUCUUGGCAGAAGAAUUUGAGGUUAAAGACCUAGGUCAACUCAAAUACUUCCGAGGUAUGGAGGUAGCUCGAUCACGAAAAGAAAUUGCAAUUUUCCAACGCAAAUAUAUUCUUGAUCUUUGAAGGAAACCGAUAUGCUUGGGUGUAAACCAGCUGACACACCCAUGGAUUCUACAAAUAAAACCGAGAUGGAAGAAGAAUGACCAUUAACGGACAAAGGAAGUUAUCAAAGAUUAGUUGACAAACUAAUCUAUCUCUCACACACUCGGCCAGACAUUGGUUUCGCAGUAAGUAUAGUUAGUAGAUACAUGAACCGACCAACAGAAAAACACAUGCAGACAGUUUUUUGAAUCUUACAGUACUUGAAGAAAAGUCUUGGAAAAGGGCUCUACUUUAAGAAAACAGAGAAAAGAAACGUGGAGAUAUUCACGGAUGCAAAUUGGGCUGGAUCUCUCGUGGACUGAAGAUCGACAACAGGGUAUUGUACCUUCAUGUGGGGCAACAUAGUUACUUGGAGAAGCAAGAAGCAACCUAUUGUUGCUAGAAGCAGCGCUAAAGCGGAAUUUAAAGCAAUGUGUCAAGGAAUAUGUGAAGGCAUAUGGCUGAGAAGAAUCUUAAAUGAACUAGGAUUCACUAAUACCAAUCAUAUGUCAUUAUUAUGUGACAACAAAGCUUCUAUUGAGAUUGCCAAGAACCCGGUUCAUCAUAAUAGAACAAAGCAUGUGGAGAUCGAUUGACAUUUCAUCGAAGAAAAACUCGAGGAAGGAAUUUUGAAGCUCUCGUAUGUUCCAACCAAUCAUCAAAUAGUGGACAUACUGACUAAGGUUUUAUCCAGAAAUAGUUUCGAGACUCUAAGAUGCAAGCUGGGUAUGAUAAAACAUUCAUAACCCAGCUUGAGGGGGAGUGUUGAAAAUCAUAAUCGGAUUUUCUGAUUAUUUUAUUUCCAGAUUUUCCAUAAUUUUAUUUUUCCAGAUUUUGCUUGUUGGUUUUUAGGAAUUUGUUUAUUGCAUUUUAGAAUGCUGUAGCAGCUAUAAAAUUUAAAAAUAAAAUUAAAAAUUAAAAAAAAUAUUUAAAAAAAAUAUGCCUCAUGUAAAUAUUCAUUUUCUGGAGAAUAAAAACUCAGAGUAAUUUCUCUUAAAUUUCUUCAUACAUCUUACUAACUGAACAAGAUAUAUCAAGGUAGAAAAUAUUAGAGUUAUUGGAUAGUGAAAUAAGAUUCUUAGUUUGAAACUUAGGUGCAAACAAACCAUUAGAAUAAACAUGUAAGAUAUGAAGAAUGAAAUAUUGUCUGUUAAGAAUCAAGAUCAAGAAGUCAUAUCAACCUUUAAGUUGAAAGAUGCAUACUUCUUCACUUGGGCAUCUUCCUCCCGGUUGAGACACAGCACAACUGCUGCAUGGGAUUUCAAGCCUCGUAAUAAUUUUUCAUUCUACUUAAUAUUUAUGCCAUGUUAGAAACUAUUAUACCACAACAUGUAUAACUGCUGCAAGCACUAGCAAAUAAAAAGCAGCACACCACAUAUUCAUAGUUAAGUAAAGAAAGCUAGAUUGGUAAGAUAACAUUCAUUAUGCAUUAUGUAAAAACAAACCCUCUUCCAAGCAAAACAUAGUCUAUGAAUCAGAUGAUGGUUAAUAAAUUUGUGGAAGUCUCAAAGAAAGAAAUGCAGUAGUAUCAACCAAUUCAUAGCCAUCGUACUCAUGACUAAAGAGCUAUAGCUUAAUGACAUAACCAGUUAUUUAUGAACUUUUCCACCCACAACCAUUAAAGAACAUAGAAAUUUUAUCAUUCAAGAGUCACCUAAACCAUUACCUUUUUAAUUUGAUUGAACGUAUUUGAGUUUCAAUAUUCAAAAUAAACUACUAAUUUGAUGAAAAUGACCAUGUCACAUAUGACUGUUUCUAUUGACACCACCGACUAAGAGUGUAGAUCCUAACAAUGAGCUCGACCUCUGCAAAUGCUAUGCUAAAAUUUGUCAUCAACAUUUGAAGCAUUUUCAAUCAACAGUGACAACAUCAGCAGCAAAGUGACAAUUUCCUAUCCUACAUGAUAAUGCAAUUAGCCACAUCAAUAAGAUUCAAGUCCUAAAGUGUAUAUCUAUUGAAUCUAUUAUUAAUGUAUGACAUGUGAAAAAAACAUGCAAACACCAUUUACCAUUCCAAUGAUGCAUUGCUAGAGUUUAAAGAAGUCCAAGAAACAUCGAGCUCUUCAUCCUUUGAUGAUUUUGUUUCCUUUUAGAAGCGCCUUGCAAACGCUCUCUUGGAUAUUACAGAACUUACAUCAACCAGUGGCAUAAUAACCGAAUCCUACCGGUGAGUUAGAUGAAAUCAACCCAGUAACUAACAUCAAACGAACUACCAUAGUACAAAGAAGUUUACAAGUCUCUAUUUGUCAAACUCGAUAUUAUUUUUGAACUCUUUGGAUCCAACUAAUGGGGUAGCUAACAUCAUUGACCAUAGAAGCUUUGACCAGAUUAGCGUAGUGUAUUCAACUCAAGUUGCUUGCUUUUGUGGGACAUAGUACGAUUUUCUACCUUUAUCAUUAUGUUCUAUUCAUGCAUUAGAAUUAAUGCAAGACAGUUUUCAAAUGGCAUAUAGGGUACCGAAAGGUUUCCUUAAGAAACUCAAUGGAAAUGCUUCCUGAGUUUUCCUUUUUAGCAAGUACAUGAACUAACAAGAGCUCAUGCACAAUAUAAUGAAAUAUUCUACAGUACGGCCGAUAUUGUCAAAAGACAUUUUGCUAAUGUCUUGCUUGGCUCAAAAGUACCAAUAUAUAAUAGAUGGCUUUACCAACUCUACAAAUAUCAAGAUGCAUUCUUUUGCUAAUAUGUCUGUUCCAUUUGUUGAAAUUCCCUGCAAGUGUCCUUUGCAAAUAUUCAUUGUCCCUAAAUCCUCCAAAUUGCAGUAAUUCUGUGGCACAAUAAGGUGUGUAAGACAUCUCGCUGACUUGACCUGACCUACAAAAUACAUCAAGGUAAAAAGAGCAAGAAGUUACAACUUAUCUUUCAAGAAGUGAGACCUUCUAAUCCAAUGAGGAACGACAAUCAACCCAUCAAUUUUAACCCUUGUUACCAUGUGGAAAAUUAAAAUAGUGCUGGACCAAAAUAAAAAUAAAAAUCAUGAUUGACAACCAGCAAGCCACCUAACUUGAGUCACCUUUAUCUAUUUGAAGUGCUCUUUAAGUAUUUAUGAAAAUUGUAACAAGAUGACAUGAAAUGAAGAACUAACCACAAACCAGUAGUCAUUUACAAUUGCACAUCAUCAGUUUAGCUACUAAUUCGGUGCUAGAGAGCUGAAAACAAUGCUAGGCUUGACGGCAUAUCAUUCUGACAUUUAAAGCAUGACCAAGUUCCAUCACAUCAUAGUAUUAGAAUUCUUUGGCACGUAAAUGAAUAGCACAACCUAAUGAAGGCCUACCAAAAUAGUUGCUAGAGUACAUGAAGGAAAAACUAAGCUGUCCAUACCACAUAGUAUCCAAGGAAUACUAAGCUAACCAACUUUCUCGCUUCGAAGACAAGGAGACUAUUCAUAACCUCUACCAAUAGAAGCGACAAAGCACCAACUUUGAGUCCUUUGUGACCAUUGCCAGCAAACACUUCUCCAGUUUCCACUCCAUUAUCUUCACCUGCUAAUAAAAAUCAACCAAACUUCACAAAACCGAGUUGGAACAAUUGAGUUGAUCGCCCAUUAGGUUGCAAAAGAAUGCCGGGGGCCGAACUUGAGAUGCUAGUGGUUUUUCGAACUGAAGUUGAAAUGGAAGCAUGACGCACUGUGGUCCUUUGCUAGUUUCCAUAGCUAAAGCUCUGUGAGCAGCCGAAAACACAACACUGGCGCUUUAACAAAUCGUAGGGAUGCAAGCUAAAGAGGGCUUGUGAAGGAUAGAGCUCAAAGAGUCCAGAGGAAGCGUGGCCUAACAACAUGCAAACAACCUUUUAUCAUUCCAAGGAUGUAUUGUCAGGGUUCAGAGAAGUUCAAGAAACAUUGAACUCCCGAUCCUUCUAUGAUUUCAAUUCCUUUUAGAAUAGCCUUGUGAAAGCUCUCUUGGAUAAUUAACAUUAAUAAGUGGAAUGAUAAUCGAAUCCUGCUAGAGUCAGAUGAAAUCAAUCCAACAACUAACAUCAAUGGACUACUAAUAAUACUCCAAAGUUUAUGGAACUCUGUUUGUCAAACUUGAUAUUCUUUUUGAACUCUUUGGAUCCAACUAAGGGGGCUUCUAACACUAUCAACCCCAAAAGCUUUGAUCAAAUUAGCAUAGUGUCUUCAACUCAAGAUGCUUGCUUUUGUGGGACAUGAUAUGAUUCUUUUCCUCAUCAUUAUGUGCUAUUCAUGCGUUAGAAUUAAUGCAAGACAGUUUUCAAAUGGUGUAUAGGAUACAGAAAAGUUUCCUCAUGAAACUUAUGGAAAUUCUUCCUGUGUUUUUCUUUUCAACAAGUAAGUGCACUAACAAGAGCUUAUGCAAAUUAUAAGCAAUCAUUUCACUGCACAACAGAUUAUGUCAAAAGACAUUCUAGUUAAUGUAUUGCCUAACUCAAUAGUUUAGGUAUAUGACAGAUGGCUUUACCUACUCUACAAACAUCAAGAUGAAUUCUUUGGGAGGCUUGGAGUAGGUAUAUUGUGGACUCAAACCAAAUGAACAUGGAUGCAUAGGAAGAAAAAUUCGAAUUGUAAUUUUCUCAUUCAAUCCAAAUAUUUCAAGAUGUUUUUGCUUCUACCCUAUUUGCUAGUUCACUCACGGCCACACCACUAGGCGAAGAGCUUGUGCUUGCAUUUAGCACUUCUAAACUAAUAUGAUUAUCUUAAUUUGCUAGUGAAGACAAUUCUGUGAGAUAAAAUGGGAGGAACACAAUGGUUGGGCAAAUUUUAUCCCAAAGUCAAAAGCAUAUGCAUACUAAGGGAUGCCCUAUCAACAUGCUCCUUUUGCACUGUAAAUUCACUCUUUAGUGUACCUCAGAAAUAUGCAGUCAUGAAUUGCAUGAUAAUUGUAGAGCAAACUAAAACCUCACGUUAGAAGGAUCGCCACAUAGGGUCCUUCAUUUAGCAUUUUCUUCGACCUAUACAAUGACCUUUGGCAUGCUAUCAAAAACUUGCACAUGUCAGUUUUUUUAGUACUUCCAGCAUUCCAAAAUCAAUCAAAUGUCAAGAAUCUCUAUUUUUCUACAUAGGAUGAAGGAUCUUACUUGAAAACUAAUGUCAAAUGAUGCGCUUUGAAAGCCUUAUCAUCUAUUUCCGCUAUUGGCAUGACAAGCAGAACCAUUUUGCCAACGCACACAUUAACUUCCAUAAACAUCUCCUUUGGAUUCCUUGAAUUCAAGUAAGAAAACAAUGGUGACACUAUCAACUAGGAAAUAAUAAUGACAAGAUCAUAAAUCUUGAAAGAUAUUGCAAGCAGGAGAUACAAAUGAAAAUUGGGUAGUAGAUUUCAAAAGAGCAUAGGUUGAUUACCUGCUUUAUGCACCUUCAUUAGAAAAUGUGGAUCUAUUCCUCAUUCGAUUCGUCCAUAUAGUUUGAUAUAAAUCCUCUUGUUUUACCAUCUGUAAUCUCAUAAUAUUGAUAAAUGCGUGUUCUAGAUAAUUCCGAAAUUUUUUUGAGCGACUUGCAUCCAAUGAUAUUCAAUUCUUCCAAAAACUCCAACUUAUCAAGGCCCUGAAUUUCAACUAAGUUUUUGCAGUCUCUAGCUUUUAAUAUCUUCAGACUCCCGGAUUUUGGAAGGAGUAGCCUUUCAAUUGAAGCGCACCAAGAGAUAUCCAGUUCUUCCAAGGACUGCAACCUAUCAAGGCCUUGAAUUUCAGCUAAUUUCUUGCACCAAUCAACAUCUAAUUUCUUCAUACUUCUGGAUUUUGGAAGGUCUAGCCUUCCAAUUGAAGUGCACCUAGAGACAUUUAGACUUUCCAUAUACUCCAAACUAUUGAGCCCUUGAAUUUCGGCUAAGUUUUUGCAGUGCCAAGCCUGUAAUUUCUUAAGCCUCCCGGUUUUUGGAAGGUCUAGCCUUUUAAUUGAAGCGCAAUUUUCGAUAUCUAGCCUUUCCAAAUACUCCAACCUAUCAAGGCCUUGAAUUUUGGCUAAUUUGUUGCAGCUAUAAACAUUCAAUUUCUUUAAACCCUCGAAUUUUGGAAGGUCCAACUGUUUAAUUGAAUAGCAGAAUCCGAUAAUCAAGCUUUCCAAAUAUAUCGAUUUGUCAAGAACUCCAACUUCAAGCAGAUUCUUGCAACGGUCAACCUCUAAUGUCCUUAGAUGGACUGACUGUGAAACGUCCAGCGUUUCGACAGAUCCACAGCUCAAGAAUUGCAAGAAUUCCAACUUGAAGGGCGUGUUUAGGGAUUGUGGUGAUUCUGAUUCUUCAAUGUCCGUCAGUUGGGAGCAUUCUGAACUCUUUAAUUGUGUUGAUGGAAGCUCCUGGAUGCACUGGAGAAAUCUGCAAUUGUGAACUCGUAGUUCCUUGAGAUGGGCCAAGUGGGAAAGCAAAGGCAAUUUGUGACUUUGACAAGUGACGCCCAAAUAUGUUAAGCCGGAAGGAAGGUCCGGCAGCGAUUGGAGCUCGUAGCAGCAAAGAAAAUCAAGCCGUCGUAGGGAAGAAAGAUUACAUAUGCUUUCUACCAUUAUCCCUUUCAGAUUGCUGCAAUAGGAAGCACGUAACUCUCGGAGCUUUCUCAGACUCCCAAUACCGUUGGGCAAUUCUUCUAUACCACUUCCAGAAAUCUCUAGAAUCUCUAGAUUCUCCAAAGACCCUAUGCUAUUUGGUAAUGCAGAAAGGGAUUUAGUAUGCCAAAGAUCGAGUUGCUGUAAUGCUUUUAAUUUACCUAUAUUUGCUAGAAGCUCCGUGAGGUAGAAACACGCACGUAGCUCCAAACGAAGGAGGCCCUCCAUGUCUUCAAUGGAAGUGUCAAUUUGCUUCAGUCUAUUACACCCAUUGAGGACGAGUACCUCUAACUUCUUAAAAGCUGAGAGGAAGUCCGUAUCUUCCAAGGAUUUACAAUAUGAAAGGUCCAGAUAUUUGAGCUUCUCUGCCAUCUGGUAAAAAAAAAAAGGUAUUGAUUGUCGAGGGGUGAGUCUAGAGUGAUUAUGAUUCAAAAGAAAGCAUAAAAAGAGAGAAAAAAAAAAGACUUUAGUUCUUACCAUGAAAAAAUUCCAUCCUUCCCAUUUCUCAUUUAUCUUACUAUAUUUUAAUUCGAGUACAGCUAAUUCUUGCAUGUGAAAAUUGUUUACUUCAAAACUCUUGGGACAUUCUUGCCAUUGAAGCCAUUUUAACUCUUCCAUUGAAUCCUCAAAAUCUCCAAUUAGAUGUGCCCCUUUCAUGAAAAGGAAUCUUAGACUCGUCAAUUUUUUGAAUUGUUUUGCUGUGUAAUUGUUGCCAUCUCGCUCGGCUAUUUUGCCAGGGCCUUCUAAGUUGCCUUUACUUAGAUCAAUGGCUCAAUCUUGUCCGUUCCCUGCAAGCAAGAAUCAACGUUUAUUAAUGCUAAAUCCAACUAAAGUAAUCUAAUAUUAUUUGUUGAUAUUGCGAUUGACGUGCAUUAAUGUGUUCAAGAGACUAGCAAUGCGAAGAUAUGAUUUUUCUUUUUACACUAAUAAACAACAUUUAUAAAAGCUAACAAAGUGAAGGAUGUCAACUUCCAUUUUGAAAUUUUGCCAUAUACAUUCGGAUCUGAAAAAGAAUUAUGAUGUCAUGGUUCAUUCAAAGUAAAAACUUCACAACUUGUAAUUUUCUUCUUUCCCAUACUGUAGCUUCAUUACCAUACUAGUUAAGACAAGCGUGCAAUGCAAGGAGUUUAAUCAAAUUGCAAUGUGCAAAAUCAAAAGUUGAUUUGAUCUAUUUUAAUAGAAAUAUUUUUUCUCUAUGUAAAUUUCACAUUAAUUUUUUGUGUAUAUUACUAGACUGUGCUACUUAUAAAAAAAAUAACAAAUACUCUUAUUUUCCAUUGGAGUAAUAACUAAUUACAAGAAACUGAAUAUCGUGACAGUAGUUAAAUUUAUAUAUUAUGUACUUAUUAUUUACUAGUAGUAACUUGAAAUAUUCUUAAUUAAUUAUUUUCUAAUCAUAAACAACUAAGACAAUAAUAUUAGUUAUGUUAAUAUUCUCUACAACUUAUUAUUUUAUCGUAAAUUUAAGUUUAGCUAUAGAUUACAAUUUGAUAUAUUCAUAAUCAUAAAUAACUUAUUAGCUAUAUUAAUAAUCUCUAAACUUACGAUUUUAUCAUAAAUUUUAGUUUAAAUAUAAAUUACAAUUUGAUAUAAUCAUAAUCAUAAAUAACCGAGAUACUCAAAUAUAAUAAAAAUAUUAGAAAAAUUAAUUGUGGAAAGUGCAAAGCAUUUUUAGAAAUGAGAAAAUUGAAGCUAUUUUUGGCUACAAGCCUACAUGGAAUAGCUAUUCCUUGGCCCUGACAGGAAUAACUACUCCUGAUUUCAAGAGUAUAGUAAGGCCCUGUUUGGUUCAAUUUUGGGAAAAUGCAAAGCCAUUUCCCCAAGUAUCUUUGAGUAAAUGGGCAUUUUGUGAAGGCAAGUGUGUUUAGAAACUCAUUUUUUGUGUAUAUUUUGCAAAGCAACUUUAAGGUGAAAAGAAAAAGGAAAAAAAAGAAAAGAAAAUGGAGGAGGAGAUGCAGCUGCAUGGAGAGGGGAAAAUCAUGGGGUACCGGUUGGUGGCGGUGGCNNNNNNNNNNNNNNNNNNNNNNNNNNNNNNNNNNNNNNNNNNNNNNNNNNNNNNNNNNNNNNNNNNNNNNNNNNNNNNNNNNNNNNNNNNNNNNNNNNNNNNNNNNNNNNNNNNNNNNNNNNNNNNNNNNNNNNNNNNNNNNNNNNNNNNNNNNNNNNNNNNNNNNNNNNNNNNNNNNNNNNNNNNNNNNNNNNNNNNNNNNNNNNNNNNNNNNNNNNNNNNNNNNNNNNNNNNNNNNNNNNNNNNNNNNNNNNNNNNNNNNNNNNNNNNNNNNNNNNNNNNNNNNNNNNNNNNNNNNNNNNNNNNNNNNNNNNNNNNNNNNNNNNNNNNNNNNNNNNNNNNNNNNNGUCGCCCGACCUCAGACCAUCUCGCCUGAGGCCGCGUGACCUUAGGUGAGGCUUCCCGAUGGCCAGAUCUGGCCGCUCGUGGCUGAGUGCCACCCAUCGGCUGAGCUUCACGGUGGAGCAGCAAGUCCAAGGAAAAGACGAUAAAUAGUGUUUUUUGAGGGCAAAAAGGGAAAACAUGAUUAUCAGUAAAAGUAAUAUUGGAAAGAAAAAAAUUCAUUAAACCUCAGACUAGUAUUCCGAAAAUACUGAAAGCCCAAAGCAGGUUCGCGUAGCAUUCCAAAUGCUAGCAUUUGGCAAAUGGAGACUCAAAAAUGUGAACCAAACACAAAAUAUUUUCCCCAAAGAGUUUUGGAGGCUUAAAGCUCCUUGAGAAAGCCGAACCAAAUGGGACCUAAUUUCUACUAUGUUUUUUAAUCAAAUGAAGGAAUAAUUGCUUCAUCAAAAUAGAAUGGAAAUAGAAUAGUUAUUCCUGAGAACCAAAUUGUAGCAAGCUUUCACAAAUAAUAAUAAUAAUAAUAAUAAUAAUAAUAAUAAUAUUAAUAUGCAUAAGUCAAUAAGUAAUACAAAAAGUUCAUGGACUUCCACAUGUCAUUUUCUUAGAACCAAAAAUUUUGCUAUUGUACUUCACAAUGUUGUACAAGAUUUUUUGCUAUUGUACUUCACAAUGUUGUACAAGAUUUCAUGGAUACUCAUACGUGAACAACAUAAUAAUUUGGGAAGGAUUUAGAUCUCAACACUCAAAAGGAAUCCAUGAAAAAGUAAGAAAUCUUCAACAUAAGUAAUCUACUUAGAUUAGUCAUUGCUCCCAAAGAAAUGCUCAAGUAACUAUUAUUAAUUGACUAUAAAAUUAACAGUUGGUUUAGGUCACAAAAAAACAAAUAAUAGAUAAUUAAAAAUUAAUGGGAGAUUCACUCCUUUAAGAAUAUGUGGCUUACAUAUUAUUAUUAUUAUGGUAUCCCAAAGACUAUUAUGCUAGCAGGACUUUUCCCCCCAUAAACUCCCCCUCUCAAAAUAUUAGAAUGCCCAAUCUAUCUUCAAGACUUCUUUGUGUGGUGUGUAACUCUUUUCAACUUAAAAAAAUCGAUAGCUAGGGUGUGGCCAAAUCCAGAAAAUAAGCCAACCUUUUGUACUCAGACAAAAGUCGCAAAACCUUUCAAACAUCUAUCAAGCCUAAACUUCAGCAUCUACGACAAAGAUAACAUAACCUUUCAAACACAAAUAAAAUAAAAUAAAAUGAAAUAAAAAAUAGCCAACUGUUUAACUGUAGAACAAAGUUGACACCUAGUACAAAUUUCAUCUAUUAUAAUGAUUAAAUCGCCAUGGAUGAGCUACAUUGUUCAUUGUGCUAACGUACACAGUAACCCAUGUCAACCCACACCAAAAAGGAUGUUGCGUUUUACUUUAUGAUAAGUUAACAAUUUGUUUCAAAAUUCCUGGCUUUUUGUAAAGAAAAAAUGUUUUAGUCAUAAUUAACAUGGUUCAUUGUGCAUCAGCUAUGUCAAAUGACUCGAGGUGAUUUAAAGUAAAAAUAAGCAGAAUUGAUGGCGGGCGUCAUUUUUGUCCCAUGAAUAAAAGGAUUAGUUUGAAACGCAACGUCAUUUUCGUUCCACAUUCAAAAUGCUGAGUCCUUUAAAGAUUUUUUUCAACUUGUGUAAUCUUUAUCCCAAUCGCAAAAAGUCGUACUUCUUUUAUUUGGUAUGUACUCAUUAAUAUCCAACAUGUGAGUUAUGAGUGUGUUUCAAUUAUGCUUUUAAUGUCUUUCAUUUUUUUUGUUUAUGCAUUUUUUUGCAUAAACACUUCGACAAAGGAGAGUAUUGGGUGACCUCUCACGUCGCUUUGCCAUGUUAUAGGACGUCUUCUACAAGCAAUCUUUCUACAAUGCACGUCAGGUGCAACACUUGAGAAGAAGGAUGUGGAGGAAAUUCUUCAUUUCCUUGAUAGAUCCCAAGUGGCAUUUCGAUCGAGCCUACGCUGGAGGGUCCUAAAGGUUCGGCAUAAUUGUAAAAGGAAGAGGCAGAGAGUUGUGAGUGGCUAACCCAGCCUCCUUCGUCCCUUGGGACCAACAAGGGGUGGCAGUACUUUUUCAAAAUAAAGAAGGAGAUUUGGCAUUUGUUUUUCUAUCGGUAGUGGUGGAUAUUGUGGUUCUUUCAGCUGCUUGUAUUUUAGAAAAUAUAUAUGAAAAUAACUUCGGAUAUUUUCAUUCAAUGUUGGAAUAAACUGAAAAUAAGAACUUAUAUCAUUUUUAGUAGAACCACUCUUUCAACUUACGAUAGUGCCAUAAAUGAAGAACGAAAUCGAAUCAUGGAAGAAUACUGACAUAAUUAUAUCAAACUGUACCUUUUUAGUUGUAAAAUUUAGUUAUACCAUUAUAUUUGUAUAUAAAAUAUACAGCAUGUUCAUUUUUCUUUUGCUUAGUGUAGUUUGUUUUAUCAUGUGGUACGAAAGACAAUACAUGGACACUGGCUUCGAACUUGUUAAUCUAUGAACUGGCUCUUGUGAUUAUACAUACGGCGCACGUUGAGACUGUAAAUAAGUGCAAGUCUUUUGAUCAACAACUAGAGUCAAACCAAAUGAUGGAUAAAAAAGAGUAGAGUCGCAAUCAUGAUUAAUUCACAAAUGCAAAUACAAUCUCAUGCUUAAUUACACAUAAUAGAAUUUUAGAGUAUUUAUCUCCUUGACCUUUAAUGUAGAAAAUAAGUAUCCCUUCCAUUCUCUAUUAUGGAAUAGUGACUAAAAUUCUUGAGAAACGCAGGCAUCAUUAGUCCUAUUAUAUUAAUUCUAACAUAUGAUUUACAUAUCCCGAGUAACUACGGUUUACAGUAGUAUAGUCAAGUUAUUUAUUGCAUGUGUCAAGGGUGCAACUAAAUCAAUAUAGAAAUUCAAGAUUUUUGUCAAUAUAGAAUACCCCAAUCAAUAUCUAAAAAAUUUGAAAGGAACUCAUUCUUGGAGAUAACUUAAGAAAUAUCUUAGAUAAGCUGCGAUUCUUAUCAAGAGAGAAGCAACCUCCUCUACUUUCUAAUCAUGUCAAUGAAACGAAUGAAGGAAACUAAUAUUAGAAGGUUCUAUGUUCACUAGAGCAAGCACUGAGUUGAGGACCAACACUACUCUAACAAGAGAACAUGGGCUAAGGAAACAAAAGAAGAGAAACAGUUACCUUAUUUCUCUUUAGCACAUUCAAGGCUUCCACAAAAUCCCAUAACCUGCUACGGUGCCAAGGCUGUUCCUGGUUUUCCUCACGAACAAUUGCCCUACCAAGAUCUCUUAAUUGGUCAUGCAUUCGGAGCUCAUGAUCAUCUCCAAUUUUUAUUAAUGACAUAAAUCUCAAUACUUCAAUAUUCUCCCCUGGAAAAAAGUCACAAGCAUCCCACAUGUAGAAUGCGAUUGUCCCGUCAAUGCCAAUGAGAAAGCAAGCGAUAUCCAAAAAUAUUUUUUUUUGUUCAUAUUCUAAUGCAUCAUAACUUAUCCUUAACUUUUCUCGCACUUCUAUACUAGGGACCUUUCUUAACUUUAUUAUCAUCUCUCUCCAUUCUUUUGACUCUUUUCCACACAAUGAUGAACCUAAAACCUCAAGCGACAAGGGAAGUCCUCCGGUGGUGGAUACAACUUCAUGAGUGAGGUCCUCAAAUUCACUUGGAGGAAAGUCCUUUCGAAACGCAUGUUUGCUAAACAGAAUCAAAGAUUGAUAGUGAUCCAAUUCCGUGAGGUCAUAGUUGUGAUCCACCCCAGCUAAUUCAAGAAUUCUCUUGUUUCUGGUGGUAAUAAUGAUCCUACUUCCCAAAGAAAACCAAUCAUGAUUACCGGCCAAACACUUCACUUGAUCGACCUUAUCCACAUCAUCAAGAAGAAGAAGGACCUUUUUAUCUUUAAACAUGGAGGAGAUGAAAUUAAUCCCUUCAUCCUUAUUACGAACUUCAUUUUUUUGAUUCGAUAAAUCAAAGAUUAACUGAUUUUGUAAGUCAUGAGCACCACGAUUCCAUGAUUCCCUUAUAUCUGCAAUGAAGCUAUGAUGCUCAAAUUGAUCGAAUAGCAUGUUGUAAAUGGUUUUAGCAAGAGUAGUUUUACCAAUGCCUCCCAUUCCAUGGAUGCCAACAAAUAGGAGGGGAUGAGAUUUAUCAUCCAGAAGUUCCAUAACGUUCUUCACAUGACUAUCAAUUCCUACCAAAUUCUCAGAAAUAAUCAACUCAAACUUUGUCUUCAGUUCAUUCAACACUUUUUGAACAACCGAUUUCACCAACUCUACUUCAGACCUGUCAAAUGUGACGAGCUCAAAUAUGUGGCAACAAUAAUUUUAUAUUGUUUAUCUAUUAAGAAUGUACUAAUAAACGAAUCCAGGAUAAAUUGAAAAAAAAUUAAGAAUCGUUUUUGUCACACCUCCAUAUACGCUAAGAAUAAAGUUUGAGAAAUGCUCGUGGUUGUUUCACAAGGCGUGCCCCCUUCCACUAUUACUCCAACAUAAUUUAUUAAAUUAGAAGAAACUCAAGGGCAUCACUUAUGAACCUUGAAUAUUGUAGAUGUUAUGGAUUUGAACCAAAUUUUAGACUUGUUGUUUGUUAAAGAUAUUAGGGAUGACGUGGACGUAACUUUGAAAACUUUCUAGAGCCUUUGAAUAAUAAAAAAAUCCAAUAAGCCAACCCAGUAUGAGAGUCAGCAAUUAAUCAAUAAACAAGUCAUAACUUUUGGUGCAAGACAAUUUCAACUCCUGUAAUAACAAUCCAAAAAGUCGUUCAGAUUGUGAUAUUGUGAACAACUUGAAUGCAAUCGGGGGGAUUUCUCCUUGUUUGCACAAUUCUACAUGAUCGCAAGUUUGUACUUGUGUAUCAUUAUAGAUUGGUGUUCUUACAAUUUUCAUUGCCUCUAGGGAUGAUAAGUUCUAGUACUUUAUUUUCCUUUGGAGUAACUAUGUUCUUUGAUUUUAAUUGAUCUAAGUAGAAGAAUAGUUUUUUCCCAAAAUAAGAACAUUGAUUCAAUAUAUUUAGGUAUAUGAGAUAGAAAAUACUUGCUGAAGAUAGAAAAUGCAUUGAAAAUUAUUCAAAUAAAUAUAUAAUAGAAAUAACCCCUUUUUCCCCUUUUUUUAUAUAUUUUUCAUCAUCAUAUAUAACUAAUGAAACAUUUCUUUGUAAAAUAAUUUUAAUAGCAACCAGUCAACAAUAUUAAUGAUCUAAUAAAUGUAACUUGGGAAGAUAAAGAAUUAUGGCUUUGACAAUCACUAUACAUGGUAUAUCAUGUUACAAGCUCUAAAUAAAAAUCACCAAUAAGUUGUACCAUUAAUCUCAAAUAAAUAUGUUAUUACAAAAGCUUGUGACCAUGACUAAUGUGAUGUACACUGUAAACAUGAAAAAAAAUGGCGCAAUGUUGCAAAAUCUUUGCCUAUAAGAGUAAAAACUCAAUAAAAAAAUCUUAUCAUUCAAGUGAAUGGGAUCAUGCUAAUAAAAUUUAUAAGUAGAUCUGUCAAUAUCAUUAAAGCAAAACACUAAAAAAAAGAAAAAGAAUAAUUUAUCGAACUCAUGCAGGAUCUUAUUGCCAACAUGAUCUUUAUGUUUAUAUAUAUAGAACGAAAAUGAAGCAGGUGAGAAUCAGAACAACUAGUAAACACCCGCACAUAUUAAAAGAAAGUAGAGAAUGCCUUGGUGAGAAAUUUUACCCAUCUGCUUCGUAUCCUUUCAAGUUGCUGACUUCAAGGAGUGCUUGCUUCCAUUUGUCCAAAGUCGUUGGGUCAAAAGAAGACCUCUCACACCAACGACUCUCACGCUCAUGAAAUGCCUCUCCAAAUCUCCCGGUUUGAUAUCGCACUUCAGCUAGUUUCACUUUGUAGAAUAUAGGCAAAACUAUAUGCCCAAUAUUAUUCUUGUGCUCCAUUAUUUGAACCAGUUCAUCCAGGCACCAACUGCUUGUACCAUAAUUCAGAGAGAAAAUCGGGAUCAAGAUCUUACUAUUUGUGAUGGCUGCCAUAAGCUCUGGCCUGAUGUCCUCGCCUUGGCAAAGCUCGUCAUCAUCUUUGAAAGUGUGAAUUCCAGCUCUUAGGAGCCCAUGGUAGAGGUGAUCGGUGAAGCCAUGUCGAGUAUCUAGGCCUCUGAAGCUCAAGAACACCUCAUAGCAGUUUCCAGUCGAUGCAUUAUUGUUAUUUUCUGUCGGAGACGAAUCAGAUCCAACGAAAUUAGUUUCUUUCAGCACAGCCAUCGAACCAUAUGUACCAGUAUCAACAUCCUCUGCAUUUGCACUCGCAUUAGUUUUCCUCUUCUUAAUGCGACGAUGCAUUUCGGCCUCUGACUCUGCCAUUGAGUUCAACUUUCAAGCCCUAACAGAGAAAAAAACCAGAAUACCCCUUAGAGAACAGGAAAUGCCUUCUUGUCUCUUCUAUUGUGGUCUAUUAAAAUUUCAAUCCAUAUGAAGCGGUGGAUUUGUUCGGAAGAUGAAAAGUGUAGAGAGACUUAUGACGAGAGUGUGACAUGGAUUUGCGGAAGAAGAUGAAUUUUUUGGGGGGGGGGGUGCGGGGGCAUUUUGGGGGAGAGAGAGAUGGAGAUUCGUCCGGUCCAAUAUUUUCCAAGCAAGUGCUCGGAAUAGAUGAAAAUAUCAAAGCGUCAGGACAGUGAAGAGUCCCCUGCCUAGUCCACUGCUUGCACCAUUGAACUGUCCUUUUCUUUUGUUCAUUUAUUUUCCAUAAGAGAAGGUAUUUUUGUUAAUUAUAUUUCAGCUCUUGAUCCCACUUUGGAAUUUUUUUGGGUCAUAAUCCCAUAUGGAAUUUACCCUUCUUACUUUGAGCCUUGUAAAUAUUAUACUAUCAAACCGAUAAACUUCAUUUUAAUACUAAAAUAUUGUAUUAUAACAAUCACGUAUCCUAAAAAGAACUAUGUUGUUUACAUGUGUCGAUGAUAAUAAAUAUUAUCAAAUUGCUAUAUAUAUAUAUAUAUUUAUUUAUGUUGUACCCGAGCACAAUGAGAAGAAUGUCUUUUUGGUUCUCAUUCUACCUUAAUUUUCCCUUUUAUUUUAUUGGUCAAACCUUAAUUUCUCCUUCAAAUCUCAUAAAUAAAUCUAAAUGCCUUUUUGCUUUUUCUUUUCUUUAUCAUACAUAUAUUUCUUUAUUGGUUUGAUUUAUCUAAUCCAACUAGUUGGCACGCACCAAAUAUUCAAGCAUUGCCUUCAUGUGGUGGAAGUUUCAAUGCACAGGAGAAUCCAAGGCAAUCCUACCCAGGAAGAAGAUAACACGUGAGCAAGUUUCGAUACACAACAAAUGAAAAAAAAAAAACCAAAAAAUAAAAGAGAAUUGCUAAUUUGGUAUCGUAAAUUAGGGGUGAUCGAUUUUAUAAUUACUUCAUUUUACAAUAAGAAGAAACUUAUCCCAAUAUCCACUUGUAACAAUGCAAGCUAAAAGAAUUAGCAAUGCUAUUUAUAUACCAACAAUCCAUACUAAAAUGUCACUAAUUGAAACUGUGGAGUGUUAUCCUCAUACCAAAAAUCCAAAGCAUUAUGGAGCAAAAUCUAGAAUUUACGAACCCUCCCCAAAAUCAGGGUGUUCAUGUGAACCUUUGUCAAAAUGCCCUACCCACCAGAGAAAAUUUAGCCAAGAGGAGAGUCUUACCUAAGCCGAUGUGCUCCCUAUGUAAAGUGACUCCAGAAACAGCAGAACACUUGUUCCUGCUCUGCCACUGGACAAAAGGAAUAUGGUCGGAUCAACGACUACAGGUACAAAUACGAAGUACAGAACUAACAAGCAUGGAUCGGUGGUUUAUGAAGUAUGAAAGCAACCUUCCUCAAGCCCCCGAACCCGAAAUAGUGAGUGAAGCUCUCUGUUUCAUCUGGAAAGAGAGGAAUGACGCUGUAUUUCGAGCAAAAACGCCAGAUCCGCAUGGAGUUGUAGCCGAUAUGCUUGCGAUGAAGAAAACUUCAAAGAUCAGAUCCCACUGCAGAAGCGACACACCAGCACGGCAAAAGACAUGCCUGUGAAAUGGAAACCGCCGGAUCUGGGAUGGGUGAAGAUAAACGUUGACGGAGCUUUCAAAGCUGCAAGAAACGACGGAUCUGCGGCUGGAGUAUGCAGGGACGCCAGCGGUGUACUGCUUGGUGGCUUCGCUCGAGCGGUGAAACUCAAAUCAGCUUUCCACGCGGAAACCCUGCCAAUUUGUGAGGCUCUGGAGUUUGCUGCCAAGUGGGAAAAAGAAAGAGGGGCACGCGUAUCUGCUAUAGAAUUUGACUGCCUCACGGCAGUUCAGAUGCUUCUGGGGAUAGAUCCUGCCCCCUGGGAAGUCAACGAUAUUGUGAAAGAAGGCCGGGCCGUGCUAUCUUCACCGUCUCUUUUAUGCUUGACCGAUGGACCGAGAGACCUAAAUAAAACCACAGAUUGGAUUGUUAAAGCUACUACGCCAGUAUCUAUUUUGGAAUUGGGUUUCAAGCCCCCCACAAUCUCUUUUAGAAGUUCUUUGUUUUGAAACUCAUUUGAGUUGUUCCUCUAUAUUAUUUACAAGAAAUGAAAUGAGAACAUAAUUGAUUAAAAAAAAGAAUUUGGAGUGUGAAAAAAGAAAAAAGAGUGCUUGUGAAUUUCACCAUCACCAUUUUUUAUAGUAUUAAUCUACAAUAUUUAAUAAGUGCUAAAUUAUCACUUUAAAUUCAAGAGCUUAACUACAUUGUUCUCUAAAGCUAAUCAACUCUAGCUCAUCUUUAUCUCCACUACAAAGGACAUCGAAACAUUUUCUUUGAAAAAAUCUGAGAGCUCUACACAUGAAUUUUGACCAACGUCAACUAAACCAGCAUCUCCAAGUACUAGUCGAGGCAUGCGAAGAACUCUUGGAUGUCAAAUCAUUGAUUUCAUUUAGUCAAAUUUAUUUAUUUCUUUCACAAUUUCUUAAUUAACCAAAAGCCAAAUUAAUAAAGGCAAAUGCUUUUUCUUUGUUUAAGUGAUUGCCCUAAUAUUUUGCCCUUCUUCUUGACUUGGUCAAAAAGUGGGCUUUAAAGAAAAAGAAAAAUAAGAGAUAUAAGCGGUUCCUCUUAAAUAAUGAGGGGUAGCUAUGUUAAUGAAAAUGUAAAAUAGGUUUUACUUACCACCCAAAAUAUACCUAGGCAUAUUAUUCUCAUCCAAAAUGUUAAAUAGGUUUUACUAAUCACUCAAAAUGUAUCUAAGCAUAUGAAUAUUGUUAUUCAAUUUGGUUGGUGCAAGAUGUGAAGCAAUUUGUAUGUUUAAUAGAAAGAAGCUUUAUUCUGAUAUCCACUUUUGUGACAAUGCCAACUAAAAGAAUUACCAAUGCUAUUUAUAAACCAACAAUUCAAAUUAAACCGCUGACACUUGAAAUUGUGGAAUGUUAAAAAAAAAAAAAAAAAGAGUGCUUGUGAGUGCUCAUGCAUUUCUCGAGCACUUCCUUUUAUAGUAUUGAUUUACAACACUUUAUAAGUGCUAAAUUAUCACAUUAAUUCAAAAGCUUAACAGCAUUAUUGUCUAAAGCUAAUCAGCUGUAGCUCAUAAGUAAGAGUACUCCGCCAAAAAUGCAUCUAACCUGAGAGGCAUCAAAUAUGAAUGUAUAUAUUAGCCUAUGCACGUUUACCUCUCUGGUAAUAGGGUAUUAAGUAUAUUUACCACGUUAACUGUUGCGAUAUUAAGGCCGCGCAUGAUAAAAUUUAUAUUUCUUGAUUUCUCUGUUUCUUUGUUCCCCGGAAUAGGUUUGGAACAGAAAUCCGUUUAGUAAAGAAACAGAUUUCUAUUCCAGAAAUAGAUUUGAAGGAGAAAUCAGAAACUAAAAUUUGUAGCUCCUUAGUUUCUGAAAUAGAAAUUGAAUUUCUAGCCAGAAAUCAAUUUCUGUUUCAGAAAUCAAUUUCUAUUCAGAAAUUUUGCCAUGCGCACCCUAACAUACUCAGCCUAUCGAGAUAUACUUUGUCCAUCAUCAGUUUGAAGUAAUCAAGUUGACCUCGAAUUCGACACAAUAUUGUUUGGUAACAAAAAGGCAAUGCCAUGCCUUUAUGUUUUUAACUUUAUCGUAUCGAUUAUUCAUAAUUAGUUUUGUAAAUGUUGCUUUAAGUUUGUAUUUGUGAUGUACAUUUUUUCACUCAUUUUUACGACAUCAUAUUGUGCAAAAGUCUGACAAACAUCUUGGCCCUUCAAGUAAAUUUUCUUAUGAAGUCUAGACCAUGCUUGGUUAAACUUGCUAGAAACGGGAAGAUCUUCAUAGGCUCUCUCAAUCUUCCUAGAAUAGAGAAGAAACCCAAUUGUCUGGAGAGGAGUAGAAAGUAUGCAAGGCAAGCCAACCUCAGGCCUAACAACAAAAAGCUUUAGAUAAUUGUUCAAUAUCGAAGUUGGAGGCAACAUUAGUGAAAUCUAACCUAAGAAAUGGCAUAAACAUCUAGAACCUUUACAAGCAUAACCUCGCCAAGGAUAAUUGUUUACUUAAUCAGCCCAUUACUUUCCAGGCAAAUACCGAUCUGCUAUCAGUCUACCAUCAAAUUCCCCUAUUAAGAAAAACUAUUGUAUGAGAAGCGAGAACAAAGAAAGGACUCAUUGACUGAAUCCGAUAGACCAUACAGCUAAAUAUUUGAUUUGACCUAAUAGGACGCUUACAAUAUUUUUGAUUGGAAAGACACCAAAUAUACAAAAGCAUAAAACCCUAUCUUUAUCUCCGCUGCAAAGGAUAUGCAAAAUUGCUUUGAAGAAUUUGAGAGCUUUCAAAGCUCUACAAAUGAAUGUUGAACAUCAUCAGUUAAACCAACAUCUCCAGGUACUAGUCUGGGCAAUCGAGGAACUCUUGGACCUGCAGGGAAGAAUUGAGUAGUGCGAUCUUCAAAUGCCCAAGAGCUACCAGAGGCGUUCUAUAAACAAAUGAAUAAUUAUUUUCCAGUUGGAACAUAAAAAAGAUGAAAAAAUAAAAGAGAUUAAAGCUAAGGAGGCAAACAAAUCAACUAGUUAUAGACGACACCAAACAUAAGCUUUCAAAAAAUCUUCCAUAAAACCCAUACUAAAGCUGUUGGACUGUGAAAUAAGAUUCAAAGUUUGAAAAAACAAGUAUUUAAGAAAAACCGGACAAAAAUAACUACUUAAUUGCAAGCGAAGCAUUACGAAAGGUGUGAGCCAUUAAGAUAUCUGUUAUUGGUAAUAAAGAUCACAAAGUUGUAUCAACUUUUAAGUUGAAAGAUGCCACACUCUAUUAACUUGGGCAUCCCCCUGGCAGUUGAGAUACACCACAGCCACCAUAUGGGACUUCCAGCUUCUUAAUAGUUUUUUAUUUUGCUUAUUAUUUAUACCAUGCUAGAAAUUAUUAUACCACAGUGUGCAUAACUGCUGCAAGCACUAGCAAAUCAAAAGCAGCACACCGCAUAUCCAUUGUUCCACAAAGACAGCUAUUUUGGUAAGAUAGCAUUCAUAUAUGUACAAACAAACUCUCUUCUCAGCAAAAUGCAAUCCAUGAAGUGGACAAUUAGUAAUAAACUGAUAGAAACCCCAAAGAAACAGAAUUGCAGCAAGUUCAGCCACGUUCUCUGCCAUUCUAUGCAUGACCAAGCAGCUAUAGCUUAAUAGAAACAUAAUCAAUUCCUUACAAACUUUUCCACCCACAAGCAUAAUUGAAGCACAUACUAAUUAUAUCAUUUAAGAGUCACCUAAAUAAUUACCUUCCUAAUUUGACUGAACUGAACAUAUUUUACAAAUAAUUGAAAGAAGCUAUUAAUUUUGAUGAAAAUCAGCAUGUCACAGAUGAAUGCUUCUACAUGACACCAUCCACUUAGACCAUAGAUUCUUCCAACGAGCUGGACCCCAGUAAAUAUUAUGCUUUAAUUUGUCAUUGAUAAUUGAAUUAGUUCAAAUCAUUAAUGACGACAUUAGCAUCAAGGUGAAAUUAUUUUGCACUACACGAGAAUGCAAUUAAGCAUAUCAAUCAGAUUCAAGUCCUAAAGUAUAUAAAUCUAUGGAAUAGUAUAUAAAUUCUAUAUGAUAUGUGAUUAAAGUAAUUCACUGCUGAUUUCACUGAUUAGAUAUGAGUCAAUCAAUUUCCUUGAUUCAUAAUUUACUUCAGGCAUCAAACAAUGUAGCGUCAAAAACAUUUAAUGGCUUUGAUGUAGAACGAUGAGUCCCACCAUAAAUAAUAUAUAUUUAGGCAUCACAUGCAAAACUGCUUAAGGUUUUUUAAGCAAGACAUUAAAGAGAAAUUGCAUCACACAUUCUGCAAAGCAAACACUUGCCAAGUUCAAUAAAUUAUCAACUCCAUUGAAAAGUAAAAAUUAAACUAUCUUUGUAGACUCUCUAAAAGUUCUACUCCUAGUUGAAAUAGGAAAUCUCUAAACAAGAAACAUUGUUGGAGUAUACGAAAGAUCCUACUACUCAAACUUAAAAUGAAGAAGGAAACUCCGCAAAAGCCUAAUAAUACUCAAAUCCUAGUUGACAAAUUAAAUGAUUAAACUUCAAGAAGAAUCCUGAUCCUUGUUUGAGUUUCAAAGUCAAUCUUCACCAAAAACUUGGGAGUCACCUUGCAUGACUUGUUGGCUGCAUUAAGCUCAAUAAAUGGUUUGAUUGUCUUAUACUAAAUUCUACGAAUGGGAAUCCAAUUACAAUCCCUAAUAAUAGUCAAAUCCUUGCUAAUCCUGAUUGUCUCAUACUAAAUUCUAUGAAUGGGAAUCCAAUAACGACCCUAUGUACACAAUCUUUGUGUCCUUAUAGUCAAAUGGAUACUUAUUUGACAAAAGAAAAAUAAAAUGUAGCAAUAUCUCAUGUCUGGAAAUAAUAACAUUAAUCGACUUUGAAGUAUCUUCAUCAUUAGUUAUUACCUAACAAUAAAAAUAACACCAUACUUUACAAUUAAACUACAUCUGUCAUGGAAUACCAAUCUCAAACGUUAUAUUAGAUUUUAUGAUUCUAUUCGAUGAAAUUCAUGAUCCACAAUCCAUACAUUUAAUUUUUCGAUUCAUGACUCAGAUUUCCAUGUGAUGACUAAAGGUGACCCUAAGUGGUUAUCAUGUCAUAUCAAAAUUGUGGCUACCAACUAAUAGUUAACACAUUAAUAAACAAAUAUUGUCCCGAAUUCAAAGUUCAGACCGCGAAACAGAAAUUGACUCAUGUAAUCUAUCCAACUAAACAAUAGUGUCAACUUGAUUAACAACCUGACCUAUCAUGAUCUGUCUAUAUUUAGUUCAUUAAGUUCUCUAAUAAUAAUCAUACAAGAAUUUUGUUUCCAUAGUGGUUACAAAUUACAAAUUGAUCACACCAUAUAAAUAUAACAUUUCAUUUAAACCUAGGAUUUUGUAAGCUUAUGACUAGUUUCUCUUCAAACUUAUUUGAGAUUGAUGACAAAAGGCAUAUUGUACAUAUGCUGUGUCUUCAAUCUAAUUAGUUAACAGGGUUAUUCAUCUCUUGUAAUUUGUUGACCUCUUUAACAAAAGGGUCAUGUUCGAAUAGAGUUUUCAAAUAUAUAUAUAUAUAUAUAUAUAUAUAUAUACAAAUAUAUAUAUAUAUAUAUAUAUAUAUAUAUAUAUAUAUAUAUGGAGAGAUAUUGAGAUAGAGACAUUGACAGACAUGACCAAUAAAAAUGGAUUGCCAUCUCUAAUAGCAUCUGAAUGUUCGCUAAGUUUGCUGUUUGCAUUGCAUCAUGCAGAUUCUGAGCAAUUCAGAAUCUUUCCCACAAAAGAUUAGAGAAGAACACAUUCUGAUGAUAAAGGACUAUUGCAGGAGGAAUUUCUAGUUGAGAAGUAAUGAGGGUAACAUUCAAGUAACGACAUAGAUAACUUACUUCAACAUCAUGCAGUAAAAUCGUACCAUCUCCAAGUCAUAAAACAGCAACCUUGCCAUCAGGACGCCAGCAUAAAGAUGUCAUACAUUUGCCUGGAGUAAAUUAGAAUGAUCAAGAAGAGCCAGUAUUGGUGACACACAUUGAAAUGUGCAAAUGAAGUGACUUCAUUAUAAACGAAAAAGAACAGAGAAUGAAUAAUCUGUUCCCAGUAAAAUUAACACAAGAAGAGGAAGGAUAGAGCUCACACAUUAUCCAACAAAUGUUAAUCAAAAUUUGUGGAGUGAGGCAAAAUGUCAUAACUAUACAAAAUAACUGAGGGAUAUUGGUAAUGUGAUAGAGGAUUUCUUUGGGCUAGUAGGUCAUCUAAAGUGAGGGAAUAUAUAUCUUGUUGGCAGGCUCCAAUCCAAUAACUAAAUCAAAAAAAAUUUGUUGUUCAACAAUGGAACCUCAAGGUGGAUUGGAUGCACGAAAGCUUACUCCAGGCGAGGAUUACAAGUGUACUAGUAUUUACAACUUAGUCUUAACAGAAACCAUUAAAGGAUUGGCUCAAGUACUAUGGUGCACUAAAACAUUCUCCAUAUCUAGAAGACAAUAUGAAGAGUGAAGCAUUCAGAUGUUCCUGGGAAAAAAAUCUCCUCUCUAAAGUUUUCCAGUGACAAUAGACAACAAGAUCUACCAAGGCUGGGCAUCUAAUCCUAAGCUCUUACUAAUUUGAAUUACGAAAAGAUUAAGUCAUGUAGGAACUUAACAUACUAGGACGCAGCUCCCCUUACCCUCCUAAUCUCUUUGCUUUCCCCAAUUCUUGUCUCCGUCCCUCUCAACCAGAUUGUCAUACAAGUAUGCAGCACAGCUUGAGAUAUAUCCUAUUCAAAAGUUAAACUACCACCAGCGAGCUUGAUUAAUCAAAAUGAUGUGAUAGAACGCCCUUCUGUAAUUAGAAGAAGAUAAAUAAAACUUCAAGCACUACAAAAUGUGAGAAACUUUCUGCCCAUGGUCUAUAUUUCAAUAUCCACUAAAUCCCUCCUUGUAGGGCACACGCAAGUCAGUAAAAGAAUGCUCAAUCAGUAAAAGAAGAGGAGUCAGCAGCAAAAUUACAUUGAGAGAAUCACCAUCAGAAAUUUAAGAUCUUUUUAGAUGCCUGUUGACAUUUAGAUGGCAUUCUGCUGGGCCUAAACCUGCGAACUCCAAGUGGACAUCAAGCAUUUCUGCAUCCAACAUAGCUAGUCUAUCUAGCAUAAAUGGCAUCCCCCCAAUUCAUGUUAAUUAUUUUCUUGGACACUUUAAUUGGUGUACGAAGGGGAACAAGAUGGCCAUACAGGAGUAUGGUACGCCUGUGGUCGGUGCAGAUCUAGGCUAUGGAAAAAAUCUCCCAAGGUAACAACCUGGUCGAGAAGUAGAUAAGAAUCUAUUGUGCCUAUAAAAGAAUCCCUUCAUUCAACUAAUACCAGCUUGGAAUUCUUUACUCGUGACUAAGUCAUGUCUAGAUUUCCACUCGCAUCACCAUCAUUCACUCUUCGUUUCUGUGUAAAAGACCAACUCCUUGGUUCGACGCCACAUUCUCAUUCAGACUUCCAAGUAAUUUAUACCUCUAUUUUCGUCCAAUUCUCUAUCAAACGCAAUCCAAGCUAGAUUGCCACUUACAGUUGUUCUUGUGGCAAAAAAGGAAGCGCAGCACAUUUAGGAAAAGCUAAAGAAGUAGAACGAGAUAACGCCAGUGACUCGAGGGGCACACCAAGCCAUCAUUGAAGAAAUGAACUUUCUAGACUCGAAGCAUUACCCAGGACGGAUUGUCCACCGCCUCUGUCGAUUGAAGCGACGAAGCACCCACACCUUCAUGUCAUCCGUGACCAUGGCCAUCAAAUCCUUCUCCGGAUUCACUCCGCCAUCCUCACCUGCCAAUCGGAAGAAAUUGAGCCAAAGCCUCAUCAAACCGAGUCGGAAAACAAUCGAAUCGACCCGCCCAUUAGGAGGUCGCAAAAAGAACGCUCGAACGAGAGCCGAACCUGAGAAGCCAGAGCGGUUUGUUGGAACUGAAGCUGAAACGGAAGCACGCGCCGGAGACCCUGCUUCGUCGGUCUCCAUUGCUAGAAAGCCCCGCAAGCAGCUCGGAAACGCAGUGUACGGAAGUGAUGACGGAGGCAGUUGAAGAGUGAGACGAAGAAUGGAAAAGUAAAGGGAGGAAGGAGGUCCAACGGGGCCGGGUCGGGCCGGGCCGGGCUGGGCUGGACUUUAAGACUAUACAGCCUUGUCAAACAACGCCCGAAAACCGCCCUUUCGGGCCCAUGGAGGCUGAAGGGUCCCGGCUCGCCAGACUCAUGAGACAUCGCAUUGGUGCGAAUGGGGUGAAUUAAUUAUUUGAAAAUGUAAUUUGGAAUAAGGAAUGUGACUAUCCUCAUUUGCUCGAAUGACGAUGAUCACGUUCAUGCAAGUGAAAAUCCAAAAGCAUUUUUUUUUUACCCACAUGGAACCUCCAUGAGGCCCAAUGUUUUGAGAUAUUACAGAAAUCGGCAAAAAUCUCGACUUGAAAAUACCCAAAAUAUUCGGUUCGAGUCUAGUUGGUUUGGGCAUUUUUGACAUCCCCAGUCAGUGGGGGUCAUUGCGCCCUUUGGCUAUUUGGUGCGUGGUACAUUUUUUUAAACAAAUAUGUAAAAAGUCAACUUAAUCAACGGAUAGAGGGUAAUGAAAGCUUAUUGGAGAAAACGCCGAUAUGCUUGUUGUAUCUUUUUACUAGAUAUGUACUAGCAACCGUAUUCUAUGAAAUUCCAUAUGAACUUCUUAGGAAUAAGAACCCUAAUAUUGCCAUAACUGUCAUGUGGCAUUCACUUGACUGAUAUAAUUUUUUUUUCUCCUCACUUGAGUACCACAUCGGUGUAAAAUCGUUCAUUUGAGUGAUUAUUUCGACAAUUCGUUAUAGGUGACUUUUUUAUUUAAUUUUAUAUUCAAACGUGGUUUUCUAAGUCCAACGUUUUGUCCAACAUGGCGAGUUUGAAAAAUGUAUGUACCUCUCGCCUUCUCUCUAAAUACUUCCUCUACUUAAACGGCAAUGUCUCUCUCUAAAUGCUUUGUCAAACGAUAAAAUUUCUGUCUCCCCAAAAGUUUCCUCUAUGAAGUCGUAGAACCCAUAGAAGAAAAAGCUUCCUCUUGCGCGCCUCCUCUGUCUUACGUUACUCACUCACUCACUCAAUGUCAUCUUUCUGACUCGAUAGAGACUAAAGGCAUGCGAAAUAGCGACGGCGUGGAGGGAGAAAUCAGGGCUUGGUACCCAACGAAUCUUUGUUAAGACUUCAUAGCCCCAGUAGUAAAAAAGGUGCUUGUAUCUUGGUUUGUUUUAUAUAACGGUGAGCCGUUACUCCUAUAUUGAUAAAGUGUUUUGGCCCACUAUGAAGUAUUAGGGCUUGGUAAGGGUCAAGAAGAAAAGAUGAAUCAUUCCCCAAUUUCUUUAAACUAGGUUAGGAUUCUCCAAUUAGAUGUCUAAACAACAUCGUUUGCUCUCUCAAUUGCUGACUUCAUCUCACUAGCAAGCCAUAUCAUAUGAUUUGUUCCUAAUUAAUAUCACAUUGGAUUUUCCAAUGAGAUAAAUUGCUAAUGAUACUCAAGUCAUCGAUUUUAAGAUUUUCAAUACUCAAGUAAGUACUGUACGAAAAUUCAAGCACUCAUAGUGUUCUUAUCCCGAACUUCCUAUAAUGUCCCCUUACUUAGGCAAUUUGUAGAUAGAUUAGUACAAUAGAGGCCGUUGGGGGUUCUUGGGCCAAUUAGAUCACCACCCCUCAUGGUUGAAAACCGUGCAAAUCACCAGUGUGAUCACUCGAAAAUGGCUCUCAAGGGUCUCUGUGCGGUUUAGUGGUUCGUGCGUGCCAACCAUGAGACAUAGAUGGAUGAAUAGAUCUGCUUCCACUAUAUCUAACACAACUAAAUUCUCCCCUGAUAUUGAGAUUUCUUUCCCUCUCUUCAGACUUUGAGAUUUGUUUCCCUUUAAAGACCAAUAUAUAAGAAGUCUAGGGUUACAAAAUUGAACCACAACACAAAGAUUAAGUAUGGUGAGCAAUGUUUAAUCCUUUUCCCGGAGAUUAGAACAUUUAGAUCUCACAAAAAUUACUCUUCAUCCCAUCAAAAUCAACCUUUGUUUAGAGCUUUUUGCCUUGAUUCACCUAGCUCCAAGGAUGAUGAGGCUGGAGAACAACCUCCCUCAUGAGAUGGUGCUCGAAAUUCUCAAGAGAUUACCGGUGAAGCCUCUCAUGAGAUUCAAACGUGUCUCCAAAUUGUGGCUUUGCACAAUUGAAGAUCUUGACUUCAUGGCCUUGCACUUGAAGCACUUGGCUUUGAGUGGCACGAAUUGGUAUAUUCUUCUUACAAAUUGGUACUUUUCUAGUGAUCAAAGGAGCUCUCUAUAUCCACAAAAGUCUCUUACAUCGGCUUCUCAGUCGGAAAUUGAAGUUCCAUUUAUUAGCUCAAUGGGCUAUUAUGGUGUUGUGGGUUCGUGCAAUAGAUUGAUCUAUUUUGUUGAGGCUAAUGCUGAAGAUCACAAUCAAAGGAUAUUUUUGUGGAAUUUAUUCACUAGAAAGCACAAGGCGAUUCUAAGUUCACUUCUGGAUUAUCCGUUUGUUUACAUGUAUGCUGCUCAUAUGGUGGAGAUUGAUCUAGUAACUAUGGUAGAUAGCAUCGUUUUCCCAUAGGAAAAAAAAAUUUUGUUGCUUUAUUAUUGCAGACAAGAAGAUUAGAUAUCUCUAUCUAAUUCAUGCUAAUUAUUCGAGAAGGAUGAGAAGCAAAGUACUUAUAUCAAUUUGUAAUUUUUGCUUCUUCACAGGCCAUAUUCAUAUCUAUUUGAAAUGCAAAUUGAAUAAGGUGCGUCGAGACUAUUGACAACUUUAGAUAAAUAGAACGAAUUCUUUGAUGCGCAAGUUCAUCUAAAAUUAUGCACAUAUGCAAUAUGAAACAUAAAUUCACUAAAUGGGAAAUUUGUUAGAACUUCCAUUUAUUUCACAAAAAAUAACUUUUAGGAAAACGUUUUCCGAAUUUUUCUAUUUUUGUUUCACAGAAAAUGAACUGAUGAAAGAAGACAUUUUCCAUCAAUAGAAAAAAGUCUUCUAAAAUAGAGGAAAAUAUUUUCCAUUUUUCAAGUGAGGAAACACAUUUUCCAUAUCUUCUUUCACCUUACUUCUUUAAAUAAAUCACAUUUUCCUUUUUAAUUUUUACAUAUUUUUAAAAAUCAAGUUUUUAUUUAUUUUUUAUUUUCCUUUUCUAUUUUUUUUCCCAUUUUGUUUCUUUUUCUCAUUCUUCUUCAUCAGUCAGUCACUGGCCAUGGUGAUGGCCACUCGAUCAGCCAAGGGCAAGCUCAAGCCUUGCCUAAUCCUACGAUGCUGGAACUUGCUUGAGGUUUUAGGUGAGCUCGGGCCUCACCAAGGUAGUUCCAAGCUUUGGCAAGUUGGGUGGGGCUCAAACAUCACUCAAGCUCACUAGUGGUCGGCAAGGCUCUAGUAACCUUGGGUGAGGCUUGAGCCUCAUCCAACUCGUUGGCCUCAGGCAAGAUUGGUUUUGCCGAAUUAGGUGAGGCUUGACCUUGCUAGAAUCUAGUGAGCUAAAGCCUCGCCAGCCUGUGGCGAGGCUCGAGCUUGCCUAUAUCGGCCAUGGGUCGGUCACCGAUCACCAUCAUGACUGGCGACCAGCCAAGGAAGAAGAAAAAAAAACAGAAAAAAUAACCAAUAAUCGAUUUAAAAUAAUAAAAUAAUAAAAAAAUUGGAAAAGAGUAUUUGGAGAAGAAUAUUUUUCUUACUAAACAUUAGAAAAUAUUUUCUACUUAAUUUUCAAGUUUCAGCUAAACAUAGGAAAAUAUUGUUGUUUUCUUGGAAAAUGGCUUUUUGAAAAACAUUUUCUUUAAACAUCAUAUUUUCCGUAUAAAGGACAGAGCCUUAAUUAGUUUUGUUAUGGUAAAGGACAUAGGAAAGGUAAGGAACGAUUACAAAAAUAAAAUUUUAAAGUCUCUUAGAAAGCAAAUCAUAAAUAUUUAAUUUUUGUAUUAAAGAAACUAUUAAAUAAACAAAAUCCUAUGGGGCAACUUGAAAAUCUCUCUCUCUCUCUCUCUCUCUCUCUCUCUCUCUCUCUCUCUCUCUCUCUCUCUCUCUCUCUCUCUCUCUCUCUCUAUAUAUAUAUAUAUAUAUAUAUUAUUCUGCACUAAUAUAUUGAGUAUUUGUUUCCUAAAAUCGACCUAUGCUAAUUAAUAUAUAUAUUUUGAAGAAGGCCUAUUCUACAAAUGAACAAUGCUCUGUCUCCUUAUAUUACACGUAAUUACUUCGAUUAUGGUGAUUACACACUGUCCUUUGCAAUCUAGGAAAACAUGUAUCAUUUCCUUUUUAAUUGGCUUUUGCUUCAUAUUAGGAGGCAUAUAAUCCGUUAAAUAAUUGAUUUAAUACCAUUAAAAAUCCCAAAUUGAUACCUCAUGACACAUUUAUUCCAAAUUAAUAUUUGUCUUACAAAAAUUUCCAAACUUGUAGCCUAAAACAUUUACCCUAAUUAAUUUUCAUCUCACUAAAAAUUCCAAAAUGGUGUCCCUAACCAAAUAUAUCAUUUCUUAACGGUUUGAGUCUUACAUGGAGGGUAGAUUUGGGUGAGGGUUGAGAUUUUUCAUGAAAGGAAAAUGAGUUUGGAAUAAAUGUGUUAUGUUAGAUUACUUAGAGAUUUUAUGUAAGACGAGAAUUUAGUUUGAGUUAAAUGUUUCAUUUAAUAUCAAUUUGAUAUUUUUUAUUUUAUUAUCCGGCAAUAGUAAGAACUAUUUUUGACUUAAAAAUGUCAUAUAAAUAAUUUCUCAAUGAUACAAAGACAAUUUAAAGCAUUUUUCAACUUCACAAUUCGGUCCAAGAAUUUCAAUAACAUUAUUGGCUACUAUAAGAUGAAUAGAAAAAGUAUAUACUAAACAAUUGAUAGAAAGGUAAUUUAAAGAUAGCCCUAAAAAUAAGUUAUAAUUUUCUCAUGCUACCAUAAUAUAGAAUCAUUUAUUAAAAUAACUCUCCAAAUCUCAUUACAAUGAUGCUACUAAGACCAAGCUAUAAUGUUCAAAAUCUCAUGACAAAGAUAUUCGAAAUCGGAUUUGUGUGGAUCUCAGUGAUUUGAUUUGACUUCUAUUUCAAUCCACUAACACCUUCAUAAACCCUCCAAGUCCCGCGCCCAAUCCAUUCAUGCCGGGAAGAUGGUGUCGCCAGACGCCGACCAUAAUCUCUCCACCAGAGGCGGAGGAGGUUGAUUCCAUCACCCUCUUGCCUGACGCCAUAAUCCACCCCAUCUUCUCCUUCUUGCCCUUACAGCGUGUUGUCCAGGCAAUGGCGUUUCGCUUCGACCUCCACUCCAUACAUCGAUCCCUCCUUCCCCUCAGAGGGUGUCGUUCCUUCGAUCAGCAGAGCACUGUGACUCUGUACUGCUGCUAAGGUAGAGCAGUUCCAUCUUGCUGCUACUAUUUCUGAUUUGUACAUCCCCAUUGAGCUCGAACGGUGGUUUUGCUUUGCACCCGAGCGCAAAGUGGAAGAGGCUUCCUUGGUCUUUGGACACUGGUAUCACGUAGUACCUCAAUUCUUGUGCAAUUGCGCAUCGCUGGUGAGGUCGCACGUAUUUAGAUGUUGUUUUUCAUGAUAUAUCAUCAUCGACUUGCCUUCACUCAAGAAAAUUGUGCCUUCAUGAUGUUAUGUUGGGAUUAUGAGAAUCCUGAGCGGGUGCCCUGUUCCUGAAUCUUACAUUGCGCCUCUUGUAUGACCCGUGCGACGUCCGGAUUGAUUCAAGAUGUCUAAAAGAGUUGGUGAUUGAUGUGUUUUAUACUUCGCCCCUCCAUAUAUCGGCUCCGAAUAUGCUUUCAACGUGUUUGACCAGUGGGUUUUCCCUCAUAGGCUUUAGACUGAGUGGCGGAUCCUCAUUGGCCGAGGCCAAAUUGCAUUUUGACAAGCCAACUGCUUUUUCCGGCUGCUUCUCUGACCAGUUGAGGAGACUUCUGGAGCAGCCGCAACAUUUCGCAAAAAUCACAAUCGGAAGCUUGGGCCUUGAGGUGCGAGUUGAUUUUGUUUGGUCGCUCUUCCUUUUUGAUACCUUAUGUGUAUAAUAGUUCACCUCAGCUAAAGGUUGCUGUAUGAUAGGGCCUUCUUGUCCCCAUAAGCUGGUGCUGAUCCACUCCUACCUGGUUGAGUGCUCAGUUGCAGUUUUCAUACACACGCCCGUAUGUAAUAGCGCGUGCUUGAUGGCAACUUGAUGAAGUUCAUUUUUUCUACAGACAGGAAUAGAUUGAUAAUCUAGGGAGGCAUUUAGCUGACAAAGAUUCUCAAAAGUCCGUUCUGAUUUCAAUUUGUGAAUUAAAACAGGUCAGAAAAUGCAAUUGGUAACACUCCGAAAGCAGCUGAUGAAUAAAAAGGAAAACUAUUCUAAGAAUCAAAUUCACAAAUUGAAGAUGACUUUUUAGUAUUCUCAUUCCAAAUGCAAACAUGGAGAUUUGGAAUAACUAAGGCUGUUUUUGGAAUGUGACAUAACCCAAGCAUAUUCUUACAAUUUUCAUCCCUAAUGACAUUUAUCAUUUUCACUUAACAAACAUUUUGUCAAAAAAAAAAAAAUUUGAAAACAGUUUCUAUGAAGACGGAAACUACAGGCAUUAAACAGUCGGGUACAAAUCCUCCUCCAAAUUCCACUCCAUCAUCCUCACUUGCCAAUCGGAGAAAAUCGAGCAACAACCUCACAAGACCGAAUCGGAAAACAAUCGAAUCGCCACCGCCCAUUAGGAGGUCGCAGAAAGAAGGUCGAAAGGGAGCCGAACCUGAGAUCUGAUAGUUGGAGGAAGGGGGUAGGGGCGGAUCUUUUUCUUUUUCUUUUUCUUUUUUUUUUUUGAAAAUUGAAAUAUCCUUUUCUUUUUCCCUCUCUUUUACUUAUUUUAAGACCUUGUUUCACAUUGGAAUAUGAAUCUUUUGAUUUUUUUUUUCUUUUGGUAAAGAAUUUUCUUAAUUAAUAGGUUAACUUAUCUUUUGAUUUUUUUCUUUUAGGUUAACUUUAACUGUCACGACCAUAUACGAAACAAAGAAACCCUCAUUUGACUCUACUCCCCUAUUGAUUUCAUUUUAUUUUUCCGUUCAAUUUCUCUAUUCCUUACCUUCCAUUUUAUCGGGUCAAAUAGGUCAUGAGUUCUUUAGAACGCAUGUGAUUGUUUACUGACUAGUUUCGAAAAGUACCGGACUUUGUUAUAAUCUUUGUUGUUCUGGUGGAAGAAAGUUUGUAAUGCUUGAUAUGGCAAAGAUUGGUUGGAUCGAUGGUCAGUAAUCUCUUGAAAGUACACAAUAGUUUGUUCUUUGAAAUUGUUACAGUAUUAUGUAAUCACGGAGUUCCUUUUUUGGCAUUGCUUAUGCUUGAUAUGAACUUUUGUUAAUUGCUUUACAAAUUAUCCAAAAAUAAAAUCCCAAAAAUUCUCAAAAUGAACAAAAGAACAAAAAAAAAAAAAAACUCCAAACGGAACAGCACAACAACGCAAAAAACGAAGAAGAAAGAAGAUGAAAAAAAUGAAUGAGAAAAGAAGCCAAUUGAAAAAAUCGUAAAUUUUCUUGGCAUAGUCGCUUAGUAAGUUUUUAGGCAUUUCCCUAGCGAAAUCCUAUUACUUUUUACAAUUUUUUUUUUUUUUUUGGGUUGCGAACGAUAAUUUUGAUUAGACGGGUUUUGUUGCCGUAAACAAAAAUGAUGCACUCGUGCAGGCUAACGUGCGUCGUGGUUGAUUAGAAAAAAAGAGAGGAAAAUGUAUAAGUUCAGCCUAGAUCAAGUGGUCCGCCUAUUCAUGUUUUGAUCUUCAGACUACACAUAGCCUGCAUGUACGCUUGUGUGCUACCGGCGAGUGGGAUACAUGUAUAUCGCACUCGAUUUCCGAUCGAAAAGAAAAAGCUGAGAUCAAGUUCGGAAAAGUGACCUGCAUUGAAUUGCCAGCCGAAAUCCUUCAUGGAAAGCGAAUGAUUUGAAAAAUAAUUUUAAAAAAUUAAUCACCCAUACAAUUACAAAAAUAAGCAAAUGCAAAAAGAUCGUGCUGGAUAAUGGAGAUCUAUUUCUUUGGUCGAUUAUUUCAAACAAUACGAGUGAUCAUUUUUAAGAAAGUAUUUUCCAACAUUCAUCUUUUUGCAAAACAAGAGAAGCCUCAAUGUAAUCUAUAAAUAAUGUCAUAUAUGAUAUGAUGUGUUCAAAUUUGUCUAAGAAAUGGUAUUGUUUGAUUUGGGUCCAUGUGUUCAAUGGUAAUCUCAUCGCACACCCCAACAAAACAAAGUGGCCUAAUGGGAGAACUCGUGGGACAUCACAUCGAUGUGAAUGCAGUGAUAGAUCUAGUUGUUGAAAUUGUAAUUUGGAAGAAAGCAAUGUAAUAAUUCCCGUUCACUUUUGAAUUAAUAUACAUAUAUAUGCUAAUGAAUUAUUCAAAUCGACAUCUCACAAGAACGACCUGACCCAAACCCGACCCGACCCACCCGUUUAACGGCUCUAAACGUGGCCAAGCCAUUUGCCAUCACCAACACCAACUAACCUCCACGCACUCGGCCAGAUAGAAAUACUCUGACGGAGUCAUUUGCCAUCACCGCCCAAAAUCCAGCCCCUUUCCAUGCGCCUUUCUUUUUUCCCCAAAUUUGUGAUAAUUGCACAUCAAAUUUUAAUGUACACGAUCAUUCUACAGUCAAGCAGCGAGCGUCAUUCAUGUCUCCUUUUAUCCUCAUCAUUCUUUUGGAUGGAUCACUAAGUCUUGUUACCAUUAAAUAUGCAGGCCAUGUUUAAUCUGCCCAUUCCCCAUACCUGCAAUGCAGAGGAAUUUCGCACACUGCAAAACUUCACGUCCUUGGCUCGGCAAGAGCGUGGAGAUCGCUGGGUUCACAGCCCGUUCUUCUUACAGCCACGAAUGUAAGCUCGCCAUGCCAAUGCUGCUUUUACCAAGAGAUGCACCCUUGCUAAAGAAGAUGGUCAUUAACACCAAGACCAGUGGAAGACGUCAAUUAAAAUCUCUCGAGUCUUUGCCACGGCUGGUUCUAGCAUCGCAUAGAUGCAAUCUUUCCAGUAAUGUCUCGCUACAAGCUGCUCAUUAGGGAGGAAGUCGGUGGACAAGAAUGGCUUGGACAGUUUCCUAUGCUUGCACCGAAUUAUCUUUGGGUUAUUGGAGCUUUUAUGGAGCAAGAAACUUAGUAGUCGUGCCACUGGCAUCUUUUCGAUAAAAGAAAAAAAGAAAAAGGACAACCCAGAAACUCAACAUUGAACUAAAUGAGCUACAUCAAUUUUCAUAACAAAUGAUUUCCUACCAAUCAUGUUCAAUUUUUCAUCUAAAAUAUCUCAUCUUAAAGUGAAAAUUACCUGUAGUCAAGACAUUGUGAUCAAAUCAUCAUUGACAAUUCACAAACUUGUACAUAGAUCUGAAAAAACCUCCCAAUUGGGAAACCAUAUUCCAUACUUAUAGAUCUGGUGAUACGCAAUGGGCCCAAGGGAGUCCAUUUGGGAGAGUCCCAACAAGGAAUUAUAUGGACUUGCUCCAUGAAACUAAAGAGACAACUGAUAGGAACUAAAAUGAUACUGAUUAGAACAAUUCUCCAGCACACGUUUCUAGACUAAUCAAAUGUUUGUAGAGAGAAGUUCAUCAUGUUUUCACGUUGAAACAGUACCAAACCCAAACGUGCAGGAAAGUUCAGAAGAGUUCCUAAAAUUCUAAAUCUUCUAGUAGCUGCACACACACACAGAGAACUACCUAUACACAAGCAUACAAACUCACAGAACCCUUUCCCCAACCAACGGUCGUAUAGGUUCUCUCAAUCUCCCUAAAAAGAGCAGAAACUCAAAAGUCUAAAACAAAAGCAGAAAGUCUGUACAGCAGACUAACCCAGAAAAACACCAAACUUUUAGGUGCUUCAACUGCAGUAUAGGUAGAAGGAGCACUCAGGGCAAACAACAAAAGCUUUGGAUAAUUGUGCUAUAUCGUAGUCGGAGGUGUCAUCUCUGAAGUGACCAACAGAAGUGAAAUCUAGAACUUUACAAGAAUAACUUCACCUAGUAUAGUUAUUUAAUUAACCAGCCCAUUACUUUCAGGCAAUACUGAUUUCUGCAAUCAGAUCCAUUUAUUAAAAAGACUGCUCUAUGGAAGCAAGAAAGGAAAGAAGUAGUCGUUGACUGAAUCUAAUAGAAUAUUUAGCUAAAUGUUUGAUCUGAACAGACAGAAGGCUUACAACAUUUCUGAUUGGAAAGACACCAAAUAUACUAAAGCACAAAGCCCCAUCUUUAUCUCCACUGCAAAGCAUAUUCAAACAUUGCUUGGAAGAAUUUGAGAGCUCUACGAAUGAAUCUUGACCAUUGUCAGUUAAACCAGUUUCCAGGUGCUAUGCCAGGCAUGCGAGGAACUCUUGGAGCUGGAGGGAAGAAAUGAGUAGUGCGAUCUUCAAAUGUCAGAGAGUUGCCAGAAGUGUCCUACUAAAAAAUGGAUUAUUAUCUAUCCAAUUGGGGGCGAAAAGAAGAAGAAGAAGAAGAAGAAGAAGAUAAAUAUAACAAGAGAUUAAAGUUAAGGAGUCAAGUCAACAAUCAGUAAAUUAACAACUCACAGCUGACACCAAACAUAAGUUUUCAAAAAACCUUCCAUAAACCCAUAUUAAAGCUGUUGAAUAAUUCUAAGUUUGAGAAAAGAAAUAUCUUAGUAAACCAGACUAAAAUAACUAUUUAACUGCAAACAAAGCAUUAGAUAGAACAUUAUGAACAAUAAAAUGUUGUCUGUUAAGAAUCAAGAUCGAGAAGUCAGAUGAAUUUUUUUAAGUUGAAAGAUGCAUACUCUAUUCACUUGGGCAUCCUCCUCCAAAUUGAGACACACCACAGAACUGCCACAUGGGACUUCAAUCUUCUUAACAGUUUCCAUUCUGCUUAAUAAUUAUACUGAGUUAGAAAUAAAUAUACCACAGUACAAUUAACUGCUGCAAGCAAUAGCAUAAAAAAGCAGCACAAUGCAUAUCCAUGGUUCCAUAAAGACGGCUAGAUUGGUAAGAUAAGAUUCAUAUGUAAAAAUAAGCUCUUCAGAGCAAAACAUAAUCCAUGAAAUGGAUAAUGAUUAGUAAAUUGGUAGGCAUUGCAAAGAAACUUUAUGGCAGCAGCAUCUGCCAAGUUCUGAGUAAUUGUACCCAUGACCAAACAGCUGGCUUAAUGACAUAACUGGUAAUCUAAAAACUUUUCCACCCACAAGCAUAAUUGAGGCACACGCAAAUUCUAUCAUUUAGGAGUCACCCGAACUAUUACCUUCCUAAUAUGACUGAACUGGACAUAUGUCACUUUAAAUAAUAGAAAGAAACUAUUAAUUUGAUGAAAAUGAGCAUGUCAUGGAUGACUGCUUCUAUAUGCUGUCUCAGUCAUCAUUGGAUAGGAAUGAACCAUUCAAUCUAAUUAGUUAAAUGGGUAUAUAUAAGAUGCAAGAUAUCAUCUAAACCAAGGACUUUGUAAGUUUACAGCUAUUCUUUUUAAAAAUUAUAUGACAUUGAUGAAGAUAUGCAUACUGUACAUAUCGGACAAGUUAUUCAUGCUGUCUCGGUCAUGUUUGGAUUGGAAUGAACCAUUUGCUUUAAUUAGUUAAAUGGGUAUAUAUAAGAUACAAGAUAUCAUCUAAACCUAGGACUUUGUAAGCUUACAGCUAUUCUUUUUAAAAAUUAUAUGACAUUAUAUGCAUAUUGCAUGUAUUGUACAAGUGUCGGUCAUGUUUGGAUUGGAAUGAACCAUUCACUUUAAUUAGUUAAAUGGGAAUAUAUAAGAUACAAGAUAUCAUCUAAACCUAGGAUUUUGUAAGCUUACAGCUACUCUUUUUAAAAAUUAUAUGACAUUAUAUGCAUAUUGAUGUACUUUAGCAAGUUAUUCAUGCUGUGUCGGUCAUGUUUGGAUUGAAACGAAAAAUUCACUUUAAUUAGUUCAAAGGGUUAUUCAUCUCAUGUCCUUGUUGAUCUAUUUAACAAAGGGGGCAUGUUCGAAAAGAGUGUUCUAACAAGAUUUGUUAAGUUUUUAUGCUCAGAGAGUCAGAAUGACCUAUCUAGCAGUCCACUGUUAAUUUGACAUCGGGAGACAGGACCCAUAAACACAGAUUGCCAUCUCUAUUAGCAGCUAAAUGUUUGCUGAGCAAGCUUCCAUUUGCAAUGCAUCAUGCGGCUUUUGAGCAAUUCAGAAUCUUUCCGAAGAGAGAUUAGAGAAGAACACAUUGUGAUGAUAAGGGAUUGUUGUAGGAAGAUUCCUAGUUGAGAAGUUGUGAGGGUAAUGUUAAAGUAAUAUGUGAAAGUAAUAACAUAGAAAACUUACUUCAACGUGAAACUGUACCAUCUUCUAGUCCCAAGGCAACAACUUUGCCAUCAGGAAGCCAGCAUAAUGAUGUUAUACAUUUACCUGGAGUACAUUAGAAUAGUUAAGAUAAUCCAGUAUAACGACAUACAAUGGAAUGUGAAACGCAAAGUGAUUUCAUAAACAACAACAACAAGGCCGAUGACUCAAAGGGCACACACACCAAGCCAUCGUCGAAGAAACGAACAUACUAAAUAAACAAAAAAAGGAGAACUUUCUCGAGCUGAAGCGAUACCAAAGAGAGAUUGUCCACAGCCUCUGCCAAUUGAAGCGAUGAAGCACCACCACCUUCGAGUCCUCCGUGACCAUCACCAGCAAAUCCUUCUCCAGAUUCCACUCCGCCAUCUUCACCUGCCAAUCGCAAGAAAUCGAGCAAAAACCUCACAAAAUCGAAUUGGAAACAAAUCGAAUCGGGAGCCGAACCUGAGAAGGCAGCGGCUUGUCCAACUGAAGCUGAAAGGGAAGCACGUGCCGCGACCCUUCGUCGGUCUCCAUAGCUGAAAAAUCUCCGGAAGCAGCCGAAAACGCAGCCACCAGCUGCUGGAGCAAGCAGCGAGGGGGUGUACAGAGAGCUAGUGGAGGGUAGAGCUCGAAAGCCCUAGAAGAAAGCUUGAAGACCGAGACAUUCUGCCUCAAGCCCUUCCCCACGUCCCUCGUUCGACAGCCGAUUACGCCUCCCCGAGGCCGCCGCGCACGAUCACGAGCUCCUCUGUUCCCGACCGGCUCGACGAAUCGCGCCCCGAAUCGAAGCCGCCUUCGACGAAGGGCACGGACCGGAGGCCGGAAACUCGGACCGACGGGGAGGGGAGGAGCUGGAGGUCAACCUGACGAUCGUGCCGACGGCGGCCGGAGCGAGGGUCGGCGGAGACAACGAGGAAGAGAAGAGAAUUUGAUUACGGGCCGAGCCGGGCCGGAUUGGGCCAUAAUUCGGGCUUAACAAAUGGCCCUUCGGGCCCGGGUUCCGGCCCGUCAGACUACUGAUCAUGUCAAGGUGCGGCCCAUUUAUAGAGUUUUUUUACGCGGAGUUUAGGAGUAAGCCACGGAACCAGUGAACUUCAGAACAAUAGAGAGAGAGUUGGGCUUCGUGAGAGAAACCGAGGGUAAAAUGAAGAGCACGACUCCGUUUUUUUCUCAAAAUAUUAAUAAUUUAGAAAAUAUUUUCCUGAACUUAAUCAUCUUUAUUUUUUAAAAUGAGUUGAUAAAAAAAUAUUUUUCAUUAUCAAUUCAUGUAAAAAAAUUUUGUUGAUUAUCAAAAUAUUUUCUGCUCUCUUUUUUUGGGAAAUGUAGAUGAUCAAAAUUAGGAAUAAAUCUUUUCCAAAUAUUGAUUUUUCAAGACACAAAUGAAGCCUUAGAGAAGUGUCUUUGUAUGAGCUAGUUUGCUAAAAGUGUUUUGAUAGUGGUGAGAGAAAUUCAACUAUAAUAGUGAGGUGUAGUCUUGCUACUCAUAAUGUACACUAGUUGUGUGAAACAAUCAUUUUUUUGUGUCUUGUUUGUACCGGUAUAUGUGUGUUUCAAGUUACCUAUUAUAAUUUUCUCAUAUAACUAGCACCUCGCUCUCGCAUCCAUUAACUGGUAUUAGAGACUUUUCUUAAGUUUUUGUCCAUCUGCCAAGUCACGGUGAGUGAUGACGUCAUCAAGAAGAUUUUGAUGGGUGGUCCUGUUCUUAAGCACUUAAAUUUUAUAGAGAAACUUGAAAGAGCUUGAGAUUGACAGAUGUUGGCCAGUCGAAGCUAACGAUUUGCUGUUAAAGAUUCUCGCUCCUCAUUUGAGAAUUAAAACAGACCAGAAAAUGUGUUUAGUAACACUCCAAAAGCACUUGAUGAAUAAAAGGAAAAUUCUCAAAAUCAAAAUCACAAACUUAAGAUGACAUUUUAGUAUUUUCAUUCCACACGCAAACAUGGAGAUUUGGAAUAACUAAGCCUGUUUUUUGAAUGUGAUGUAAGCAGGGCAUAUUCUCACAAUUUUCAUCCCUAAAGACAUAUAUCAUUUUCACUUAACAAAUAGUUUGUCAAAUCAAAAAAAAAAAAAUUGAAAACAGUUUCUAUGAAGACGGAAACUGAGCAGCCUUAAGCAGUUGAGAAAAAAAUCCUCUUCCAGAUUCCACUCUACCAUCCUCACCUGCCAAUCGGAGGAAAUCGAGCAACAACCUCACAAAACCGAACCGGAAAACAAUCCAAUCGCCGCCGCCCAUUAGGAGGUCGCGGAAAGAAGGCCUGAAAGGGAGCCGAACCUGAGAAGCGAAAGCGGUCCGUGGGAACUUGAAGCUGAAACAGAAGCGUGCGCUGUUGGAACAGAGCUGGUACAAAACUGUUACGGUUGGUCUGAUAGUCGAAGGAAGGGGGCAGGGGCGGAUCUUUUUCUUUUUCUUUUGUCGUUCAAAAUUGACAAUUGAAAAAUCCUUUGCUUUUUCCCUCUCUUUUAGUUAUUUUAAGGACGUUUUUCACGUUGGAAUAUGAAUCUUUUGUUUUUUUUUUUUUCCGCAAAGAAUCUUAAUUGAUAGUUUAAUUUUCAGAGUCACAACCAUAUGCCAAACAAAGAAACUCUUGUUCGACUCUACUCCCCUAUCGAUUUCAUUUUAUUUUUCCAUUCAAUUUUUCUAUUUCGUACCUUCCAUUUUAUCGCGUCAAAUAGGUUGUGAAUUCUUUAAAAUGCAUAUGAUCAUUCACCGACUAGUUUCGAAAAGUAUAGAAUUUUGUUAUAAUGUUCAUUGUUCCGGUGGAAAAAAGUUUGUAAUAUUUGAUACGGCAAAGAUUGGUGGUAUCGAUGGUGGAUAAUCUUUUAAGAGUAUCCAAUGAUUUCUUUUUUGAGAUUCGUUACGAAAACCAUGAAAUUGAGGAAUUCCUUUUUACCUCGUCUCCUUUGCUGAGCAAAUGAAGACUGAUGAGACUGAACCAUAUGCUACGAACACGCCAUCGUCUAUCUUUUGUUCGUUCAGUUUUUGCGUUGCUUAUACGUGAUAUCAACUUUUGUUAAUUGCUCUACCGAUUAUCCAGAAAUAAAAUUGCAAAAAUUCUUAAAAUGAACAAAAGAAAAAAAGAACUCCGAACAGAAUAGCUCAGCAACAUAAAAAAGGGAAAAAAAAAAGAAAAAAGAAAAGGAAGACGAAAAAUUGAAAGAAAUGAGCAGUGCAUUGAAAAAAAAUCGUAAAUUUUCUUCAUAUGGUAUUGGUUUUUCUAACCAUCAUUGGCCUAAUCUGUGCCCUCGCCGGUGUCUUGGCAGCGCAAGACUCUCGCCAAGACUUCAUCGACGAGCAAGCCGCCACUCGUGCUGAAGUAGGGGUCGGCCCGAUGACCUGGAGCCGUACAGCCGCAGCUUACGCUCAGAAGUACGCGGACGAGCCUAGAGGUGACUGCGACCUCAAGCACUCCGGACGGCCCUACGGCAAGAACCUAGUCAAGGGCUAUGGUGUCCUGAGCAGCAGAGACUCGGUGAAGAUGUGGGCGGGAGAGAAGGACAACUACGAUUACUGCUCGAACUCGUGCGUGGGAGGCGAGUGCCUGCACAACACUCAAGUCGUGUGGCGCAACUCAGUUCGUCUAGGAUGCGCUAGAGUGAAGUGCGAUAACGGGCGGUGGUCUACAAUCCUCCCGGCAAUUACAGAUGGCGAGCGGCUGCAUUGAACGAUCUAUAUAAGUUCUUAAUAAACUCUUAUGAUUCAGACGAUUCUACAAAACCACACCACUUCUUAUUUGAGACAUCUAUAUCGGAAGCCUGCUGUCACUAGACAACACUCCCCACCAAGAAGUUCCUACUUUUGCAUCUCUCUCGUUAUCAUGUAGAAAGUCACACGACUAAACGCAAAUCAUCAUAACUCAACAAUCUCGAUAUGCUUUCUCGGUUUCUUUUUCGACUGUUUGUUUCUGAUCCCUCCUUCGAAUCCUCUUCGCCAGAUCGGACAUUGCGUGCUUUGUGGGAACUCCUGCUUGGCAAACACCGUGCUCAUCAUCAUCAUCGUCGCCGACAGUAUCUUUGAGUCUGUUUCGCCAGUGCUAGAAGCUAAUGGAUUUGGAGGUCAACAACUUGCCACUGCAGAUUCUGCAGCUGCUACUGCUUCAGGGGUAAGAAGAUCGGCGAUCCCCAGCAUCAAGUCCUGUUUCGUUAAUUGCUCUACAAAUUAUCCAGAAAUAAAUUCGCGAAAGUUUCAAAACGAACCCAAAAAAAAAAAAAAAAAAUCCAAGCAGAACACCGCAGCAACACAAAAAAAGAAAAAAGAAAGAUGAUGACAUAAAUGAAAGUGAAAGUAAAUUUUCUUUGCGUAGUCGCUUAAUAAGUGUUUGGGCAUUUCUUUUACGAAAUCCUGCAGCUUUCUACAUUUUUAUUUUUUUGGUUCUGUUGUAGACAAAAACGAUACACUUUUUGGAUACUAGCAUAUGUUGUCACUGAUUACGAAGAAAAGAAAGAAAAUCUAUAAGAUAAGCAUGGAUCGAGUGUUCCGUCUAUUCAUGUUUCGGUCUUCAAAUUGCAUAUGGCCUAUAUGUACGCUUGCGUGUUGAGAUCAUACGAUGUUCAUGACGGAUCAAAUCGCUACACUUUUAUCUACCAAUGGGGGUGAUACAUGUCCAUCACUCUCGAUUUCCAAUCAAAAAGAUAAAGGCGAGAUCAAUUCCGGAAUAUUGAUUUGUCUUGAAUAGCUAGCCAAAAUCCUUCACGGAAAGCGAAUGAUAUGAAAAAUAUUUUUUUGAAAAAAUAAUCGCUCAUCUAGUUACAAAAAUGAACGAAUGCAAAAAAUUAAAGUCGUGCACGAAAAUGUUUAGAUAUAAAUUAUCGUCAAUAAUUGAUCAAUUAUUUCAAGUAAUAUGAGUGAUCAUUUUUAUAAAUAUAUUUUUCAAAUCAUUCAUUUUUUAUAGAACAAAAGGAGUCUUAAUUCACGUCAAUUUACAAAUAAUAUCAUAUAUGGCAUGAUGUGUUCAUGUUUGUCUAAGAAUCGAUAUCCUUUAAUUUAGGUCCAUAUGAUCAAUGGUAAUCUCGCACACUUCCCAACAAAAUGAAGUGGCCUGACUAGAAGGUGACUUGGCUCUGUUCCAACAGAGCUGGUACGGAAGCGUCAGAGGACUCAUGGGAUAUCACAUUGAUGCGAAUGUGGCGGUGGAUUAGUUGUGGAAUUUGUAAUUUGGAAAAAGCAGUGUGAUCAUCCUCACUUCAGAUAACCAAAAACAAAGAGGCAAAAUACUGGUUAGUAGACGUUUCCUCCGCAAGGAGGAGGCAGAAUCCGUGCGGCAUCUCCUCCUCCACCGUUUAUGGACAAGAAUGGUUUGGACAAUUUCCGAUGCUUGCACCGAAUGAUCUUUGGGUUAUUGGAGAUUUCAUAGAGCAAGAACUAUGGGCUUGGCAGCGCACUCGUUUACAAUGCCGCAAGAAAAGAAGGAUUUAACUCAAUUCCCCAUGCGGGAUAAUACCCGUCAUGGGGCAUUCAUUUUGUAAUUCAGAACCCAAAUCUUCUCAAGGCCUAUCAAACUAUGUUUCACAAGUUUCAUGCCCAUCAUUUUUUUGCUCGUACAUAUAACACUCAACACAAUUCUAUCUUAUUCGAUAUCUGGUGACCAUCACCUUAUGAAAGAUAUCCAUACCUCCAUUUACAGUACUCUGAAAGCUCAAACUUAGAUCAAGUCUAAAUUCAAACCAUUGAUUAUGACCUAUAAUUUCUAUUAUACGCUUAUAGUAGAGAUUGCCAACUUCUGAAAUCAGAAUCAAAUCAGAUUUUACCUCACCAUUUCCAGCCAUAUAAUGCUAGUAAUCCAUAUCAUUGCAUAUGAUAGGUUUGUAUAGGUUUGUAUAAGAAUCCAACAUCAGGAUGUUCUGAAAGAUUUGGCGUGUCUCAAAAUGUGUGAAGCAUAACUUAUUAUGACAAAUCCUAAAUCUAUCUGAUCACCCUCCAAGACUGUUCUAUGCGAUCCUUAAAACUCAAUAAUUUCUCAGAGAGAGGCCAAAUGCCAAGGUAAUACGUGUGCCUGCAGAUGAUUGAGGACAACCAGCUCAAGUUCUUUUUCAACACCACAGGCAACUUUUGAUACACGCUUGAUACCUUACCAUUGAACAAACUAGCAGACAGAUUAUAAAAACCAACCAAAAAGAACAGAAGUCAUACAGUGACACUGGAACUUAAAAAAAAAAAAACCAGCCGUACCACUUCACCCAGAGAAUUAACAAGGAACUGAUGGACAGCAGGACUGGUCCUAGCACCACCUAGAAGACUAAAAAAUUCCUCCUGAGGAGAAGAGUCAAGACCUAGAUAAGCAAACAGAAACAGUCAAAUGUAGCACAAUGGAAAGCCAUCUACUGCUCUGUUUUAAGAGGACCACUAACCAUGGUAAUUAAUAAGGCUUAACAAAUCAAACUUCUCAUGAAAUAGGUUCAUGACAUCAGCCCACAGCUUGUGCAUGACUCAUAAUGAUGUCCAAAUGACAUGAAGUAAAUCUUCGAAGUUGGAAGCCUGUUGAGCAACUUGAUGAAGUUCGUUUUUACUGCAGACAGGAAGAGAUUGAGAAUCUAAGUAGGCAUUUGGUGGAUAAGGAUUCUCAAAUAUCUGUUCUCAUUUUAUUUGAGAAUGUAAACAGUCCAAAAAAUGUGUUUGGUAACACUUCGAAAACAGUUGAUGAAAGGAAAAAUAUCAUCAAACAUGGAGAUUUGGAAUAACUAUGCCUGUUUUCUUAUUGUGAGGGAACAUGAGCAAAUUCACACAACUCUCAUCCCUUAACAUACAUCAUUUUCACUCAACAAAUUUUCUGUGAUAAAACAUUGAAAAUGGCUUUUAAGUGGAAACAAAAAAUGUCAUAGAAAACUUGGCAGGCCUUUAAUUGUAGAGAACAAAAAUGAAGUGUGAAUCAUGAGACAAUGUUCAAAAUUUUGCUAUAGUAACUCCUGCAUUUUUGUCCCACCACUUUCAACAUCUAAAUUUCAUCGAUUUCUAGAGGCUUCCUCUGAAAGAUGGUAUGAUACUUAAAGGUCAGGUGAAAACCUUAAGCAUGAACAAAAUUACUGAGGCUUCAAAGUAUGAGCCAUCGUGUUGUUCAGCUUAUGGUGACCCUUGAAAGUCAACUUGGGCAUUUAAAAUUAUCAGAAAGAAAGUUCUUCUAUCUAGCAAAGUUUAGAGUUAAUUCCAAGAAAAAUUCCUCAAAAUUGCUAUGUUAACCAUCGGUUUCAUUUUAAGGAUGAUGAUCAUAUCCUGAGUUAUAUGAGUUUUACUUUCUGUAAAACCAAACAAAGUUGAUACCUUUGAAACAAAUAUCAGUGCACAUAAACAAUCCUAAUAUAAUCAUAAUAUCAAAUACAAUCGGUCAAUCACUACUACAUUAAUUAUAAAUACAUACAUACAUACAUACAUAGUGCAAUUUUACCUCUAUUGGAAUAUUGAAGUAUCAAGAAAUAAGCAAUGGAAGCCAUGCAUUCUGUUUCCAACCGUUUGACCCCCCUCUAGAUUCAACAAUGUCUUCAACAAGUUCUCCUGAGCAUGCAACCAUCAAAUGACAAAGAUCCUUGGAUAAAGCCACCUAAUGAUAACAAUUGCAUGCCAGUUAGCUUCCUCUGGCAAAACAUCUAACAUGAUAUCUGGAAGAAUCCAAUCAUAGGAAUAAAAUUACAGCACGUCCAUUUGAAGUUUAGCAAAAGCUUCAGCAUCUUACAUCUAUCAAAAUAUUAUCCAAGUUGUUUGGCAUUUUAACCAAGCCAUCGUUGAAGAAACGAACACACUGAAUAAAAAAAAGAGGAGAACUUUCUGGAGUCGAAGCAAUUACCAGGAGAGAUUGUCCACAACCUCUGCCAAUUGAAGCGAUGAAGCACCCACCUUCAAGUCCUCAGUGACCAUCGCCAGCAAAUCCUUCUCCGGAUUCCACUCCGCCAUCUUCACCUGCCAAUCGGAAGAAAUCGAGCCAAAACUUCACAAAACCGAAUGGGAAAACAAUUGAAUCGACCCGCCCAUUAUUAGGUCGCGAAAGAAGGCGGGCCGGAGCCAAACCUGAGAAGCCAGAGAUUUGUCGAACUGUAGCUGAAAGGGAAGCACGUGCCGCGACCCUUCGUCGGUCUCCAUAGCUGAAAAAGAUCCGGGAGUAGCCAAAGCGUCCGGUGGAAAAUGCGAACUGAGAGGGAGAGCCAAUGGCGGAGGAUAGAGCUCGAAAACCCUAGAAGAAGGCCUGAUGGAAGAGAAGAACGAGAGAGUAACGAAGUGCACUGGAGCCUGAGAAUUUUGCAGAGAAGAUCGCGGGAGAGGAAGAACAGGCGGGAGAGAGACAAUGAGGAAGGAGAGAGAGAGAAUACGGGCCGAGCCGGGCCGGAUUGGGCCAUAAGUCGGGGCUUAACUUCUUCUCCGGGCUCGUUCAUCAUACAAAAAAUAACGUAAGAAGAGAUGACCCAACGGGCCGCUACGGCCUCAAGCGGUCCAGACCACUUUCGAUAACUCGAGAGUUGAGAUUAAACCAAACGGGGUUUGGUUCAGGCAUUUCAUCGAACGUUUGAAGCGCGCUGGCUGAAAGUGGGGAAAAACCGAGUACCAACUCGCGCCGGGACUCGCAAUAAUAAUCAACAAGCAGUAGUGCUCCAAAACAGCGGCGCGCAGACGAAUGGGGCCGGUGCUCGCGCGAAGCCGACAGCGAGGAAGCCUGGUCCGGCGAGCCAGAAACGGGGCAAGGCAGGGGCACAGACAGGGGUGUCGUCCGAGAGUCCCUACCCGGCUCCGCGACGGCGAAUGGAGGGCGAGUUCGAUAGAUCGGACCACGUCCCGUCGCCUCACACGCCUCCGAGUCGGGAUCCUCGGAAAAACGGCUCGUCCCGCGAAAAAUUGGAAAAAAAAAAAAAAAAAGAAACCUGACCUACUGGAGACUUGGGCGCGGGGAACGGGAGUCGCGGCCUCGAGAGCGUGGCCAGGAGUCGUUGGACGGGGUUCGGGCGUGACCGGACUGCCGGAGGGCUCCUCGCUCUCAAACUCUCUCUCUCUUGGUUGCUCUCACGGUCUUCCACCCUUUCUCUAUUCCCUCUCUCACUCUAUUUCUCUCCAAAAAUCCUCCCUUUUAUGCUCUCUAGCCGGCGCGCAUGGCUUCCUGCCACACAAGCUGUCCCUGUCGGUCUGCCUCCGACCACCAACUUCGGUGAGACGCUCGCCGUGUCCUCGCGUCUCUGUCCUCGCGGUGCGGACCCCCUCCCACUUUGUUUUUUUUUUUUUUUCACAUUUUUCCCCUUUUUUAAUGAUUUAUAUUUUUUAUUUAUAAUACUUUUAAUAAAUUCUAGCACCUUACAACUUUAUUGUAUAUAAAGCAUGGCUCUAACGCCAAUUGCCGACUUAUGAAUGCUUCCGUCAGGAAGGUACAUUAUGACCAUUGUCGCCUCUCAAGAGCCUCAUGUUCCUUCAACUAAUGGGUUAAUGAUAAUUGGCCUUUUUUGCUCUGAUAUGACUAAUUUUAUUUUCCAUCCUAAUUAGUCUUCCAAUAUGUUUCAACUUCAUGAUACGGUAAAUUGUCUUUUCUUUAGUUUUUUCCAUGCAUUAGCAAACGAAAAAUACAAGUAAACCUUAAGAGACACUUUCUGAAGACUAGUGAUCACCUUAAACUUAAAGUUAUACAAAAAUAUCUAGAUUAAAUUUAGCAGAAAAUUACUACACCCACGUUAAUGCUUUUGGCCUAUUUCAGCGUUUAGUUUAUCGUGCCUUAGUAAUUUUAAAUUGCAUGCUCUCAUGGACUUCACGCAUUGGUGUGACACUUUUAUGGCAAUGGAAAGUGGAAGGAAAUGCUUUUAAAGGCGAUGAUUCAAUGGAUGUUAGGACUAGUUAUUGGUGCAGCCUUGUGGGUGGAAGGUUGAGGGCUUUUAUUAAUCAACUAUAUUUUAUAUUUUAUUUUAAUGAUUUAAUUAGAAACAAGAGAGUACAUGUAUUUAUUAAGAAUGUUUUCAAAAGUAACUGUGUAUGCCCUUGCAGGACUCACAUAAAUGGCAGUGUUCCACUACUCACGUGUCACAUUGAUCUUAGACAAUAAGGGCGCGUUUAGUAACCAUUCUGUUAUGGGAAACAACAUGUUCUUCAUAUCUAGAAGGCAAUAUGAUGCAUGAAGCAUUCAGAUGUUACCUCCUAUCUAAAUUUUUCAAGUGAGAAUAGAUUAAAAAAACCACCAAGGCUAGGCAUCUAAUCCUAAGCUCUUAUGAAUUCGAAUUACUAAAAGAUAAAGUCAUAUAAGAUCUUAACAUACUUGGAUGCAGCUCCCCCUACCCUCCUAGUCUCUUUGCUUUCUCCAACUCCUCCCUCCAUGUAUACAUGUAUGCAGCAUAGCUUGAGAUAUAUCCUAUUCACAAGUAAGUUAAAUUCCCAACAACAAACUUGAUUAAUUAAAUUGAUGUAACAAAAUGUCCCUCGUAAUCAGAAGAAGAUAAAUUAACUUCAAGUAAUGCAAAAUGUGCAAAACUUUCUAUACUAGACUCUAAAUUUUAGCAUUAGAAAAUGUGAAAAACUUUCCAGCCUAAACUAAAUCUCUCCUUGUAGGGAACACUCAGCGAAGAAUAGGAAGAAACAGAGCCAGAAGUGAUAUUACAUCGUGAGAGUCAUCAACAAAAAUUGAAAGAAAACUAUAAAGCUGCGUGACGACAUUGAGAUGGUAUUUUGCAGGGGUUAAACCUACCAACUCCAAGUGGGCAUCAAGCAUUUCUACAUCUGACAUAACUAGUCUAUCUAGCAUAAACAACAUCCCCUCCAAUUUGAGUUCUUUAUCUUCACGAACACUUUGAUUGGUGCAGCGUGAAAAGGGCAACAAGAUAACAGUACAAGAGUCUGGUACACUCCCGGUUGGUCUAAAUGAUUGUCACUUAUGCUAUGGAAAUCUCCUAAGGCACCACUAUUAUCUAGAAGUUUAUAGGAAUCUAUCACGUCUGUAAAUAAAAAUCACUUUAUUCAACUAGUAUCAGCUUGGGAUUCUUUAUUUGCAACUACGUCAUAUCCACAUUUUCCCUCCCAUUACCAUCAUCCACUCUUCAUUUUCAUGUAAAACACCAACUCCUUUGUUCGACAUCACAUCCUCAUUUAGACUUUCAAGCACUACACCUCUUUAUUGACCAAAUCUCCAUCAAACGCAAUUUGAACUGGAUUGGCAAUUGAAGUGACUUUUUUGGGGAAAUGGAAUAUGGCACAUUUAAGGAAAAGCAAAGGGGGAAUAAGGCCAACGACUCAAAGGCACACACCAAGCCAUCGUUGAAGAAAAGAACAUGCUGAAUAAAAAAUAAAAAAUAAAAAAUAAAACGAGGAGAACUUUCUUGAGUCGAAGCAAUUACCAAGAGAGAUUGUCCACAGCCUUUGCCAAUUGAAGCGAUGAAGCACCACCUUCGAGUCCUCCGUGACCAUCGCUAGCAAAUCCUUCUUCGGAUUCCAUUGCGCCAUCUUCACCUGCCAAUCGGAAGAAAUCGAGCCUAAACCUCACACAAAACCGAAUGGGAAAACAAUCGAAUCGACCCGCCCAUUAUUAGGUCGCAAAAGAAGGCCGAAACGGGAGCCGAACCUGAGAAGCCAACGGCUUGUCGAACUGAAGUUGAAAGGGAAGCACGUGCCGCGACCCUUGGUCGGUCUCCAUAGCUGAAGAAGAUCCGGGAGUAGCCAAAGCGUCCGGUGGCAAAUGCGAAUUGAGAGGGAGAGCCAAUGGCGGAGGGUAGAGCCCGAAAACCCUAGAAGAAAGCCUGUUGGAAGAGGAGCAAGAGAGUAACCAAGUGCACUGGAGCCUGAGAAUUUUGCAGAGAAGAUUGCGGGAGAGGAAGAACAGGCGGGAGAGAGACAACGAGGAAGAGGAGAGAGAGAGAGAGAGAGAGAGAGAGGAUACAAUCCGAGCCGGGCCAGAUUGGGCCAUAAGUCGGGCUAAACUUCUUCUCCGGGCUCAUUCAUCACACAAAAAAUAACGUAAGAGAAGACCCAACGGGCCGCUACGGCCUCGAACGGUCCAGACCACUUUCGAUAACUUCGAGUAGAGAUUAAACCGAACGGGGUUUGGUUCGGGCAUUUCAUCGAACGUUUAAAGCGCGCUGGCUAAAAGGGGGGAAAAACCGAGUACCAACUCGCGCCGGGACUCGCAAUAAUAAUCAACAAGUAGUAGUGAUCCAAAACAGCAGCACACAGACGAAUGGGGCCGGUGCUCGCGCGAAUCGGACGACGAGGAAGCUUGGUCUGGCGAGCCCGAAACGGGGCAAGGCAGGGGCACAAACAGGGGUGUCGGCCGAGAGUCCCUACCCGGCUCGAGAGCAUGGCCAGGAGCCGUCAGAUGGGGUUCGGGCGUGACCGGACUGCCGGAGGGCUCCUCGCUCUCAAAAACUCUCUCUCUCUCUCUCUCUCUCUCGGUCGCUCUCACGGUCUCUCAACCCUUUCUUUAUUCCCUCUCUCACUCUAUUUCUCUCCAAAAAUCCUCCCUUUUAAGCUCUCUACCCGGCGCGCAUGGCUUCCUACCACACAAGCUAUCGCUGCCAGUCUGCCUCCGACCACCAACUCUGGUGAGACGCUCGACGUGUUCUUGCGUCUCUGUCCUCGCGGUGCGGACCCCCUCCACUUUUUUUUUUUUUUUCACAUUUUCCCCUUUUUUAAUGAUUUAUAUUUUUUAUAUAUAAUACUUUUAAUAAAUUCUAGCACCUUACAAUUUUAUCGUAUAUAAAGCAUGGCUAUAAUGUCAAUUGCCGACUUAUGAAUGCUUCCAUCAAGAAGGUACACUAUGACCAUUGUCGCCUCUCAAGAGCCUCCAUGUUCCUUCGACUAAUGGGUUAAUGAUAGUUGGCCUUUUUUGCUUUGAUAUGACUAAUUUUACUUUCCUUCCUAAUUAGACUUCCAAUAUGUUUCAACUUCAUGAUAUGGAAAAUUGUCUUUUCUUUAGUUUUUUUCCAUGCAUUAGGAAACGAAAAAUACAAAUAAACCUUAAGAGACACUUUUUGAAUGAUGGUGAUCAUGUUAAACUUAAAGUUAUACAAAAGAAUCUAGACUAAAUUUAACAAAAAUUAUUGGACCCACAUUGAUGCUUUUGGCCUAUUUCAGCAUUUAGUUUAUCAUGCCUUAGUUAUUUUAGAUUGCAUACUCUCAUGGACUUCACGCAUUGGUGUGACACUUUUAUGGGAUUGGAAAGCGGAAGGAAAUGCUUUUAAAGGGGUGAUUCAAUGGAUAUUAGGGCUAGUUAUUAGUGCAGUCUUGUGGGUAGAAGGUUGAGGGCUUUAAUUGAUCAACCAUAUUUUAUAUUCUAUUUUAAUUAUUUAAUUAGAAACAAGAGGGUAAAUGUUAGGGGUGAUCGGGUCUAGGGUGGGUAGGGUCUAGACCUGGACCCUAUACUCGAUCCUGUUAUAACCGGUUCCCUUUUCUGGAUCUUAUAUCCGACUCUGUUUGUAUUAAAUCCUGUACCCAACCCAUCCUAUUUUUUGAAUUCGAUUAUAAGGUCAACCCUGUUUCCACUAGAACAUGUUUUGCAAUCUUCCGAUAUCUUAUACAACUUUAAAUUUUAUAUUAAUAAGCAAGAAAAUAACAUAAUCCUAAAUUGAAACAUUAAGCACUGGUAAUAAAUUAAUACAUGAACCUUUUGACUAAACAAUAAAUUAAUGAUCCAUAGGGCUAAUUAUAAUAAAUAAAAUAAUAAGACAAAGAAUUAGCAACAAACAUGGGUCUAAUAUUAGUCUUAUUCCCACAACUACUACAUGAAGCUACUCAUAUAUGUAAGCAUAACUCCUCUUACAAAAGAGAAAUUAGGUGAGCCAAUCCAUGUAAUACAUAAGAAUUUGGGGGUGACGAACACUGUCCAUCCAUCAGACGGUGUGAGAGAGAGCCAGUGAGGGAGGGAAGCAAGUGAGGAAAAGGAAUGACAAAGGAGGAGUGCCGUGCAUGUUUGAGAGAGCCAAGAGGAAAAAUAUUGUGUGAUUACGGGAGUAAAAAUAGAAAUCGGGAGAAAAAAAGAAGGUUUUGGACCUCUACUUACAAAACUGAUCUAAGAACCGGUUCCAAAACCGGUCCAGGAACCAAUUUUCGGAUGGAUAAUCACUCGGAACCUGUUCCCGAACUAAUUUAAACCAAUUCCGAAUUUUGGGAACCGGUUCCCAGAUCGGUUUCAAUGGGAACCAGUUCCCGACCCUUUUUCCAGGUGGGCCGGUUCGAGAACCGGGUAUACUCGGUCCGGUUGCACACCCCUAGUAAAUGUAUUUACUAAGAAUGUUUUCAAAGGUAACUAUGUAUGCUUUUGCUGGACUCACAUAAAUGGCAAUGUUCCUCUACUCAUGUGUCACAUUGAUCUUAUACAAUAAUGUGAUGAAAAUUGUCUAUCCUACAAAAUUGAGUUGUGGAUAGAUGUUUAUUUUAUUUGUAUAUGUUUGUCAUUUUCUAAAAUUUGUUGCAUGUUAUCAAUGAGUCCUUAAUUAUCCAUAGUUUCUUACUCAAAAUGCCUCAGUCGGCCUUGUCAAAUUUGGUGAGGGAGGCCUCGCCUUAGCAAGGCACGGCUACGCUCGCCCUCGCCCAAGCGUGGCUUGACAAGACCGACCCUCGCCGCCCAUGGCUGUGGCUGAGGACUAGCAAUGGCCACCAGAGAAAACAAAGGGAAAGGAAAAAAAGAAAAAAGAAAUCAAUCAAUUCAAAAAAAUUAUUAAAAUAUUAUUAAAAAUAUCCAUCUCAGUGCCAAUUGCCCGAUCGACAUCCAUGUCAGCAAUUUCUAGCUUAAAUUGGCUUGAUAAAUUGAAUUGGUACUAAUGUGAAAAAGGUUUAAGGCUAAAUUGGUCCAAUAGAAAGAUUUAGAACUGAAUUGAUAUUAAUGCAAUAUAUUUAUGACUUUUUUGAUACUUUUUCUCUCAAUAAGUGGUAUCAAAGCUAAACAGUCAAGGAUCGACUAGACUUCGCUCAAGUCCUUGUCCAUCUGCCAGGUCAAGGUGAGCAAUGAUGUGAUCGAGAAGAUUUUGAUAGGUGGCUAUAUUCCUAAGCACUUACACUUAAUCGAGAAACUUGAAGAAACUUGAAGCUAACUUUACCUAAGCAUUUUCGGAAGCCAGAGGAUAUCUUUCAAAAAGAGGGUUGUUAUUGCCAACAUCAAACCUUUCAAAUUGAGCAGAUUGAGCAAACUUCACAAAACUGAGUGGGAACCGAGUCGAUCGCCCGUUAACUCAUGAAAGAAUGACGACCAAGAGCUGAACUUGAUAAGCCAUUGGUUUGUUGAACUGAAGUUGAAACGGAAGCAUGCGUUGCAGUCCUUCAUAAACCUCCAUAGCUAAAAAGCUCUGCGAUCAGUUGAAAAACGUAGCGCCAGGCCUAGAACAAUUUGCAAGGAGUGUAAAGAAGUGUCGAUGGAAAAUGUGAACUGAAAGAGAGCUUGUGAAGGUCAGAGCUCGUAAAACCAAAAGUAAGGCUUGAGGCUAAUUAGGAAAGAAUAGAGCUGAAGAGUGAGUCGAGGAAUGGAAGAUCAAGAGAGUAAGAAAGUCCACUAGAGUCCAAAAAUCAUGCAGAGAAAAUUGCAGAAGAGGAGCAGCCGAGAGAGAAAAAUGAGAGACACGGACAUGAUUACUAGAGCGAAAGCGGACUCAUUUGAUUGACGGGCGAGCUGAGCCGGUUCGGCUCAUGCCAUAUGUCAUAUGGAACUUGUUGUCCAGGCUCAUUUAUCAUGAAGAAAAGUAUGCAUUUUCGAAACGGGCUGGGUUACCAAAGAGUUGGGUUAACUUGUAACCAUAGUGGCCACCUUUCUUAUGCAUCCGUUAUCAAAUUGAUCAAAAUCAUAAUGAAUUGGAAACUAUAUAAGCAAAUUUCAUUAAAUUUAAAUUAAUGGAGAGAUGAUAUUGAACAUUUUUAUAUAUCUUAUGAUUUAGAUUAAACAUUAAAAAAUCAAAAGUUUAUUAAUGAUAUUGCACCUUUGACUAAAAUUUAUGGACCAUUUAUGUCUUUUUUUCUUUUGUUGGAGCCAAUUAUGUGUUACAAAGCUAAAGCAAUAUCAAUUGAGCUUUAAUAUCCCACUAGAAGCACGGUCUCAAAUGCGUAUCAAUUGGGCUCUAGUGACCUUGUUCUUCACACCAAAAACAUUUUAUACUCCGAUAGUAUAUUAGGUAACAAUUCACUAAGAACUAAUCCAAUCCACAAUCAAUUUCUUCCCCAAAAUUAAGCUAGCCAAAAUGGACUCAACCCCAGCAACAACUAGCUGUGUAUUCCAGGACUAGGACCUCAAAAUAAGUAAAUAUAAUACUGAAAUGUUAAAAAAACAAGGCAACAAUAAUACCAAAAUUUUUAUGUGGAAAAUCCAAUGCGAGAAAAAACCACGAGCUACUCAAAAACUUAGUAACAUUGACAAUACAACAAUAUUUGAUCAUUAUUAAGGUGGAUUAAUACAAAUAGAACAUGAAACCUUAACCACAAUUGGAGAAAAUGAGAGACAACUUGGAGAAAGCUUUCAACGAACAAAAUUGAUCAACUCAUAGAUCUCCGAACAACAUUCUGAAAAUUGAGCCAAUUCCAAGGAUGUUAGGCCUCUGAAUAUGGACCAAAAAGUCGUUGCCCCUUUUUAUCUUCUUCUCGUGCGUUCUUCUCGAGGAGCUGUCUCUCUCUCCCUUCUCUUCACUCCACAAACAGCCCCUCUCUCUCUCUCUCUCUCUCUCUCUCUCUCUCUCUCUCUUUUUUGCUUUUUGACUUUUUGAAUUUUUUCUUUUUCUUUGAUGUUAUGUUCGCUGAACCCCACAAAGAGACGGCCCAGCCAACAAUCCUAAUGGCAAAAUCAAUAGGAACAACAUCAAAGAAAAAGAAAAAAGUCAAAAAGUCAGAAAGCCAAAAAAAAAAAAAAAACAAAAAAAGUCCCAGCGCAAGUUGUGGCCAUCUCUUUGUGGAACUCGGAUUUAUCAAUAAUAUGAGAUUGAAGAUAGAAAAAUGAUACAAAUUGUAUUAGCAUAUCUAGAUAAUUUUGGAAUGGUUUUGAAUGGCUUGCAUCCAAUGAUAUUUAAAUAUUCCAAAAACUCCAACCUAUCGAGGCCUUGAAUUUCGAUCAAUUUUUCACAUUCAUUAGCAUUCAAUAUCUUCAGACUCUUGGAAUUUGGAAGGAGGAGCCUUUCAAUUGAAGUGCGCCUAGAGAUAUCCGGUCUUUCCAAGAACUCCAACCUAUUGAGGCCUUGAAUUUUGGCUACUUUCUUGCACUAAUUAACAAAUGAUAUCAUUAGACUCCGGAUUUUGGAAGCUAUAGCCUUUACAUUGAAGUGCACUCUUUGAUAUUUGGCCAUUACAAAUACUCUAACCUAUCAAGGCCUUGAAUUUCGGCUAAUUUCUUGCACGAAUUAGCAUUUAAUAUAAGGACAGAAUAGCUUUGUUUACUCAUUUUUCUUUAGAUGGUAUCUCUCUAUUCUGGUUCUUUCAACAUCUUUCUUCAAAAGGUCCUAUGAUUUUUCACAUGUAAGGAACACAAGGUGUAUCAUUCAAAGAGUGUGCUCAGAUAAUGCACUUGCUCUGCAUCGGCAUUACAACCACGUUGAUCGAGUGCUAUGUAUUGAGUCUUGCCUAUUUGCUGAUGUCCAUAGGCAAUACAGUUGCUUUUUGGAACGUAUACACUAUUAAAUUAUGAUGCUAAGUUCCCUCAAUAUCCUCCAUUCGUUUAGAUUGUUAGUUUAAUAAUGAUGUUGAGUUACAAACAUAGUUCUAUAAUUACUUAAACAGUAGUAGAAGCAAAUUUUAUAAGGCUACACGACGGCUAUGAUAGAGGAUUUUGCCAAAGGUGUUAUGAGUGAUAGACACAAAUCGCCUUCUAUUAGUUUCCUAUUGAUAGUAUAGCAUCUCUCCAUACUCUAGUAAUACUCGUGAUCCCAGCUUCUCUUCUUGUUUUCUCAGUCCUUGAAAAUUUUAACUGUAGUCUCUUCAAAAUGAGCUCGUCUAAGAUUGCUUGUGCAUAGUUUGAUUUAAUACGUGGUUUGCACUCGCAGUGGACCAAAAACCAAUAAUUUAUUCUGUUGGUAAUAUUUAUCGUUUCGUCAUAUUAUCAAUUGUCGUUGUCAGUAUUUCUACACUUAUUAUGCAUCAGGAAAGAAUACAUUGAUGAUGUGGAGAUUUGGAAAUAAAUUAAUAAAGCAAGUUAAUCUCAUAGUAGAUUUGGCUAAAGUCGACAAUGAAGCUCUCAUAAAGAUAAUUUAUAAACAGAAGAAUAGAAAUAUCACAUACGCACAUUUUACAUGCAUACAAUCAUAUAUACGAUUACCAUCUUGGUGCAUAUGAUCGAACACGAAGCUAUUACAUCUAUAAAAGUUUUUCCUCUAGAUUGGCAAUAAAUCCUAGAGAAUGAAUGAUAAAAUUAAGCAAUUUUAGAUUCUUGUAUAUCUAUAUAUCAUUAAGUUUUUUGGCUACAUGAUACUCUUGUCAAGAGUACAAAAUAUAAUCUCAUAAUCUUAAACCUACCAUUUAAUUGUAGAUUUCGAAUCUCUAUUAAUGGAAGAUAGUAUUUGUUCUUUAAUGCCACCUUGGCACUAUAUAUCUAACUAACCAUAUUGAUUCUAGUAAUCCUGGAGAUUGACUCUUUCACACGAGUGUAUUUUGUACACUGGAUUGGAUGCAUCACUUAAUAAUGAUGCUUGGAGAAGUGAGUCAAUUUUAAGUGAGAGAUUUCAACAGUCAAAUGCAAAGUUCGUCAGUUGAUUAGACCAUGUAAUCCAUUCAACCUGAAAGUACAAACAAUCCAAACCUAACAAUUGGUGCUCUUAUAUGCGGAAAUAAUAAACAUAUACGCAUGAAGCAAAAGUUGGGCACUAUCGAAUAGUUCUCAAAGCUUCAGAAAUACAAUGCAAACAGUUACUUCCCCCCCGAUAGAAGCCAUGGGUCAGUAUUUCUCUGUCGAUUCCAUCGAGCUCUAUAGAUAAGUAGUUAACUUUCACUCUGCUUUUUCUCUUCAAUAAAUGCCUGCCUAGCAGAAAAGGCUCAUGGCAGGCAUAAAUUGAAACUCUCCAGGAAGGGUGGAGCCGAAGAGCUUUAGCCGGAAAGUCCACAUGCAUUGCUUCUCACACUGAUGUCUCCUGCAGCUUCGAGUAUUAGAGGUCCACCCACGAGCAACAUGAGCAUUACCACCGCACAUUCACAAACAAACGUUCAUUCUGAAUCAGAGAUUUCACCUUCAUCGUCGUCGAAUAUGUAGACCAGGGCCUGUUUUCUUGCAGCCAAAACACAAGCGGCGCCUCUACUUGUUGUCGCAAAAAAGGAAUCAACUUGAUUUCACUUUGACGUUUCUAUUAUUUGGCCAUAACUAAUGCAAUGCUUUGAUACCUCUUUUGGGUAAAAGUAAUAAGUACAAUACUUGCAUCACGCUAAAACACAGGCGGAAGCAAUACAUGUGUACCUGAAGAGGCCAUGGUACUCAUGUGAACCAUGAAUGCUGAUAGUAUCUAUCAUCAUUAACAUGUACAUACCAGUUCUUAGUCAGUAAAUCAAACUGCAAUGAACCCUAACAUAAGAAAAUAAUUAUUCUUUUUGUGUUUGUCUGGCCACUAAUAAUUCAUCUUUUUCUCACUUUGACCUUUUAAUUGAUCUAAAAUUUAUAGGAAAACCUAAUACUUUAGUAUUUUACUUCUUCAAAUGAAAAAAAUAUUCUUCUUUGGAGCAUAAAUUUGGACAUUUCCAACCGUUGGAACAAAGAUGAAAUGGUCCAUUAGAGAGGCACAAUGAUCCUGUGCCAAUCAUAUUUAAACUUAAGAAUAGCUUGUAAAGUGGAAACUUAAUACGGUGCAUGCAUAAGAUUAAUUCAGUUCCACCACUCAGCCAAUGAGAUAUACUUGAUACUGACACUAGCAAGUUUAUCAAAAGAUGAUACAAAUAGGAAAGACUAUGGGCAACAAUAAGUUACCAAACGUCCAAACUGCAAAUUGACAUGCUAAGAAACUCAAGGAAAGUAGUUUUUUGAGUAUUCGAUUGAUGGCAUGGCAAUGAAUUGAUCCUUAGCUCGAUUGUGUGGGCACUAUGAAAAAAUCUUACCACUAAUUGACAAGGGGGGAUUGCAGUAUGGGAAUGCUGCCAACUUCUCAUUCUCCAUCUCUAGGUGUAAAAUAAAGUCCUAGAUGUGUAAUUUCCCUGGGUUAGUGUUUCGAUAGUGAGAAUGAGACAACCAAGCAAUAGUGUUCUCAUAAAAUAGAAGCAAAAGUGCACUACUAAUGCAUUAGGGUCAUCAAAUGCACAUUUCUUGACAUACAUACAAGGCUCCAACUGUCGAGAUAUGCUGGAGCUUUUGAAGUUAUGGUAAGUGAGAAAGUGAAACAUCGUUUAAAAUUGGACGCAUAUAAUGGCAUGCAUAUGCACAUAGGAGGAAAAACUAAGCUGCUACCGCUUGUGCUGAUGAGGAGAGCAGAUACAUAGUAAAUAGGAAGAACAAAAGAACAAAAGUCUAUAAAACCAGGCUAGUGGUUCAACCUGUCAAACUUGAGAACCGUACUUUGCCAAUUCAACCAGUUGAACCGAUUGCAUGUGGCGUUAUUUGAUAGAAUAGGCAUGUUCAAAACAAAAGGAGCCCCAGUCACUCGGUAGAGCCGCUUGCCCACAAAAGACCGGAUUCCGGUUCUCAAAAGCAUUGUUUUAAUUUCUUAUAGACUAAUAAGCCAAUAUAGUCAAUAAAUAAAAUAUCUGCCACAAAAAGGAGCAAGAAGACACGCGGAGCAAAUGGUUGGCAUGCCUGUUAGUUACGAGAGGUCGAAGUUCCAAACCCCAACCCAUUUUCUCCAGAGAGAUAUCUACAACUCAUCUAAAGGAAUUACUUUCAAGAAAGAUAUCCAUGUUCUUUCUAAUGAUAUGGAGAAUACAAUAUAUACGCGUCAUGGUUCAUUUUGUACUUAAAGGAAAUUGCUUGAUCUCUUAUAAUGAUUUUAAAGAAUUGAUUUCGAAGGACAAAUUGUGAAAAUAGUAGCCACUGUGACACAAGAUGAAGAGUUGAAGAGUUGAAGACGCUUUUAGAGUUGAUUCCCCGUGUGGUGUGCCACGGUAGUAUAUCGAAUAGCAGUCGCCAAAUGUACUUCAUAUUCUACAAAGCACGCCAAGGUGAUGGAUAGGAAGAUAUCGAACAAAUCGGAGAUAUUGGUCGAGAUAGUCAAACUUACAAGCACGAUAACCCAAACCGAGGGAGUUCAACAUACGAGAGUUGCAUAUAUGUGUUUAACCAAAUUAAAAUCAAGACUUCCAUUGCUACUCCCUCUCAAGAAAAUUGUCCAAAAAGCCCUAAACUUAUUGCAAUUUUGUCAAUUUAAUGAAAAACUUUUCAAUUUUACCAAUUGAAUUUUAAUCAUUUUCAUUCUUUUACCAAUUGAGUUCAUCCAAUCAAUUUUGACAGGAAUUUGCUAAUGUGCACUGUUGGCACUGACAUGGCACUUUUUAAAUAAUAUUUUGAAUUUUUUUAUGAUUUUUUUCUUUUCUUUUCAUUUUUUACUUUUUUUGCUUUUAUUUUUGGGUUUUGGAGUUAGUUUGGCAAGGGUGGGCCAGUUGACCUAGUUGAGGGCACACGCGCCCUCACUUUGGCCAGCGAGGGCAUCGUGUCCUCGCCGGCCUAACUCCAAACCCCAAAAAAAAANNNNNNNNNNNNNNNNNNNNNNNNNNNNNNNNNNNNNNNNNNNNNNNNNNNNNNNNNNNNNNNNNNNNNNNNNNNNNNNNNNNNNNNNNNNNNNNNNNNNNNNNNNNNNNNNNNNNNNNNNNNNNNNNNNNNNNNNNNNNNNNNNNNNNNNNNNNNNNNNNNNNNNNNNNNNNNNNNNNNNNNNNNNNNNNNNNNNNNNNNNNNNNNNNNNNNNNNNNNNNNNNNNNNNNNNNNNNNNNNNNNNNNNNNNNNNNNNNNNNNNNNNNNNNNNNNNNNNNNNNNNNNNNNNNNNNNNNNNNNNNNNNNNNNNNNNNNNNNNNNNNNNNNNNNNNNNNNNNNNNNNNNNNNNNNNNNNNNNNNNNNNNNNNNNNNNNNNNNNNNNNNNNNNNNNNNNNNNNNNNNNNNNNNNNNNNNNNNNNNNNNNNNNNNNNNNNNNNNNNNNNNNNNNNNNNNNNNNNNNNNNNNNNNNNNNNNNNNNNNNNNNNNNNNNNNNNNNNNNNNNNNNNNNNNNNNNNNNNNNNNNNNNNNNNNNNNNNNNNNNNNNNNNNNNNNNNNNNNNNNNNNNNNNNNNNNNNNNNNNNNNNNNNNNNNNNNNNNNNNNNNNNNNNNNNNNNNNNNNNNNNNNNNNNNNNNNNNNNNNNNNNNNNNNNNNNNNNNNNNNNNNNNNNNNNNNNNNNNNNNNNNNNNNAGCUAAAACUCACUUUCACUUAGGUGAUCCCAAGUGGAUAUUGCCAAGAUAAUUUUACCCUAAGUAGAUAUGAAAAGACGUAAUAAGCAGGCGGCAACAUGUUCCUGUAUGCAUUUUUAUCAAUAGGUGACUGGAAUAUCACAUUAGAAAAGAAGAUUGGAUUGGUUAAAACUAAUAUGAGGGCAUAUUAGGUACUUAUCUGUAUUUGACCCGUCAUCAUUAAUAAGGUUAUUCGCUUGUGUAUAGAUCAGCUUGUUGUGUUCUUAAGUGACUAAUUUUCUUAUCAGUCCUCAUGUAUUAAGUCUUGCCAGUUUGCUGCCAUCCACAAGCAAUAAAGCUAUUUUUCGGAACACUCACUGGUAAGACAUGAUGCUUAGUUGUUAAGACAUGAUGCUAAGUUACCUUGAUAUUCUCCAAUCAUUCGGGCAGUUAGUUUAAUAAUGAUGUUGAGUUACAAAUAAUCAUUUGUUCUAUUAUUACUGAGAAUAGUGGCAGAAGUAGAUUUUAUGAGGCUCUACAAUGGCUAUUAAUAGAAGGUUUAGCCAAUGGUGUCUGGUGCAAUAGACACAAGUCGUCUUCUUAGACAUUUCCUAUUAAUAGCAAAGCUUCUUCCUUAGCCGUACUUCUUUUCCUAGCCUUCUAUUCUUGGUCCUCGAAAAUUUUAACGCCAAUUUCUCCAAAACGAGCUUGUGUUUAACGGGUCAUGGAAUUUAAAGUUUACAUGCGAUUUGCACUGGCAGCGAACCUGUUAACAAUCAUUUAUUUUGUUGCUAAUGUUAUUGUCCCAUCUAAUAAUUAAUGUUAAAUGUCACUAUUUCUGCACUUGCAUUCGGAAGAAUACAUUGAAGACGUAAAAGAUUUGGAAGGGCUAUAAAUAAAGGAGGAUUUAAUUUCAGAGUAAAUUCAGCUUAAGUUCCAAAAGAGCUAUCAUCACGGCAAAUAAUAAACAUAAGAAAAGAAGUAUCACAAAUGCACAUGUUACAUUCAUGCAUACUUUCUCCUGGAGACCGGCAAUAAUUCCCAGAGAAAGAAUACUACAAUUAAAGAAUUAUUGAUUCCUGAAUGUACAUCAUUGAAUUAAAAGACUCCAUGAUGCUCUUUAUUGAGGAUACAAAGUCCAUUCACGAUAUUGUAGACAGAAUCUCAUGAUCUUAAACCUGCCAUCUACUUGAGGGCUCCAAAUAUCUGAGAUCGGAAUAUAGCGUAUGUUCUUUAGUUGAGUACACUGCCUGAACCUUUCAAUCCAAAGUGAGUCAAUGACAAUGACACGUGGAGAAGCGAGUCAUUUUCGGGUGAGAGAUUUCAACAUACAGCAGAGCUCGUUAGUCAAGUACACUACCUGAACCAUUCAACCUAAAGCGUAGAUAAUCCAAACCAAACAUUUGGUUCUCAUACACAUGCAAAUAGUAAGCAUAUACAGAUGAAGCAAAAGCUUGGCACUAUCGAGCAGGUCUCAGAGCUUACAACAAUACCAUGACGACAGUUACCACUAGAUAGAAGCCAUGAUUCAGCAUCUUUCGGUCAAUUCUAUCCAACUCAAUAGAUAAUCGCUACCUUUCACUCCACUUUUUCUAUUGACAAAUACCGCUUAGCAGAAAAGGCACAUGGCAGGUAUAGAUUAAGACUUCUCCAGAAAGGGUGAAGUCGAAGAGCUUCAGUCAGAAAGCCCACAUGCAUUGCUUCUUACACUGAUGUCUGCAGCUUCAAGUAUUAGAGGUCCACCCACAGCAACGACAUGAGCAUAACCACCACAAACUCUUGAACAGAUAUGUCAUUUUGAAUCAGAGAUUUCUUCUUCAUACUCGUCCAGCAUGUAGAUCAGGGCCCACUUUCUUGCAGCUAAAACACAAGCCACUUCUCUACUUGCCAUUGCCCCAAAAAAAAAAAAAAUCAACUUGAUUUCAGUCCGGUGUUCCUUGAAUGUAUGGCCAUAACCAACAUGAUGUUUAGAUACCUUUGUUGGGUAAAAGUAUAAGUACAUGAUAAGACAGGCAGGAAGCAAACCUUGUGUGCCUAAAGAGACUACAGCAUGCAUGUAACUACGAAUGCUCUACAGUAUCUUGCUACACUAGAUACCACGGUAGCAUCUAUGGUCAUGAACUUGUAAAUAGUGCUUCUCAGUCAGCAACUCAAACCGCUAUGCAGCUACCAUAAGAGAAUGCUAAUUCUUUUGGUAUUUGUUUAGCGACUAUAAAAUCAUUUCGCGCUUUGUCCUCAAUUGAUUUAAAAUUUAGGGGAAAACCUGAUACCACAAUUUUUUCUUUUUUUUACUUCUUUUGACUAAAAAAUAUUCUUCUUUGGGGCAUACUUUCGCACUUCUUCAAUCUAUAGGAACAAACAUGAAGUGGUCCAUUAAAGAGGCACAAUGUCCCUAUGCCAGUCACAUUUGAACUUAAUAGAAGGUUCUAAGUGAAAAUGUAGCAAGGAGCAUGAACAGGAUUAAUUCAAUUCCAUCACCCAGCCAACGAGAUAAAUUUGUUACUGACACUGGCAAGUUUAUCAAACAUUGAUCCCUAAGGAAAGAGCAUGGGCAACAAUAAGUUUCCAGACAUCCAAAACUGCAAAUGGACAAGGCAAGAAGCCCAAAGAAAAAACCUUCAGAACUAUACAAUUGGCAUAGCAAUGAAUUGAUCCUUAGCUCAAUGGCAUGACAGUGUAAAAAUGUUCUUAACACCAACUGACAAGAGAGGAACUACAGUAUGGGGAAUGCUGCGAAGCUUCUCAUUCUCCAUCUCCAGGCGUAAGAUAUGGUCCUAGAUGUGCAGUUUCACUGGAUUAGUGUUUCAAAAGUGAGAACAAUACAACCAAGCAAAAAUAUCCUAACAAAAUAGGAGUAAAAAGGGCACUGCUAACCCAUUAGGGCCAUCAAAGGCACAUUUCUUAACCUACAUACAAGGCUCCAGCUGUCAAGGUAUGUUGGAACUUUUUGCAGUUAUGGCAAGGCAGAAAAUAAAACACCCUUUGAAAUUGCAAGGACGUAAUGACAUUUGUAUGCAUUAUGCACAUAGGAGGAAAAACUAAGCUGCUGCUAAUCGUGCUGAUGAGAAGAGCAGAUAAAUAAUAAAUAGGAACGAUAAAAAAACAAACAUUUUAAAACCAGACAAGUGGUUCAAUCAGUCAAACUGGUAGAACCGUGCUCUUCCAGUUCGACCGACUGAACCGAUUGCAUGUGAUGUCAUCUGAUAGAAUGCUCUGCGUAUAUUAGAUUACACACUUUCAGAACAAAAGAAGCCCAGUGAGUCGGCACACACCAUAGCAUCUUAAUAGAUUACACACGCUUGAUGUCAUCUUAUAGCAUCCUGUUCAAUUUUAGAUUAGGCCAAUAUGGUCAAUAAAUAAAUUAUCCACCAUGAAUUGUAGCAAGAAAACACCGGAGCAAAUGAUUGGCAUGCUUGUUAGUUACAAGAGGUUGGAGUGCCAAACCCCAACCCAAUUCCAGCACUACUCCUUUUAGUUUUUUUACGGCCCAGAUCUGGUCUAGACUAGUUGACAGGUUUGCUGGGUAUCAGUUGAUAGGUACACCUGGUUAUCGGUUGAAGAGGAUCAAUACCACCAGUUCUUGAUCAAUACUAUUUCUGUUGGGAAACCAGACCGGACAGGUCUAGUUCCCCGUCCAACCAGAGCCACUUCUUAAAACUCCGACAUGAACAGGAGUCAACAAAAAAGCACAAUAUGCUACUUUUUUCCUUUUGCCAUCAAUGUCUUAAAUAGUGAAUUGUCAUGAUCAGAAUAGAACUCUAGAUAUCACAAGUAAGAAAACAAUAUGCAAGCUCCGGAUCCAAGCUCCGGAUCCAAGAGUUACCUUCAAUUGGUACAAAUCCCGGUUAUUUGCAUAUGUGGUUCUGCAAUAUGCACAAAUGGAAGGUCACUAGCCUGCAGGAUCAUCAUCCCGGCAUCUACCAAGUUUUCAUGAGUAUCAUUCAUCUUAUUUAGCAACAUGAUAAUUUGAUGUUCCUGCUUCCAACAGAAUAUAUUAGCCACAUUUGCAAAUUUUGGCUACAAAAUAUGAUAUACAAAGCUUUUACCUCAAAUAGAGCCUAAUCCACACAACAGUGACCAAGAGAGAUUGACAACAAGAUCCUUCCAAAGAUCUUCCCUUCUUCACAUUGCUUGAAACAUUCUUAAGUCCACUCACUACCGCUAUACGAUUUGUUACAUCUAAAAAAGACUCCUCAGUUAUUUGGAAGGAAAUAUAAUCUGAAGCAAAUUCAAAAUCAUCCUGCAAUAACAUACAGAGUUAAGAUUAGCAUGAAAAAGCAGUUGGACUCUGCACAUGUGGAUCUCUGGAUAAUUUUUGUAGUUUCAAAUUAAAGGUAUAUACCCUAUACAAGGACCAUGAAUUGCGAACAUAUCUGGUGGAUGUUGAAACUGACGUAAGAGGGAAUUGUAGCAAUAAAUUCUCACAAAGUAUCUAUUUCAAAAUAGAAGAGAAAGGCAUCUGGGUGAUUAUCAAAUUAGUUUCUAAUCAGGAAACAUGGAAUACAGUAUUUCCACACACAAGGAUCAUAACCUAAACGCAGAGCCCAAUCCCAUAAGAUCACCCAACUAGAGCUUCCAUAUACACUGUCAAGUAAUCAAACCUGAGAUCAAAUAUGAAAAACUAGAUUAUUAGAUAGAGGGUAAGUGAAAAGCCAUUGUUGAGGACAACCUCCAGAAGACAACCCCUAACCCCCAAAGGUUUCCUUUUCUUUCUCUCCUUCUCUCAUUAUAGUCUAAAGGUUCCGGCCACUCAGACAAGGAAAUGAAAAAUAUAGGACAACUUUAUGCUAAUAAGCAUUUGGAUAGAAAUAUCCACAGACAAACCCAUUAACAGAAGUCCUGAAUUAGCCAAAUGAAAAAUGAAUAUUUGAGCUCAAAUAAUUGAUGAGUCAAGUAAAACCAAAAGCACAAACUUUUAAUUAAAGGAUUGCAAUGUUUACAUAAACAAAUUUCGAGCCCAGGUAAUAUACUCAAACUCUUGUUGAUCCACAAUUUCACAUUUGGUGCAUAUAUCAGCAACGAGGACCAGACUCAAAAGGGAGAAAAGCAAUCACUUCAAACAACAAAUAACGGCAAUGAUUUAUCCCGUAGUUCAUAUUUUUCCCACUGAGGUAGCAUGUGUGAGAACAAUAAUAAAUGGAAAAAGUAGAUAUAGGAUUAAUGUGAAGAAUUUACAAUGAAAGAGCAAUAAACAAUACAUUCAAGCAAGAACUCUUAUUCAUGAACAAGAUUCCAUUACAUUUUAGCUUUUUAAUUCUUUUGCUAAUACCUGCAUUCCAUCUAUUGAAAUUCUUUCACAAGUGUCCUUCGCAAAUAUUCUGUGUCCCCCAAAUCCUCCAAACUGUAGUAAUUCUCCGACUCGCUGCACUGUUUGUCUGAGAUAAAAAUGAGGGCAAGACAUCUCACUGAUCUGACAAGAUAUAUCAAGGCAAAAAAGCGCAAGGAAAUGCAUUUGAUAUUUCGGAAUAUGAGACCUUCCAAUCCAAUGAGAAACGAUGAUCAACCGGUCAAUUUCGACCCUUGUUACCAUGUGGUUACUUAAAGUAGUGGUGGACCAACAAUAACCACAGUUGCAGCCCAGCAAACCACCCUAGCUUAAGUCAACCUCAUCUAGUGGAAGUGCACUCAAGUAUUUCUUGUUCCAGUUAUGGAACAGAAUUGGGAGAACCUGUAGGUAUUAUUGCGGGAAUGAUCCUAGAUUUCAUGCUUUGGUGGGUGCCCGUUAAUUAAAAAAUGAAUAUAGGUGAAGAUGAUAGCAAGAUGACCUGAAAUGAAGAACUAGCCCCCAAACCAGGAGUCAUUUACAAUUUCAUAUUCACAACUUUGCCAACUAAUUUGGUCACAUUGCCUCAAAGCAUGAGUCAGCCGCUAAAGCACAUGAAAAUAAUACUAGGCCUGACAGCAUAUCAUUCUGAUAUUUAAAGCAUGACCAAAAGUAGAGAAAAUCACUCACGGAUCAAUGGUAGUUUCUUCAUCAGCCUCAGAAAGAUCCAGGAGAUGCAUAGCGGCAUCUUGAUCAUAUAGAAACUUCAAGAACACUACAAAAAGUUCACCAUCAAACUCAAAAGAGUAUAUACGAAUUCACCAUGAGGAAGGACCCUGCUUGACAAAAGUUAGACAAACCUAUUGUAUGUUAAAAGUUGAUCACUUGGCUCUGACAUCGAUUGUUUUAUACAUUUCAAAAGCCAGCUGAAGAAAUUUGCAAACUGAAAGAGAGACAAAAGCAAAAGCUUCAGCAACAUGCACAUUAUUAAUCAAUGCGAUAUGCUUUCGAUCCCUAAGGCAAAUACUACAAGCAUGCCACAGGCUCAAGAACUCCAUAGGAUCCUACCAAUAUUUUGACCUUGCUCUAGUGGUCACACUAUGAUUUUUUCAUUUUGAAACAAGUAAAAUUGCAUUUCUUCAGGGUAGCAUGCGAGAAUUGAGAAGGUACAAACCCCAAGUUGUGUGAGGCAUGGGAAGCAAAGAUACAGAAAAGUUGUCAAUUUCUCUUUUUUGCUGCUUCAAAAACAUGACGAUAUCAACAAAACAACAAUGUGCUAUUGUCAGUAUCCCGUAACAACCUUAACAGUUACUAAAUGGACCUUUGUUGAACAGGUUCAAGUCACGUGUAAAGCCCAUCGUCUAACGAUGACUCCUUUACAAUAUUGAUAACAAGCUCAUUUUUCAAAUAAUUAAAGGCUAUUUAACUUACAUCAAUAUGUCAUUCUAAGCAACCCAUAUCAUAUCUUAUCCACAAAUAGUUCAACUUCAUGUUUAAAAUUUAGUAAUUUAGCGUCACUAAAGACAUGAUACCAUACAUGAUGAGAGACAGGCAAGAUAUUACAAUAGUUUUUUUUUUUUUUUGGGUGACUGUAGAUCCACUUUCCCUUGUCAGCUUACGCCGAUUCGGUAUUUGCGACUAUACCUCCGGGGAGACUAGCACAGCAACCCACUGCUAUGAACCCCCACUCCAAUCACGGAGCCGAUCAGGGAGUUCGAACUCAGAACCUCCAAAGAGGAAAGGCAAGCCCUCAACCAUCUCAGCCAUGCGUGGAUGGGUAAGAUAUUACAAUAGUUGCAAAUAGAAGAUAUCAAGAAAGGUAGAGAAAUCACAAGAAAGAUUGUAACAGGCGUACCGGCUUCACAACAGAUGAGAGCACCCUCACUCAACCUGUACAAGCAACAUUCCAGCCUUUUCCACUGCAUUAUCCGCCAGUGUCUCAUCCGAACCAAUACCUAGAUAACAAGAACGCCAUCUUGAAAGACCCCUGAGCUCACCCAUUCUAAAGCCAAUGAUUUCUACAGCAGGCUGCUAAGUAAAUAACAAUACUUCAAUUAAUUAACCCUGUACGUCAAAUAUCAUCUCUUAAGAAAACUGACACACUGAUGAGGGAUAAAAAUAGCAUUGACCACAUACAUUACUUGCUGGAACCAUUGAAGUUAAAAGUUCACAAAAGAAAAUGUUUUACACAGUAAAUGGUCAUUACGAGCCAUGUUCAUCUUCUGCAAACUAUGUUUGAACUAAACAACAUACUCUAGAGUCUCCACCAAAUAAAAGAUAUACUGGAAAAUUCAAUAAAGAAAUGGAGCCUAGUCUGCUAUCCAAUUCAUGCAAGCAGAUUAGAAGUUUGGAAUGUUCAUGUGAAAUUAUCAAGUCCUGCCCCAAAGUUGCUUUAAGAGAGAGAGAGAGAGAGAGAGAGAGGCCAUUUAUGUGAUGGUUGUGGGCUAUAAGCACAAUAUUGACAGGAAAUGCUACUGUUUUCAAGGAGACAAAAGCCCUAGCCCUUUUGAUGUUAGCUUGGGGAAGGGUAACUUCUUUACAACAAUCAAAUAUCAAACCGCAUUUCUAUUCAACACCUUGGGGAAGGAUAACUUCUUUACAACAUUUAAAUAUCAAACCACAUCUCUAGAGUCCUAUUACCUAUUUAACUCCCCAACUAUCAAAUGUUUACACUUCAAUGUAAGGUGAAGUCCCGGCUUACAAGAGGGGCGGAGUUCUAUAACAUUUAAAUAGUAAACCACAUCUUUAUUUCUUAGCUUAACCUUUUUAUCGCUUGGCAAUUUUUCCACAAAAUUCUACACCAUCGUGAAUGCACAUUUUGAUUAGACAAAAGGAGAAAGGAGCCCAAAAGCAUUGAUCGGCAGUACUAUGGAGUUAAAGAGAGUUCAUAAGCCUUGAUAAGAAAGAAAUGGGCAGGCUUUUAAAAAUGAGGAAAGUUCUGUAGGUGCUGUAAAAGAUAUUUGGCUUUCUACCUUAUUUUUUUUCACAUUGUGGUGGCAGUGCUUUGGACACCAAGUCUUUUUUUUUUUUUUAAAUUUUUAAGGUAAAUAUGAGCUUUUAGGUGGAAAUUUGUAAAUAGGAGGCAUCCCCUUGGUGCUCUUGGUGCUCUUUAAUAGACUUAUCCAAAAAAAGGAAACAGGAGUCUAUAACCUUAAAGAAUGUAACUGGAAACGUCAUUUCUCACUAUACUAGUAAUCACGAAGAAUAUGUAGCAUGUACAUGAGAGUCACUGUACCCACGAGAAGCACAGAAUCUGAUCUAAUUAACAACAGCCCUAUAACGUGUGUGUACAUGUGUGCACACUUGUGCAAGCACAUGAUCGCAUGCAUGUGCACACCCAAGCACAUGUUCACAACACACAAAAAUGCCCACAUAAAUGGAGAGAUAUCUGGCAAGGCAAUAAACUGGCAAUAUAUUUUCUAUAGAUAAUAAAGGAUUUUGUUGAAAGAAAGAGUUCCAGUACAUCAGUAUAUAUGAGAACAAAACAAAAGAAAAACAAACAAAAGUGAAGCAUUAGAAGAGUAUACAGAAACAGCACAUGAUGCUCAAAGCUGGUCAAAAGGUACAACGCAGAAGCAACCGAAGAUUCCAGACCCUACAUUUUGUUGCUUUCUUUCCUAAGGCACCCCAUGAGACAAAGGUGCAGUGCUUCAGAACUUCUUAGAAAUUGAUCCUCCUAAUUAGGUAUUCCAACAAUCAAAAAAGUGGAUGGCAUGUUUUGCAAGAACCAAACCACCUUAGACAAGCUGAAGAUUUGAUGUAAAAGCUUGCAAGCGAAGUCAGAAAGAAGAAAGAGAUGAUCGACAUUUUCCCACAAAUGCUUUCACACACAACACCAUUCUCUGAAAAAUCAAAUUCUGUUUACUGAGAUUCUCAAUCAUAAGAACCUUAUUCCAAUUUGGUGUGCAUUUACUACAAAACAUACACUCCCAAGUAAUGGAGUUUGAUUCUCACAUAUUAGAGUCGUAUGUGUAAGCAUUUGGGUGAAAUGUCAAGGAACAAGGAAGCUUUGGUAGCAGAUUGUUAUCAUUUAAACAACGAAAUGAUCAUUUGGGACAUUGAGUUCGUGAGCCAAGCCCAAGAUUAGGACUUUGAAGCUUUUGCCUGCCUUCUUUUAUGUGUUGCAUAAUUCAAAGAUUUCUGUUGCUUAACGGAAGAGAUAGAAUCUUUUCUGUUAAGUUACUACAAGCUGCUCGAUAGGGAGAUUCGUGGCAAAACAGAUUUUCCUCAGAAAUCGAUUUGGAAAGUGAGAAUUCCAAUUAGAGUUUCUCUUUUUGCAUGGGAAGCAACCUGAGAACAAAUCCUUACUUUAGAAAUGAGGCAAAAUACUGGUUAACAGGUGUUUCCUCAGCAAAAAGAGGCAGAGUCUGCACAGCAUCUCCUCCUUCAUUGUUCUUCGACAAGAAUUUGGACAGUUUCCUAUGCUUGCACUAUGUUAUCUUGGGUUAUCAGAGUUUUAUUGGGCAAGAACUUUGGGCAUGGCAGGGCAUUCCUUUACAGCACAACAAGUGGGAUUAACACAAUUCCCCUGUUUCUUUCAGUACAAAAAUUGACUUGCAAUUGUGAGGAGAUAUAUGCUAAGAUCUAAGGCAAUAAACUCUUUCCUUUUAAAUUGAGAACAUAUCUCUACACCUGCUAAUUAUAAUGUGAACGUAUAAACAUUAUAUAUCCAUAUCUCCAUGUACAGUACACUCAAAGCUCAAACUUAGAUCAAGUUCAAGUUCAAAGCAAUGAUUAAUGACCUAAAAUUUCCAUUAUACGCUUAUAGGAGAUAUUGCCAACUUGUUGAAUCAGACUCAAAUCAGAUUUUAAUUCAGAUCAUUGCAUAUGAUAUGUUCGUAUGAAGAAUCAACAUCAGGAUGUUCUAAAAAUUAUGGCAUGUCUCAAUAUGUGCAUAGCAUAACUUCCUGUAACAAAUUCCUAUCUCUAUCUGAUCACCUCCAAGACUGUUCAUUGAGAUGCAUGAAAUUUAAUUAUUUGGGAAAAAGGCCAAAUGCAAAGACAAUAAUGCGCACCUGUAGAUGAUUGAGGACAACCAGCAGAAGUUCUUUUCCAGCAUCACAAACAACUUUUGAUACACGCUUCAUACCCUAUCACUGAACCAACUAGCAAACUAUGAUUAUAAAAACCAACCAAAAAAGCCAAAGUCCUAUAGCAGUACCAAAGCUUAAAAAAUUAGCCAUACCACUUCACCCAGAGAAUUAACACGAAACAGAUAGACUGAAAAAUUCCUCUUGAGGGAAAGAGUCGAGACCUAGAUAAGCAAACGAAAACAGUUCAAUGAAGAAAAAUGAAACGCCAUCUACUGCUCUGUAUUAAUAGUACUACUUGCCAUGGUCACUAACAAGCUUUGCAGCAAAUCAAACUUCCUCAUGAAAUAUAUUUAUGGCGUCAGCCCACUGCUUAUGCAUUAGUGAUAAUGAUGGCUGGAUGAAUGAAGUAAAUCUUCAAUGUUCAAAGCCUGUUGAGCAACUUGAAGUCCAUUUUUUUCUGCAGACGGAAAGAGAUUGAUAAUCUAAGGAGGCAUUCGGCUGAUAAAGAUUCUCAAAAGACCGUUCUGAUUUCAAUUUGAGAAUUAAAACAGACCAGAAAAUGAGUUUGGUAACACUCCGAAAGCAGUCGAUGAAUAAAAGGAAAACUAUUCUCAGAAUCAAAAUUACAAACUGAAUAUGACUUUUUAGUAUUCUCAUUCCAAAAGCAAACAUGGAGAUUUGGAAAAAUAAUAAGCAUAUUUUUUGAAAGUGAUGUAACCCAAGCAUAUUCUAACAAUUUUUAUCCCUAAUGAUAUUAUUUUCACUGAACAAAUAUUUUGUUAGCAAAACAUUGAAAAAAGUUUCUAUGAAAAUGGAAACUAAAGGCAUUUUCUAAAAUUAAGCAGGCCUUAAGCAGUCGAGAACAAAAAUGACGUGUGAAUCAUGCGACAGUGUUUACAAUUUUGCAACGAAUUUGCCUCACAACAUUCAACAUUUGAACUACACAGAUUUUUGGAGACUUUUUACUGAAAGAUAGGAUGAUACUUACAGGUUGAGUAGAAAUCUGAAGCAUAAACAAGAUAAUUCAGACUUCCAAGUAUGAGGCAUCAUGUUGUUCAGCUAAUGGCGACUCUCAAAAGUCAACUCAAGCAUUAAAAAUUAUCAGAAGGAAAGUUCUUUCACAAUGUAAAGUUUAAAGUCAUUUCUAAGAAAACUGCAUCAAAAUUGCUCCACCUUAACCAUCCAUUUCUUUUUAAGGAUGAUGGUAAUAUCCCUUAUGACCAAACUAAGUUAGAUACCGAUGAAAAAAAUAUUAGUGCACAUAAACAACCAUAAUAUAAUCGUAACAUCAAGUACAAUCACUACCACAUAAACUAGAACAGAAUCUAGAUUUGCACUCGGAUCACCUUCAUUCACAGUAGGUUUUUUUCUGUAAAAUGCCAACUCCUCAGUUCAACAUCAUGUUCUCAAUGAAGACAUUCAAGCGCUUCACACACUGAAUAGAAAAAAGAGAGAGCUUUCUCAAUUUGAAGCAAUUGCCAGGAGAGACUGUCCCCAGCAUUAGAGGUCCACCCACAAUAGAUGUUUGUUCUGAAUCUGAGAUUUCAUCUUCAUCUCGUCCAAGUAUGUAGACCAGGGCCAGCUUUCUUGCAGCCAAAACACAAGCCACACCUCUACUAGCUGUAGCCAAGAAUAAAUAAUUCAACUUGAUUUCACUCCGAUGGUCCUAUAAUAUGGCCAUAACUAAUGCGAUGUUUUGAUACCUAUGCUGGGUAAAAUUAAUAAGUACAAUACUUGCAUCGCACUAAAACAUAGGCAGGAGGAAAACUUAUGUACCUGAAGAGGCUAUCGUAUGCAUGUGAACCAUGAAUGCUCUACAGUAUCUUUCUAUACUAAAGACCCUAAAAGUAUCUAUCAUCAUGAACAUGUACCUACUAGUUCCUAGUCAGUAACUUAGACUGCAAUGAACCUACCAUAAGAAGAUAAUUAUUCUUUCUUUAUUUGUCUGGCCACUAAAGAUUCAUCUUUUUCGCACUUUGACCUCCCAAUUGAUCUAAAAUUUACAGGAAGACCUAAUACUUUAGUAUUUUACUUCUUCAAAGGAAAAAAACAUUAUUUGGAGCAUAAAUUUGCAGGUUUUCAACCGUCAGAUCAAACACGAAAUUAUCCAUUAGAGAGGCACAAUGUACCUAUGCCAGUCAUAUUUAAACUUAAGAGUAGGUUGUAAAAGUGGGAAUUUAGUAAGGAGCAUGGACAGGAUAAUUCAGCUCCACCACCUAGUCAAUGAAAUAAAUUUGUUAUUGAUACUAGCAAGUUUUAAACAAUGAUACAGAAAGGAAAGACUAUGAGCAACAAUAAGUUUCCAAAAAUCCAAACUGCAAAUGGACAUGGUAAGAAGCUCAAGGAAAAUGGUUUUCAGAGUAUACAAUUGAUGGCAUCGCAAUAAUUUGAUCCUCAGCUCAAUUGUACGGCGGUGUAAAAUUUUUUUACCACAAACAACGAGGAACUACAGUAUGGGGAAUGCAGCAAAUCUUCUCAUUCUCCAUCUCUAGGUGUAAGAGUCGAAGAUGUGUAAUUUCACUGGGUUAGUGUUCUGGAAGUGAGAAUGAGACAACCAAGCAAAAGUGUUCUCACAAAAUAGAAGCAAAAGUGGCACUAUUAGCCCAUUAGGGUCAUAAAAUGCACAUUCCUUGACAUACAUUCAAGUACAAGGCUCCAAUUGUCAACAAAACUUUUGCAGUUAUGUUAAGGCAGAAAGUAUAACAUCCUUUAAAAUUGCAGGCAUGAAAUAGGAUGUAUAUGCAUUUAUGUGGAGAAACUAAGCUACCACUCCUCAUGUUGAUGAGGAGAGCAGAUACAUAAUAGGAAGAACAAAAGAAUAAACGUUUUUAAAACCGGACUAGUGGUUCAACCAGUCAAACUGGUAGAACCAUGUUCUAACAGUUCGACCAGUUGAGCCAAUUGCAUGUAAAGUUGUCAAGUAGAAUACACAUGUCCAGAACAAAAGAAGCCCCGGUCACUCGGCAAAGUUGCUUGAGCACAAAAGACAGGAUUCCCGUUCUCAAUAGAAUUGUUCAAAUUUUUAAUAGACUAAGCCAAUACGGUCAAUAAAUAAGCAAUCCACCACAAAAUGAAGCAAGAAGACACUGGAGCAGAUGGUUGGCAUGCCUUUUUGUUACAAGAGGUUAGAGUUCCAAACCCCAACCCAACUUCAAUACUCUUCCUUAAAGUUUUUGAAAGACCUAGAAUUGGUCUAGACUAGUUGACAGGCUUGCUGGGUUACCAAUUGAUAGGUACACAUGGUUACUGGUUCAACAGGGUCAAUACCACCAGUUGUUGACCACUACUAUUUCUACUAUGAAACCAGACUCGAAAGAAAAGCACAAUGCCCAAGUUUUUUUCUUUUUUCCAUCAAUGUCUUAAAUAGGGAAUUGACAAGUAUAGGAACAAAUAGAACUCAAGAGCAUCCUAUACUUCUCACAAGUAAGGAAUCAUUAUGCAAGCUCUGGAUCCACAAGUUACCUUCAAUUGGUCCAACUCUCAGUUAAUUGCACAAGAGGUUCCUGAAAUAUGCAUAAAUGGAAGGUCACUGGUCUGCAAGAUCAUCAUCUAGGCAUCUCCCAAGUUUUCACAAGCGUCAUCCAUCUUAUUUAGCAACACAAAAAUUUGAAGUUGCUGUUUCCAACAUAAUUUAUUAGCCACAUCUGCAAAUAAGGGAUUUAACGUAUGAAAUACCUAGCUUUCACCUUUUAUAGAGCCAAAUCCACACAAUAGUAACCAGAAGGGAUGUACAACAAGAUCGAUUCCAAAGGCCUUCCCUACUUCACAUUGCUUGAAUCAUUUAUAAAUCACCUCACCACUACUAUACCGUUUGUAACAUCUAAAAAAGACUAUUUGGAAGGAGAUAUAAUCUGUAAAACCAAUUUCACAAGUUCGAUUAGAUGAAGCAAAGUAACAGGCAUCCUGCAGAGUCAUAUAGAGAAAUGAUUAGCAAGAAAAAGCAGUUGUACUCUGCACAUGUAGAUCUCCGGAGAAAAUCGUAGUUUCAGACUAAAGGUAUAUACCUCAUAGAAGGACAGCAAAAUGGGAAUGUAUCUGGUGGAUGCUAAAACAGAUGUAGGAGGGAACUGUGGCAAUAUUAUUUCCUACUAAUCUGGAAAUAUGAGAUACUGUUUUUCCAAACACAAUUAUCAUAAGCUAGACAGAAAGCCCAACCCGACAAAAUCACCUAAGUUCCAAUUACACGGUCAAGCAAUCAACUUGGGAUCAAAUACGAAACAUAGAUUAUUAGGAAGAGGGUAAGUGAAAAACCAUUGUUGACUACAAAAUCUAAAAGACAACACCCCACCCCCAAAGAAUUCCUUUUCUUUUUCUCCUUCUCAACAGUCUCAAAGUUCAAGCUACUCAGCCAAGGAAACGGAAAUUAUUUGUACAAUUUCAUGGUAAUAGGAAAAUGGAUAGAAAGAUCUUCGAACAAACUCAAAUAACUGAUGAGUUGGGUAACACAAAAGCACAAGCUCUUAAGUGAAAGAUUGCGAUGUUCACAUAAACCAAUUUUGAACCCAGGUAAUCAUAUUCAAUCUCCUGUUAUGCAUACAAAGAGAUCAAGAAUUUCACAUUUGGUACACAUAUCAGCAUGAGGACCAGACUUGAAAGGGGAAAAAAAGCAAUUAUUUCAAACAGAUAACAAUGAUGUUUUGUCCCAUAAUUCAUAUUUCUCCCAUAGAGGUGGCAUCUGUAAGAACACCUAUGCAUUGAAAACUAGAUAUAGCAUUAAUAAGAAGAAUCUACAUGAAAGAACAAUUAACGACACAUUCAGGUAAACUUCUAUGCACCAACAGAUUAUAUUGCAUUUGGCAUUUCUAAUUCUUUUGCCAAUACCUAUGUUCCAUCUAUUGAAAUUCCUCAAAAGUGUCCUUUGCAGAUAUUCACUGUCCCUAAAUCCUCCAAGUUGCAGUAAUUCUCUGGCAUAAUAAUGCAUGUAAGACAUCUUGCUGACCUGACCUGGCAGAAUACAUCAAAGGCAAAAAAGAGCAAGAAAUUACAAUUGAUCUUUCAAAAAGUGAGAACCUUCCAAUCCAAUGAGAAACAACAAUCAACCCGUCAAUUUAACACUCGUUACCAUGUGGAUAAUUAAAAUAGCACUGGACCAACAAAAGCCACAGUUGACGACCAGCAAAUCACCCAAACUUGAUUCAACCUUAUCUAGUUGAAGUGCUCUAAGUAUUUAUGGAGACUGUAGCAAGAUGACAUGAAAUGAAGAACUAACCCAAAAACCAGGAGUCAUUUACAGUUGCAUAUCAUCAGUUUAGCAAGUAAUUUGGUCAUGUUGGAUUAAAGAAUGAUUCAACUGCUAGAGCACAUGAAAACAAUACUAGGCUUGACAGCAUAUUAUUCCGACCUUUAACGCAUGACCUUCCAUUACACCAUGGUAUUAGAAUUCUCUAGCACACAAAUGGAUAGCACAACCCAGUGAAGGCCUACCAAAAUAGCAGCUGGAGUACAUGAAGGCAAAACUAAGCUGACCAUACUCCGCAGUAUCCAAGGAAUAUUAAGCUAACCAACUUUCUCACUUCAAAGCAAUUACAGAAGAGAUUCUCCACAGCCUCUGCCAAUUGAAGCGAUGAAGCACCAACUUUGAGUCCUCUGUGACCAUCACCAGCCAACACUUCUCCGGAUUUCCCUCCGUCAUCUUCACUUGCCAGUCAGGAAAUCGAGCAAACUUCACAAAACCAAGUAGGAACAAUUGAGUCAACCAGCCAUUAGGUCGCAAAAGAAUGCUAGGAGCUGAACCUAAGAAGCUGGAGGUUUUUCAAACUAGAGCUGAAAUGGACGCAUGACCCACAGUGGUCCUUUGCUGGUCUCCAUAGCUAAAGCUCCAUGAGUAGCCGAAAAUGCAGCACCAGUGCUAGAACAAAUCGUAAGGAUGCCAGCUGAAAGAGGGCCUGUGAAGGAUAGAGCUUAUAAAAACCAGAAGAAUCAUGGGAUGACCACAUGCAAACAACCUUUUACCAUUCCAAGGAUGCAUUGUCAGUGUUUGGAGAAGCUCAAGAAACAUUGAGUUCCUGAUCCUUCUAUGAUUUCAUUCGUUUUAGAAGUGCCUUGUGAAAGCUCUCUUGGAUAUUUCAGCAUUUACAUCAAGCAAUGGAAUAAUAACUGAAUCCUACCAGUGAGUAAGAUGAAAUCAAUCCAGCAACUAACAUCAACAAACUACUAAUAAUGCUCCAAAGUUUAUGGGAACCCACUUAGUCAAACUCGAUAUUCUUUCUGAACUCUUUGGUACCAACUAAUGGGGCUUCUAACAUCAUCAACCAUAGAAGCUUUGAUCAAAUUAGUAUAGUGUAUUUAACUCAAGAUGGUUGCUUUGUGGGACAUAGUAUGAUUCUUUUCCCUUAUCAUUAUGUGCUAUUCAUGCAUUAGAAUUAAUGCAAGAUAGUUUUCAAAUGGAAUAUAGGAUACUGAAAAUUUUCCUCAAGAAACUUAUGGAAAUGAUUCCUGUGUUUUUCUUUUCAGCAAGUAAAUGAACUAACAAAAGCUUAUGCACAAUAUAAGUAAUUAUUUCACAGUACACCUGAUUAUGUCAAAAGACAUUCUAGUUAAUGUCUUGCCUGGCUCAAUAGUUUAGGUAUACGACAGAUGGCUUUACCAACUCUACAAACAUCAAGAUGCAUUCUUUGGAAGCCUUGGAGUAGGUAUACCCUGGACUCAAACCAAAUGAACAUGGAUCCAUAGUCAGAAAAAUUCGAAUUGCAAUUUUCUCAAUCGAUCCAAAUAAUUCAUGAUGCUUUUGCUUCUGCCCUGUUUGCUAGUUCAUCACAGCCACACCACUAGGAGAAGAGCUUGUGCUUGCAUUUUGGCAUUUCUAGAUUGAGACGAUUAUCUAAAUCUACAAAUGUAGACAGUUCUGUGAGACAAAAUGCAUGAAACUCAAUGAUUGGACAAAUUUUAUCACAAGUCAGUAGCAUAUGCAGAGUAAGGGAUGCCCUAUCAACAUAUUCCUUUUGCAAGGAAAUUCACUCUUAAGUGUAACUUAGAAAUAUGCAGUCAUGAACUGCAUGAUGAGCGUAGAGCAAACUAAAACCUCACAUUAGAAGGAUCACCAUAUAGGGUCCUUCAUCGAGCAUUUUCUUCAACCUAUACAAUGACCUUUGGCAUGCUAUCAAAAACCUGUACACGUCAGUUUUUCAGUACUUCCAGCAUUCCAAAAUCAAUCAAAUGUCAAGAAUCUCUAUUUUUCUGCAUAGGAUGAAGGAUCUUCCUUGAAAACUAAUGUCAAAUGAUGCGCUUUGAAAGCCUUUUCAUCUAUUUCCGCUACUGGCAUAACAAGCAGAACCAUUUUGUCAAAGCACAUAUUAACUUCCAUGAACAUCUCCCUUGGAUUCCUUGAGUUCAAGUAAGAAAACAAUGGCGACACUAUCAACCAGGAAAUAAUAAUGACAAGAUCAUAAAUCUUGAAAGAUAUUGCAAGCAGGAAAUACAAAUGAAAAUUGGGCAGUAGAUUUCAAAAAAGCAUAGGUUGAUUACCUGCUUUAUAUACCUUCAAUAGAAAAUGUGGAUCCUUCCAGUCUAUUCCUCAUCCGAGUCAUCUGCAGAGUAUGGACAUGGUACAUGUAAGUAUGUGGCAUUUGUAAUCUCAUAAUAUCGAUAAAUCUGCGUUCCAGAUAAUUCCGGAAUUGUUUUGAGCGACUUGCAUCCAAUGAUAUUCAGUUUUUCCAGAAACUCCAACCUAUUGAGGCCCCGAAUUUCAACCAAGUUUUUGCAGUCUCUAGCUUCUAAUCUCUUCAGACUCCCGGACUUUGGAAGGAGUAGCCUUUCAAUUGAAGUGCACCAAGAGAUUUCUAGUAUUUCCAAGGACUCCAACCUAUCGAGGCCAUGAAUUUCAGCUAAUUUCUUGCACCAACCAACAUUUACUGUCUUCAUACUUCCGGAUUUUGGAAGGUCUAGCCUUCCAAUCGAAGUGCACCUAGAGAUAUCUAGACUUUCCAAAUACUCCAAACUAUCGAGCCCUUGAAUUUCGGCUAAGUUUUUGCAAUCCCGAGCCACUAAUUUCUUCAGCAUCCCGAGUUUUGGAAGGUCUAGCCUUCCAAUUGAAGUGCACCAGUAGAUUUUUAAACUUUCCAAAUACUCCGACCUAUCAAGGCCUUCAAUUUCCGCUAAGUUUUCACAACUUGAAGCUUGUAAUUCCUUCAGCCUCCCGGACUUUGGAAGAUCUAGCCUUCCAAUUAAAACACAACCACAGAUAUCUAGCCUUUCCAAAAACUCCGAUCUAUCAAGGCCUUGAAUUUCGGCUAAUGUGUUGUACUCGUCGAAGACUUCGUCGUACCUGUCAACAUUCAAUUUCUUCAGACACCCGAAUUUUGGAAAGUCCAACCGUUUGAUUGAAUUCCGGCAUUUGAUAGUCAAGCUUUCCAAAUACAUCAAUUUGUCAAGACCUCGAACUUCAAGUAGCUUCGGACUAUAGUAGACAUGUAAUGUCCUUAGAUGGACAAACUGUGAAACGUCCAGCUUUUUGAUAGAUUCACAGCUAUUGACUUCCAAGACUUCCAACCUGAAGGGCGUGUUUAGGGAUUGUGGUGAUUCCGAUUCUUCAAUGUCCGUCGGUUGGGAGCAUUUUGAACUCUUUAAUUGCGUUGAUGGAAGCUCCUGGAUGCACUGGAGAUUAGGGCAACCGAGAACUUCUAGUUCCUUGAGAUGGGCUAGGUGGGAAAGCGAAGGCAAUUUGCGACUUUGACAAGUGACACCCAAAUAUGUUAAGCCGGAAGGAAGCUCCGGCAGCGAUUGGAGCUUGUGGCAGUAUCUAAAAUCAAGGCGUCGUAGGGAAGAAAGAUUAGCCAUGCUUUCUACCAAUAUCCCUUUCAGAUUUCUGCAAUUCAAAGCAAUUAACUCUCGGAGCUUUCUCAGACUCCCAAUACCAUUGGGUAAUUCUUCUAUACCACUGUCAGUAAUAUCUAGAAUCUCUAGAUUCUCCAAAGACCCUAUGCUAUUUGGUAAUGCAGAAAGGGAUGGAGUACUGGAUAGAUCGAGUUGUCGCAGUGAUUUUAAUUUACCUAUUUCUGUUGGAAGCUCCCCAAGGCAGAAACGAGGAACGGGGCGUUCGGCGCCUGCGUCGGCGCCUACCGCGAGAUGAAGCGUGUAGGACGAGCACAGCUCCAAGCGAAGGAGGCCCUCCUUCUCCAUGUCUUCAAUGGAAGCGUCGAUUCGCUUCAGUGCAGUACACCUCCAGAGGAUGAGAACCUCUAACUUCUCAAAAGCUGAGAGGAAGUCAGUAUUUUCCAAGGAUUUACAACAUGAAAGGUUUAGAUAUUUAAGCUUCUCUGCCAUCUAAAAAAAAAAAAAACAAUAAUGAUUGUCGAUGGGUGAGUGUAGAGUCAUUAUGAUUCAAAAGAAAGCAUAAAAAGAGAGGAAAAAAAAGACUUUAAUUCUUACCUUGAAAAAACUCCAUCCUCCCCAUUUCUCAUUUAUCCUACUUCUUUGCAAUUCGAGUACAGCUAAUUCCUUUACGCAAAAAUUGUUUACUUCAAAAUUAGCGGGACAAUUUGGCCAUUGAAGCCAUCUUAACUCCUCCAUUGAAUCCUUAAAAUCUCCACUCAGAUUUGCCCCGUCUAGGUGAAGGAAUCUUAGACUCGUCAAAUUCUUGAAUUGUUUUUUUGCAUAAAAAAUUCUGCCAUCUGGCCCAGGUAUUAUGCCAAAGCGUUUUGAGUUGCCUCCACUAAGAUUAAUUCCCUCAAUCUUGCCCGUUCCCUAUAAACAAGAAUCAAGAGUCAUUAGUACUAUAUCCAACUAAAGUAAUCAAAUAUCAUUUGUUCAUUUUGUGAUUGAUGUGCAUUAAUGCAUUCAAGAGACUAGCAAUAUGUAGAUAUGAUUUUUCUUUUUCCAAUAAACAAUAUUUAUAAAGGCUCUUACCUAAAAAAAAAAACAAUAUUUAUAAAGGCUAACAAAGUGAAGGAUGUCAACUUCCAUUUCGAAAUUUGGCCAUAUGUAGUCAGAUCUUAAAAAGAAUUAUGAUGUAAUGACUUGUAUAGAGUAAAAACUUUACAACUUGUAAUCUUCUUCUUUUUGGUACUGUAGCUUCAUUAUCAUAAUAGUUAAGACAUGCCUGCAUUUAAUCAAAUUGCAAAGUGCAAAAUCAAAAUUUGGCUUGUCAAUUUUAAUAGAUUUAUACUUUUUCUCUUGAACUUUCACAAAUGCAAUUACAAUCACAUGUUAAAUUAUACAAAAUAGAAUUUAAGUAAUUAUCUUCCGGACUUUUUACAAAGAAAAAGUAAAACAUUUCUCUUUUUAAUAGUCAUUGCGUGAAGUACGCUUGAUGAUAUACAUGUACAUGUAUACACAUGCAUAUAUAUUAUAUUUAAGGAAUUUCUGUUCCUAUCUUAUUUGGUAAGUUUUAAAUCAGUCCUUGUCCUACGAAUAUUGGUAAAUGGAAUUCCUAACGUAAUAUUACAUAAAAUUAGGAGUAAUGACUAAAAUUUCAUGAGAAAUGCAGGUAUCGCUAGUCCUAUUAUCUUAAUUUUAACAUCUAGAGAAUAUAAUUCUAUGAUUAAUAUAUCCUAAGUAGUUAUGAUUUAUAUAUCAUAACAUCAGAAUUGCACAAUGCACCACCGGAUAAAAGGGGGCAAAAAAACAGAUGUUCCGACGACAAAUUCACUGUCGCCACAGCCCAAAAUGCAUUUUACACACCUGGAAAAAUGUAUCUUCGUUGGAGAACAAGCGAAAUUGGCAUGGAUGAAAGGAUAAAUAAAAGCGAGAAAAACCUCGGAAGCAGCGAGUCGGCAAGUAAAACUUACCCCACCACAGAUUAGGUGUUAUUACGAAGACUUCUAGGAAAAAAGAAAAAAAAAAGGGGGGGAGUUAGAAAUAAAACUCCUUUUUAUUUCGACACAUUCAUGACGCUUCAAAAUGGAAAUAGCCGUUCCAACUACUCCAAAAGUCAGAACGGAAGGGGGAAAAUGAAGAGGCCAUGAGAUCCCAGCCGAACUCUUUUUGAUGAAAAAAAUUAAUUUCUCGCCAUCGACUCAAAUAAUUGAAAUAACCAUCUAAAAGACUUGUUUGGAGUAACUUUUUUUCUUCAUCUUUUGUUUUUUUAUUUUUUUUUCUCAAGAGCAUGCACUUUGGCUAUUUUUUUAGUGGUAUAUCCCUAAAACUUGUUGAGCCGCCCAAUCGUACAUGAGUUUUUUCAUAUUUUCUGAAAUUUGAGCGAUGUUCUCUCUUUUGACGGAAGAGCAAGAUAUUCACUUUUGGUUUUUUUAGUUAGUUGCGGCGAGCAAUCUAUCUCGCCCUCUGCUUCAGCCUGUCUAUUUCUUGCCAAUGACAAAGAAGGACAAUUGGAUUUUGUCUAAAAGGUAUCUUGGGAGUACUUGUUAAGUAACCUGGCUGAAAGAAUAAAUUAUAAGAUGUGGUUUUUAUUAAAGUAUUGAUUUAACAUAAUAUGACAACAUUAAAAACUCGUGUUAAAUAACCUGGCUGAAGAAAAAAACUCUAUAUGAACUGAUUUUUUUAAAAAAAUAUUGAUUUAACAUAAUAUGAGAAUGUGAAAAUCAUGAUAGUCAUCUUAAAAGAAAAACAAAGAUUCUCGGCGAAGGGCCAUUUAUCAACUGAAAAGUGAUACGUGAAAUAUGAGAUUUUACUAACUAAUAAAUCAUACAAGAGAUUUAAUAUGUAUAUAUAUAUAAAUACAUUUGCAACGUACACUUACUUUCAUAUGAUAGGGAAUAUUAAUAUAUGAGAGAAAAACCAUAAAAGGAAAUACUUUCUAAAAGGGAGCAAGCUCCCUACUUUCUAAUCAUGUCAAUAAAACAUAUUCGAGGGCAAUAAUAGUGAAGGUUCAUAGUCCACUAGAGCAAGCACUAAGUAGUGGACCAAUAUUACUAUUAAUAGUAGAACAUUAACUAAAUGAGAAUAAGAAAGGAAAUGGUUACCUUACUUCCCUUUAGCACUUUUUCGACUUCCUCAUAGUCCCAUAACCUACUACGGCACCAAGGCUUCAGUUGGUUUUCCUCAUGAACUAUUUCCCUCCCAAGAUCUCUCAAUUGGUCAUGCAUUCUAAGCCUAUCAUCACUUCCAACUUUUAUUAAUGACAUGGAUAUCAAUACUUCAAUUCCCUCCCCUGGGAAAAAAUCACAAGCGUCCCACAUGUAGAUUGGGAUUGUCUUUUUUUCGCCAAUGAAAAAGCAGGCGAUAUCCAAAAAAAUUUGUUUUUGUCCAUGGUCUAAUGCUUCGUAACUUAUUCUUAACUUUUCUUGCACUUCCCUAUUUGGGACUUUUUUUAACUUCUUUAUUGUAUCUCUCCACUGUUUUGACUCUUUUCCACACAAUAAUGAACCAAAAAUCUCAAGGGAUAAGGGAAGCCCUCCAGCGAUGGAUACAACUUCAUGAGUGAGGUCGUUAAAUUCCCUCGGAGGAGAGUUCCUUCGAAACGCAUGUUUGCUAAAUAGAAUCAAAGAUUGAUCCUUGUCCAUUUCCUUAUGGUCAUAAGGAUAGUCCACCCUAACUUCUUCAAGAAUCCUCUUGUUUCUGGUGGUAAUAAUGAUCCUACUUCCCGAAGCAAACCAAUCACGAUUACCAACCAAACACUUCAACUGAACGACGCUGUCCACGUCAUCAAGAAGAAUGAGGACCUUUUUACCUUUAAAAUUUGUGGAUAUGAGUUUAGUCCCUUCAUCCUCAUUACGAGUUUCAUUUUUUAGCUUCAAUAUAUCAUAGAUUAACUGAUUCUGUAAGUAAUGUCUACCGUUACGCUUCCACAAUUCCCUUAUAUCAGCAAUGAAGCUACGAUGCUCAAAUUCAUUGGAGAACUUGUUGUAAAUGGCUUUAGCAAGGGUAGUCUUGCCAAUGCCUCCCAUUCCGUGGAUGCCAACAAAUAGGGUGUCAUCAGAUUUAUUACACACAAACUCCAUAACCUUCUUUACAUGAUCAUCAAUUCCGACCAAAUUCUCAGAAAUGACCAACUCAAACUUUUUCUUCAAUUCAUUCAACACUUUUCGGACAAUCGAAUUCACCAACUUUCCUUCAUACCUGUCAAACGUGACAAGAGUUGAAAUAUGUGGCUACAAUAAUAUUAUGUUGUUUUAUUUAUAGAGGACACAAUAAAUUUGGGGAUAGAUUGAAAAGCUUUAAAAGUCGUUGCUGUCAUACCUCCAUAUGUUAUCAUAUAUGCUAAGUCUAAAGUGGGAAAUGAUGGUGGUUGCUUCACAUGGCGUGCCCCAUUCCACUGUUACUCUAACAUAAUUUAUCAAGCUAGGAAAAUCUUGAGGAUAUAACUUAUAAAUUUUAAAUAUGGUAUAUAGUUUUGGAUUUGAACCGAAUUUUAAACUGGUUAUCUAUUAAAGAUACUAGGGACAAUGUGAACAUGACUUUGAAGAUUCUCUAGAGUGUUUGAAUAAGCAAAAAUCCAAUAAGCCAACCCAAGAUGAGAGUUAACCAUCAAUCAAUAAACAAGUCAUAACUUUUGAUGCAAGAUGAUUUCAAGUCUCGUAAAACCAAUCCGAAAAGUUAUUUAGAUUGUGAUAUUGUGAACUACUUGAAUGCAAUUGAAGUGAUUCUUCUUGUGUGUGCAAUUCUACUGGUUUGUAAGUUUCUACUAGUGUUGUGAAUUUAGUAUCAUUCUAGAUUGGUGCACUUAUCAAUAUUCAUUGCCUCUAAGGAUGAUAAGAUAAUAGGUUGUACUUUAUUUUCUUUUUGAGUAUCUAUGUUCGAUGAUUUGAUCUAAUAUUGAGUUUAUAGGGAAGUAGAAGAAUACUUUUUACCCAAAAUAAGAAUGUCGCUUCAAUAGAUGCAUGUGCAUGAGAUAGAAAUUACUUGUUGAAGAUAAGAAAUGCUUUGAAAAUUAUUUAAACAGACAUACACUAAAAAUAAUCAUUUUUUUAUCAUCAUCUUAUAUAACCAAUGAAACAUUUCUUUUCUAAAAAAAAAAAAUUAAUAGCAACCAAUCAACGAUAUCAAUGAUUUAAUAAAUGUGACUUGGGAAGAUAAAGAAUUAUGGCAAAGCUUGGACGCUAUGAUGUUAUGAGCUUUAAAUAAAAAUUCACCAAUCGGUUGUACCAUUAAUCUCAAGUAAAUAUGUAAUUAGAAAAGUUUGUAACAGAGAUUAACGUGAUGUACACUAUAAACAUGAAAAAAAAAAUGGCACAAUAUCACAAAAUCUUUGGAUAUAAGAGUCAAAAUCCAUUCAAAAAAUCUUAUUAUUGAACGGGAUCAUAACAACAAAGUUUAUAAUUAGAUUGGUCAAUAUCAUUAAAGUGAAAAACUAAAAAAAAAGAAAAGAAUAACUUAUAGAAUUCAUGCAUCACAGGAUCUUACUACCAGCAACAUCUCACAAUAUCAAUAUCCAUAUAUAAAGAACGUAAAUGAAGCACGUGAGAAUCAAAACAAUCAGUAAAUGCACAUACAUAUCAAAAGAAAGUAGAGAAUGUUUUGGUGAGGAACUUUACCCGUCAGCUUCAUAUCCUUUCAAGGUGCUGACUUCAUCAAGUGCUUUCUUCCAUUUCUCUAAAGUUGUUGGGUCGAAAGAAGACCUCUCACGCAAACGACUCUCACGCUCAUGAAAUGCCUUUCCAAACCUCCCGGUUUGAUAUCGCACUUCAGCUGGUUUCACUUUGUAGAAUAUAGGCAACACUAUUUGUCCGUUAUUAUUCUUGCGUUCCAUUAUUUGAACUAGUUCAUCCAGACACCAACUACUUGUACCAUAAUUCUUGGAGAAAAUGGGGAUCAGGAUCUUACUGUUUGUGAUGGCUGCCAUAAGCUCUGAUUUGAUGUCCUCGCCUUGGCAAAGCUCGUCAUCGUCUCUAAAAGCACGAAUUCCAACAUCACAGAGCCCAUGGUAUAGGUGAUCGGUGAAGCGUUUUCGAGUAUCUGGGCCUCUGAAGCUCAAGAACACCUCGUAACAGUUUCCAGUCGACAUAGUCAACGAACUAGAUGAGCUAUUGUUAGUUUCUGUUGGAGACGAACUAGAUCCAACGGAAUUAGUUUCCGUUAGCACAGUCAACGAAUCAUAUGUGCCAGUGUCAGCUUCAUCUGCAUUUCCACACACGCUAGCUUUCUUCUUGUUGAGAAAAUAUAACGUAAGCCCGAGGAGAAGGAUCGGUGCCACAAGCUCAGCGAAGAAAAAUAACCGGAAAGGCCCUCAGAAAACAGGAAAUGCCUUCUUGCCUAUUCUACUGUGGUCUGUUAAAAUUUCAAUACAGAUGAAGCGGUGGAUAUUUUGGGCAGAUGAAAAGUGCAGAGAGACUUACGACGAGACUGUGACAUGGAUUUGUGGGAGAAGACGAAAAGUGGGAAAGAGGGAGAUAGAGAGAGACGGAGAUUCGUCCAGUCCAAUAUUUUCCAGAAAAGUGCUCGGAACGGAUAAAAACAUCAAAGCGUCAGAAGUGUGAACCCCCCCCUGCCUAGUCCACCGCUUGCACCAUUGAACUGUCCUUUUCUUUUGUUCAUUUAUUUUCCAUCAGAGAAGGUAUAUUUAAGCUCUUAAUCUCACUUUUGAAUUUUUUUUUUUUUUGGGUAUUAAUCCUACUCUGAAAUUUAGCCUCCUUACUUUGAGCCUUUUAAGUAUUGUACUGUCAAACAGAUAAGCUUCAUUUUAAUGCUGAAAUGUUGUAUUGUUAACAGUCACUUAUUCUAAAAAAUUAUGUUGUUUACGCGUAUCGAUGUCCAUGAAAAAUUAUCAAAUUGCUAUUUAUAUAUAUAUAUUAUAAUUUUGUAACUGAGCACAAUGAGAAGAAUGUCUUUUUGGCUCUGGUUCAGCUUUAAUUUCUCCUUCUUUUUUGUUGAACCUUAAUUUCUCAUUCAAAUCUCAUAAAUAAAUAAAAAUGCCUUUUUGUUUUUUACUUUUCUUUAUAAUACAUAUAUUUCUUUAUUGAUUUGAUUUAUUUAAUACAAUCAGUUGGCACCCACCAAUAAUUCUUUUUCAUGGGGUGGAAGUUUCAAUGCACAGGAGAAUCCAAGGAACCCCUACCUAGGAAGAAGAAAACAUGUGAGCAAGUUUCGAUGCACAAUAAUGAAAAAAAAAAUCCAAAAUAAAAAGACAAUUGCUGUUAUGGUAUUGUAAACUAAGGAUGACCAUUUUUAGGUACGGUCCCACCCAAGAACCGCAAACAGAAUUAGAAAGAUUAAUUCCUAAUUUUGGGAAUCGAGGAUUAGAACCAACUCGAUCAAACAGAACGGGUCACUAAAGAUAUAACCUAGCAACUAACCCUAGAUCUAGGAAAAAGAGAAAAUAGGUUUACGUCAUCUAUCUCCUUGGAUAACAGUUUUGCAUCAUGUCAUUCAUUGAGAUCAUAAUAUUAGGUAAGGGUAUGGUGAAUUUUUUGAGAGAGCACAAGAAAUUAUCAAGUUUUCAGUUUUAUAAUUGUAUAUAAUAAUAAUAUUUAGAACUUAAACAAAACUUUUUCAACCAUAAAAACUUAAAUAAUUCUAAUUCCACAAAGUUUUUUUUUUGGUCAAAAAAUUCCACAAAGUUUACAAAGUUCACAAAGCUAUUUCCUUGCCUACGUCGUACCAAUUAUAGUCUCAUCUUUCGGAUUACUAUCAUUUUUAAAAUAAAGUAGUCAAUUUCAAAUAUGUUGAGUUUAUAUAUAUUUCAAAAUCAAUAAAUUUGAAUUUACUUUUCUUUAAUAUUGUGAGGUGGUCCAGCCCUUGCAUGUUAUGAGGUAAAUUUAUCACCAUCUUUGGACAAAAUGAUAAUCCAGAAGAGUACAAGCUCCCAUGUACACGCUUAUAUGAUGUCUAUAUGCACAAAUCUUCUGAUAAAAUAAAUUUUUUAUCAUAAUAUUCAUGUGAAUGUUCGAUUUUAAUCCUUAUAAAUUAUUUUAGUGACAAAACUUGUCAAUAACAUAUCUGUUAGAUUUAUUAAAUGUUUUGACCCUUUACAAAAUUAAAUUCAUUUCCUUAGAUAGUCCAAAUCAAGCACAUAUUCGUGUGCCCUUUUUUUGCUAGUGACUUGAAUAAGCGAACUAAUAUAGGUGGACUGAUUCCUAAUUUUCUGAUCAAACAUAAUUUCGUUUUGGAUAUAAUUUCCGCAUCAGUUUGCUGAUGUGGAUUUUUAUUGACAUAAAAAUGCCACGUCAAAACAACUGAUAAUGUUUUUUAACGUAGGGUUAACAAGGCAAAUUUGAAAUAGGUAACUGUUUUUUUUAGAUUAAAAAAAAAAAUUUGUUCGAGCAUCUUUUAGAUUGAACAUAAAGUUUAAGAUAUUUUCAGAGAAAAAGAUUGAGGGUGGAUUUAGGAUUGGAUCCGAAGUUGAUUUUCUUUUCUUAGAUAAACAAUUUCAAAGUAGAAUUAAAACUGGAUUUAAAAUUUGAGAUUUUUUAGGAUAUUAGGCCUAUAUAAAAAGAGGGAAGAGAAAAAUGAGGAGUUUCACUUAUUUUAAUCAUCCAUGGGCAGAUUUGUAAUUAUAUAGCAUUUAAUUUUCUUUCUGUCCCUUUGCCCCGUGGUUGGGCCUCGCCAAUCCUUCCUUAACUCGAGAUCAUCGCUCUUCUCUAAAAUGGCUGAGCCUAUCACUUUUUUCUCUAUUUAAUUGUCAAGUUAACAAUACAUUUUUUUUUAAAUAUCAACUUAUUGAUUUCAUUCAGUCAUAUUUAUUAAUUUCACAAUUUCUUAAUCAACCCAAGCCAAUUUAAUAAAUCAAAAUUUACAAUUUUUUCCGACACGUUUUUUCUUGGUUUGGUUUCGCCAUUGCUAUAAUAUUUUUCCCUUCUUCUUGACUCGGUCAAAAGGUGGGCUUUUAAAAAUAGAAAAAGAAAAAGAAGAGAUAGAAAGGCAAAGGGGCGUGCUCGCACCAGGAGAGAAACGAAAAGAAAGGGAAAAAGAAAGCGGAAAAAAAGUGGGGCUUCCUUGCGCGCGUGGCUCGACAAUUCUCUCUCUCUCUCUGUCUUUUCAUAUUUUCAUUUCACAUCCUCCCCGAGAAUCUGCCCCCGUCUUUCUUUUUCUUUAUUUACUUUUUCCGACCACUUUCUCAUUUUUUUUUUUUUUUAUCAAAGUUUUCUCUCUUUGGCCGACCGUAAUCCGCUCUCUGUAUUUCUCUUUUUUUUUUUUGGUAAAAUUAUUUCUCCUUUUUGGCCGUGAAGGAAAAUCCCUGCCUACAUUUCUCGUCUUCUUUGGCCGCAAAUUCCGGUCCCGUGUCGAGAUUGCCCUCUUGUCAAAGAUGGAAACUGCUCUCCCUUGACCUCAUCCUCGAGGUUCUUGCCAUUGUUCAGGGCGGAUUUGAAAUUAAAUAUAAAGUUUGAAAUUUUUUUAAGAAAAAAAAAUUAGGAACUGAUUUAGCAUUGAGUCUAAAUUAAGGAUUUUCUGAGUUAAAAAAUAGUUCGGAUAAAAUUAACACGGAACCCAAAAUUUGAGUGUCUUUGAGAGAUACAAAGGGAAAAGGGAGAGCACAAACCAAGAGAGAAACUAAAAGAAAGGAAAAAGAAGAAAAAAAGGAAAUAAAAGGAGAGGGGGGGCUUUGCAUGUGCAGUGCCCGGUAAGGGUUUUAAGUCCUUUAUUCGUCUAAUCGGGACGGUUUUCAGAAUUAUAAUAUAAAUUAGAAAAUUAUAUGAAAUUUAUAUUACGAAAUUCAAUUUUAAAAUUGUUAUAUUAUUGAAUUGAUUAACUUCAUUUCAAAACUUAUAAGUUUAACGAAUUAACACAUGUCAAGGAUCAUAAAAAUUUAUCAACAUAUUAUAUAUAUUUAUUUUGUAUCCGAGCAUCAUGAAAAGAAUUUCCUUAUUGCUCUGGUUCCAUCUUAAUUUCUCCCGCAAAUCUCAUAAAAUAAUAAAAAUGCAUUUUUACUUUUGCUCUUACUUUAUUUUAUAUAUAUUUCUUCAUUGGUUUUAUGGCAUACACUAACAAUUCAAACUUGCCGAACUAGACAUAAAUUAAUAAUUCGAUGACCGGGACUACCGACCAUGCAUUUAUAGUCGUUGCCUUCAUGAGGGGGAAGCUUCAAUGGACGGGAGAAUCCAAGGCGAUGUUGCGCAGGAAGAAAAUAAGAAGAGGUGAGCAAGUUUCAAUGCAAAAGCAAUUAAAAAAGGUAAAAGCAAAAAUAAAAGACAACUACUUCAUUGGUACCCGUGAAAAGUGGUCAUAAUUGAUGACAGCGUCAAGACAAUUGCUACACCAUUGAACUUUCCUUUUCUUUUUCAAUUUAUUUUCCAUGAAAAAAGUUACUUUUGUUAAAUAUAUUUAAAUUCUUGAUCCCAAUUAAAAAUUUACAUUAAACUUGAACUUGUUAAAUAUUACCAUAUCAAAUUGACGAAUUUCAUUUUACUAUUGAAAUUUUGCAUUAUCAACGAUCACUUAAAUCUACAAUAUAUAUAAAGACUUUGGAUGAGAAAGUAAAGAAAAAAACUCUAAUGACUUGAUAUCCUAACUCCUCCUGGGGCGGGGAAGGUUGCAAUUUAGGACUUUCCUUGAAUUUCUCCCUUUAUUGCUUCUUGGACAAACCAAAGGGCAGCCAAUAGCAUUGUAUUAGAUCCAUAAUAAAUAUAGUCUAGAACGAAGAAUGGACCAAAAUAACUUUUGAUGACACAUACUUUUUUACACACAUCUACCUUAAUUUUGCUAGUAAUUGAAUAUGAUGGCAAAUAUAGGGGGAAGAUUUUUCAAAUAUAUAAUAGGACAUGGACAACGACUUGCAAUCCAUCUGGACAAGAAAUGGAUGCAUGGAUCACUGAUAAAUUUUAUUAUUUCUCGGAUUAACCAAAAAGCAGCUAACGUUGAAUAAGAAUUAGUACAAUGGUAGAUUUCUAUAACCCUUACUACAUAUUUUUAAGGCGAAGACCACUUCGAACACAUCAAUGUUCCAUAUAUAUUGUCUUUCCUCUUGUCUAACUUCUUUUCUAGAUAGACUAUUCAACUGUAAGACAACUCUUUCUAGUUCCUUCGCACGUUUAUUUCAACCUCGCUCCAAAUCCUUGAUCUUUCCCUUGUUGUCACUGCUUCCCUCGCGUGCCUGUGUCAUGGAUUCAUGGGAGAAAAUGAAAAGUGGAGAGAGAGAGAGAGAUUCAUCCUGUCCAAUAUUUGCCAUGUCCUAUCCAAUAUUCUCCACAUAAGUGCUCAAAAUAGAUAAAAACAUACAAAGCGUCAAGACAAUGAAAAAGGCACGCUUAGUCCACUGCCUACACCAACGAACUUUCCUCUUUCUUUUGUUAAUUUAUUUUCCGUCAAAAAAAAGUGUUUUUCGUAAAAUAUUUUUAAGCUCUCGAUCACACUUAAGAAUUUACCCCUCUUACUUUGAGCCCGAUACAUAUUAUACAGUUAAACUGAUAAACUUCAUUUUAGUACUAAAAUGUUGUAUUAUUAAUGAUAACUUAUUCUAAAAAAUUAUGUUAUCAAAGCAUGUCAAGGAUUAUAAAAUUAUCAACAUGCAUAAAUGUGUAUAUAUUCAUUUGGUACCUAAUUUCCCCUUCAAGUAUCAUAAAUAAGUCAAAAUGCCUCUUCACUUUCGCUUUUGUUUUUGCUUUUACUUUAUUUUACAUAUAUUAUUGAUUUAAUUUAUCUAAUCUAAUCGGUUGUCAUGCAUGAUAAUUCAAACUUUUCAAACUAGAUAUAAAUUAAUAAUUCAUUGAUCAGGACCUAUAAACAUGCAUUUAUGGUCAUCGCCUUCAAUUGGUGGAAUUUUCAAUGCACAGGCAAAGUGAACUCCAAGGAAAUGUAGAUGUUACAAAAAUGGAUUAAACAAACUUUCAGUGAAAUCGCAGCUUUUUUGCUCUCUGUCAUUUCCUCAUGCAUGCCCCGACAAUUUCUCCCUCUCUCUUCGUUUUUGUCUUUUCACCGCCUCUGUUCUUCUUUUCUUUCUUUCUUUUGCAGACCACUUUAUCAGUUUUUCUUUGUAAAAGCUCUCUUUCUUUUGCGGACCAUAACCCUCUAUCUCUCUCUCUCUCUCUCUCUCUCUCUCUCUCUCUCUCUCCCCUUUUCUUGGCCAGGAAGAAAAGCACCAUUUUUUUCUUUUUCGAGCUCCCUUUGGCAACUAUUGCAUGUGGAAAAAUGCCCCACCCACUCGGCCGAGAAUCCUCUGCUUUUUCAUGCCCAGAUUUUCUUGUCUUCUUUGACCGUGAAUUUCAAUCUCUGAAUGCCGAGAUUUCCCCUUGUCGAGCUGAAAAUUGCUCUCUUGACCUCAUCUUCAAGAAUUUUUGUUGUUAUUUGGAACACAUUUGGGAUUGGAUAUAAAAUUUGAAAAAAAAAUUAGACGAAGAAAUUGAGGAUUGAUGUAACAUUUGGUUUAGAGUUGAGGUUUUUGCAAAAUAAAAAAAUUCGGAAUAAAAUUAGGAUUGGACCUAAAAUGUAUGGGUUUUUAAGGGAUUAGGAUCGUAUAAAAGAAGGAAAGAGGAAGUUGAGGACUUCACCUGUUCUCAUCAUCCGGGGGGGCAUAUUUGUAAUUGGAUAUCAUAUGAAAAUUUUAUUUCUACCCGUACUCACAGGGCGCGUUUGGUAACGAUUCUGUUCCCGGGAGCUGAUUCUGAGCAGAAUUGAUUCUUUUUGAUUCUGUUCCCGGGAACUGAUUCUAAGCAUUUUAAGCCGUUUGGUAACUGUCCAAAAUUUCUGAUUCUGAAAUAGAAUUACGUUUGGUACCGUAUUUAUUAAUUCUGUUCCAAAUCAAUUUCUUUUAAUUUUUAAAUAAUUUUUUUUUUUACUUUUUUCCUUUGUUUUCUUUUCAUUUUUUAAUUUUUAAUUUUUUUCUUUUCAUUUUCCUUUUUUUUCUUUUCAUUUUUUCAUUUUUUCAUUUUUUUCUUUUCUUUUUCUUUUCUUUUUCUCACCUUCUUCUUCUUCUUCUUCUUCUGGCCGGCCGCCGGACCGGCGACCGGCCAGACGAGGGCCGGCGACCUCACCAGAGCGUCGCCGGCCCUCGGCGAGGCCGGCCCUCGUCGGCCGAGCCUCGCCGGCAGCCCUCGCGGCCGACGGGCGAGGCUCGCCUAGCCCCGCCGAGGCUCGGCCGAGCCAGAUCUGGCGAGGCCGAGCCCCGCCGGUGGCCAGGCCGACCUCGUCGGGGUUGGGCGAGGCCUGCCAGGCCACCGGCGGGGCUGGGCGAGGCUCGNNNNNNNNNNNNNNNNNNNNNNNNNNNNNNNNNNNNNNNNNNNNNNNNNNNNNNNNNNNNNNNNNNNNNNNNNNNNNNNNNNNNNNNNNNNNNNNNNNNNUUCUCUCUUUUCUACCAAGUUUUUGUCCAUUUCUUAUUGCAAAGGAGUGGACAAGCCCACUACUCUCCUAUCUAUUUAAUUAUGAAGUUACCAAUUAAUCAUUUAAUCAAAUUUAUUGAUGUCACAAUUUCUUAAUCAACCCAAAGCCAAAUUCAUAAAAAUUUUCCAAUUUUUUUUUUGGUUUAGUUUAGCAAUUGCAAUCUUCCUUUAACACUUACAAUUUGUAAUGCAUGUUAAUUCAAAUAUUUAUAUUAUUAAAUGGAACUAAUACGUGCAGUAUUAGUUCAAUAUUUUAAAUAAUACUUUAACAUAAUGCAUGUGGUUCCUCUUAAAUAAUGAGGGGUAGCUAUGUUAUUGAAAAUGUAAAUAGGUUUUACUUGCCAUCCAUAAUACACCUAGGCAUAUUAUUCUCAUCCAACAAUUUAUUUUAUAUAGAUCUAUUUCUAUUAAAUAACGAGGGGUAACUAUCUUUAUAAAUAUGUUAAAUAGGUUUUACUGAUCACUCAAAAUAUAUCUAAGCAUAUUAAUGUUGUUAUUCAAUUUGGUUGGUGCAAGAUGUGAAGCAAUUUGUAUGUUCAAUAGAAGAAGCUAUAUUUUGAUAUCCACUUGUGACAAUGCAAGCUAAACGAAUUAUCAGUGCUAUUUAUAUACCAACAAUCCAAACUAAACUAUCGGUACUUGAAAUCGUGAAGUGUUAAGAAAAAUAACAAAAGAUUGCUCUUGGCACGAGCACUCCUUUUUAUAGUAUCGAUUUACAAUACUUUACCAAUGCUAAAUAAUCACAUUAGUUUCCUUCUUAUUGAGAAAAUUGAACGCAAGCAUGGAGAGAAGGAUCGAUGCCAUGAACACGGCAUAAGAAUGCCCAAAAAUGGGACAAUGCAUUUCGGCUUUGCUUUGGCUCUGUCCUUGAUUUUCCCCUUCAAGUCCGACGGUAAAAAAAGACAUAAUGCGUCUCAAGAAAUAGAAAAUGCCUUCUUGUUGCCCAUUUUCUUGUGGUUUGAUUUAUGCAAUGGAUAAGUCAAGCUUUGUCGACCACGUGCUUAGAGAUGUUGCCUUCACACGGCUGAAAUCUCAGUGCACAAGAGAAUCCAAAGAUUAUACGCAUGUUGGGAAGAGGAAAAGUGGACAGAGACUUGGGAUGAGACUUGACAUAAAUUUGCGAGAGAAAAUGAAAAGUGGAUGAGAGAGAGACAGAGAGAUCCGUCCUUUUCAAUAAUUUCCAGACAGGUGCUCAGUAAAUGAUAAAAACAGGCAAGGCAACAGUACAUUGAAGAGGGCACGCUUGGUCAGUCAGCUGCUUGCACCUUUGAACUUUCCUCUUUCUUUGUUGAUUUAUUUUCCAUUGGAAAAAGUAUUUUUUGUUAAAUAUAUUUAAGCUCCUGAUCUCACUUAGGAAUUUACCCCUCUUGCCUUAAGUCCGUUAAAUAUUAUAAAGUCAAAUCGAUAAACUUCAGUUUAAUACCGAAAUGAUGUAUUGGCAAUAAUUUAUUCUAAAAAAUUAUGUUAUCAAUAGGUGUUGGGAUCAUAAAAAAUUAUCAACUUGAUGAGAAAAUUUUCUUUUUUGCUUAGGUACUAUCUUAAUUUCUCCUUCAAGUUUCGUAAAUAAAUCAGAAUACCUUUUUGCUUUUGCUUUUACUUUAUUUUAUAUAUAUAUAUAUAUAUAUAUAUAUAUUCAUUGAUUUGAUUCAUCUAAUCCAAUCGGUUGACACGCUCUUAUAAUCCAAAUUUGCUGAACUAGAUGUAAAUUAGUAAUUCAUUGACCGGGACCACUAAACAUGCAUUUAUGGCCGUUGAAGUUUCAAUGCACAGGAAAAGUAAACUUCAAGGAAACGUAGAUGCUAUAAAAGUAGAUUAACAAUCUUUAUGUAAAAUUGUAACUUUUUACUCUGUCCUCUCUCCACGCGUGCCCCGACAAUUCUGUCUCUCUUUCUUCAUUUUUCUUAUUUUCACCUCCUACGUUCUUUUUUCUUUCCUUUCUUUUUGCGGACCACUUUCUCAGUUUUUCUUCAUAAAAGCUUUUCUCUCUUUUGCGGAUCAUAAGCCUCUCUCUGUAUCUCCAUUUCUUGACGGUGACGAAAAGCUCCGUCGUACUUUUUUGUCCUCUUCUGACAAUGAUCGCAUGCUGAAAAAUUGCCCACCCCACUUGGCCGAGAAUCCUCUGCUUUUUCUAUGCCCAUAUUUUCUUGUCUUCUUUGGCCGCGAAUUCCGGUCCCUGAAUGCGGAGAUUACCCCCUUGUCAAGAUGGAAAUUGCUCUCUUGACCGUGUCCUCGAGGUACUUGUGGUUAUUUGAGGUUCAUUUGAAACUGAACAUAAAUUUUGAAAAUUCUUUUUAGAUGAAAAAAAUGGGGGCCCAUUUAGCAUUGGGAUUAAAGUUGAGGGUUCUUUGAGACAAAAAAGAAGUUCGGGAUAAAAUUAAAAUUGAAACUAAAAUUUGUGGGUCUUUAGGUAACUAGGACUGUAUAGACAGAGGGAAGCAAAGCUUCACCAGUUUUGAGAAUCCGUGGGCAGAUUUGUAAUUAGAUAGCAUGUAAUAAUUUUCUUUCUCCUCUGUUGAUGGCUGGGUCCCACCAGUUCUUGCUUUUUGUCAUUUCUUAUGUCGAAUGAGUGGCUGGGCCACCAGUCUUCUCCUAGUUAAUUAUGAAAUUACCUAUUAAUCAUUUAAUCAAAUUUAGUGAUUUCAAAUUUUCGAUCAACCCAAAGCCAAAUUGACUAAAUUUUUUUUCUGGCCAAUGUUUUUCUUGGUUUCGUUUAAGCGAUUGCAAUCUUGCUUAAACACCUAUAAAUUAUCGUAUGCGUUAAUUCAAAUAUUUAUAUCAUUGAAUGGAGUUGAAACGUUCAAUCUUAAUUUGUUUUAGAUUAAACAUAACUUUACGCAAUACUUAAAUAUAAAUGCAUGUGGUUCCUCUUAAAUAAGGAGAGAUAACUAUGUUAAUAAAAAUGUUAAAUAGGUUUUACUUACCACCCAAAAGUAUAUUAUUCUUAUUUAACAAUUAUCUGUUACUCUUAAAUAACAAGGUGUAGCUAUCUUUUAUAAAUGUGUUAAAUAGGUUUUACUCACCAUUCAAAAUAUAUCUAAUCAUGUUAAUAUUGUUAUUCAACUUUUUUUUUUGGUCGGAUAUUUUUAUUCAACUUGAUUGGUGCAAGAUGUAUUCCCAUUGCCAUCAUUCACUCUUCGUUUCUACGUAAAAAAGACCAACUCAUUGGUUCGAUGUCACCCUCUCAUUUAGACUUCCAAGCACCUAAUACCUCUAUAUUCGUCCAAUUCUCUAUCGAACACAAUUCGAGUUAGAUUGACAAUUACAGUGUUUCCUCUCGGGAAAAGGAAGUGUAGCACAUUUAGGAAAAGUGAAAGGAGUAAGAACGAGAUAAGGCCAAUGACUCGAAGGGCAAACACAGCAAGCCAUUGUUGAAGAAACGAACACACUGAAUAAAGAAAAAGGAGAACUUUCUCGAAUCGAAGCAAUACCCAGGAGAGAUUGUCCAUAGGCUCUGCCAAUUGAAGCGAUGAAGCACCCACCUUCGAGUCAUCCAUGACCAUCGCCAGCAAAUCCUUCUCCGGAUUCCACUCACCCUGUCUUCGCCCAUUAGGUCGCGAAAGAACGCCGGGCGGAAGCCGAAUUCGAGAAGCCAGGCGGUUUGUCGAACUGAAGCUGAAACGGAGGCACACGCUGCGACCCUGCCUCGUCUCCAUAGCUAGAAAGCUCUGCUGGAGUAAGAACAAGGAAGGUGGAGAGAGGUGGGAAUUGGGCCGUAAAGGGCCACCGCGGAUCAACUGGGCCGGGCAGGACUUUAUAGCCUUGCCAAACAACGCCCCGAGGGCCCUUUCAGGCCCAAUGAGACAUUACAUUGAUGCGAGUGUGGUGGAUUAGUUUAUGAAACGUAAUUUCGAAAAAGCGGUGCGACCAUCCUCAUUUACUCUUGGAUAAAAAAACGAAUAUGCUAAUGAAUUAUUCAAAUCGGCAUCUUACAGAUAACAAACACUCGUGCCUGCUUAAAUAUCAAGAUGAUGGGCCAAGCUCUGUAAAAGUCUAACCAAUUUUUGAACAUAAUAAUCAGUUAGCCUUCCAAAAUCAUGGCCUCAAAUAAAAAAGUUCAACUCCACUUCAAUCAAGAAUUGAUACUUCCAUUACCAGCUGCCUUGUCAUACCAAAAAACCCUCUCAAACGCAAUGACAGGACAGCAAAAGAGGACUUGAAAUAUCCAAGGAGAAACCCCCCUCAAGUGCGUUCCAGAGGGAGCGAUUGACCAUAAUUUCUCUCAAGCUUCUCAAACAAAGCAUGAACUUUCGCUUCAAAUUGCGGUAUUCCUCCAACCUAAGACACUCAAGAGCAGGACUGCCCCGCUACAUGUCAUGCAUCACCCUAUCCGUGAUCUCCGAGCUGCAUAUGGACAGAAUUUUGAGAUUGAUCCCAGUGCAGCUUCACUAACGAAGAGCAUCCAUAAAAGGAGUAGCGUGAGAAGAAGUUGAAUCUAGAAUAUAACCUGUACGUGAGAAGAUUUCUGUAAUCUGUAAUUGUUGAAUCAAUCAACUGCAAACUUCAUCAUACAUCUGUUUGUUCUUCUUCUUGCUCUUUCUUAUAGAGCUCUAGAGUAAUGAAGAAGAUCAAAAAGGAAGCACUAAAGAAAGAUCUCUGAUUGAAGAUUUAGAGAGCAGAUUCUGAUCAAAGGGAUUACAGUACUAUUGAGUUCAUCAAAUUCACUCUACGUCUCUGUACAUUUUCCUCAGCCCUUUUAUACUUCAACUAUUACUUCUCGAACUACCUUUACAACAGACUUUAACAACUUUUAUUAACAGAACAAUUAAUCCUAGCCAUUCGUGUAGCUUCUUCAGUGACUUGAUCUUCCUGGUUUAAUCUGUUGUAUAACCAGACUCUUCACAGGGAUUGCCAACUCAGCUUGGAUCGAGGAUUGCCAGCUCAGUCUUCAGUUUACCCUUCCGAGCUUGCUCUGUUUUUGUCAGGUUAGCUUCUCUUCCUUUAUCAGCUUCUCUGUUCUGACUUUGUUUCUUAACAUCCCCCCUCAAAUUGGGAAUGGGAAGAGUACAAAUUCCCAAUUUGACUCGUAGAUAGGAAUGUGUUACCCGUGUUAAGGGUUUUGUAAAGAUAUCAGCAAGUUGACAAUAACUUGGGACAUAUUGAACACGUAACGACCCAGAAGAUACCUUCUCUCGAACAAAAUGAAAAUCCACUUCAAUGUGUUUUGUUCGAGCAUGUAAGAUAGGAUUAGCAGUAAGUGAGAUAGCUGAUUUAUUAUCACAGUAUAGAGUAAUAGGAGAUGGAAGGAAACAACCUAUAUCUCGCAAAACAAAGCUUAUCCAUGUGAGAUCAGCGGUAGUUGAUGCAAGAGCUCGAUAUUCAGCUUCUGUAGAGGAUCUACUAACAGUAGGCUGUUUCUUUGCCGCCCAGGAGAUCAGAUUCGACCCAAGAUACGUGCAAAACCCAGUUGUUGAUCGUCUGGUUUCAACACAUCCUGCCCAGUCAGCAUCCGAGAAGCCAUAGAGAUGCAUUAUGCUUUGUGAGUGAAUGAAUAAGCCAUAUCUGAUUGUACCUUUAACAUAUCUCAGUACCCUUUUUAAUCUAUGGAGAUCUGCAGUAGUAGGUGUCUGCAUUUUCUGACAUAAUAGGUUCGUGGCAUAGGCAAUGUCUGGUCGAGUUAAUGUAAGGUACUGAAGGCCACCAACUAGACUUCUGUAUUCGGCAGGAUUAGAUAUAGCUAUAGAGUCAUUAGUCAAUAUAGUUGGCUUUAAUGACAGGGGAGUGGAAAUUGGUUUACACUCGAGCAUAUGAGCUCGGGUGAGAAGAUCAAAGGCAUAUUUGGCUUGACAAAGAAAUAAAUGUUCUGGAGUACGCUGAACUUCAAUGCCAAGGAAAUAAUGGAGUGAACCAAGAUCCUUCAUAUGAAAUUGUAGGUGUAGAGCAGUAAUAAGACUGGAGAGGAUUUGAGAUGAGCUUCCAGUUAGAAUAAUAUCAUCAACAUACAGUAGCAAGAGGAUUGUUUCUGUACCAGUGUGUAGAAUGAACAAUGAGGGAUCAGUUGAACUACAAAAGAAUCCAUAUUCUAGUAAGAAACUGCUGAACUUGUCAAACCAAGCUCGGGGAGCUUGUCGAAGUCCAUAGAGAGAUUUUCUGAGGAGACAAACAUGAUGAGGUUUCUGUGACUCUUUAAAACCUGGUGGCUGUUCCAUAUGAACAGUUUCACUUAAAUUGCCAUGUAAGAAGGCAUUUUUAACAUCUAACUGAUGAAUUUGCCACUGUUUCAUCAUUGCGAUUGAGAGAAUUAUUCGAAUUGUAGCAUGCUUCACUACAGGGCUGAAGGUUUCUGUGAAAUCAAGACCUUCUUCUUGAUGGAAACCUUUGGCUACAAGCCGAGCUUUCAGUCUCUCUAAACUCCCAUCAGGUGCAAGUUUCGUUUUAAACACCCAUUUGCAGCCAAUUACAUUCAUUUUAUCAGUUCUAGGAACUAAUUCCCAGGUGUUGUUUUCAUACAAAGCAUUCAUUUCUUCUUGCAUUGCUUGAUGCCAUCCUCUGUGUGCUAAAGCAAAUUUUACUGACUUUGGUUCAACAGGAACUUGAUAUUCAACCAGACAUGCAUAUUUGGGAUUUGUUUUAACAAUCCCUGAUUUUAAUCUAGUUUGCAUAGGAUGAGUAGACAAUGUACCUUGAGUAGUCCCUGAUAUAGAACUGAUCUGUCCUUGUUCUGCAUUGAUGUGAGAUGUCAUGUUGGAUUCUUGACUAGUAGAUACUUGUUCUUCAUCAUUUGGGGAUAUCUGAACUGGUUCAUUAUUACUGAAUGCAUUAUCAGGAGUGAUUUGAAUUUCAGCAUCAGAUAUUGUGUUCAGUUGUGGCAUAUCUGUUGAAUUGAGUAUGCUGGUCCCAUUGUCCUGUAUUUCUGGCAUGCCUUGGCUUGAUUCAGUGUUUGGCAAUGAUUCAAUCGAUUCAUUAACUUGUAGCUGAACCUGUUCUAUAGUUUCAGAUAUAGGAGAUGCCAAUCCUCUUAUCCAUUGUUUGUAUAGAUCUGAGCCUUGCUGAUAUUCUGUAAUAGUUCUUCGAGUAAAUGGAAAUAUCUUUUCAUCGAACACCACAUGUCUACUUAUAUAGACACGUCCAUUAGUAGGCAAUAAACAUCUGUAACCUUUAUGUCUUUCACUGUAUCCAAGAAACACACAUGUGAGAGAUCUUGGGUCAAAUUUAUGCUUCAUAUAAGGUCUUAAACAUGGAUAGCAAGCUGAUCCAAAAACUCUUAGAUGAGCAUAACUUGGUUUCUGUUUAUAAAGCCUAUAAUGAGGUGAUUUCAUAUGUAGUUUUGUUGAGGGAAGCAGAUUGAUUAUAUAUACUGCUGUCAUAAAGGCAUCUACCCAGUACUUUAAUGGUACUUUUGCAUGAUAUAACAUUGCCAAGCCCAAUUCAACUACAUGCCGAUGCUUUCUCUCUGAAAUCCCAUUUUGCUCUGGUGUAUAAGGACAGGAGAUGUUAUGUUUAAUGCCAUACUAUUGUAGGUGAUUCUGAAAUUCAAUGCUAGUGAAUUCUCCUCCUCCAUCACUCUGAAACACUUUAAUCCUUUGAUCAAACUGAUUUUCUACUUGUCUUUGAAACAUAACAAACACAUCAUAUACUUCUGACUUCUUUCUCAUUGGAUAUAUCCAACUAAAUCGAGAAAAAUCAUCGACAAAGAUGACAUAGUAAUGAAACUUCUGAACUGAUGGGACAGGUGAUGGUCCCCAUACAUCACAAUGUAUCUUUUCUAGAGGAACAUUAGAGAUAUGGUCUGAGAUAGAAAAAGACAGAGCUGAACUCUUAGCUAUUUGACAGCUGCUACACAUGUUUUGAGCUUUCGAACUACAUUGUAUUAGCUGUUGUGUCUGCAGAAUUUUCACUAUUUUUAAACUGGUGUGAGCAAGUCUUUGAUGCCAAACAUCUUCUCCUACUUCAUGUUGAGUCUGAGUGAAGUAUGCUUCUGUGGCUCUAGAUUCCACUCGAUACAGCCCCUUGAUUUUCCUUCCUAGCUUCACUGUUGUAUGAUUGUAAUUGUCCUUCAUAUACACCCCAUAUUUGUCAAAUAUAAAGGAACAGGGAUAGUCAUCUGUUAAUUUUGAUACAGAAAGGAGGUUCUUUUUGAUUUCAGGAACAAUCAAAACAUCUUUCAGAGGUAACAUACUAGUUGUUGUGUUUAAUGUUCCAUUCCCAAUGCAUGAAAUUGAUAAACAGGAGCCAUCUCCUAUCAUUACUGUAUCAUUACCUCUAUAUGGAGCAUAGUUUCGAAUCUUACUAGGAUCUGCAGUAAUAUGAGAUGUGGCCCCUGUGUCUGGAUACCAUUCAGAACCACAUUGUUCUUCAAUAUGCAUGGCUGCUAAAGCAGUUGGUAUUUCAUCUGCUUGAUAUGAAUUAUCAAAGCGAUACCAGCAUCUGAGAGCCGUAUGACCUGAUCUUUUACAGAUUUGACAUUCCAGAGGACCAUUGCUCAUUAACUUUGUUUCCUGUAUACGCUUAUCACCAUUGAAGCCUUGUGGUGGGUAAGAUCUAACACCUUGAUAUCUCUGAGUAGAAUUUGUGUAUGGUCUAAAUCCCUGUCCAUAGUUAGACCAGUUAUUCUUACUGAUCUGGUCUUGUUUUGUUGAAUUCAGACUAUUUAUUCUACUUUGUUGAUAUCUUCCCAUUCCAGUAGUACUAUUUCCUCGAUCUCUUCUAUUGAUGAACUGUCCUCUGUCAGAAUUAUACCUUCCUUGAUUGCUUUCUCCUUGGCUUCUGGAAUUAAACCUCUGCAAACCUAUUUCAGUCUUUCUUUGUCCAUAAUAUGCUAGGUUUGUAUUGUAUUGGUUCACAGGGUAUGUUUGCAAUCUGGUUUCAAAUCUCUCAAGCUGAGAGAUAACUUCAUCAUAUUCAGGUUGGGGUUUGAGGCAGUACACAGUUGUUCUAAAGGUCUCAUAUUCAGGACCUAACCCUUCAAGUAUACCAAACAUUCUAGUUAUAUCAUCAACAGGCUUUCCAAUAGCAUUCAAUUGAUCACAGAUGGUCUUAAAUUCUCGAAGAUAUUCACUCAGAGGUCUAUCUCUUUUUCUACAAGCCUGUAAUUUCCCUCUCAACUCAAAUUCUUUGGCUACAGAUUUCUGAGUAAAGCGAUUGAUAAGAGCCUGCCACACCUCAAAUGCAGUUUCUAACCCAAUUAUUAGACUCAAGAUAUUCUCUGAUACAGCACCACUUAUCCAUGAUGAGAUUAACUGAUCUGUUUUUAUCCAAUCCAGGUGAUCAGGAUUCAUUUCAUCCCCAACCUCUGUUUGUAUCAUUUGUGCAGGAGGUAACGUUUCACCAUUAAUAAAGCCAAUUAGAUCUUGACUUUUCAGAAACCUGCUAAAUUGUGCUUGCCAUAAUAGAAAGUUCUCUUCAUUCAACUUGAUUGUAACAAAGUUUCCUAUGUUCACAUGAAUAGGAAACGGGAACUUCUGCAAUCUGGUUGCCAUUAUAUCUUCAGAAAACUUUGAAGAUUCGCAGAAACACUCAAGUACUAUUUCAGGAUCUUAUCAAGAAUCAGCCAGUUUUUCGGAUUGUCUUGCUCAUAUGAUCUUUAUACAGACUUUCAGUAAUACAAGCAUUAGAUCUACAACUUCCAGGAAAAGAGCUCUGAUACCAUGAGAAGAAGUUGAAUCUAGAAUAUAACCUGUACGUGAGAAGAUUUCUGUAAUCUGUAAUUGUUGAAUCAAUCAACUGCAAACUUCAUCAUACAUCUGUUUGUUCUUCUUCUUGCUCUUUCUUAUAGAGCUCUAGAGUAAUGAAGAAGAUCAAAAAGGAAGCACUAAAGAAAGAUCUCUGAUUGAAGAUUUAGAGAGCAGAUUCUGAUCAAAGGGAUUACAGUACUAUUGAGUUCAUCAAAUUCACUCUACGUCUCUGUACAUUUUCCUCAGCCCUUUUAUACUUCAACUAUUACUUCUCGAACUACCUUUACAACAGACUUUAACAACUUUUAUUAACAGAACAAUUAAUCCUAGCCAUUCGUGUAGCUUCUUCAGUGACUUGAUCUUCCUGGUUUAAUCUGUUGUAUAACCAGACUCUUCACAGGGAUUGCCAACUCAGCUUGGAUCAAGGAUUGCCAGCUCAGUCUUCAGUUUACCCUUCCGAGCUUGCUCUGUUUUUGUCAGGUUAGCUUCUCUUCCUUUAUCAGCUUCUCUGUUCUGACUUUGUUUCUUAACAUAGCGGUACCGCGAAAUGGUCGGCCAUCUCGCACAACCUCUUAGUCACAUCGACUGAGAGGUCCUCAACAUGGCAGUCGACAGCAAAGCGAAGCCACGGACUGAGCUUAGGCGCACAACGGUCGAGAAAAUCGAUGUCGAUGUGGAACUUCCUCACCUUAGGCAACGCCUAGAGGAUCAAGACGCUGUCCAUGGACGGGGAGCGUUCCACCAGGGGAAGGAGAAGACGAGGUCCGGGGCGGCGGUCCAGAGGAAUCGCCAUAGCUUCGACAAAAACGCACGUGCGGACAAUGUGUGCGAGGUCGAGGAACGAGAAGAUGUGGUGGAUCACCGAGUCGGGGCAAGCUGGCUGAUGCUAUCGGCAUCGUCGCCUAGGGUUUCGCACCGACAAGAGGAGGAGGUAGGCGACUGCUUCUUCUUCGCCAUGUGGGGAUCGACGAUUGAACGGAGGAAAUGGGAGGGGAGCCUCCUCCGAUUUCAGGGUUCAUUUCACUCGGACUUAAGUUUCUGGCUUCCAGUAGAGCGACACGUGUCACUCGACGGAAAGCAACCACUUUCCCGCAUCUUUUAAUACAUCUACGAGCCUAUGAUGAUGGGCCUUGCACGUCUUGAAUUGCCAAGUGUCUCCGACAUCUAAUAAAUCAUCAUUCAUAUAAUAAUCGACUUCGAAGAAGAUUGAGUAGGCGUACAUAAGUGAGCUUGAGCCCGUGAAAGAAAAUGUUUGCUGGAGUCCGCUUGAUUUGCGAUAUCACGUUUGAGUGCUCCACUUAUGUAGUGGUAUACAUAUAUAAUUAGUGAAACUUUGCAAACAUCUAUCCCAAAAAAAAAAAAAAAAACAGAUAAAAUAAAAAUUAAUCAUAAAUAGCUUUUACGAGAUAAUUGUUUAGCUUAAAUUAUAUUCAUAAUCAAAGUAAGAUAUCUUAUGAGCUCGAAAAAUAGCAAAUGAAUGCUUCAAUUUCUUGAACUACAUUGGCUCGAAUGCAAGGAAUGAUAACCCAAGCAAUUCAUGAAGUUCGAAGGUCUAGGAUGGACAUGUUCUCUUAUUUUCAUAUUGGCUAUCAAGAAUGCAAACCAAAGAAGACUUUCCUCGCCUUACCACCAUGCCAAAUGCAAGACUAUUGGCAUCCACAUUGUGCGUCUCUAUUUAGAUGGCAACUCCAUGAUUCUACUAAUUAAGGUUGUUGAGCUUAUGGCUUAAGUUCUAGCCAACUUGAAUUUGGAUUGAAGCUCGGAGAUUAAAAUAAGUCGGAGACGUGUUAAAGGCAAUCUAGGCAUGUGGCAAAGCUAUGUAGAGAGGAUCAGGUGCUCGAGUCCCGUCGCGCUACCAGCUGAAUGACAGCACUGGGUAUCGUCCAAGCUCAUGGGCAUGUGGACACCCGAAUAAAUAACAUCGUCAGUAUUUGAUAUUUUGUUUCCUAGGGAAACGAAAACUGCUAAUUGAAUAUGUUCCCCAUUGCAAUGGUUGGAAAUUUGAUUUUUAUGAAGAUGAUGAAUUUUCUUAAUUUGUGUGGAGCAGAUUGAUUCAUCCUCCAUAUAGAAAAUACUAGGGGUGUUAAUCAUAAGUUUUUGAAAGUGAAAUCAAAUCCAACCAAACUAAAAGUGGCAUCAGCUUGGCUUCGAAAGAUACCAUGAAAGAGGUCCAUAGCAUAAAGGAAGAUUCUACAAGGUAAAAAUCUAAAGAGUGUUCUAUGUACGUAAAAUGCAAAUAACAUUGGAAAAUAUCAAAACCGUUUGAUAACAAAAUGCUGAUCAAUAACUUAUUCAGUCAUUAACAUUUUGGUAAGUUACCAAAACUUUUAAGAAAAUACCAAUAGUUAAUAUAUUAUCAUUGACAUUUGAAUCUUCCUGAUGGUUAAAAUUAGAAAAAUUCGAGAUUCAAGAUCCCGAUCGCAGCGAGACUUGUCAAAUAGAUAGAGAAAGCACCGUAAAGAUCAAUUAGUGAGGUUUUGGGCUGAUGCAAUAAGAAUUGCUUACUUACUUAUGUCGUGAUAGAAUAUAGAAGUUAUGAAUCCAUUUGACCUAAAAAUUUUUUAUUAGUAUCACUUUGUUGGUCAAACCAAAGAAUCGACCUUUCCGGAAAUUAUUGUUUCACUAGCCUUAAUCUUUUUCCGACAUUCGAUUUAGCCGCGACCACCCAAAAUCUGUUGGGAGAAUAAAACGUAAUCUUUUCCCAUCUUCGUUUUACGUUCAAGGUGGGAGGUGCCACAAGAUAGAUGGUCCAUGAGCCUCUCCAUCAUUCCCCUCGACGCCAUUAGUUGCCAUAGCCGCUUGCCCUUGUUAUUGCCGAGCCGCCCUUUCCUGCUCUAUCUGUUGCUCCAUUCCAUGCCUUCCCCAUCAUGAAAACCGAAGAGCCCAGAUCUCGUCCGGAGACUCCCUCGCCGGUCGUUGCUUUCUCCAACUUCUCCCUCCAUGUAUACAUGUAUGCAGCAUAGCUUGAGAUAUAUCCUAUUCACAAGUAAGUUAAAUUUCCAACAACGAACUUGAUUAAUCAAAAUGAUGCGAUGAAAUGCCCCUUUGUAAUCAGAAGAAGAUAAAUUAACUUCAAGUAAUACAAAAUGUGCAAAACUUUCCAGACUACACUCUACAUUUUAACAAUACAGAAUGUGAGAAAUCCUUGUAGGGAAUGCUCAAUCUGUACAAGAAGACGAAGAAGAGGAGACAGAAGUAAUAUUACGCUCAAUCAGUACAAGAGAGGAAGAGCGGAGCCAAAAGUAAUAUUACAGCACGAGAGUCACUAACAGAAAUUGAAGGAAAACUAUAUAGAUGCCCGACGGCAUUGAGAUCGUAUUUUGCAGGGGUUAAACCUGCCAACUCCAAGUGGGCAUCAAGCAUUUCUACAUUGGACAUAACUAGUCUAUCUAGCAUAAACAACAUUCCCUCCAAUUCAAGUUCUUUAUCUUCACGAACACUUUGACUGGUGUACUGAAAAGGGCAACAAGAUGGCAAUACAGGAGUAGGGUACACUUCCAGUUGGUCUAGAUGAUUGUCAGUUAUGUUAUGGAAAUCUCCAAAGGCACCAAUGUUGUCUAAAAGUUGAUAGAAAUCUAUUGCGCCUGUAAAUUAAAAUCCCUCCAUUCAACUAGUAUCAGCUUGGGAUUCUUUAUUUCCAACUAUGUCAUCUCCAAAUUUUCCCUCCCAUUACCAUCAUUCACUCUUAAUUUUUGUGUAAAACACCAACUCCUUAGUUAUGUCAUGUUCUCAUUUAGAAUUCCAAGCACUUAACCUCUAUAUUCACCAACUCUCCAUCAAAUGCAAUUUGAACAGGAUUGGCAAUUGAAGUGAUUUAUUUGGGGAAAAGGACCGUAGCACAUUUAACGAAAAGCAAAUGGGGAAUAAGGCCAACGUGCAUGCAGAGUCAGAACUUGCAAUUGGGCAAAGAAAAUGGCACACCUUGUGCCUCUGCCGCAAGUGAUAAAACCUAAGCACAUUCAAAAAUUGAAAGGCAAAAGAAUAAGAUUAUUUACUCUUCCUUCCAAAUACAGUUUAAAAAACCCAGCAAGUGUAUGCUUUGAGAACACUUUUGGUUCCCACCUAUAUGACAUAUGCUUUGAGAACACUUUUGGUUCCCACCUAUAUGACAAAUUGAGUACUAAUUCUAGUCAACAACUGCUUCUUCAGUCUUUAAAAAACAGGACACAGCAACUUUUCAUUGAUAAUUUACUAUGAUCUUUCGAAAGAUAGUUAUGCACUACUGAGCAGGAAAAAGAAUGACCCUAAACCAGCUGCCUUUUCUUAGGUUUUUCAGUAGUUAUUCUAAAGGCACGAUGUGUAUUUGCACUAGUGGUCAUCAGGCAGAGUAGCAAACGAUACAACCAGAUUCCUCGUGGUGAAGUUUGGAAUGAAUUUCCUUAACUCGAGGAAGAGGGAAGAAUGAAUUAUCCAUAGGUAUGAACCAAACGAGUUAAAUUUGAAAUCAAAAACAAUCUGCUCACCUGAAGGCACCAACUACCAAUCAAAAGCUUAGUCGCGUUCUGCAACUUCUGAAGCAGUCCCUCAACCAGGUUGCAAUACCCUCUGUAAGACUCCAACCGAUUUUGAACAAAACAAUCAGUUGGCCUUCCAAAAUCCUCACCUCUCAUAAAAAAGUUCGACUCUGCUUCAAUCAAGGAUUGAGACUUCCGUUACCAGCUGCCUCAUCAUACCAGAAAAUCCUCCCAAACAGCAACAGAGGACUUGAAAUCUCCAAGGGGAAGCCCUCAUCAAGUGCAUACCGAAAGCAGCCAUUGCCCGCAAUUUCCCUCGAAGUUCUCGAACAAACCUUGAUGGUUCGCUUUAAACCGUAGCAACCUUCCAAACUAAGGUUCUCGAGAACAGGGCUGCCAUUCGACAUCUCAUGCAUCACCUCCGAGUCACAGAUGGACAGGGACCUAACAUUAAUCCAAGCGAUACUUCUACUCAACGAGAAGCAACAGAGCCCUGAGUGCAGGUUCACCAACGAAGAGCAUCCAUAAAAGGAGCAGCGGUACUGCAAAAUGGCCGGCCAUCUGUCACAGCCUCUUAGUCGCAUCGACUGAGAGGUCCUCGACACGGCGGUCGACAGCAAAGCGAAGCCACGGACUGAGCUCAGGCGCGCAACGGUCGAGAAAAUCGGCGUCGAUGUGGAACUUCCUCACCUUGGGCGACGCCUAGAGGAUCAAGACGCCGUCCACGGACGGGUAGGCGUUCCGCCAGGGGGAGGAGAAGACGAGGUCCGGGGGCGGCCGUCCAGACGAAUCGCCACCGCUUCGACAAAAACGCACGUGCGGACAAUGCGUGCGAGGUCGAGGAACGAGAAGAUGUGGUGGAUCACCGAGUCGGGGGAAAGGUGGCUGGUGCGAUCGGUAUCGUCGGCUAGGGUUUUGCAUCGACGAGAGGAGGAGGAGGAGGAGGUCGGCGAUCGCUUCUUCUUCGCCAUGUGAGGAUCGACGAUCGAACGGAGGAACCGGAAGGAGAGCCUCCUCCGAUUUGAGGGUUCAUUUCAGUCGGACUUAAGUUUCUGGCUUGCCGUACAGAGACACGUGUCGCUCGAUGGAGUGGCAACUACUUUCCCGCGCCUUUUAAUCCAUUUACGAGCCCAUAAUAUGGGCCUCGCACGUCUUGAAUUGCCGACUACCGAACCUUGAUUUUUUUAAUCCAAGCGUGUCUGACAUCUGAAAAAAUCGUCAUUCAUAUAAUAAUCGAGUAUGAACAAGAUCGAGUAGGCGAACAUAAGCGAGCAUGAGCCCGUAAAACGAAAUGUUUGGUUGAUUCCGCUUGAUUUGUGAUAUCAUGCUCGAUGGCUCCACUUAUGUAUUGAUAGAUAUAAAUAACUAGCGAAACUUUACAAAUAUCAAUAAAAUAAAAAUUAAUCAUAACUAACUUUUAUGAGAUAAUUCUUUAGCUUAAAUUACAUUCAUGAUCAAGUAUGAUAUUUCAUGAGCUUUGAAAAAUUGUCGAUAAAUGCUUCAAUAUCUUGAAUUACAUUGGCUCGAAUGCAAGAAAUGACAACCCAAGCAAUUCAUAAAUCUCACCACUCUCAUGGACAUGUUGUUCUCUUAUUUUCAAAUUGGCUGAAAAUAAUGCAACCAGAGAAACUUUCCUCGCCUCACCAUCCUCCCAAAUGCAAGGCUACUGGCAUCCAUAUUGUGUGUCUCCAUUUAGAUGGCGACUCCAUGAUUCUACUAAUUAAGGUUAUUGAGCUUAUGGCUCGAGUUCUAGCCAAAUCGAAUUUAUGUCAGAGCCCAAAAAUUAAAAUAAGUUAGAGACGCGUUAGGAGGUAUUGUGGGUCUUUGGUGGAGCUAUGUGGAGAGGACUGGGAGACUGGCCGUGCCGCCUGCUAACCACAUGAUAGUCAUUAGGUAUUGGUUGAGCUCUUAGUAGGUCCUUUUAGAUGCCUGAAUAACUUGUAUAGUCAAUAUCCGACAUUUUGUUUGUUACACGAAACAAAAAAUGCUAACCAAAUAUGUUCUCCAAUGCAAAACUUGGAAAUUCGAUCUUCAUGAAUAUCAAAUUUUUUAAUUUGGGCGGAAUAGGUUGAUUUGUCCUUCCUAUUGAAAAAAUUAGAGGUAUUCGUAACAUUUUGAAAGUGGAAAACAAAUCGAAUCAAAGCUGAGAAUUGCAUUUGCUUGGCUUCGGAAGAUACCAUGAAAAGAGGUCCAAGAAGAUUCUACUAAGCAAAAAUCCGAACAUUGUUCGGUGCAGGUAAAGUACACAUAGCAUUGAUAAAUAUCAAAACUAGUUGACAACUAAAUUUUGAAUGAUAACUUAUUCGGUUGGUAGCAUUUUGGUAAGUUACCAAAAUUUUUCAGAAAAUAUCAACAACUAUUAGAACUUUAUAUAUAUAUAUAUAUAUAUAUAUAUAUAUAUAUAUAUAUAUAUUACUAUUGACAUCCAAAUAAUCCUAAUGGUUAAAGUUAGAAAAAUUCAAGAUUCAAGAUCCCGAUUGUGGCGACACUCAUUUCUUAACUUGAAAAAAAAUAGAUUUGUAUAAUUCAACAUAAGCGUGUAGGAAUAGGCGUUUAGGUUUCUAAGUUUUCAUAGAAAUGGCUUAAAAUCCUUUUUUUUGGGAAUGGCUUAAAAUCCUUUUUUUUGGGUCAAAUCAAAGAAUCUACCUUUGACUGAAAAAAAAAUUAUUUCAAUAGUCUUUAAUUCUUUUUAGACAUUUGAUUUAGAAAUAGUGAAAUUUAAGUACCUACAAUCAAAUCAAAGAAAUAUCAAUUUCAAGAAUCGAUUAACCAGUUAGAACACCAUAUUUGUUAUCAUGGAAUUUGAGCUCACACCUUUCAAGAUUGUGUCACAUGGCACAAUUACACAAAACUCUAUUGGAGAAUAAAAUCUGUUCUUUUCUCAUCUUGGAAGGGGUCCUUUUUUUUUUUUCUUUUGGCUUCUUUUUAUGUUCAAGAGGGAGGCGCCACAAGUUAAAGAAAAGGGAGAAAAGAGAGAAAAAUAAGGAGGAUUGACUCUCCAUGAGCGCUGCGUAUACAUCUUCACCGUCGCCCCAUCGCAUCCGACCUCAUCCUCGUCACCGCAAGGUGCAUCCAUUGUUCUUGGACUUCAUUCUCUUGAGGAGUUGGAGCAAUAGUGGCCGCUGCCCAUUCCGAUGAUUGAAACCCACGCCAUCACUUCGAUGAGCCUCUCCAUCACUCCUCUCGACUCCAUUAGUUGCCAAGCCAGUUGCCCUCGCUAUUCCUGAGCCGCCCUUUCCUGUUUCAUUAUUGCUCCUUGCCCUCCCAUCGUGAAAACUGAAGAGCCCACAUCUUGUCCGAAGACUCCCUCGUUGGUCGUUGUUCUGUUCGUAAAUAGUUGUAAAGGUUCUAAUCGCCGGUUGCGAGUGCCCAUCGUAGCCUACUUACACCACUGAUAAACUAGGCUUUCUUGUUGCAUUCAACGAUGGUCAUCGAUGAGGAGCUACUCAAAACAUGAUGGUCCAAGGGUUAAUUUUUGAGCUUGAGUAUUCCGGUUGGUUUAUUCGAUUCUAUCUCCACUUUUGUUCCUUACUUUUUGUGGAUGCAAUGGCCAGCGCAAUGGUUAGCUGAUGGUAGGAGACGGUGGUUCGGUGAAGAGCGGGAAUGAGUAACAGUGGUAUAGGAGUACUUUUGAGCGUGAGAUUUUGAAUGUUUCCUCCUGGUUCGGGGAAGCUUUAGAUAGCAUGAAGAUGCACCGUGAAAAGUCAUUGAAGGUGGGAGUUCUGGGAAUAGGGAGCCAAGCCUCAAAGAUGAGAUGAGGGGGUGAAAAGGCGAGAAAAGGCUAAAAUGAUGAUGACGUGUCCGGUGGGGUGAGGCCCCACACGAGGACGAGGUGGCGUUGCGGAGGGCCGGUCUUUUCCUCCAUUCCCUUCAUCCAACCCUCUCUUUUGCUAAAUUAGUAAUUGCUAAUUGCAAUGGGGAUUUAAAAAUUAGUUCCCUGGAAUGUUCUAAAUUCUCGAGGAGAGGAUGGUAUCCCUACUGCCGGAUUGCCAAUGCUGUUUCAUGGUAACGAUUUCCAGAAUGCCAUGUGGAGCGAUACGAUCCAUUCUUCGAGCCAAACGGACUAUACGGGGGGCGGGGGUUUAGAUGACAUUUUGGAAUGUGAUGACUUGUCAGAUCCCACGAUACGAUGAUGAUGGUUCUGUUAGAGGUACCAGGAACGGUGGUGUUAAGUCCGAAAUAUAGCCCAAUUUUCUUUCUUCCUCAUAUCUGCAACUUUUCUCCGCGAAUUCUCAAGACUCUGCUGGACCUCACAAGCCUCCCUCCAUUGAAGCUCCAUCCUCCACAAGCUCACCAUGGGUUUGCAUUUCCCACUGACGCUUCUGUGCCCUCCUCGCGUUUUGUUACAGCAUAUCUGGUGGCUGCAUUUUCGACUGCUAGUGGCGUGUGCUUCUGUGUCAGCUUUAGUUCGACAAACUGCUUUGGCUUCUCAGGUUCUGCUUCCGUUCGGCGUUCUUUCGUGAUCUAAUGGGUGGGUCAACUCGAUUGUUCCGACUCGGUUUUGUGAGGUUUUGGCUCGAUUUCUUCCAAUUGGCAGGUGAAGAUGACGGAGUGGAAUCCAGAGAAGGAUUUGCUAGCGAUAGUCAUAGAGGACUCGAAUGUGGUUGCUUCUUCGCUUCAUUUGGCGGAGGCUGUAAACAAUCUCUCCUGAGUAUAGCUAAGAUUAGAGAACUUCUUUUAUUUAUUUAUUUAUCUAUUCAUUCAUUCAUUCAGUGUAUUGGUUUCUUCAACGAUGGGCAUUUGUGCUUCAGUAUAUUUGGUGUCUUACCAAUCAGACAUAUCAUAAGCGUCCCGUGUGUUGAAAUCAAAUAUUUAGCAGUAUGGUAUAUUGGAUACAACGGACGAUUCAUUCUUUCCUUGUUCUGGCUUCUCAUUCAACACUUUUUCUUAAUAAAUCAGUAUUGCCUGGAAAGUAAUGGGCUGAUUAAGUAAACAAUUAUACCAGGAAUGCCUGUGAAAGUUUCAGAUGUUCAUGCCAUUUCCCAGGCUAGAUUUCACAUCCGUUGGUCACUUCAAAGAUGACACCCUUCCAAAUUGGAUACAUAACGAUUAUCUUAUUUUUGUUUGGCCUGAGGUUAGCCUGCCUUACCUACUUGCUCUACUCUAGGCUAUUGGGUUUCUGCUCUGUUCUAUGAAGAUUUUCAAUCAAUUCUCUAGGCUUGAUUUUGAUUCGUCCUUAAUGUUGUACUAGGUAAGAUGUUUAUCCGUUUAUUGAUAGAAUUCUUGGUAUUCUUUUCUUAGAUGAGGGCAUAUGAGUUACUCAUAUGUGUUCGGUUAUUCAUUCGUGUAUAAAACAUAUUUGUUUAAAGGCCUUCUUAAGCGGAUAAACUUUUUCAUCAGCUCUUUUAAAUUUAGUUACUCUCUCUACUUUCUUAAAUCAGGCUUUACUACAUGAAUAACACAUUAGGAGCUAAAUAAAAACAUGUGAAUCGUUUGCAUUUAUGGUAGUGAGAACUUUGGUUCCUUUGAUUUGAUGAUCCUCUUUGAUCAAAGAUGUUAUGUAUGCAUUUGGAAUUUGAUAUUAUUGCCAAGAGAUAAUGAUUUUAGGCUAGUAUCGAUUGAUGUCUGUGAAUGUGGAUGCUCAAGGGCAGUGGAUCUUCUGGUUUGGACCAUUACCAUUAGGACAUCCUCAGAGUAACUUCCAUCAAGGCCCUGAAAGCAACUGCGAUCAAGGCCCUCAGCGGCAACCCCGACAACUAAAAUCUUUCCCUUUUUCUUUUUUGCAUUUUUAUGCCCAUUUUCUAUUUUUGUGAACGAGAGACAACUAUGACGAUAGAUGGUGAUGGUGGUGAUGACGGAACCCCUCUUGAUUUAUAGAUUUAUUGAUCCCAUUUAUCAUUAUUAUUGCUGUCGUUACUGUUCAAUGAUUAGUGGUGGAAGUAUUUCCUUUUCUUUCGUAUUCUAUCUCCCUGUGAUCACAUGCGCUCCUGUCGAAACCAACCCGACAACCCAAAUCAAGUCGAGCGUAGAGACUGUGGGAGACAUAAACCCUUCAUCCAAGACUCCUAACGAUGAACAGAUACUCAGUUUAAAACUAGAAUUGGACCAGGAACAUGCGUGAUCAGCACGAGGAUGAACGUUCCGCGCGUCUCUAAGGAAACACACCUGGUACUAACAGGAUGAGCAAAAGGAUGCUCGAACUAUGUAAUAAUAUUGAUGAGGUUUUGAGUCGGCGUCCUUCUAUCGUCGGAUGAAACAUUAUAGAAUAGGCUGCGUCGAUCUACUUUGGGACUCAUAAUUGCAUCUAGCCAAUAGGACGUCUAAGUAGACAGAGAAAAUAUGAGAAAAUAUUGGGUAGGGUUAUCGUUCAGGCAAAAUGUGAAAAUGUUUAGGACUUAAUUGAUACAAUUGAAAGGUUUGGGAUUAAAUUAGCACAAAUACAAUAGGUUUAUAUAUAUAUAUAUAUAUUGAUAAUUUUCCCAUCAAUGCCAUGGUUCAUACAAUUCAACAUUCUGGCCACUACAUGUAAAACAGGUUAAUCAAAUGAUGAAAUUUGACUUACAGAUCAAUAAUAUCACACUAAUUCAACUCUUUUCCACUCCUUACUCAGAUCUUACUAUUGCUUAAAAAGAACAAAAAUUCAACGACGGUUAUAGCGUAUAAUAUAUGGUCAUGAAAUCCCAUAAAGUUGCCUCCAGAAAAUUUUGCAAGCUAGGCAUUCAGAAUACUAUCAGGACAAUUCAGGAUUACUACACAUAAAUUUACGAUGUUAUGAUGCUUCACUUGUAAUCAAAUUAUAUUAUAUUAUCUAACAGUACGGUGAGUGAAGGUGCCAAAAAUUUGGCUUAUGGGGAGCGAGAUUUCGAGUACAUUUGACUUUCACAUUUAAUUCCAAGUUUUGGUAACGAUGUAUUGAGUAAUAACAACUUAAUUGAUUAAUCGAUAAUAACUAUAAAAAAAUAGAAAGACCGUGUAUAUAUGAAAAAUAAAAUAGUAUUAACUUAGAAUUUAAUAAAAGGAAGCAUCGAUUGCUAAAAUAUAUGUAGAAGAAUGACUUCAGGAUUAGGCAUGGAACGACUCAAAUAAGUGCUUAACGGCUGGAUUAUCGCACUUCCAAAUGAUAUUGAAAAUACUAGGUAUGUAGGUUUACUGCUCUAGAUCCCUCCGUGACUUUAUCUUCUUUUAUCAAGCUCAUGAAUUAUAUAAGUAAAUUCUUCAUGAUUUUCGGAAAUAUUGAAUAUUUCUGUUACUUUUUCGAAAUUAUUAGGAUUGUGAAUGCUACUAAACAAUGAAGAUAUAGACAUCUAAAAUUUAUCUAGUUGAUCCGAUAAUAUUGGUCGUAUGAAAUUAUAAGCAGCAGCCUUUUAAAGGAUGGUGAGAUUAUUGAAGAAAAUACACUAGUAUGGUCGAAGUUUGGAAAAAAGAAUCUAAUUUCUAUCUGUUUUAUGGAAAAUGGAUGUAUUUUCUGCAAAAAUUGAGCAUUUUUUUUUGGAUGUUUCAAGGCUUUAUGUAAUUGUUGGACCAUCGGGGGUACUUUUUGGGCCAUGGACCCAAAAUGGAGUAUCGAAGGGCAAUUUCGUAAAUUUAAUACUAAACGGGCUUCUUGGCUCAAGUGAGUGUUUAGCUGCUAUUUGUGAGGGUGCAAAUUCCUGAAAAGGGGAUGAAACUUGCAUCGCAUUGUUACUUAAAGGUAAAAUUAUUUUGAGGCAUGUUAUAUUUAUAAUAUUGGAUCCGGUAUUGGCCAGACAUUUCAAGGUGGUGUUAUUUUGGAUAUACAUCGAAAAUGAUCAUAUGAGUGAAUCAUUUCAAAUCAUGUUGGAUAAUUAUGUAUUGAUAUUUAAUUGAUGCACAUAAUCGACUUAUCUAUUGAAAGAUAAUAUAUAUUUGCUAAUCAGCUCUACUUUGGGGCUUAACUAUGACAGAUGUGAUUUCUAGGGUUUAACUAGAAUGGAUGUAGUUCUCUAGACAACAUCACCUACUGAAGUGUGGCAGUAGUGUUCCAAGCAAUUUAAAUGUGAUACUUUUGCUAACUUGGUGUGCCACAUAUUUGAUACAAAAUUUGCUUCAUUCACUACUCAAUUCCAUAGAAGUGGUGAUUGUCACUUCCCUGGUCAAGGCUUUACUCGCCCCUUUCAAUUUUGUUUCAAGUCAUGAAUAAGGAAACUUAACUGAACCACGUAAAGAGCAAUCUAGAAUAGCAUGGGACCCUAAUUUAGAUUACUUUUAUUUUAUGGGUAGAAAUAAUUUAGAUUACUUGAGUAAGGGGUAUUAUACGGGUCAUAAAACUCUCAUUUUCAUUAAUUCAUGACACUCCAAACUUUGUUAUUAUAUUCAUUCGGUGAAAGGUUUUAUCAUUUUCGUAUGAUAGCUAUUAUCGGUUGGAGGUUUUGUCCUUUAUUUUAUAGGGAAUAUUCGGUCAUUCUCUAGACUUUAAGGUUGGAUUCAGAGUGCGACAAUAGGUAUCAUUCGCGCGCGCACAUUUUUUACGAGAUGGAAGAAUAGUCAACCUUGAAAAGCCGACCAAAGAGAAAAGAUUACUUAUAAAAUAUUAAAGCAAUAGCAUCCAUAGCAGCCUAAACUCUAGAUUUUGUCCAAUUUUAACUUUAACCUCCCUUGACUUUUUUUUUUUUUAAAAAAAAAAAAGUCGAAUGGCCUCCCAUGUAUAGCCGCUUGAAAUUGCUCUUGUCUGGGGUGGGGACGAUUUCAUUUCAGAAGUGGAUUUCGACUCCCGCGCCUUGUAAGGAAGCAUGGCAAAAGUUUGAGAGUAAGUGUUAGAGUAGAAUUAAAGUAGAACCGACAAAAAAUAAAAAUUGCCCUUGUUUGUUUACAUGAGUCGAGAGUGCAUUAAUAAAUUUAUAUUAUCGAAAAGGAAAAUUUUAUAAUUUUCUCUUUUUGAAAAAGAGACAAAAUAAAUAAAAUAUUAGAGUACCAUUAUAGAAGGAAUUCCUCCGGGCAAAAUUGCUAGUAAUAGUGCUCGUAAGCACGGGCAAAAUUGCUAGUAAUAGUGCUCGUAAGCACAUCUUCUACUUGAAGAUGGGCACGAUUUCAAUUUUGAAUAAAUUUUGGGAUUUUGUUGAAAUAUUUUCGCGUCACCUGCGACAUCACCGUGUUACGUAAACGCGUCAAGAGGAUGAAGCUUGAACUGCAAGAUUGGCCACGUACACCAUAAAGCCAAGCGGCCUUUGGCGUCGACAAAAUGGCCACUUCCCUUGGUUAGGUUUGCAAAUCUUUAAAUUAUAACUCCACCUCCUUAUACUAAUCCAAACGCGUUCUUUGUCUUAUUAUUAUUAGGGUUAAUAUUAGGAAAACCCCAAACUAAUAGAUAUGAUAAAUUAAUUUUUAAUUAAUUUUUUUAUUGCAAAAAAUUUUAACUGCUAUAUCUACAAUAAAUUUACCAAAAAUUAAAUUUUUGAUAAAAAACUCAAAAUUGAUAUAUAUGUAACGAAUUUAAUCCAAAAUUAGUACAUUUAUUUAUUAUAUUAAUUUCUAUUGAAUUUGAUUAAUACGACAAAAAAAAAAAAACUCAAACUAAUAUAUACGUGACAAAUGGAUAGUAAAACCUUAAAUUGGUACAUCCAUCAAUUGUCAUGUAUUAUCCACCUUAGUAAUUUGAUGGUAAAAUUUAGCGGAAAGUAUGAAGGGUAAAUAUAUCAUGUAUGUAUUAGUUUGAAAUUUUUUGUGAUAUUAACUCUUAUUAUUAUUAUUUUCAUUAUUUUCAUUAUUAUAAUAAAAUUGGCCACAUACAAGAGAAAGCACGUGAUUGGAAGUGAUCGAUGGAAAGCACGUGAUUGGAAGUGAUCGAUGGAAUUUUUUUUAAUCGAUAAUAGAUUAAGUGCAUUGCAACUUCUAAAACUUCCUUUACCAAAAAAAAAAAAUCUAAACUUAUUAUAAAAAUGUAAUUGAGUCAUAAGACUUUCAAAAAAUACAAUCAAAUCUUAAAAUCUGUUAAAUUAAUGCAAUCAAGUGCUAUUAACUCCGUCACGAAAAAUGCUGAUGUGACAUUCAUUAUUAUUUUCUUCUUCAAAUCUUACUUCCAUUAGAUUUUAAAUUAAAAGAGGCAAAAGAAAAGCACCUUCGUAGGGCCGGAGUUCGCUGAGGCUGGGUGAGUUUGUUUUAUAGGCUGGUGCAGCAAUUUAUUUCAUCCAGAAGGAAAGAAAUGGGGCACUUCAUGGAGGAGGAACAUCUUCACUUGACAGAAUCAUCAGCAAUGUUCAUUUCUCCAUUAGAGUGCAGAUGUCCUCCUUCAUUUAUGUUGAGGAAGAAGGCAUUGCUGCAAGAUGAUGAGGAGCUUUUGGAGGUUAUGCAUGAUCACUCCAGUGCAGAUUUUUCACAACGAUCGCGGCGACCACAACCCAUCGGCGAGGACCCUAUGGCCCUUUUUUUUUUUUGAUCUCCGGCUCUUUUUUAGAAUAAAACCUUAGCAUUUAUUUAUUUUUAAUCUAAUUUAAGUAAGAUAUGUUUAAAAAAUAAUUAUUAUAAAAAUGUCACGUAGGAGAAAGAAAAUAAAGAAGAAAAUGACAUGUCGGCAUUUUUAAUUUUCAUAGUUAACCGAAUGACUUGAUUGCAUCAAUUUGACAAAUUUUAAGACUUGAUUACGUUUUUGGAAACUUUAGGACUCAAUUAUACAUUCGUAAUAACUUUUAGAAUUUCUAAUACACCUAUCUUUAACAUAAUUUCAAGCAUGUCCCUCAUUGAUAAAAGAUUGGGUAGAAUAGAUUUACCUCAAACUCACGCUGAAGGCAAAAAUAGCAUAAUUAUUUAAUUGGCUAAAGCCGGAAAAAGAAGAUGAUAAAAAAAAAAAAGUCAACGCAAAUUCAUAUGGAUAUAAAGAAGCAAAUUGCUAAAAUCGGAGAAAAUUUAAAUAAAUAAAUAAAAUAUAAAUCGGCAACGUUUCGGGGAAAUGCAUGAUGGAGUCACAUUUCGCGGAAAAUGAUGUGCUGCAGACAUAUAAAAAAAAGAGACGCACUCGUUACAGGAGCUUGAGUUCGUUGAUGAACUGCUGAUUCUCUCUCUCUCUCUCUCUCUCUCUCUCUGCUCUCUGCUGCGCUUUUUCAGUAACCAGACGUUCUCCUACAUCUUGUUGAGCUCCAGAAAGGAGAAGGGAAAAGCCAUGUGGAAGCCAAAGAGAGCUUUGCCUCCCUCUUCUUCUUCUUCAGGUCAACCAAGUCAACCCAAGAGGCUAUGCGUCCCUCCGAUCGAGUAAGCUCGCCCUACCCUCCAAACGUUUCGAUGCUUGGUUCACUGUUUGAUGAUCUUGCGUUAGUUUUAGCUUUACUUGAGGGAGAUUCAAUGAAGGGUUCUUGAGUUGACGAUUCUUGAAAUGAGAGAUAUGGUGAAAGCCCGCCAUCGAUAAGCUUUUGCCUCAUGACCGCCCUAAAUCGCUUUCGUUCAGUUCUUUGUUGGUGGGUUUGUGCUGUUGCUCAGAUGCGAAGUACUAAAGACCUCGAAUGUCGUCGUCUCGAAUCUGUUUGGUGAUUUCGCAUUGGCCACUCGCUGUACUUCCUCCUUAUUCGAGCUGAAUUCUGCUAGAAUCAUUUAUCUAGCAAGUGAGCUGUUAUCGUUACCAGGUUACUUUGCUAUCCUGUUGUCUAAAAUAUCCUAUCUCGCUUGUAAUUUUGUGCUGAUGUUCAUGCAGUCGAGCAUGGAAUGGGUCCGAAAUGAAUCCUGUGCCGAGUUGCUGUUUGACUUGCUGUUUGACAAAGGAGGAUCUGCGGAAUAUGGUAAGAUGAGUAAACUAGCUAAGUUGGACAUGCAAAAUACAGUCCUUAUUAUAUUUCAAUUCCUGAUCUCUUCAAUUAGAAGUGGUUAGACGCAUGAGAAAUUGCCAUGAGAUGUAUAGAGAAUUUUUUCUUGAGUGGUAAAUAUGACCCGCUGAAAGUUCUAGGAUUUUCCUGUGAAGCAAUUGCACUAAGAACAUGCUUUAGGCUUUUCAUGUUGCAUUGGGCAGUAUGGAUCACAAAAAGAUACAAAUUUUCAAUGAAGUGCCCUGGACAUAACUGUCGCUUUGAAACCUGGAAAAUGUGGUCAAUGACCGUUUGUAUGGAGGAGGAGGAAAGUGAAGAUACCUGUGAUGUGAACCUUGAAUGUGAUGACUACGUGACAGAUGGCUCUUGCUUAUGUAAUUCUUCACUUUUGCUUCUUUGCUGGACAGUUUAGAGAAGAGCUGGAGCGUGCUAAAUCUGACUGGGCCAAAUAUUUUCAAAGGUGAAUAUAUUUCAUUUGGUUUGUUGGCAAUAUCUUAUCUGCAUGAACUGAUUCCUCUAGUGAAUUUCCAUGUGCAUUGUCUUGUCAGCUAAAGAUAUCAUUGACAUCAUAUGCCAUCAAUCCAAGACUCUUUUUGAAAAAGCGUAAUACCUACACAAACAUUUCAUUUGUUGAUCACUGAAAGGACAGUGCAUUCGGAGAUAGCUGCUAACUCACUGUAGUUGCUUCUGCUAUCAAUGUACUGCAUAUAACUAUGUAUUCCAUCUCUACAUUGACUUUAUAUAUUCCCUUAGAUUAAAAGAAUGCAUUUGAGUCUGGAAUCUAUCUUUUUAUACUGUUAUUAGGUGCAACAUUCAUGUGUACUCUUAACUAAAAUGUUACAUAUGGAUCUUUGUCUAUUUACUACGAUUAAGUCCACGGGACAGUAGUUUGUUCACGUUGUCAAUUCUUAUGGUGUAGUUUCUUCAGGAAUGCUGUUGAAGAAAUAGUGCAAGAGAUGCACUCAAUGGAGAAUGCUUCUAAGAAACUGGUAAGAUAAACAGAGUUUUCCAGUUUGGCUCAGACAUAUCUUUGUCAACACAUCGGAUAUGAGUUGUUUAUCUCCAUGUCAUGAAGUGACCAAAUGAACUUAUUGACCAACAAGUCCAUUGCUAGCUAAUUCAUUUAGAGGAACAUUCAUUGAGCUUGAACUUGCACAAACUUUGCCCAAAUUUUGCACGUUUUCCACCAUAUACAGCCGACAUCAAGGUGCCAAACCUUCUUGUUAAUGCGAACUCUUGGAGAACAUUAGCCUUUUAUUCCUAGAGUAACUUUUAUUAUUUGAGUGAGGGCCCUAGGGCCAACUUUUUUCCCUGCUCGACUGGAAGAAUGGUAGAUCCUUUUGCACAACCUAUUAUAGUAGGGAAGCCUUAUAACUUGAAAUGAAUUCAUCAGUUGACUUUCAACCUAAUGACACCACGUGCCAGAUCACAACAUGACAUCAUAAUCUUUCGCAUCUACACUACCGGUGACAACACCAAAAUACUACCCAGAAAAAAAAAAAAAAAAAAAAAAAAAAAACCUCAAAACCAUGCCACCAGAUUACAGUCAAGUUAGUCAACAUGAACUUGCCCAUUUCUACUCAAAACACUUAACAUCAGCAGUAACUGUCUUAAUUCCUUGAUGAAUUAUAGUUUCUAAAGAGACAUUUACAAAGACAAAAACACAACUGCAUCAAGGACACAGCAAGCUUGACGUAUACAUUUUUCAUGCUUUGCUAAGUUUCGCCCUCUGCAGAAGAUGAUAAAUUGUUGCAGUCUAGGCUAAUUUCCUCACUAAUGCCUUCAAACUUUCCCCUUCAUGUUCUUCAAGGCUCAAGUACAUCCAUCCUUCCCGUCCCUUGCAGAUCUAGGACAUGAGAGGAGCUGUAAAACUUGUUCUGAUAAUCUGCUUUGAGAAAGCACACUAAAAGAAAAAGUGCAAUUUUAGAUUCUUCAUAUUGUCUGCAUAGCACAGAAGUGCUAUUGAUAUCACACCAAGUUUUCAUCCUAUCCAAUGUGUGCAACCUAUUGUGAAUCACCAACCAAGUUAUAAAACCAUAAUUUGGCACAUUAGGCUUAAACCAUACAGCCAAAACCUACUCACUUAUAUCCCACAUUCCCUCACUACUUCCCAGCCUCCUUUAUAGUGAAAGAAGCCCUAAAUGAUUAAAUACCACUUUGUCUAGAGAGCCAGAGUUUGGAGCAAUCAACCCACACAAUGCCAUGAGUUUCAAGCAGAUCAUCAGACCUAGCUGGAGGCCAUCCCCUUUAAUUUCCUUUGUAACAUCUGCAACGGUGAUUUUAUCACCAAGAGCAGAAUCAUAGCCGUUCUGAAGCACAUGUAAAUUUUUGCAUGGACAUGAAAUGAAAGGCAAAAAAUGAAAAUGCUUAGGAUUGUUCAUAUGAGCCACAUACAGAACUGCUGUUUGGUAAACACUAUGAUUUCAAAUGUACCUGAAGAACUUAGCUCACUAAGGUGUUCGAUAAGUAGUUAGGAAUGAUAAAAUAGGUUUUUCUGCUCCCUUUGGUGGAAUGGAUUGGUUUUGUAUUCAUUUUUCUGACGUCUCCACCUUUGGCAAUUCUGCUGUUGGCAGUCUUGAACAGAAGGAAAAAGUGGAGCCAGCUAACAUUCACUCUUUCCACCUCAGAAGGUAUGAAUGCACUUCCCCUGUAAUGCCAUUGAGAAAGGCUUUCUGUGUAGUAUUGACCAGUAACGCAUUGUUGAUGUCUUGGGUGAAUAAUGGGCAGGCAGUUAGAUUUCGGUGAGCAUCAGACCACAAUGACUCGGUUGUGCGCCAAAGUGUCAAUGCUCCAAUUUAGAGUGUCAAUGCUCCAAUUUAGAACAUAAGUUUUGUAGCUAGAGAGCAGUGGAGCACUUUAUUUUAUGCUAUUAAACUAUCGAGACAAUGGGUCUAUGUAUUUGUAGUUUCCUCGGCAGUAACUUGUCCAAGUGAGGUGUUUGGUAGUUUAUCUCUCUUUAUUGUCACUUUUCCAAUUUUCCGCUUCUAUGCAAGUUCCUAUUUCUAAUAGUUGUUUUCUGGGGAGAAUGCAGGGCUAAUGCUGUGGCAAAGAAUGAAGCAAGAAGCUUACAGCUUCAAGUUCAAACCAAACUGUCACUUCCUCUAUUUACUGGAAAGAAACUAGAAGGAGAGGGGGGAGCUAGCAUUUACGUUGCCUUGAUUGAUGCGAAAACAGGGGGUGUUGUUACAUCUGGCCCCGAAUCCUCCAUUAAGUUGGAUGUUGUCGUUCUUGAAGGUGACUUCAACAAAGAUGAUGAAGAAAACUGGACCCAAGAAGAGUUUGAGAACUACGUGGUUAAAGAACGUGAAGGAAAGAGGCCUCUUUUGACAGGAAAUCUCCAAGUGAUGCUCAAGGAAGGUGUUGGGCAGCUUGGAGAGUUGAUAUUUACCGACAAUUCCAGCUGGAAUAGGAGUAAAAGUUUCAGAAUAGGGCUUCUGGUGGCAUCAGGUUAUUGUUGCAAUACACGAAUCCGAGAAGGAAUAACAGAUGCCUUCCCUGUCAAGGAACAGAGAGGAGAAUGUAGGUCCUUCAUACUUUACAGUAUAUAAACCUUGUCCUUUUUGACUAACCAUACAUGGUUUUGGACAUCCAUAGUCUUAAAUUUUAUAAUUGAAUGCCUCAUUUAGUGCCGAACUUUACAUCUUGAACGAAAAUUCUGAUAAUUAAGAAACGAUUGCCUUCUUUGUUAUUAGCAAUUGUUGACACUUUGGAUCAGUUACAGUAGAGAGUUUGUACACGCCUGUAAGAAGUUUGCUUUCUGGGACCUUACUAUAGAUGUUCUUUUCAUUUUACAGCAUACAGGAAACAUCAUCCACCUGCAUCUGAUGAUGAGGUCUGGAGGUUGGAGAAGAUUGCAAAAGAUGGGAAGUCUCACCAAAAACUGAGUGAAGCUGGAAUAAAUAGGGUGGAGGACUUUCUACUGCAACUGUUUACGGACUCCCAGAAACUGAGAGAGGUAAGCACUUAGUUAAUGAUUCUUACUUAGGGUUUGAUUGACUACCAAGAUUAUAAGUCUUGUGUCUUCUUUCAUCAUAGAUUCUUGGAAAGAGCGUAAUACCGAAGAACUGGGAUAUCCUCGUAGAUCAUGCAAAGACUUGCAAAACAAAUUGGAAACUUUAUUCAUCCUAUUAUGAUGGCAUGAGGAAGCAUGGUGCUGUAUUCAACACCAAUGGUCAACUGGUCGGCCUAAUCAAAGACAGAGUAUCUUUUGCUACUCAACGACUUUCUGCCCAAGAGAAGGUAAGUAACUGAGUUCCAACUGAGUUUUGUCAAGCCUGAUAUGGACACUUGAAAAGAGGAGUGCGUUCGACAUCUAGAUGCAUUUUUUUUUUUUUUAUCAGAAAAAGUAAUAGGUAGUGCCUGUGGAGAGAAUAGAAAGAAAAUCUAGAUGCUUUGUUUAGAUCCAUAAUGGAGACUUUUUAUUAAUGGAGUGAUUUUGAGCUUUCCUCUUUGCUAUGCAAAAUUGAGGAUAGUGACCUUCUAAAUCUAAGUGGCCUUCUGUACUCCGUGCUUAAAAUUAUAACAAAAACAGGAGUAAGUUGGAGACCACUUUCAGCAGUUGAUUUGGUUUCAUCCAUUAGAAUCUGAGGCACCAAUCAUCAUAGUUUGAACAAUUAACUCAUUCAUGUUGCUCAUGUUACUUCCAAGUUUAAAUAUGAAGAUCUUAUAGUUUGAACGAUUUACACUUCAGCAGUCGAACGAGUUGAUGCUUGUUUUAUUUCUUCACUAGCCCUUUCUCAAUCAACUUUGCAUCUUUACCCUGAGGACCCUUGCCUUGAUUGUACUCUUAUUACAUCUUCCGAGCACCUGACGUUUGGUGGAGAAAUGGGCGGAUAUGGGCGUAAAGUGAAUUGAGGUUCUUUCAAUAUUAUUUUUAUUCUUCUUUCCCUGUGCUGCUCUUACGUGCUUUAUCUGAAUACAAGUUCAUCCAUUGGAAUGCAACAUUACUCGUGAAAAAAGAAGUUGCUUGAAGCCAGAAUAUUUACCUGUCAAUAGUGGAAAUAAAUACUUCCAUUAGUCCAGCUUGAGCAAUAUACCAAUUGUUUUUGUUCCAGGAACAUGGAGAUGCAAUCGUGAUGAAGGCCUUGGCUAACUGGAAUGAUGUGAGAGAGUUCAAUGGUAAGACAUUUUCUGAUUCAAUGCAGAAGAAUAGCUCAAGCUCAUAUUCAUCUUCAGUCUUAGGUGGACAAACUGAAACGCAACCAUGUUCAACGUUAUUUGGCUCCACCAAUUGCUGCUGCUCCAGUUGGUCCGGAAGCUCCUCUGGCAAAUGCGGGCUCCGCUGCUGAAGGUACGUGCCAGAGAACACAAAACUGUCUCUCCCUUUAAGCAUAUACAAAGAUGUGGCCUGUGAAAUUACGAUGAAAAUAGGACUUUCCACUUGAUUUUUAAGCUUGAAUAUAUAAAAGCAUCGUGUACCUGAUCCUUAUGAUUCUGGGCUCCAAAUCAUAUAAAGACGUUUGUUUGUCCAGCUGUGAUUAUUGUGACAUGGGCCUCAUUAAAUGCAAUCUAUCCAUUUUGGCCAAUAUAUGUACAUAUGUACGUAUGCAUGUAUGUGUUCUAUCCAAGCUAUUCAAAAGCAACUAAAAAAUUAGUUGGUAACGGGUGCCUUUUUUGAGUGGGGGAUUGGGGAAGGGGAAGGGUGAGGGUAGAUACUCAUGAACACCUUAGUGAUACUAAGUGGAUAUUGACAAGAUAUUGCUAUGAUUAGGUAGAUAUGAAUAGAUGUAAUGAGCACACGAUGUUUUUAUAUGUGUAUUUUUAUCAAGUGGUGACUGCGGUUGUUUUAGAAAGGGCCUUGUCAAUUGAAGCAUGUAAAGAUUACAAAGAUCAGAGGCAAGAAAAAUUAAAGAGAUGUGCAGGGUAAGGAGGGAAAAAAAAACUCGCAGCACUUUCCACGAUAUCAGAAUAGCUCAUAGAUCUGUGCUUACAUCGGCCUAUGUUUAUGAACCAUAUUAAUGUUUUAGUUCCUUCUUCAGGACUUAAUGGUGCAAUGGCUUUGGCAUUACCAGUUCAGUCACAAAAUACCAAUUCUGGAACCUCCAUGAAGAUUUUAGUUGAUGAAAAUUUUCGUCUUGCUGCACAUCAGCUCAUGGCUGCAGGCUGCUCGAAUGUUCAAAUUCCUCCAGGAUAUCAUGAUAGUACUACUGCCGGAUUGCCAACACAGUCUCAUGGUCUCAAUUUACAGAAUUCCAUGCAUAGCAAAAUGAUUGGUUCUUCGAGCGGAAUGGACUAUACAGGAUAUGAUGAUGUUCUUCCUGAAGGCAUUCAUGUGAGAGAAAACAACACACCAUGUAAUGACCCGUUCUCUAGGACACUCGCUCCUCCCAAAGGCAAUGACGUGAUGGAAGAUAUCCAAUCAAGUCGUUCAGAUGAUAGUUGGAAGCAAUGGUUGGCUGAUAACCCAUUACUUGAUAAUGGUUAUGUUGGAGAAAACAACACACCAUGUAAUGACCCGUUCUCUAGGACACUCGCUCCUCCCGAAGGCAAUGGCGUGAUGGAAGAUAUCCAAUCAAAUCAUUCAGAUGAUAGUUGGAAGCAAUGGUCGGCUGAUAACCCAUUACUUGAUAAUGGUUAUGUUGGAGGUACCGGCAGAGGUGUUAUUGGCUGGCUCAAGAUAAAAGCAGUGUUGCAGUGGGGGUACUUCAUCAGGAAGAGAGGUGUCAGACUUGUGGAGUUAGACCAACCGCCGAUCCAAGUUCAGGCUUGUUCGUAGUUCUUAUGUCGCUUUAGGGAAAGAUGAUUCUCCGUUUACUUCUGAUAGAAUUGAUGGUAAUUUUUUCUUAAAUGGUGGUAAUAUUUCAUUGAUUCUAUAUAUUCAUCUGUAUAUAGAACAUCUAUGUUGAAUGUCUUAUUAAGCGACUAAUUGUUUCAUCAUAGUGUCUCUCUACCUCAAUUCUUUCCACAUCUUUCUUCAGAAAAGUUCUCUUAUAUAUCACAUGUAAGGAACGCAAGGUUAUAUCAUUCAAAGGGUGUACUUGGAUUCUGCGCUUAUUAUGCAUUAGAUCUGCAACCAAAUCCAAGGAGUGCCAUGUAAUAAGUCCUGCCUACUGCUGCUCUCCAGUGGCAAUGCAGCUCUUUUCUGGAACGCAUACACUGUCAAGCUUUGAUGCUAAGUUCCCUCGUACCCAUUUUCCCGGCCUUCUCUUCUUGUUUUCUCGGUCCUCAAAUGUUUUUACUAUAACGAGCUUUUAGGCAAAGCAGCUCAGGGUUAGUUUAAUUUAAUGUUGGUUCUGCACUGGAAUUGUAACCUUAUAAAAUAGGAUUAAGUAUUGAGAUCUUUCGUCUUUAGUGUGUCAUUCCACAAUUCCUCCAGUUCCUGAACUAUUUAAACAACUGAAUAUUCAUGCAUGUUUAUACAUCAUUAAAUUUAUUGGCUAAGUGAUAUUCUUGGUUAAGAAAACGCAAGUCCAUUGAAAAUAUUGUAGACAUAAUCUCAUAAUCCUAAACCUACCAUUUAUUUGCAGAUUCCGAAGCUCUAGGACUGGAAUAUGAUCAAUGUCCUUUAAAACCACCUUGAAACUAUAUAUCUAGCAGCUAGUCAUGUUGAUUAUAUUGAUCCCAGAGGGCAGCCCUUCCACGCAAGAAGGUUUUUUGUGCAUUGGAUUGGAUGCAUCACUUAAUGGUGACGUGAAGAAGCAAGUCAAAUUUAGGUGGGUGAGAGAUUUCAGCACUCCAUUGCAAAGUUCGAUAGUCGAUUACACCGAGUUAACCACUCAACCCAAAGUAUAAAUAAUCUACACCGAGCAAUUGGUUCUCUUAUAUAUGAAAGUUAAUGUUUAUAACAGAUGAAGCAUGAGAUUGGGACUGUCGAAUGGGUCUCGAAUCUUGCAGCAAUACAACGGAGACGAUUGCCACCACAUUGAAGCCAUGGCUCUAAUUAAUAGACAAUUACCUACUCCUUCAACAAAUGCCCACCAGGCAGGAAAGGCACGUGGCAGGUAUAAAUUAACACUUUCCAAGAAGGGCGGAACCGGAAAACUUCAGUCACAAAAGCCAACAUGUAUUGCUUCUCACACCGAUGUCUGCAGCUUCGGAGAGUAGAGGUCCACCCACAGGAGCAACACGAGCAAAACCACCACAAAAUCUUGAACAGUCAUUCUGAAUCAGAGAUUUCAUCUUCAUCCUCGUCCAGUAUGUAGACCAGGGCCCGUUUUCUUGCAGCUAAAACACAAGCCACACCUCUACUUGCUGUCGUCAUAAAAACAUUAACUUGAUUUCAGUCCAACGUUUCUUGAAUAUAUGGCCAUGACUAACGUGAUGUUUAGAUACCUUUGCUGGGUAAAAGCAAAACUACAACACAUGCAUUAUGCUAAAACACAGGCGGGGAAGCAAACCUUGCUGCCCAGGGAGGCUAUGGUAUGCAUGUAGACUAUGAAUGCUCUACAGUAUCUUGCUACACUAGAUAUCAUGAUAGUAUCUAUCAUCAUGAACAUGUACAGGUUCUCAGUCAGUAACUAGACCGCAGUGAACCUACCAUAAGAAGAAUAUUCUCUGUACUUGUGUGGCCUCUAAAGAUUCACCUUUUUUGCACUUUGACCUCUCAAUAGAUUUAAAUUUAGGGGAAAACCUGAUGCAUUAGUAUAUUACUUCUUCAACUGAAAAAAUAUUCUUCUUUGGAGCAUAAGUUUGCACUUCUUCAAACUGUGGGAACAAACAUGAAGUGGUCCAUUAAAGAGACAUAUUGUACCUAAGCCAGUCAUAACCAGUCAUAUUUAAACUUAUGAGUAGGCUGUUAAGUGAAAAUGUAGUAAGGAGCAUGGACAGGAUUUAUUCAGUCCACUACCUAGUCAACAAGAUGGAAUUGUUGCAAACACACGCAAGUUUAUCAAGCAUUGAUACACAAGGGAAAUAGUAUGGGCAACAACAAGUUUCCAAACAUCCAAAAAUGCAGAUGGACAUGGUAAGAAGCUCAAGGAAAAAAAUUCAGGACUAUAAAAUUGAUGGCAUGACAAUGGUUUAAUCCUUAGUUCAGUUUUAUGGUGGUGUCAAAAAUUCUUACCACUAACUGAGAAGGGAGGAACAACAGUAUGGGGAAUGCUGCGAAUCUUCUCAUUCUCCACAUCUAGGUGUAAUAUAGAGUCCUACAUGCAUAGUUUCACUGUGUUAAUGUUUCAGGAGUGAGAAUAAGAUAACCAAGCAAAAAAUGUUCUCACAAAAUAGAAGCGAAAAUGGCACUUCUUACCUAUUAGGGACAUUCUGACCAAAAAAAUAAAAAAUCAAUUAGGGACACCACAUGCCUACUUUUUAACCAACAUACAUGUAGAAGGCUUUAACUGCCAAGAUAAGUUGGAACUUUUGCAGUUAUAGUAAGGCAGAAAGUAAAACACCCUUCAGAGUUCCCAAGCGUGAAAUAGCAAGUCCAUGCACAUAGGAGGAAAAACUAAGCUGCUGCUUCUCAUGCUGAUGAGGAAAGCAUAUAAAUAAAAGAUAGGAAGAAUAAAAUUCCUAGUGUUUUUGAAACUAGACAAGUGGUUCGACCGGUCAAACUGGUAGAACUGUGCUCUACCAGUUUAAUGGGUUUAACAUAUUGCAUGUGAUAGAAUACUCCACAUAUAUAGAUUACACGUGUUCAGAUUAACAGAUGCCUGGGUGAGUCGGCAGAGCCUCAUUGAGCACAAAUGACAGCAUUCAAGUUCUCAAGAACAUCAUUUAAUUUUCUAAUAGAUUAAACCAAUAAGGUCAAUGGAUACUAAUGCACCACCAAAUUGAAGCAAGAAGACACUGGAGUGAAUGGUUGGUACGCUUGGUAGUUACAAGAGGUUCGAAUUCCAAACCCCAACCCAACUCCAACACUCUUCCUUUAAACAUUUUGAAUGCCCAGAACUGGUCCAAACUAGUUGACAGGAUUGUGGGUCAACGGUUGACAGUUACGCCUGAUAACAAUAGGGUCAAUACCACCAGUUCUUGACCACUACUGUUUCUGCUGUGAAACCAGACUGGACAGGUCUGGUUCCUGAUCCAACCAGAGCCGGUUCUUAAAACACUGAAAAGAACAGGAGUCAACUGAAAAGCAAUUUUCUUUUUGCCAUCAAUGUUUUAAAUAGUGAACUGACGCGUAUCAGAACAAACAGCGUCCUAUACGUAUCACGAGUACGAAAUCAAUAUGCAAGCUUAGGAUCCAAGAGUUACCUUUAAUUGGUACAACUCCCAGUUAUUUGCCCGAGUGGUUCCUGAAAUGUGCACAAAUGGAAGGUCACUGGCCUGCAAGAUCAUCAUCCAGGCAUCUCCCAAAUUUUCACCAGUAUCAUUCAUCUUAUUUAGCAACAUAACAAUUUGAUGGUCCUGUUUCAAAAUAAAAUAUAUUAGCCACAUCCACAAAUUCUUAAAGCAAUAUAUGCCAGGCUUUUACCUUAUAUAGAGCCAAAUCCACACAAUGGUAACCAGAAGGGAUGCACAACAAGAUUGCUUCCAAAGGUUUUCCCUGCUUCACAUUGCUUGAAUCAUUCAUAGAUCCCCUCACUACAGCUAUACAGUUUGUAACAUCUAAAAAAGACUCGUCAGGUAAUUGGAAGGAAAUAUAGUCUGUAAACCCAACUUCAUGAGUCAGAUUAGAUGAAGCAAAUUCAGAGACAUCCUGCAAAGCCAUAUGAAGAAACGAUUAGCAUGAAAAAGCAGUUGUACUCUGCCCAUGCAGAUCUCCGGAUAAAAUUGUAGAUUCAGAUUAAGGGUAAAUACCUCAUAGGAGGACAGUGAAAUUGGAAUGUAUGGGGUGGAUGCUGAAACUGAUGUAAGACGGAAUAGAGGCAAUAAAUUCUUACAACAUAUCUUUUUUGAAAUGGUAGAAAAAGGCAUCUGGGCAGCUUCCUUGAAACUGUAAAAAUUUAAAUUUAUUCCUAAUCAGUAAACAUGAGAUACGGCAUUAUCACACACAAUAAUCAUAAACUAAUCAGAAAGCCCAAUCCAAUAAGAUCACCCAGCUUAAGUUUCCAUGUACAUUGUCAAGUAAUCAACCUGAGAUUGAAUACGAAACACUAGAUUAUUAGGUAGAGGGUAAGUAAAAAACCAUUGUUGAGUACAACCUUCAGAAGACAACCCCCACCCCCGAGGGUUUCCUUUUUUUCCUUCUCUCAUUAUAGUCUCAAGGUUCUGGCCACUCAAACAAGGAAAUAUAAAAUAUAGCUACAAUUUUAUUGUAACAGGAAUUUGGAUAGAAAGAUCUACUGACAAAUGACAUUAUCAAGAUACCUAAAUUAGCCAAAUGAGAAAUGAAUAUUUCAGCUCAAUUAAACGAUGAGUUGGGUGAAACCAAAGCACAAGGUUUUAAGUGAAGGAUUGCAAUGUUUACGUAAACCAUUUUGGAGCCGGACCAUCAUACUCAAACCUCUGUUAUGCAUACAAAGAGAUCGAGAAUUUCAUAUUCGGUACACUUGUCAGCAAUGAGGACCAGACUUGGAGGAGGGAAAAAAUCAAUCACUUCAAAUGACAGAUGACAGCAACGAUUUAUCCCAGCGUUCAUAUAUUCCCCACUGAGGUAGCAUGCGGAAAAACACUAGUGAAUGGAAAAUCUAGAUAUAGCAUAAAUACAAAGAAUCGACAAUGAAAGAGUAACAAGACACAUUCAAGUAAGAACUUCCAUGCAUGAACAAGAUUCUAUUAAAUUUCAUUCAAUUCUUUUGCUGAUACCUGUGUUCCAUCUGUUGAAACUCCUUUGCAAGUGUCCUUCGCAAAUAUUUGCUGUCCCCAAAUCCUCCAAAUUGCACUAAUUCUUUGACUCUCUUCAUAGUUUCUCUGAAACAAUAAUGUGUAAAACAUCUUAUUGACCUGACAUCAAACAUCAAGGCAGACAAGCGCAUGAAACUACAUUUGAUUUUCAAAAGACUUUCCAGUCCAAUGAGAAACGACAAUCAACCGGUCAAUUUCAAUCCUCGUUACCCUGUCAUUAGCAACAUAUGCUGGACCAAGAAUGACCACAGUCAAAGCCCAGCAAAGCACCCUAACUUGAGUCAACCUCAUCUCUUGUGCUCUUAGAAGUAUUUAGGAGGACGGUAGCAAGAUGACUUAAAAUGAAGAACUAACCCUCAAACCAGGAGUCAUUUACAAUUUCGAUAUUCUGAAUUUAGCAACUAAUUUGGUCGCAUUGCAAAAAGGCAUGAGUGAGCCACUAGAGCGCAUGAAAAGAAUACUAGGCUUGACAGGAUACCGCUCUGACAUUUAAAGCGUGACCAAGGUCCAUUACGCCAUGAUAUUUUAAUCCUCUGGCACACAAAUGGAUAGCACAACCUAGUGAAGGGCCACCAAAAUUUGCUGCUAGAGUACAUGAAGGCAAUACUAAGCUGUCGACACUUCACAGUAUCCAAGCCAUUGCCUCACCAAAUUUCAGAUACAACGAAUGAAGAGAUGGCCCACACUUGGAAUUAGAAGGUUAUGUCAAAUUAUGAAUCCAGUCAUCAUGUCUGAAUGAUACAUAUGAUUCCAUAACUAGGGCCAGGCAAUAACAUUUUCUUAUUAGAUGAAUGAAAUUCAUUAAGAACACCAAGUAGGAGCCGAACUUCAGAUGAUGCACAAGAGAAGAAAUUUAUUAAUUCAAUGGGUAGCCAUUCUAUCAAAAAUAAUGGCAUGUCACAUCUCGGCCCAAGUAAAGUUAAUGUCGACUGAAAUGAGGGAAAAUAAUUAACUUUCAGGGAGUAUACAAGCCAUUUCUACUGGAAGCUCUGUAUAUGUCAAUGCCAAACAGUCCACUUGGUGACUCCAUCAGGUAUGAACACAUAUUAACUAAAGAUUCAGGGGUUCUGUGUGCCAUAUUGUAAAUGACUUAGAAUUAGGAACUGGACAAGUUGGAGGAAAUCACUUACAAAUCAAUGUCAAUUUCUUCAUCAGCCUCGGAUAGAUCCAGAAGCUGCAUAACAGGAUCUUGAUCAUACAGAAACUUCAAGAACACGACAACAAGUUCACUGUAGAAAUUCAUAAGAGUAAAUAGGGAUUCACCAUAAGGACUGAACCUGAUGGAUAAAAGUUAGACAAACCUAUUGUAUGUUAAAAGUUGAUCACUUGGCUCUGACAUAAGUUGCUUUAUACAUUUCAGAAGCCAGCUGAAGAAAUUUGCAAACUGAAAGAGACACAAAACCAAAACCAAAACCAAAAGCUUCAGCAACAUGCACAUUAUCAACCAAUAAAAAAAGCUUACACCGCUGGCUCAAGAAUUUAGGAUCCUACCAAUAUUCUGAGCUUGUCUAGAUUCAGUGGUCACNNNNNNNNNNNNNNNNNNNNNNNNNNNNNNNNNNNNNNNNNNNNNNNNNNNNNNNNNNNNNNNNNNNNNNNNNNNNNNNNNNNNNNNNNNNNNNNNNNNNNNNNNNNNNNNNNNNNNNNNUCAUGCAAUUUCUCUUUGGUCCUUCAAAUACACGAUGAUAUAUAUCAACAAAUAACAAUGUGAUAUUGUCAGUAUUUCAUCAUGAUCUUAAAAGGUGCGAGAUGAAACUUUGUUAAACAGGUUCAAGUCAUGUGCAAAUGCCCAGCUAACAAUAUCUUCCUCAAAUUCUCAACGAAAACGCUUGUAUUUCAAAUAUUAAAUGUUAUUCGGCUUAGAAUAAUAUGUCAUUCUGAGCACACAAGAUCUUGUGUCUUAUAUCCACAAGUAGUUCAACUCCAUGUUUAAAAUUUAGGAAUUUAGCAUGACUAAAGAUAUGCACGAUGAGAGACAGGCAAGAUUUUGGAAAAGAGUAGCAAACAGAAGGUAUCAAGAAACGUAGAGAAAUCAUAACAAAGAUUGUAACAGGCUACCUUCUGCACAACAGAUGAGAGCACCCUUAUGAAUCGCUCAACCUGUACAAGCAGCAUUCCAGCCUUUUCUACUGCAUUGUCCACCAGUGUCUCAUCCAAACCAAUGCCCAGGUAACAAGAGUGCCAUCUUGAAAGACCCCUGAGCUCACCCAUUCUAAAGCCAAUAAUUUCUACAGCAGGCUGAUUCUCUCUCUCUCUCUCUCUCUCUCUCUCUCCGCUCUCUGCUCUCUGCUGCGCUUUUUCAGUAACCAGACAUUCUCUUGCUUCUCGUUGGAGAAGGGAAAAGCCAUGUGGAAGCCAAAGAGAGCUUUGCCUCCCUCUUCUUCUUCAGGUCAACAAAGUCAACCCAAGAGGCCAUGCUUGCCUCCAAUCGAGUAAGCUCGCUCUUCCCUCUUAACGUUUCAAUGCUUGAUUCGUUGUUUGAUGAUCUUGCGUUAGUUUUAGCUGUACUUGAGGGAGAUUCAAUGAAGGGGUCUUGAGUUGAAGAUUCUUGACAUGAGAGACAUGGUGAAAGCCCGCCAUUGAUAAGCUUUUGCCUCAUGACCGUUCAAAAUCACUUUCGUUCAGUUCUUUAUUUAUGGGUUUGUGCUGUUGUUUUAAUGCGAAGUACUAAUGACCUCGGAUGUCAUCGUCUCAAAUCUGUUUUGUGAAUUUAUGUUGGCCAAUUGCAGUACUUCCUCCUUAUUUGAGCUGAAUUCUGUUAAAAUCAUUUAUCUAGCAAGUGAGCUGUUAUCGUUACCAGGUUAAUUUGCUAUCCUGUCGUCUAAAUAUCCUAUCUCGCUUGUACUUUUGUGCUGAUGUUCAUGCAGUCAAGCAUGGAACGGGUCCGAAAUGAAUCCUGUGCCGAGUUGCUGUUUGACUUGCUGUUUGACAAAGGAGGAUCUGCGGAGCAUGGUAAGAUGAGUGAAGUAGGCAAGUUGGACAUGCAAAGUACAGCCCUUAUUAUAUUUCAAUUCCUGUUUCUUCGAUUAGAAGUGGUUAGAUGCAUUUCUGACAUUCCGGCCAGUUUCUGGACAGUAAUCCGCGUGAGAAAUUGCCAAGAGAUGUAUAGAGAAUUAUUGCUUGAGUGGUAAAAAUGACCUGCUGAAUGUUCUAGGAUUUUCCUGGGAAGCAAUUGCACUAAACACAUGCUUUAGGCUUUUCAUGUUGUGUUGGGCAGUAUGGUUCACAAAAAGAUACAAAUUUUCGAUGAAGUGCCAUGGACAUAACUGUCGCCUUGAAUCCUGGAAUAUGUGGUCAAUGACCCUUUGAACGUAGGAGGAGGAAAAUGAAGAUACCUGUGAUGUGAAACUUGAAUGUGAUGAUUACGUGACAGAUGGCUCUUGCUUAUGUAAUUAUUUGCUUUUGCUUUCUUUGCUGGACAGUUCAGAGAAGAGCUGGAGAGUGCUAAAUCUGACUGGGCCGAAUAUUUUCGAAGGUGAUUAUAUUUCAUUUGGUUUGUUGGCAGUAUCAUAUCUGCAUGAACUGAUUUCUGCAGGAGAAUUUCCAUGUCUAUUGUCUCAUCAAAGUAUUAAUGCCAUAAAUCCAAAUUUCUGUUCGGCAAAGUGUAAUACCUGUGCAUACCUUUUUCUUUAAAUCACUGACAGGAUGGUGCAUUUGGAGAUAGCAGCUAAUCAACAUUAUUUGCUUCUGUUAUCAAAGUACUGGAUAAAUUUGUAUUCCAGUUUUAUGUUGACUUUUUAUGUCGAGUUAGAUUAAGGAAUGCAUUUGAUGAGUCUGGCAUUUAUGGUUUAUACAGUAAUUAGAUCUGACAUUCAUUUGUACAAGUAACUUAAAUGUCAAGGGUUAUCUGUCUUUUUGUUACGAAUAAGUCCACAGACAGCAGUUGUUCAUGGUAUCAAUUUUAUGGUGUAGUUGCAUCUGGNNNNNNNNNNNNNNNNNNNNNNNNNNNNNNNNNNNNNNNNNNNNNNNNNNNNNNNNNNNNNNNNNNNNNNNNNNNNNNNNNNNNNNNNNNNNNNNNNNNNUGAUUUUAAGAGAUUGGUAAGAUAAACAAGUUUAUAAGAUUUCUACUUUUUCACAGACAUAUCUUCAUCAACACUUAAGGUAUGAGUUGUUUCUCUGCAUGUCAUGAAUUGAUAGAAUGAACUUACUAAUCGCUUCAUUCCGACAGUUUUAACAGCAUUCAUCGAGCACAAACUUCACACGAUCUCCUUUGUCUAUAAGUAAAUAUUCAUUUUGUUGUGCAACCUGUGGAAAGAAAAACAUGGGAAGGCCUAAUUUCCAUACAAGUCUGUUACAGCAUAAUGUCCCACAUGGGCAGACAAAAUUGAGGUGCCAAACCUUCUUCUCAAUGUGAACUCUUGGGGAAGAUCAACCUGUUAUCCAUAGAGUAACUUAUAUCCGUUGAGUGAGGACCUUCCACUCAGUACUGUCAGCUUACUAGGGCCAACUUGCAUCCCUGCUCGACGGGAAGAACAGGAGAUCCUUUUGAACAACUUGUUAUAAUAGGAAAGCCUUAUAUCUUGACACAGGAGACCCUUCUGUGCAACCUAUUACGACUCACUAGCCAGGUUCUAAACCCAUGUUUUGUCAUAUUAGGCAUAAACCAUACAAGCCUAAGCCAAGUCACUUUGUUCCCCCAUGUCCUCACUAGCUUCGAACUCUCCUUUAUAGAGAAAGAGCCCCUAGAUGAUCCAGUAAAUACCACACUGUCUAUAGAGCCAGAGUUUGGAGCAAUCAACCCACACAAAGCCAUCUGAGUUUCAAGCAGAUCAUCAGACCUUGCUGGAGGCCAUCUCCAUUCAUUCUCCUCAAUAACAGUUUCAACUGUGGCUUUAUCACCUAAAGCUAAAUCAUAACCAUUCUAAAGAACAUGAAAAUUUUUUCAUGGACAUGGAAUGGAAGGGGAAAAUGAAAAGGCUUAGGAUUGAUCAUAUGAGUUUUAUAGACAACUGCUGUUCGGUAAAAGACAGUGAAUUCAAAUAUGCAUGAAGAACUUAGCUCAAUAAGGUGUUUGAUAAGUUGUUUUUAGGAAAGAGCCACAGGAUAGGUUUUCCAACUCCUUUUGAUGGAAUGGAUUGGUUUUGUAUCCCUCCUGCUUCAUUUUUUGGAUGUCUCCAACUUUGGCAAUUCUGCUGUUGGUGGUUUUGAACAGAUGGAAGCAGUGGAUUUUGGAAACAUUCAUUCUCCCCAGCGUGCAAGGUAUGGAUGCACUUCCCUCGUGAUGCUGUUGAGAAAGGCUUUCUGUGUAGUGUUGACAGGUUAUGCAUUGUUGAUGUUUUGGGGAAUAAUGGUCCGACCUACCACUACCACCCCAAGCAGGCAGUCUGAGCUCUCAGUGAGUGUCAUGCCACAAUGACUCGGUCAUGCACCAAAGUGUCAAUGCUCAAUUUAGAACAUAAUCCUUGUAGCUUGCCAGUGGAACAUUUUAUUUUAUUUUACUUCAUUUUUUUUAAAUGUGAAUUAUUAAACAAAUAAAACGACAGGCCUAUUUAUCCUUGUAGUUUCCUCGGCAGUAAGACCUGUCCAAGUGAGAUGUUGGGUAUUUUGUCUCUCUGUCGUUAUUUUUCCAAUUUUCCGUUUUUUAUACACAUUCCUAUUUCUGAUGGUUGGUUUCUGAAGAGAAUGCAGGGCUAAUGCUAAUUCUACGGGAGAGUGAUGUGAGAGACUUACGGCUUCAAAUUCAAACCAAACUGUCAGAUUCUCUAUUUACUGGACAGAAACUAGAAGGAGUGGGGGGUGCACACAUUUCCGUUGCCUUGAUCAAUGCAAAUACAGGGGAUGUAGUUAGAUCAGGCCUGGAAUCCUCCAUUAAGUUGGACGUCGUCGUGCUCGAAGGUGACUUCAACAAAGACGAUGAGGAUAACUGGACCCAAGAAGAGUUUGAGAGCCACGUGGUUAAACAACGUGAAGGAAAGAGGCCGCUUUUGGCUGGAGAUCUCGUGGUGAAGCUCAAGGAAGGUGUUGGGGAGAUGGGAGAACUGACGUUUACUGACAAUUCCAGUUGGAAUAGGAGUAAAAGAUUCAGGAUAGGGUUUAAGGUGGCAACGGGUUUUUGUGGGAAUACGCGAAUCCGAGAAGCCAAAACAGAUGCCUUCCAAGUCAAGGAAAAUAGAGGGGAAGGUAGGUCCUUCAUAGUCUUUCUACAGUAUGUAAACCUUAUCCUUUAUGACUGAACAUAAACAUGAUUUUGGACGUCCAGAGUCUCCAAUUUUUUAAUUUAGAGCUUCAUUUCGGGUGGACCUUUACAACUCGAACAAAAAUUCUGAUAAAUAAGAAGCAAUCGGUUUGUUUGUUAUUGGUAAAUGUCCACACUCAGGAUCAGUUUCAGGGGAAAGAUUGCAAGCCUCCUAGAGGUUUGCUUCUACAAAUUAAUCUAAUAGUGCCCGGAUCUAAUUGUAUAUGUGUUCUUCAUUUUACAGCAUACACGAAACAUCAUCCACCUGCAUCUGACGAUGAGGUUUGGAGGUUGGAGAACAUUGCCAAAGGUGGGAAAUCUCACCAAAAACUGAGUGAUGCUGGAAUAUAUAAAGUGGAAGACUUUCUACUGCAACUGUUCACGGACCCUGAGAAAUUGAGAGAGGUAAGCACUCAGUUAAUGAUUCCCAAUUAGGGUUUGAUUGACUGCCAAGAAUGUAAGUCCUGUGUGUUCACUCAUCAUAGACUCUCGGAAAGAGCAUAACAGAGAAGAAGUGGGAUAGCCUGAUACCCCAUGCAAAGACUUGCGAAACAAAGUGGAAACUUUACUUGGACUAUCCUGAUGGCGUGACGAAGCAUGGUGCUGUAUUCAACACUGAUGGUCAACCAAUCGGCCUAGUCAAAGACACGGAAUAUUUUGCUACUCAUCGACUUUCUGCUCAAGAGAAGGUAAGUAACCAAGGAGUUCCUACUCAAUUUUGUCAAGCCAGUUCACUCGCCACACCCCAUCUUGGGGAAUUCGAAUUAGUUGUCCCAUAUUUUCUAUGUAAUCAGUAUUUUGAUGUUCACUUGUAGCUGUGUGGCUUAGUAGGUAUUAGAAUUGAUUAGAGAUUUGGAAACCUGAAACAAGGAGUUAAUUGAACAUCUAGAGGCUUUGCUUUUCUUUUGUUUUGUUUUUUCUUUCCGAUCACAAAAGUAUAAUGAAGUUCCCGUGGAGAGAAUAAAAAAAAAAAUGUAGAUGCUAUGUUUAGAUCCAUAAUAGAGACUUUCUACUAAUGGAGUGAUUUUGAGCUUGCGCUCUUUGUGAAGCAAAGUUAAGGUUAGUGACCUUGUAAAUCUAAGUGUUCUUCUAUAUUGAGUAAGUUAAAGACCACUUUCAGCACUUUAUUCGGUUUCAUCCAUGAGAAUCUGAGGCACUCAUCAACAAAUUAUAGUUUAAACGAUUAACACUUUCCCGUUGCGACCAUUACUUUCCAAGUUUAUAACCAUCAAGAUCUUAAUUACUUGCACAAUACAUAUCGAUGACUGCUUUAUUUCUUCUCUGGUCCUUUCUCGAUCAACUUUGUAUCUUUACAAUGAGGGCCUUGCCUUGAAUGUACUCUAAAUUACAUCUUUUGAGCUCCUGACCUUUACGUGGUAGAGAAAUGUGGCAGAUAUAGGCAUAAAGCAAAUUGCGGUUCUUUCAAUAUUGUUCUUCUUUCUCUGUGCUGCACUCACGUACUUAAUCUGAAUACAAGUUCAUCCAUUGGAAUGCAACUUUACUUGUCUAAAAAAUUAGUUGCUUGAAGCCAGAAUGUUUACCUGUCCAUAAUGGAGAUAAAUACUUCCAUUAGUACAGCUUAAGCAAUAUACCAGGUGUGUUUUUCCCAGGAACAUGGAGAUGCAAUUGUGAAAAAGGCCUUGGCUAACUGGAAUGAUGUGAGAGAGUUCAAUGGUGAGACGUUCUCUGAUUCAAUGAGGCGCAACCCUGUUCAACGUUAUUUGGCUCCACCAAUCUUUCCUGCCCCGUUUGGUCUGGAAGCUCCUCCGGCAAAUGUGAGCUCCACUGCUGAAGGUACGUUCUCUAGAACACAAUACUGUCUCUCCCUUUAAGCACAUACAAAGACGUGGCCUGUGAAAUUUCAAUGAAAAUUGGAAUUUCCACUUGAUUGUUGAGCUUUUAUAUAUUAAAGCAUUGUGUAACUGAUCCUUUUGGGUUCCACUUAAUAUAAAGACGUUCGUUUGUCCAGCUGUGAUUGAUGCAAAAUGAGCCUCAUUCAAUACAUAUAUACGUAUGUAUGCAUGUAUGUGUUCCGUCCAAGCAAUUGAAAAGCAACUAAAAAAUUAGGUGGUAACAUGUGCCUUUUUUGAGUGGGGGAUUGGAGACGGGGAGGGCGGAUACUCAUGAACCCUUCACUUAGGUGAUGCUAAGUGAACGUUGACAAGAUAAUGCUACCACUAGGUAGAUAUGACUAGAUGUAAUGAGCACACGGCAACAUGUUUAUAUUUGCAUUUUUGUCAUUUUACAAAAGGGCCUUGUCAAGUGAAGCGCGUUACAAAGAUCAGGGGCAAGAAAAAUUAAAGAGAUGUGCAGGGUAAGGGAAAAAAGAACUAGUAGCACUUUCUAAGAUACCAGAAUAGUAAAAGCUCAUGAUGAACCAUUGCAAGAAUUUUUAUAGGCUCGUAGUCCUGUGCUUACGUCGGCCUAUGUUUACGAACCGCAUUAAUGUUUUAGUUCUUUCUCCAGGACUCAAUGGUGCAAUGGCUUUGGUAUUGCCGUUUCAAUCACCAAAUUUUCCUCCAGCUGCACAUCAGCCCAUGUCUGCAGACCGCUCGAAUGUUCAGAUUCCUCCAGGAUUUCAUGAUAGUACUUCUACCGGAUUGCCAACACAGCCCCUUGGUAUCUAUGUACAGAAUGCCAUACGUCGCCAAAUGAUCGGUUCUUCGAGCCCAAUGGACAAUGGAGGAUAUGAUAAUGUUCUUCUUGAAGGCGAUCAUGUGAUGGAAGAGAUCCAAUCAAUUGAUCUUGAUGCUUUUGAGAAAUGGUUUGCUGAAAGCACACCAUGUAAUGACCCGUUAUCCGAUAAUGGUUUUGUUAGGGGAACCGGCAGAGGUGAUAUUGGCUGGCUCAAGAUAAAGGCGGUGCUGCAGUGGGGGUACUUCAUCAGGAAGACAGGUGUCAGACUCGUGGAGUUAGACCAACCAACUAUCGAAGUCCGGGCUUGUUCAUAGUUCUUUCUUCGCUUUAGGGAAGAUGAUUAUAUUCCUGAUAGAAAUGAUGGUAAUUCUUUCUUAAAUGGUGGUAUUAUUUCAUUGGUAAUAUUCUUCAUCUGUAUAUAGAACAACUUUGUCCAAGCCUUCUUAAGCGACUACUUUUUUUCAUUGAAAAGUGUCUCUCUACCUCAGUUCUUUCGACAUCUUUCUUCAGGAAAGUUCUUUGAUGUAUCACAUGUAAGGAAUGCAAGGUCAUACCAUUCAAAGAGUGUACUUGAAUUCUAUGCUUAUUAUGCAUUAGAAUUGCAACCAAAUCCAUGGAGACCCAUGUGACAAGUCUUGCCUACUGCUGCUAUCCAGUGUUAAUGCAGCCUUUUCCCAGAACGCAUGCAUUGUCAACCCUUAGGAUGCAUUUGAUUUAACAUUCCCAACAAGCUUUCAAUCUCCAAAACCUUGGGAAAAUGCUUAAUUGUUUAACAAUUAUUUUAAAGUAAUUUUCAAGUAAAAGCCAACAAUAAGAAAGUUGAAAGCAUAAUACUAGUGGGGACUAGCAUUAAACUUUCAGCAUUUUGCCAAAUACUUAAACUCAUUUUUUCCUUCAAAACUACCCUUACUCAUAUUUUAAAUUUCCGAUUUUUCAAAUAUGUUUUUUAACAAAUGGCAUUUCUCUCAAAAUUACUUUUCAAAACAUAAUUUAUCAAAAGGCAUGUAAUUUACAUUUUCCCAAUAUGCUUAAACCACUAAACCAAACACGCCCUAAGUUCUCUCAUACCCGUUUUCCUGGCCUUCUCUUCUUGUUUUCUCAAUCUUUGAAAUGGUUUACUUGAAUUUCUCUAUAACGAGCUUUGAUGCAAAGCUGCUCGGGGUAUGUUUGAUUUAAUAUUGGGUAUGCACUACAAUUUUGUCCUUAUGAUAGAGGAUUGAGUAUCUAGAUCUUUCAUAUUUACUGGAUCAUUCCACACUUACUUUAUGUCAUGAACUACUUAAAAAAAUGAACAUUCCUAUAAGUUUAUACAUCAUUAAAUUCAAUGCCUAUGCGAUGCUCCUGGUUAAGAAAACACAAGUCCAUUGAAGAUAUUGUAGACAUAAUCUCAUUAUCCUAAACCUACCGUUCAUUUGCGGAUUCUGAAUCUCUGAUACAGCAAUAUAGUCAAAUGCUCUUUAAAGCCACCUUGCGACUGUAUAUUUAGUGGCUGGUCAUGUUGAUUAUAUUGAUCCCGGAGCGUAGCCCUUCCACACAAACGUAUUUUGUGCUUUGAAUUGGAUGCAUCACUUAACGUUGACAUAGAGAAGCAAGUCAAAUUUAGGUGAGGGAUUUUGACAUUCAAAUGCAAAGUUCGUUGGUCGAUUACACCAAGUGAACCAUUCAACCCAAAGUAUAGAAAAUCCAAACCAAGCAUUUGUUUCUCUUAUAUAUGAGGGUUAUAAACAUAUACAGAUGAAGCAUAAGCUUGGCACUAUCGAAUGGGUCUCAAAGUUUGCAGCAAUACUAUGAAGGCAAUUGCCACCAGAUAGAAGCCAUGGCUCUAAAUAGAUAAAUAGUUACCUUUUACUCCAGUUUUAUCUUCAACAAAUGCCCACCAGGCAGGAAAGGCACGUGGCAGGUAUAAAUUAACACUUUCCAAGAAGGGCGGAACCGGAAAACUUCAGUCACAAAAGCCAACAUGUAUUGCUUCUCACACCGAUGUCUGCAGCUUUGGAGAGUAGAGGUCCACUCACAGGAGCAACACGAGCAUAACCACCACAAAAUCUUGAACAGUCAUUCUGAAUCAGACAUUUCAUCUUCAUUCUCGUCCAGUAUGUAGACCAGGGCCCGUUUUCUUGCAGCUAAAACACAAGCCACACCUCUACUUGCUGUCGCCAUAAAAACAUUAACCUGAUUUCAGUCCAACGUUUCUUGAAUAUAUGGCCAUGACUAACGUGAUGUUUAGAUACCUUUGUUGGGUAAAAGCAAAACUACAACACAUGCAUUAUGCUAAAACACAGGCGGGGAAGCAAACCUUGCUGCCCAGGGAGGCUAUGGUAUGCAUGUAAACUAUGAAUGCUCUACAGUAUCUUGCUACACUAGAUAUCAUGAUAGUAUCUAUCAUCAUGAACAUGUACAGGUUCUCAGUCAGUAACUAGACCGCAGUGAACCUACCAUAAGAAGAAUAUUCUCUGUACUUGUGUGGCCUCUAAAGAUUCACCUUUUUUGCACUUUGACCUCUCAAUAGAUUUAAAUUUAGGGGAAAACCUGAUGCAUUAGUAUAUUACUUCUUCAACUGAAAAAAUAUUCUUCUUUGGAGCAUGAGUUUGCACUUCUUCAAACUGUGGGAACAAACAUGAAGUGGUCCAUUAAAGAGACAUAAUGUACUUAUGCCAGUCUUAAACUUAAGAGUAGGCUGUUAAGUGAAAAUGUAGUAAGAAGCAUGGACAGGAUUUAUUCAGUCCACUACCUAGUCAACAAGAUGGAAUUGUUGCUAACACUCACAAGUUUAUCAAGCAUUGAUACACAAAGGAAAUAGAAUGGGCAACAAUAAGUUUCCAAACAUCCAAAAAUGCAGAUGGACAUGGUAAGAAGCUCAAGGAAAAAAAAAUCAGGACUAUAAAAUUGAUGGCAUGACAAUGAUUUAAUCCUUAGCUCAGUUGUAUGAUGGUGUCAAAAAUUCUUACCACUAACUGACAAGGGAGGAACAACAUUAUGGGGAAUGCUGCGAAUCUUCUCAUUCUCCAUAUCUAGGUGUAAUAUAGAGUCCUAAAUGCAUAGUUUCACUGGGUUAGUGUUUCAGGAGUGAGAAUAAGAUAACCAAGCAAAAAAUGUUCUCACAAAAUAGAAGCAAAAAUGGCACUUCUUACCUAUUAGGGACAUUCUGACCAAAAAAGUAAAAAAUCAAUUAGGGACACCGCAUGCCUAUUUCUUAACAUACAUACAAGUUGAAGGCUUUAACUGCCAAGAUAAGUUGGAACUUUUGCAGUUAUGGUAAGGCAGAAAGUAAAACAUCCUUCAGAAUUUCCAAGCGUGAAAUAGCAUGUCCAUGCACAUAGGAGGAAAAACUAAGUUGCUGCUCCUCAUGCUGAUGAGGAAAGCAUAUAAAUAAAAGAUAGGAAGAAUAAAAUUCCCAGUGUUUUUGAAACUGGACAAGUGGUUCAACCGGUCAAACUGGUAGAACUGUGCUCCACCAGUUUUAACAGGUUUAACAUAUUGCAUGUGAUGUCAUCUGAUAGAAUACUCCACAUAUAUUAGAUUACACAUGUUCAGAUUAACAGAUGCCUGGCUGAGUUGGCAGAGCCUUGUUGAGCACAAAUGACAGCAUUCAAGUUCUCAAGAACAUCAUCUAAUUUUCUAAUAGAUUAAGCCAAUAAGGUCAAUGAAUAAUGAUACACCACCAAAUUGAAGCAAGAAGACACUGGAGUGAAUGGUUGGUACGCUUGUUAGUUACAAGAGGUUGGAGUUCCAAACCCCAACCCAACUCCGACACUCUUCCUUCAAACUUUUUGAAUGCCCAGAACUGGUCCAAACUAGUUGACAGGAUUGUGGGUCAACAGUUGACAGUUACGCCUGAUAACAAUAGGGUCAAUACCACCAGUUCUUGACCACUACUGUUUCUACUGUGAAACCAGACUGGACAGGUCUGGUUCCCAAUCCAACCGGAGCCAGUUCUUAAAACAGUGAUAAUAACAGGAGUCGACUGAAAAGCAAUUUUCGUUUUGCCAUUAAUGUUUUAAAUAGUGAACUGACGCAUAUCAGACCAAACAGAACUCAGCAGCAUCCUAUACUUAUCACGAGUAGGAAAUCAAUAUGCAAGCUCAGGAUCCAAGAGUUACCUUUAGAUGGUACAACUCCCAGUUAUUUGCCUGAGUGGUUCCUGAAAUAUGCACAAAUGGAAGGUCACUGGCCUGCAAGAUCAUCAUCCAGGCAUCUCCCAAGUUUUCACCAGUAUCAUUUAUCUUAUUUAGCAACAUAACGAUUUGAAGUUCCUGUUUCAAAAUAAAAUAUUUUAGCCACAUCCACAAAUUCUUAAAGUAUGAUAUGCCGAGCUCUUACCUUAUAUAGAGCCAAAUCCACACAAUGGUAACCAGAAGGGAUGCACAACAAGAUUGCUUCCAAAGGUCUUCCCUGCUUCACAUUGCUUGAAUCAUUCAUAAAUCCCCUCACUACAGCUAUACAGUUUGCAAAAUCUAAAAAAGACUCAUCGGGUAUUUGGAAGGAAAUAUAAUCUGUAAACCCAACUUCCUGAGUCAGAUUAGAUGAAGCAAAUUCAGAGGCAUCCUGCAGAGCCAUACGAAGAAAUGAUUAGCAUGAAAAAGCAGUUGUACUCUGCACAUGCCUAUCUCUGGAUAAAAUUGUUCAGAUUAAGGGUAAGUACCUCAUAGAAGGACAGUGAAAUUGGAAUGUAUUGGGUGGAUGCUGAAACUGAUGUAAGAGGGAAUAGAGGCAAUAAAUUCUUACAACAUAUCUUUUUUGAAAUAGUAGAAAAAGGCAUCUGGGCAGCUUCCUUGAAACUGUAAAAAUUUAAAAUUAUUCCUAAUCAGUAAACAUGAGAUAUGGCAUUAUCACACACAAUAAUCGUAUGCUAAUCAGAAAGCCCAAUCCAAUAAGAUCACCCAGCUUAAGUUUCCACGUACAUUGUCAAGUAAUCAACAUGAGAUCGAAUAAGAAACACUAGAUUAUUAGGUAGAGGGUAAGUGAAAAACCAUUGUUGAGUACAACCUCCAGAAGACAACUCCCCACCCCCAAAGGUUUCCUUUCCUUUUCUUCCUUCUCUCAUUAUAGUCUCAAGGUUCUGGCCACUCAGACAAGCAAAUUAAAAAGAUGGGUACAAUUUUAUUGUAACAUGAAUUGUCAAGAUACCUGAAUUAGAUAAAUGAGAAAUGAAUAUUUCAGCUCAACUAAAUGAUGAGUUGGGUGAAACCAAAGCACAAGGUUUUAAUUGAAGGAUUGCAAUGUUUACUAAAACCAUUUUGGACCUGCACCAUCAUACUCAAACUUCUGUUAUGCAUACAAAGAUAUCAAGGAUUUCACAUUUGGUACACUUGUCAGCAAUGAGGACCAGACUUGGAGGAGGGAAAAAAUCAAUUACUUCAGAUGACAGAUGACAGCAAUGAUUUAUCCCGGAGUUCAUAUAUUUCCCACUGAGGUAGCAUGCAUAAAAACACUUGGGAAUGGAAAAUCUAUAUAUAGCAUAAAUACAAAGAAUUGACAAUGAAAGAGCAAAAAGACACAUUCAAGGAAGAACUUCCACGCACGAACAAGAUUCUAAUAAAUUUCAAAUUUCCAAUUCUUUUGCUGAUACCUGUGUUCCAUCAGUUGAAACUCCUUUGCAAGUGUCCUUCGCAAACAUUUGCUGUCCUUAAAUCCUCCAAAUUGUACUAAUUCUUUCACUCUCUCCAUUGUUUCUCUGAAACAAUAAUGUGUGUAAAACAUCUUACUGACCUGACAACAUACAUCAAGGAAGAAAAGCGCAUGAAAUUACACUUCAUUUUCAAAAGACUUUCCAGUCCCAUGAGAAACAACAAUCAACCCGUCAAUUUCAAUCCUCGUUACUCUGUGGUUAACAACACAGUGCUGGACCAAAAGUAACCACAGUUGAAGCCCAGCAAAGCACCCUUACUUGAGUCAACCUCAUCUCGUUGUGCUCUUGAAAGUAAUUAUGAAGACAGUAGCAAGAUGACUUAAAAUGAAGAACUAACCCUCAAAGCAGGAGUCAUUUACAAUUUCUUAUCCUGAGUUUAUCAACUAAUUUGGUCACAUUGCAAUAAAGCAGGAGUAAGCCACUAGAGCACAUGAAAGAAUACUAGGCUUGACAGGAUACCUCUCUGACAUUUAAAGCGUGACCAAGGUCCAUUACACCAUGGUAUUCUAAUCCUCUGGCACACAAAUGGAUAGCACAACCUAGUGAAGGGCUACAAAAAUUUGCUGCUAGAGUACAUGAAGGAAAUAAUAAGCUGUCGACACUUCACAGUAUUCAAGCCAUUGCCUCACCAAAUUUCAGCUACAAAGAAUGAAGAGAUGGCCCCCCCUUGGAAUUAGAAGGUUAGCCCACCCUUGGCAUUAGAAGGUUAUGUCAAAUUAUGAAAUUAGUCAUCAUGUCUGAAUGAUACAUAUGAUUCCAUAACUAGGGCUAGGCAAUAACAUUUUCUUAAUAGAUGAAUGAAAUUCAAUAAGACACCAAGUAGGAGCAAAACUUCAGAUAAUUCACAAGAGAAGAAAUUUAUUAAUUCAAUGGGUAGCCAUUCUGUCAACAACAAUGACAUGUCACAUCUCAGCCCAAGUAAAGUUAAUGUCGACUGAUAUGACAGGAAAAAAAUUAACUUUCAAGGAGUAUACAAGCCAUUUGUACUGGAAGCUUUCCGUACAUGGCAAUGCCAAACAGUCCACUUGGUGACUCCAUCAGGUGUGAACAAGUAUUAACUAAAGAUUCAGGGGUUCUGGGUGCCAUAUUGUAAAUGACUUAAAAUUAGGAACUGGACAAGUUAGAGGAAAUCACUUACAAAUCAAUGUCAAUUUCUUCAUCAGCCUCAGAUAAAUCCAGAAGCUGCAUAACAGGAUCUCGAUCAUACAGAAACUUCAAGAACACGACAACAAGUUCACUGUCGAAAUUCAUAAGAGUAAAUAGGGAUUCACCAUAAGGACUGAACCUGAUGGACAAAAGUUAGACAAACCUAUUGUACAUUAAAAGUUGAUCACUUGGCUCUGACAUAAGUUGCUUUAUACAUUUCAGAAGCCAGCUGAAGAAAUUUGCAAACUGAAAGAGAGACAAAACCAAAACCAAAAGCUUCAGCAAGAUGCACAUAAUCAACCAAUAUAAAAUGCUUACACCACUGGCUCAAGAAUUUAGGAUCCUACCAAUAUUCUGAGCUUCUCUAGAUUUCAGUGGUCACACUGGCAGUAUUUUCAUUUGGAAACAAGAAAGAAUGCAUGUCUUCAGUGUAGUAUGUGCGAAAUUGAAAAGGUAUCAACAAACCCUAAGUUGUCAAGGUGCAGGAAGCAAAGAUAAAAAGAAAAAUUAAAAAAAAAAAAAAAAAAAGCCAUGCAAUUUCUCUCUGGCCCUUCAAAUACAUGAUGAUUUCAACAAAUAACAAUGUGAUAUUGUCAGUAUUUCAUCAUGAUCUUAAAAGGUGCAAAAUGGAACUUUGUUAAACAGGUUCAAGUCAUGUGCAAAUGCCUGGCUAACAGUAUCUUCUUCAAAAUCCCAACAAAACAGCUCGUAUUUCAAAUAUAUAAUGCUAUUCGACUUAGAAUAAUGUCAUUCACACAAGAUCCUGUGUCUUAUAUCCACAAGUAGUUCAACUCCAUGUUCAAAAUUUAGGAAUUUAGUGUGACUAAAGACAUGCACGAUGAGAGAUGGGCAGGAUUUUAGAAAAUAGUAGCAAACAGGAGGUAUCAAGAAAUGUAGAGAAAUCAUAACAAAGAUUAUAACAGACUACCUGCUGCACAACAGAUGAGACCACCCUUAUGAAUCGCUCAACCUGUACAAGCAGCAUUCCAGCCUUUUCUACUGCAUUGUCCACCAGUGUCUCAUCCAAACCAAUACCCAGGUAACGAGAGCGCCAUCUCGAAAGACCCCUGAGCUCACCAAUUCUAAAGCCAAUAAUUUCUACAGCAGGCUGCUAGGUAAAUAACAAUGUAAAUAACAAUAAGUCAAUUAGUUAACCCCACAAGUCGAAUAUCCUCUCUAAUCAAGGAAACUGACACACUCAUGAAGGAUAAAGAUAACAUCGAACAUAUAAGUUAAAUGCCAAACAGCAAUAGGAACCAUUGAUGUUAAAAUUUUAUGAAAGAAAAUGUUUCACGCAGCAAAUGGCCAUUACAAGCCAUCCUUAUCUUUCAACUGUAAACUGUGUUUGAAUUACACAGCAUACGCUAGAUUCUCUGACAAAUAAAAGUUAUUUUGGAAAAAUCAUUAAGAAAAUGGAGCCUAGUCUGCCAUCCAAUUCAUGCAAGCAGGCUGGAAGUUUGGAAUGGUUUUGUGAAAUGAUCAAGUCCUGGAAAAUGGAGCCUAGUCUACCAUCCAAUUCAUGCAAGCAGGCUGGAAGUUUGGAAUGUUCGUGUGAAAUGAUCAAGUCCUGCCCAAAGUGGCUGUAUGUGUGAAGGGGAAGGACAGAAAGAGAGAGAGAGAGAGAGAGAGAUCUUAUUUAUGUGAUAGUUGUGGGCUAUAAACACAAAGCUGACAGGAAUUGCUGAUGUUUUUAAGGAGACAAAGCCCCAGCCCUUGUGCUGUUAGCUUGGGCAAGGGUAACUUCUUUACAACAUUCAAAUAUCAAACUACAUCUCUAUCCCAUAGCUUACACUUUUUGAUUAGUUAGUUUUGGUCCCACAAAAUUUUAUGUGGAAUUAGAGCAGGAGGUUUCAGGCUUAAAACUCACCUUACUACCUAUUUACCUCCCCAAUUAUCAAAUAUCUAUCCUUCAAUCUAAGGCCAAGUCUCAGCCUACGUGAGAGGGGGAGCAUUAUUGUAAUUAAGUACCACAUCUUUAUUUGAUAGGUAAUCUUUUAGAUGACUUGGCAAUUGUUCCACAAAAUUCUACACUGUUGUGAAUGCACAUUUUGAGUAAACAACAGGAGAAAGGAGCCCCAAAGCAUUGAUUGACAGACCAUGGAGUUAAAGAAAGUUCAUAAACUUUCAAAAGAAAAAUAUAGGCAGGUUCCUACAAAAGAGGAAAAUUAUAUAGGAGCUGUAAAGGAUAGAUAUUUGGAUAACCACCAUAUUUUUUUGGCAUUGUGGUGGCAGUUCUUUAGACAGUAAGUCCUUUUUUGAAUUAUCUUAGAUAAAUAUGAGCUUAUGGGUGGUAAUUUGUAUAUAAGAGGAACCCCAUGAUGCUUNNNNNNNNNNNNNNNNNNNNNNNNNNNNNNNNNNNNNNNNNNNNNNNNNNNNNNNNNNNNNNNNNNNNNNNNNNNNNNNNNNNNNNNNNNNNNNNNNNNNNNNNNUGCAUUGUACAAGAGAGUCCUGAACCCAGGAGAAGCAAGGAACCGAUCUAAUUAGCAACAGCCCUACAGUGUGCAUGUGCAAGUGCAGACACCUGUGCAAGCACACAAUCGCAUGCAUGUGCUUGGGCAAUGCACAUGUUUACGACACACACAAAAUUGCCCAUAUGUAUGGAGAGAGAUCUGGCAGAGAAGAUAUUGGAUAUAUAUUUUCUUAUAGAUGAUAAAGGAUUUUAAUUAAAGAAAAUUUUUUAACGCAUCAGUUUACAAGGAUAAAACAAAAGAAAAACAAACAAAAAUAAAACAUCAGAAGACCAUAUGAAAUCAGAACAUGAUGUCCAAAGCCAUUUAAAAGGUACACCACCAAAACUACCCAAGAUUUCAAACCCUACUAUUUUGUUGCUUUCCUUCCAAAGGCACCACAUGCGAUAACGGUGUGGCGCUACAAGACUUCUUAGAAAUUGAUCCUCCUAAAUAGGCAUUCCAACAACUAAAAAGCUGGAUGGCAUGUCUAGGCAAGGAAAUGAUCAUUUGGGAUAUUGAGUUAGUGAGACAAGCCCAAGAUUGGGACUUUUUAACAUCUCUUUUUAUGUAUUAUAUUAUUCCAAGAAUUCCGUAGCCUAUGAGGAUGCAUUUGUGUGGAAGAUGAAAAAGAUGGAAUCUUUCCAGUAAAGUCUCACUACAAGCUGCUCAAUAGGGAGGAAGUCGGUGGUCGAAUGGAUUUUCCUCAAAAAGUGACUUGCAAAGUGAGGAUUCUGAUUAGAGUUUGGAAAGUAAGGGUUCUGAUUAAAGUUUAUCCAUUUGCCUGGAAAGCAACUUGGGAAUGAAUCCUCCCUUUAGAUAACCUACAACAAAGAGGCAAAUACUGGUUAAUAGGUGUUUCCUCCACAAGGAGGAGGCAGAAUCCGUGCAGCAUCUCCUCCUUCACUGUUCAUGGACAAGAGUGGUUUGGACAGUUUCCUAUGCUUGCACCAAAUUAUCUUUGGGUUAUUGGAGCUUUUAGGAGCAAGAACUCCGGGCUUGGCAGCACAUUCGUUUACAGUGCCACGAGAAAAGAAGGAUUAACUCAAUUCCUCUAUCUGUUUUUAGGCUCAUUUGGAAGGAGCUAAACAAGAUAGCUUUUGAUGGAGAGGAUCUUCCGUUUGUUGAAAUUUGGCUUAAAGUCGUACACUUUUGGUAUAGUGGAGACUGCAUAUGGAUGUAAAUGACUUGAUUAAUAUGGUCGAUGAUGUAUCUUGUCUUUGAGCUCACUUUUGUUUUGAGAGUUGUUCUGUACAUGGCUUUAAUUUUUGGGCUCUAAUGUUAGAUGGGUUUGCAACCCCUUGGUGUCCUAUGGUUGAACUUUUUUUUUUUUUUUUUUUGGUGAAAGGAAGAAUAUAUUGGGGAAGGUGAAAUUGUAGAAAAAUCAGCUUCAAAAACUUGCACUCGAGAUGAACAAGCUCAUUAUGAGUGAAAGGAAGCCGAGGAAAAGGCCAAGCGGCCGCCAAAGAACAACAAGGCACCAAUGCAAAGAGCCUAAUGCAAAAACACCAAGCAGACACCAACUAUCCUAUAUCACAACAUUGUAUGUAAUCAUGUAGUUUCAAGUACAAACACUAACAUCUCACAUAUGAUUUUGUGCUAAUCAGCAUAACCAUCAUCCAUGUAGCAUGGUUUUAUUGAGCACAAAAACGCUCCAUUAACUCACAGUUGCAGUUCCUUUUAUGAGUUAUCGUGACAAAAGGGAGCCUCUACAACCUAAAGUCAAGAUCCAAAAAGUUCAAGAGAAACUCUGGAUCCAAAGAGAUACCGACACAUUCCCAAAACAGAACAAUACUAUGGAUACAAAGACCAUCAUACAAAACUUGUUUGAAGUGGUAAAAUCCAAGCAUUUAGGCAAGUGUAUUACAGACAUCUAAUACAAAUCUAUUUCACAUGUGAGUAAGUUAACCUUUGUCAUUUACUAGGACAUAACAUCUUUAGCAUUACUCUGCCAAAAGAUGGUGCUUAGUUAAAAAAAUGGCAACCUAAUUGGAAAAGUUGGUAAAAAAUAUAAACUAAUGAAUUCUCACAUCUAAGUACAUGAACAAAUUGUUGUGGACAGAGGCUCUCAUAACCAAGGUUAAGCAUCACAGAUGAGCUCAAUGUUGGCUCAAUUCACUAUCAUCUAAGCAUGCGCCAGUUAUUUUAUCUGCUCAUUUUCUUCUGAUAACUGAGUUUUCAUUCUCAAUUUUAGCUUGUUGACAGUAAUAAUAACAUAAGAAAGCAGAGUUUCACUUACUACGGCAAGUCCAAGGAGUGGAAUUGGUAGUAUAAAUAAGUCUUAACUUCUCCUAGGCUCAAAUAGGGCUAUUAGUAAGUAAAAAGAGUUGAAUAUGAUUUAUUGAUACAAAGAUUGACUCCUGCAAUUAUGAGGGAUAUAUAUUGAGAUCGAAGCAGGCAAUAAAGUUUUCCUUUUGAAACAGAGAACAUAUCUCUAUACCUGUUAAUUAUAACAUAAAUGCAUAAAAAUUUCCAUACCCAUACCUCCAUUUACAGUAUUCUGAAAGCCCAAACUCAGAUCAAGUUCAUAUUCAAACCAAUGAUUAUGACCUAUAAUUUUUAUUAUACGCUUAUAGUAGAGAUUGCCGACUUGUUAAAUCAGAAUCAAAUCAGAUUUUACCUCACCCUUUCCAGCCACUCAAUGUUGGUAAUCCAUAUCAUUGCAUAUGAUAGGUUCAUAUAAGAAUUCAACAUCAGGAUAUUCUGAAAGAUAUGGUGUGUCUCAAAAUGCGUGAAGCAUAACUUACUAUAACAAAUUCCUACAUCUAUCUGAUCACCAUUUAAGACUGUUCUGUGCAAUGCUUAAAACUCAAUAAUUUAUCAGAGAGAAAGGCCAAAUGCAAAGGUAAUAACGUGCACCUGCAGAUGAUUGAGGACAACCAGCUGGAGUUCUUUUCCAGCACCACAGACAACUUUUGAUACACGUUUCAUACCCUACCAUUGAACAAACUAGCAGACUAAGAUUAUAAAUACCAACCAAAAAGAACAGAAGUCCUAUAGCGACACCAGAAGUUAAAAAAACCAGCCGCACCACUUCACCCAGAGAAUUAACAAGAAACUGAUGGACUGCAGGACUGGUCCUAGCACCACCUAGAAGACUCAAAAAUUCCUCCUGAGGAGAAGAGUCAAGACCUAGAUAAGCAAACAAGAACAGUUAAAUGAAGAACAAUGAAAAGCCAUCUACCGCUUUGUAUUAACAGACCACUAACCAUGAUCAUUAAUAAAGGCUUGUUAACAAAUCAACUUCUCAUGAAAUAUGUUCAUGGCAUCAGCCCNNNNNNNNNNNNNNNNNNNNNNNNNNNNNNNNNNNNNNNNNNNNNNNNNNNNNNNNNNNNNNNNNNNNNNNNNNNNNNNNNNNNNNNNNNNNNNNNNNNNNNNNNNNNNNNNNNNNNNNNNNNNNNNNNNNNNNNNNNNNNNNNNNNNNNNNNNNNNNNNNNNNNNNNNNNNNNNNNNNNNNNNNNNNNNNNNNNNNNNNNNNNNNNNNNNNNNNNNNNNNNNNNNNNNNNNNNNNNNNNNNNNNNNNNNNNNNNNNNNNNNNNNNNNNNNNNNNNNNNNNNNNNNNNNNNNNNNNNNNNNNNNNNNNNNNNNNNNNNNNNNNNNNNNNNNNNNNNNNNNNNNNNNNNNNNNNNNNNNNNNNNNNNNNNNNNNNNNNNNNNNNNNNNNNNNNNNNNNNNNNNNNNNNNNNNNNNNNNNNNNNNNNNNNNNNNNNNNNNNNNNNNNNNNNNNNNNNNNNNNNNNNNNNNNNNNNNNNNNNNNNNNNNNNNNNNNNNNNNNNNNNNNNNNNNNNNNNNNNNNNNNNNNNNNNNNNNNNNNNNNNNNNNNNNNNNNNNNNNNNNNNNNNNNNNNNNNNNNNNNNNNNNNNNNNNNNNNNNNNNNNNNNNNNNNNNNNNNNNNNNNNNNNNNNNNNNNNNNNNNNNNNNNNNNNNNNNNNNNNNNNNNNNNNNNNNNNNNNNNNNNNNNCAUGUAGUUCAGCUUACAGUGACUCUGAAAGUCAACUUGGGCAUUUAAAAUUAUCAGAAGGAAAGUUCUUUUAUCAUGCAAAGUGUAGAGUAAAUUCCAAGAAAAAUGCCUCAAAAUUGCUCCAUGUUAACCAUCAGUUUCAUUUUAAGGUUGAUGAUAAUAUCCUGAAUUAAUGAGUUUUACUUUCCAUAAAACCAAACAAAAUUGAUACCUCUGAAACAUAUAUCGGUGCACAUGAACAAUUUUAAUAUAAUUGUAAUGCAGAGUCCAAUUACUACUGCACAAACUUAAAAAAAAAAAAAAAACAGUUUCACCUAAAAUUUGAAUAACACUAAAUGCAAGUGCAAUUUUACCUCUUUUGGAAUAUUGAAGUAUCAAGCACUAAGCAAUGAAAGCCAUGCAUACUAUCUCCAACUGUUUGACACCCUCUUGAUUCAACAAUGUCUUCAACAAGUUCUCCUGAGCAUGCAACCAUCAAAUGACAAAGAUCCUUGGAUAAAACCACCUAAUGAUAACAAUUACAUGGCAGUUAGCUUGCUCUGGUGAAACAUCUGACAUGAUAUCUGGAAUAAUCCAAUGACAGGAAUAAACUUACAGUAGGUACAUUUGAAGUUUAGCAAAAAGUCAGCAUCUUACGUCUAUAAAAUAUUAUCCAAGCUGUUUGACAUUUUUAUAGAAACAUGUUUAGUUACCACUGAGCUUUUACUCGAUAGUUUCUCUAUCAAAUUCCAAUAAGGUGUUCAUGAGAAGACAAUGUAUCUGAUCACUAUAACUUAUAUGUCACCAAAGCAUUUUGAGCANNNNNNNNNNNNNNNNNNNNNNNNNNNNNNNNNNNNNNNNNNNNNNNNNNNNNNNNNNNNNNNNNNNNNNNNNNNNNNNNNNNNNNNNNNNNNNNNNNNNAAACUAUGCACAAUUCACAGUAAUUUUUUGUUUCAUUUAGUCUAGGUUCCUUUGUUUAACUUUAAGUUUAGCUUGAUCACCAAUUGUUCAAAAAGUGUCUUUCAAGGUUUAUUUUGUAUUUUCUUUUCCUAAUGCAUGGGAAAAACCAGAGAAAAGACAAUUUAACAUCUGGUGAAGUUGAAAUAUAUUGGAAGACUAAUUAGGAAGGAAAAUAAAAUUAGUCCCAGCAGAGCAAAAAGACCUCCUAUCAUUAACCCAUUAGUUGAAGAAACAUGAAGGCUCUUGAGAGGCAACUAUGUUAGUGUACCUUCCUCACAGCCGCAUUCAGAAGUCGGCAAAUGGUGUCUCUGUCCUUGGUUGUCGUAGGAAUAUCACAUUCAUGUAUAUUCUGGUGCACAUUCCCAUGCAUUACGGCAAUCACAAAGCAAGAAGCAAUAAGCGACUGAUUAUCAAACUAAAAAUAGCGAACUCAAUAUAACAAAGCAACUAUACAAAUAAAGUCGAAACAGAGAGUUAAAAAAGCUUCCAAACUAAAAUAACUCGUGGAGAGUGGAACUGUGCUAUUUCUACAAGGUCAACUUAAAGAUCAACCAAGCACCAUAACAUUCAUUUUUAGGUCAGGUCAAUGAUGGAACUAGAAAACAGAGAGAAGCAACAACUUAAGCAAAAAAUGUAAACUUCAUGGGCAACAGCACAAGUGCAGUAUAGGCACUGAUUCAACUUUUCUGAAGGCUGUUAAAUGCACUUACCUCAACACCGGACUACAGAAUGUCUACAUCACAUUGCAACUUGGAAGGCUUUAAAUUAGCAGUUCUAAAUUGUGGUUCCAACAAAACUUAGUAUUCCUGCCACUGGCAUCUUUUCAAAUUUAUAUAUAUAUAUAUAUAGACAACCCAGAAGCUCAACAUUGAGCUAAAUGAGCUACAUCAAUUUUCAUAACAAGUGAUUUCCUAUAAAAAAAAAUUUAAUUUUCCAUCUAAAAUAUCUCAUCUUAAAGUGAAAAUUACCUGUUCUAGGUAAAUGAUCGUGGACUUGACUUUAGGUAGUCAACCGAGUCAAGAAAUUGUGAUCAAAUCGUCAUUGACAAUACCUAGUCCUGGGAUAUCGCAUUUUGUUAAAUCGACCAAAAGUAAGGGAUGUGUGCGUGCCUGAGGGUCGGGGCGUGACAAGUGGACCCUAGGAAGUACAUUUGGGAAAGUCCCAACAAGGAAUUGUAACUAUAAGGACUGGCUCCAUGUAACUAAAGAGAUAACUGAUAGGAACCUAAAUGAUACUGAUUUGGAAAAUUCUUCAGCAUGCAUUUCUAGACUAAUCAAAUGUCUGUUGAGAAGUUCAUCAUGUUUUCACGUUGAAACAGUACUAAACCCAAACAUGCAGGAAAGUUCAGAGUACCCAAAAUUCUAAAUCUUCUAAUAGCUGCACACCCACAGAGAGAACUAUCUACACACAAGCAUACACACUCAUAGAACACUUUCCCCAACUGACAGUCGUAUAGGCUCUCUCAAUCUCCCUAAAAAAGAGCAGAAACUCAAGAGUCUAAAACAACAGCAGAAAGUCUGCACAGCAGGCUAACCCAGACAGACACCAAAUUCUCCUUUAGGUGCUUCAACUGCAGUAUAGACAGAAGGAGCACUCAGGGCAAACAACAAAAGCUUUGGAUAAUUGUGCCGUAUCAAAGUCAGAGGUGUCAUCUCUGAAGUGACCAAUGGAAGUGAAAUCUAGAACUUUUACAAGAAUAACUUCACCUAGAAUAGUUGUUUAAUUAACCAGCCCAUUACUUUCAGGCAAUACUGAUUUCUGCCAUCAGAUCCAUUUAUUAAGAAAGACUGCUCUAUGAAAGCAAGAAAGGAAAGUAGUCAUCGACUGAAUCUGAUAGACUAUACUGCUAUUAUUUGAUCUGAACAGACAGGAGGCUUACAACAUUUCCGAUUGGAAAGACACCAAAUAUACUGAAGCACAAAACCCCAUUUUUAUCUCCGCUGCAAAGGAUAUUGAAACAUUGCUUUGAAGAAUUUGAGAGCUCUAUGAAUGAAUCUUGACCAUCGUCAGUUAAACCAGUUUCUCCAGAUACUAGUCCAGGCAUGCGAGAAACUCUUGGAGCUGGAGGGAAGAAACGAGUAGUGCGAUCUUCAAAUGCCAAAGAGUUGCCAGAAGUGUCCUAUUAAAAAAUGGAUAAAUAUCAUUCCAAUGGGGAAAAAAACAAGAACAAGAAGAUAAAUAUGACAAGAGAUUAAAGUUAAAGAGUCAACAAUCAGCAAAUCAACAACUCACAGCUGACACCAAACAUAAGUAUUCAAAAACCUUCCAUAAAUACAUAUUGUAGCUGUUGAAUAAGAUUCUAAGUUUUAAAAAGAAUAUUUUAGUAAACCAGAAUAAAAUAACUACUUAACUGCAAACAAAGUAUUAGAUAGAACAUGAAAGGUAUGAACAAUAAAAUAUUGUCUGUUAAGAGUCAAGAUCAAGAAGUAAGAUGAACUUUCUUAAGUUGAAAGAUGCAUACUCUAUUCACUUGGGCAUCCUCCUCCCAAUUGAGACACACCACAGUUGCUGCAUGGGACUUCAAGCUUCUUAACAGUUUUCCAUUCUGCUUAAUAUUUAUACCAAGUUAGAAAUAAGUAUACCACAGUACAUAUAACUGCUGCAAGCACUAGCAUAUAAAAAGGAGCACAAUGCAUAUCCACAGUUCCAUAAAGACAGCUAGAUUGGUAAGAUAACAUUCAUAUGUAAAAAUAAGUUCUUCAAGAGCAAAACAUAAUCCAUGAAGUGGAUAAUGAUUAGUAAAUCAGUAGACAUCUUAAAGAGAUCUUUUGCAGCAGCAUCAGCCAAGUUCUGAGCAAUUGUACCCAUGACCAAACAGCUAGCUUAAUGACAUAACCGGUAAUCUAUGAACUUUUCCACAGACAAGCAUAACUGAGGCACAUACAAAUUCUGUCAUUUAGGAAUCACCCAAACUAUUACCUUCCUAAUAUGACUGAACUGGACAUAUGUCACUUUAAAUAAUAGAAAGAAACUAUUAAUUUGAUGAAAAUGAGUGUGUCAUGGAUGACUGCUUCUAUAUGCUGUCUCGGUCAUGUUUGGAUUGGAAUGAACCAUUCAAUCUAAUUAGUUAAAUGGAUAUAUAUAUAUAUAUAUAUAUAUACACGAUAUCAUCUAAACCAAGGACUUUGUAAGUUUAUGGCUAUUCUUUUUAAAAAUUAUAUGACAUUGACGAAGAUAUGCAUAUUGCAUGUAUUGUACAAGUUAUAAAUGCUGUGUUGGUAAUGCUUGGAUUGGAAUGAACCAUUCACUUUAAUUAGUUAAAUGGUUUAUUCAUCUCUUGUAGUUUGUUGACCUAUUUAAAAAAGGAGGCAUGUUCAAAAAGAGUGUUUUAGUGAGAUCUGUUAAGCUUUUCAUGCUCAGAUUGACCUAUGUAGCAGUCCACUGUUAAUUUGACAUUGGCAGACAGGACUCGUGAACAUGGAUUGCCAUCUCUAUGAGCAGCUAUAUGUUUGUUGAGCAAGCUUCCUGUUUGCAAUGCAUCAUGCAGCUUUUGAGCAAUUCAGAAUCUUUCGCAAGAGAGAUUAGAGGAGAACACAUUCUGAUGAUAUGGGAUUGUUGCAGGAAGAUUCCUAGUUGAGAAGUUGUGAGGGUAACAUUAAAGUAAUAACGUAGAAAACUUACUUCAACGUCAUGCAGUGAAACUGUACCAUCUUCUAGUCCCAAGACAACAACUUUGCCAUCAGGACGCCAGCAUAAUGAUGUUAUACAUUUACCUGGAGUACAUUAGAAUAAUUAAGAUAAUCCAGUAUAACGACAUAAAAUGGAAUGUGCAAAGAAAAAUGAUUUCAUAAACAACAACAACAACCAAAAAUGGAAAAAAAAAAAAAAAAAAAAAAGAUAGAAAGAGAGAGGAUUAAUAAUUUGUUCACCAUAAAAUUAAUAGACAAAAAGGAAAAACAGAGAACACACAUAAACCGAGAAAAUGCUAAUCAAAAUUUGGGAAGUGAGGCAAACAUCAUAACAGUGCAUACUAUAUCCGAAAGGGAUAUUGGUAGCUUGACAUGGAUUUCUUUGGGCUAGUAGAUCAUCUAAAGCUAGGGAAUCUACAUUUUUUUGGCAGCUUUCAAUCUAUUAUCUCAAUCCAAAAACAAAUCUUAUUGCUCAGCUUUGGAACCUCGAGGUGGAGUGGAUCAAUGAAAGCAUACUUCAAGGAAGGAUCACAAGUGUACAAGUAUCUACAACUUAACAUCUCAACAGAAACCAAUCAAGGAUUAGUUCAAGAAGCACUCAACUAUGUUUUUCAUAUCCAAAAGGCAAUAUGAUGCGUGAAGCAUUCAGAUGUUACCUCCUAUCUAAAUUAUUCAAGUGAGAAUAGAUUAAAAAACCACCAAGGCUACGCAUCUAAUCCUAAGCUCUUACAAAUUCGAAUUACCAAAAGAUAAAUUCAUAUAAGAACUUAACAUAGUUGGAUGCAGCUCCCCCUACCCUCCUAGUCUCUUUGCUUUCUCCAACUCCUCCCUCCAUGUAUACAUGUAUGCAGCAUAGCUUGAGAUAUAUCCUAUUCAAAAGUAAGUUAAAUUCCCAACAACAAACUUGAUUAAUUAAAACGAUGUAACAAAAUGCCCCUUGUAAUCAGAAGAAGAUAAAUUAACUUCAAGUAAUGCAAAAUGUGCGAAACUUUCCAUACUAGACUCUAAAUUUUAGCAUUACAAAAUGUGAAAAACUUUCCAGCCGAUACUAAAUCUCUCCUUGUAGGGAACGCUCAAUCAGUAUAAGAAGAGGAAGAGGAGGAGCCAGAAGUAAUAUUAAGCUCAAUCAGUAGAAGAAUAGGAAGAAGCAGAGCCAGAAGUAAUAUUACACCGUGAGAGUCACCAACAGAAAUUGAAGGAAAACUAUAUAGCCGCCUGACAACAUUGAGAUGGUAUUUUGCAGGGGUUAAACCUGCCAACUCCAAGUGGGCAUCAAGCAUUUCUACAUCUGACAUAACUAGUCUUUCUAGCAUAAAGGACAUCCACUCCGAUUUGAGUUCUUUAUCUUCAUGAACACUUUGACUGGUGUAGCACAAAAAGGGCAACAAGAUAGCAGUACAGGAGUCGGGUACACUUCCGGUUGGUCUAAAUGAUUGUCGCUUAUGGAAAUCUCCUAAGGCACCAAUAUUAUCUAGAAGUUUAUAGGAAUCUGUCGCACCUGUAAAUAAAAAUCCCUUCAUUCAACUAAUAUCAGCUCAGGAUUCUUUACUUGCAACUAUGUCAUAUCCAAAUUUUCCCUCCCAUUACCAUCAUUCACUCUUCAUUUUUGUGUAAAACACCAACUCCUUAGUUCAACGUCAUGUUCUCAUUUAGACUUUCAAGCACUUCACCUCUAUAUUCACCAACUCUCCAUCAAACGCAAUUUGAACUGGAUUGGCAAUUGAAGUGGUUUAUUUGAGGAAAAGGAUCGUAGCACAUUUAAGGAAAAGCAAAGGAGGAAUAAGGCCAAUGACUCAAAGGGCGCACACCAAGCCAUCGUUGAAGAAACGAACACACUGAAUAACAAAAAAGGAGAACUUUCUCGAGUCGAAGCAAUUACCAGGAGAGAUUGUCCACAGCCUCUGCCAAUUGAAGCGAUGAAGCACCACCUUCGAGUCCUCCGUGACCAUCGCCAGCAAAUCCUUCUCCGGAUUCCACUCCGCCAUCUUCACUUGCCAAGCGGAAGGAACCCAGCAAAAAACCUCACACAAGCGAAUGGGAAAACAAUCGAAUCGACCCGCCCAUUAUUAGGUCGCGAAAGAAGGCGGACCGGAGCCGAACCUGAGAAGCCAGAGGUUUGUCGAACUGUAGCUGAAAGGGAAGCACGUGCCGCGACCCUUCGUCAGUCUCCAUAGCUGAAAAAGCUACGGAAGCAGCCGAAAACGUAGCCACCAGCUGCUGGGGCAAGCCGCGAGGGAGCGUAGGGAAGCGGCGGUGGCGGCGGCAAAUGCGAACAGAAAUGGAGAGCUAGUGGUGGAGGGUGGAGGCCGAAAACCCUAGAAGAAAGCUUGAAGAGGGAGAGAGUAACGAUGUGCAGUGGAAGCUUGAGAAUUUUGCAGAGAAAGAUGGCGGAAGAGGAAGAACAGGCGGGAGAGAGAGGAUUUGAUAACGGGCCGAGCCGGGCCGGUUUGGGCCAUAAUCGGGCUUAACAAGUGGCCCUUCGAUACACAAGCAGAGCCUUAGGUCCGUUCGUUUCACGGAAAAUGAGCUAUUUCCGGAAAAUAUUUUCCUAAAUAUCAUUUUCUAGUAAAAUAACAAUAUUUCCUGAUAUUCGGCUAAAAUCUGAAAAUAUUUUCCGCUCGCCAGAUUGGCGAGCACGAGCAUCAAGCUCGAGGCUUGCCAGAUCGAUGAGCGUGAGUUUGAAAUCGACGAGCCUGAGGUUCACCUAGUCCGAUGACUAACCAAGAAAGAAAAAAAAUAAGAAACAAAGAAAAGAAAAAGAUAAAGGAAAUUAAAAAUAAUUAGAAUAUAAAAAAAUAAGAAGAAGAAAGGGGAGGAGCAAGUGAGAAUUUGUAGAGUUGUGAGAUAAAAGAAAUCAAAUGAGGAAAAUGUUUUUCACUUUUCUACUUUUGAAGACUUUUUUCUUUUGAUGGAAAACAUUUUCCCCAAAGAAUUCAAUUUCCGUGAAACGAACGCUGAAAAAUCCGGAAAAUAUUUUUCCAAACAUUAUUUUCCACAAAACGAAGGGAGUCUUAGAGAAUGUAUCUUUGUAGGAGCUAGUUUGCUUUGGGCGCUCAUUACAAUCAUUAUAUUCUAGAAAUAGUUUCUGAAACAAAAAUAUAUUUUUCUAUUUCUAUUUCUAGAAGAGUUUCUAAGCAAAAAUAACUGUUUGAUAACGACACAAAAUUUUUUCUUUUCGGCCUUUCGGUCGGCGGUAGACCGGCGACCGGCGGCGACUAGCGACCGAUGAAAAACCGGUUGAUGAACGUCAAAAAGAAUUUUUAUUUCUAAUUUAUGUUCCAGAAUUAGAGAAGUAGAAAAUUUCUACUUCUAAUUUCUAUUCCAAACCUAUUUUGGAACAAGAAUCUAUUUCUGAAAUAGAAAAAUGGAAUAGAUUUAUUAAACAGAUUUCUAUUCCAGAAACAGGUUUGGAAUAGAAAAAUUGUUUCUGAAACAGAAAUUAUGGUUUGUCAUACACCCCCUUUGAGUGUUUUAUAGUGACGUGAGAAAAUUAACUAUAAUAGUGGGGCGCAGUCUUUUCCUACUCAUAGUAUUUACUAGUUGUGUGACAUGAUCAUUUUUUUCAGUGUUAUGUUUGUACCAGUAUAUAAGUUGCCUAUUACAAUUUUACCGUAUUACUAACAUGUUGCUUUCACACCCAUCAAUUGGUACUAGAGCCACGCUUCCUUGCUCAACAAGUGGCAUCGGAGUUAGACAAUCAGAGAUCGGCUGGACUUUGCUUAAGUCUUUGUCCAUUUGCCAAGCCAAGGCGUAUGAUGAUGUGAUCGAGAAGAUUUUGAUGGGUAGCACCAUUCUUGAGUACUGAAAGUUUGAAAGUUGCACGCAUGGGGAGGGAUCACAACAACAUUUAUUCAAGAAACUUGAAAGAACUUGUGAUUGAUAGAUGUUGGCUAGUCAAAGGAAAUGAUCCGUCGUUAAAAAUUCUCGCUACUCAAGAUAGAAGCCGUGAUGCAAUGGGGGUUUCACCAUCAGGAAGAGAGGUGUCAGAAUUGUGUAGUUAGAUGAACCACCUAAACAAAGUCCAGGCUCGAUUCGAUCGUUCUUACUAUCACACUACGGAAGAUAUUCUUACCUUUUUUGUCGGAUAGAAUUUAUCGUAACUUUUUCUUAGAGGAGACCAUAUUGGUUACUUGUUUAUGGACGACCCUAUCAUCAUUCAUGACAUUAUUCAUACGUGGACAGAACAACUUUGUUUACUAAUUUUUCAUUAGAUGGUAUCUCUCUACUCUAAUUCUUUCAACAUCUUUCGUCAAAAGGUUCUCUAAUUUUUCAAAUGUAAGGAACACAGGGUAUAUCAUUCAAAGAGCAUGCUUAGAUUAUGCGCUAGUUUUGCAUCAGCAUUGCAACCACAUUGAUCAAGUACUAUGUAUUGAGUCUUGCCUAUUUGUUGCCAUCCAUGGGCACUGCCAUCCAUAGGCAAUACAGCUGCUUUUCGAAACGCAUACACUAUUAAAUUAUGAUGCUAAGUUCGCUCAAUAUCCUCCAUUUGUUUAGAUAGUUUAAGAAUGAUGUUGAGUUACAAACAUAGUUCUAUAAUUACUAAAAUAGUAGCAGAAGCAAAUUUUAUAAGAUUACACAAUAGCUAUGAUAGAGGGUUUAGCCAAAGGUAUUAUGAGUACAGAUUGCCUUCUCUUCAUUUCCUAUCAAUAGUAUAGCUUCUCUCCAUAUUCCACUAGUAUUCAUGAUCCCGCCCUUCUCUUUUUGUUUUCUCGGUCCUUGAAAAUUUUAACUGUAGUCUCUCCAAAUCAAGCUUGUGUAAGAUUGCUUGUGCAUAGUUUGAUUUUAUACGCGGUUUGCAUUGGUAGUGGAUCAAAUACCAAUAAUUUAUUUUGUUUGUAAUAUUUAUCGUUUCGUCUUAUUACUAAUUGUCGUUGUCACUAUUUCCGCACUUAUUUUGCAUUGAGAAAGAGUACAUUGAUGACACAAAGAUAUACAAAUAAAUUAAUAAAGCAGGUUAAUCUCAUAGUAGAUUCAGCUAAAGUUGACCAAGAGGCUAUCAUAAAGAUAAUUAAUAAACACAAGAACAGAAAUAUCACAUAUGCACAUUUUACAUGCAUACAAUUAUAUAUACAGAUACGAUUACUAUCUUGAUGCAUAUGAUUAAACACGAAGCUAUUCCGUCUUUAAGAGUUUCUCCUUUAGAUUGACAAUAAAUCCUAGAGAACGAAUGAUAAAAUUAAACAUUUUUAGAUUCUUGUAUAUCUGUACAUCAUUAAGUAUUUUGGCUAUAUGAUACUCUUUUCAAUAAUAUGAAACAUAAUCUCAUAAUCUUAAAUGUACCAUUUAAUUGCAAAUUUCAAAUCUCUCAUAUUGGAAGAUAGUACUUGUUCUUUAAUGCCACCUUGUCACUAUAUAUCUAGCCAGUCAUAUCGAUUAUAGUAAUCCUAAAGAUUGACCCUUUCACACGAGUGUUUUGUACAUUGGACUGGAUGCAUCAUUUAACAGUGAUGCGUGGAGAAGUGAGUAAAUUUUAAGUGAGAGAUUUCAACAUUCAAAUGCAAAGUUUGUGGAUUGACUACACCAUGUAAUCCAUUCAACCCAAAGUACAAACAAUCCAAACCAGACAUUUGGUUCUCUUAUAUACGGAAAUAAUAAACAUAUAGGCAUGAAGCAAAAGUUUGGCACCAUGAAUAGCUGUCAAAGCUUGCAGAAGUACCAUGAAGACAGUUAUCCACCCAGAUAGAGGAUGGGUCAAUAUCUUUCAGUCGAUUCUAUCUAACUCAAUAGAUAAAGAGGUAACCUUCACGCCGCUUUUUCUCUUCAAUGAAUGCCCGCCUAGCAGAAAAUGUUCAUGGCAGGCAUAUAUUAUAACUCUCCAGAAAGGGUGGAGCCUAAGAGCUUCAGUCAAAAAGCACAUAUGCGUUGCUUCUCACACUGAUGCCUCCUGCAGCUUCAAGCAUUAGAGGUCCACCCACAAGAGCAACAUGAACAUUACCGCCGCAAGUUCACAAACAGACGUUCAUUCUGAAUUUGAGAUUUUAUCUUCAUGCUUGUCCAAGUAUGUGGACCACGGCCUGCUUUCUUGCAGCCAAAACACAAGCCAUGUCCCUACUUACUGUCGCAAAAAAAAAAAAAAAAAUUAACUUGAUUUCUCUCCAGUGUUCUUAUAAUAUGGCCAUAACUAAUGUGAUGUUUUAAUAGCUCUGUAGGGUAAAAGUAAUAAGUACAAUACUUGCAUCACGCUAAAACACAGGCCGAAGCAAUACUUGUGUACCUCAAGAGGCUAUGGUAUGCAUGUGAACCAUGAAUGCUCUACAAUAUCUUGAUAUACUAAAUACCAUGAUAGCAUCUAUCAUCAUGAACAUGUACGUACUAGUUCUCACUCAGUGACUCUGACCACCAUAAGAAGAUAAUUAUUCUUUUUGUAUUUGUCUGGCCACUAAGAUUCAUCUUUUUCGCACUUUGACCUCCCAAUUGAUCUAAAGUAACAGGAAAACCUAAUACCUUAGUAUUUUUCUUCUUCAAUUAAAAAAAUACCCUUCUUUGAAGCAUAAAUUUGCACGUUUCCAACCAUCGAAACAAACAUGAAACGAUCCAUUAGAGAGGCACGACCGCAAUGUACCAACACCAGUCAUAUUUGAACUUAAGAGUAGGUUGUAAAAGUGGAAAUUUAGUAAGGAGCAUCAACAGGAUUAAUUCAAUUCCACCACCUAGUCCAUGAGAUAAAUUUGUUACUGACACUAGCAAGUUUAUCAAACAAUGAUACAUAAAGGAAAGACUAUCCGCAACAAUAAGUUUCCAAACAUCCAAACUACAAAUGGACAUGGUUAGAAGCUCCAAGAAAAUAGUGUUCAAAGUAUACAAUUUAUGGCAUGGCAAUGAAUUGAUCCUUAACUCGAUUGUAUGUCGGUGUAAAAAAUUCUUAACAAGGGGAAACUCCAGUGUGGGGAAUGUUGCAAAUCUUCUCAUUCAGUGUAAGAUAGAGUGCUAGAUGUGUAAUUUCACUGGGUUAGUGUUUUAGGAGGGAGAAUGAGACAACUGAGCAGAAGUGUUCUCACAAAAUAGAAGCAAAAGUGGCACCACUAACCCAUUAGGGUCAUCAAAUGCACAUUUCUUAACAUAUAUAAAAGGACAAGGCUCCUAACUGUCAAGAUAUGUAGGAACUUUUGAAGUUAUGGUAAGUCAAAAAGUAAAAUAUCCUAUAAAAUUGCAGCAUGAAAUGGCAUGUAAAUGCACAUAGGAGNNNNNNNNNNNNNNNNNNNNNNNNNNNNNNNNNNNNNNNNNNNNNNNNNNNNNNNNNNNNNNNNNNNNNNNNNNNNNNNNNNNNNNNNNNNNNNNNNNNNNNNNNNNNNNNNNNNNNNNNNNNNNNNNNNNNNNNNNNNNNNNNNNNNNNNNNNNNNNNNNNNNNNUGACAGUACACCUGGUCACUUGUUCAACAGGGCCAAUAACACCAGUUCUUGACUGCUACUGUUUCUGCUGUGAAACCAGACUCGAACGAAAAGCACAAUAUCCUCAUUUUUUCUUUUCAUUUUGCCAGUAAUGUCUUAAAUAGUGAAUUGACAUGUAUUGGAACACAUAGAACUCAGGAGCAUCCCAUACUUAUCCCAUACUUAUCACGAGCACAUUCAUCUUAUUUAGUAGCAUAACAAUUUCAUGUUCCUAUUUCCAACAGAAUAUAUUAGCCACAUCUGCAAAGAAGGCUUUAAAAUAUGCUAUGCCAGGCUCUUACCUUAUAUAGAGCCAAAUCCACACAAUAGUAAUUAGGAGGGAUGCACAACAAGAUCGCUUCCAAAGGCCUUCUCUGCUUCACAUUGCUUGAAUCAUUCACAAAUCACCUCACCACUGCUAUACCGUUUGUAACAUCUAAAAAAGACUAUUUGGAAUGAGGUAUAAUCUGUAAAUCCAAUUUCAUAAUUCUAUUAGAUGAAGCCAAUUCAGAGGCAUCCUGUGACAUCCCGAUUUUCCAAUUCUGGUUUCAAUUAAAUAAGUCGGGCAUUUCAUCUUCGCGUCUAUAGCUUUCUUCUCUGAGUUGGCCACUCACGAGAUAACUAGUCUAUCAUGUGAAGCCCUUAAGGAAUCUAAAUGCAAUAGACUUGAGAAUUCGACCAUGAAUCGGCUACUCGACCGUAUUAAUCUGCAAAGGAUCAUUACGACACUGUCAGAAUCGAGCAGAGAUCAGUAAUAGGUCGAUUCGACUGAGAUAUGUGAUUAGAGUGUGGGUGAUUCCACCUUAUCGCAAUAUCCUCGUCGACCGGCACUAGACCGAUUCUUCUGUCGUUUUGGGUACCCUGUGUCCGUAAUAGAAACCUCGAGAUUUCUACGACAAUCGAGAGUCGCCAAAGUGUCGAAGAUGCACUUUGUGGCUUGAGAAUAAUCAACCACAGGUCAAUUGCACAGAAAAUUCCUAAAAGCUACCCGGUAGAUUAGGACGCGCUAAAGUCGCGCCAGAUUGAAUUUAACCGUGAAAUUGAACCCGAUUACAGAAAUUGGAAGAUCUGUCAAGUCACAAUUCAUUUUAGGAAUGUCGACUCAUCUCCAUAAGAUUUUUCUACAAACCGAGAUUUUUGGCGGAAAAGCAAAGUAAGGCCGUUUUUGUUCGGGAUUGUCAGAGGGCCGUUUUUAAUCGAAUCUUCGGGAUGCAAGUUGGAUCAUUUGACGGGGAAAUGUCAUGAGAAGGCCAAGGACACAUGGGUUGAUUUAUUUGAGCUUCAAUUGAGCUUCAAUUGAUUGGAAUUAAGAGAGAGUUGAAUGGAUUGAAUGGGGGAAUGUCCAAAAUCCGUAGCUCCCAUGGCACACCACAUUUUGCACCUAUUGCCAAGCUUGUAGAGGAAGAUUGGAGGAGAGAGAGUGGCUGAGGUCAUGUGGUGUCAUGGUGGGGGCAAAGCCAAUGAGAAGAUGGCAAGUGUUGAGCUCUAGAGAGCCCAAGGAAACCCCCACUCUUAAGCAGCUUCUUCUCUAAGGCUUUCUCCAUUGUUGUUGAAGGAGAGAAGCUCAGCAAAAACCAGAGGAACCGAGCAGCAUCAGCCUCCACCGUCGCAUGCCCAUCGGACCCCAUUUCCUCCUCUGUUUUCCCCUCGUUCCAGUUUCUGCUCCAGCCGACCUUUCGCCAAAGAUCCGAGUAAAAAGUUAACUUCCCGGUUGAAUCAGAAAACGAGCCACCCAUCGCCGCGAAGACGACAUCCAGCCCGUUCCGGAGCACCUCACCGCUCGCCGGAACGAUUCUCCGGUCGUCCCGUACGGCCGCCCGAAGCCGCCGCUCGCCGGACCGUCUGGACUCGCCUGGUUCCGCCUGUUUCGCCCGUUUCGCGGUUUUCAGCCAUUUUCUCCCCAUUUCUACCCUACCUCCACCCAUACCAACCUCCAGCAAGAUCCCCUUGACCCCCGGGAGCCUCCGGUUGCCAACCACCCGCUUGCCGGAGCUCCGAUCGGCCCGUUUUCGCCGUUGAAGUUGCUGGUUUCUUCUCUGCAGUUCAGCCCAGAUCAGAAGCAGAAAACCAGAAAGCCGUGAGGUCUUCGAGGCCCGUUUUCAGUGUCUUCCCGGCCUCCGUUGGUGUCGCCGCUUUGGGGUUUAUCGACCGCCUUGGUGUCGUGGUCGCCGUGAACUCACCGGCGCGCAAAACCGGUGAGUUUAUCCUCUAAUUCUUGCUUAGUGAGUUAAUGACGCUUAAGGGGUGUUUAGAUUAGUCUGAUUAGGUUUAGGUGGUUAGAUUAGAUUAUUUUAAUGUAAAUUAGAUUAGUUGUAUGAUUAGCUUAAUGGAUGUUUAAUUAGGGCUAAUUGUAUGUUUAAAUUAGUGUAAUCUAGUUUAAGCCAUAAUUAAUUAUUUUAAUUAAAUAAUUAUUUCGAAUUUAUAAAUAUUAUUUUAUUAAAUUAUAUUAUUAUAAAAUAAUAUUUAAUUAUUUAAUUUUCGGAAUUAAAUUUAAUUAUUUAAUAAUUUCGAAAAUUAUGCUGGGAUGGCCGGUCGUUAGAAUUUCGCGCUGAUCGUAGCAGUGCGGUCGGUUUGUGUUAAUUGUAUGUUUAAAUUGAGAAAUUGAGUGACUGAUGAUUAUGGUGAAUAAUUCCAAAAGUGUGGAAUUGUGUGAAAGUGAUGAAGUUGUGGUAUUUAACUCGAAAAUACCCGGUGUUGGCUUUUAGCACCGUAAUUGAUUUGUAUGACUAGUUUGAAUCGAUUGGACUGAUUGAUUGAUUGAAUUGAGGUAUGAGUUGGUUUAUUAUUGAAUUAUCAGUUUUGGCGAGCAAUUGGUUUAUAUAUGUAUAAGCUUGUGUGAGCAUCAUUGUCAGCUUGUGUGAGCACUGUAUGUCAGCUUAUGAGAGCAAUGAUCAUUUAUCAGCUUAUGAGAGCAAUGAUCGUUUAUCAGCUUGUGAGAGCAACGAUUCAUAUAUCAGCUUGUGCGAGCUACCAUCUAUAUCAGCUUGUGAGAACAUUGCAUCCAUUCAGCUUGUGUGAACCGUAAUUGUAUUGAUUGAUGAAUAGAUGGUAUGGUUUAAUAUAUGGUAUGAAUUGAUAGAUAUGUGGAUCGUAUGAUAUCAAUUGGAUUGACUGAAUUGAUAGACCGAUGGGUAUGUCGGUAGUUUCAGCUUGUAUGAGCAUUGCUUGAAUAUGAAUUGUACUGACGUGCAGGAAAGGGACUAAGGAGAGGUAAGUCCUCUAUCCUAUUUGUGUGGCUAGAGCGCCCUGAGGCGUAUUUUCUUCCUAAUUGAGUUUUAGAGGGUAGGACUCGCUGAGACGUAGUCUCAUCCCGGUUGUGGGAUAAUAUUUCAGGUCCCUAGAUGACGGUCGUGGAGGACCGGAAGUCCUGGAGUUCGGAAGGUGGAGGCUGAAGAAUCGGGGAAACGUGUCUGACAAGUUGGUCAUAGGACAGUUCUCUAGUUGUUGAGCCUGUCUAUUUUGUAGACAAUCCAGUGUUGUAUAUAAACCUAUGUGUUUAUAAUGAAGCUUGUUUGGUUGUGAUUGAUUGCCUGCUUUUCUAUCCCAAGUUAAAUGUUGUCAGGGGAUUUGUUUCGCUUCCGCAUGUGCAAUAAAAAAAUGAAUGGGUCGGCGACGUGUCCUGGGAAGUCGCAUUUGUAUUGACCAGAGUGGGAUGUUCGCUCGCUCGGAGGAUCGGGGCGUGACACAUCCUAUAGAUUUAAACAAAGAAAUGAAGCAAUUGUACUCUGCACAUGUAGAUCUCUGGAGAAAAUUGUAGUUUCAGAUUAAAGGUAUAUAACUCAUAGAAGGACAGUGAAAUGGGAACAUAUCUGGUGGAUGGUAAAAUAGACAUAGGAAGAAAUUGUGGCAAUAAAUUCAUGUCAUGAAUUUUUUUUUUUUUAAAUAGUAAAAAAGGGAUCUUGGCAGCUUCCUUGAAACUGUAAUGACUAAAUUAUUUCCUAAUCUAGAGAAAUGAGAUACUAUUUUUCCAUACACAAUGAUCAUAAGCUAAACAGAAAGCCCAAUCCGACAAGAUCACCCAACUUAAGUUCCAAUUACAUUGUCAAGUAAUCAACCUGAGAUCAAAUACAAAACACUAGAAUGUUAGGAAAAGGGUAAGUGAAAAAUCACUGACUACAAAACCCAGAAGACAACACCCUACCCCCAAAGGUUUCCAUUUCUUUUUCUCCUUCUCGCAUUAUAGUCUCAAAGUUCUGGCUAAUCAAGCAAGGGAAUGAAAAAUAUUUGUAAAAUUUUACGGUAAUAGGAAAAUGGAUAGUAAGAUCUACAGACAAACUCAAAUAAUUGAUGAGUUGGGUAACACCAAAAGCGCAAGCUUUCAAGUAAAGGGUUGCAAUGUUCUCACAAACCAAUUUUGAACCGAGGCAAUCAUACUCAAACUCUUGUUAUGCAUACAAAGAGAUCGAGAAUUUCGCAUUUGGUACACAUAUCAGCCAUGAGGACCAGACUUGAAAGGAGGGAAGAAGCAAUCACUUCAAAUAACAGAUAACAGUAAUGUUUUGUCCCAUAAUUCAUAUUUCUCCCACAGAGAUGGCAUGUGUAAGAACACUUAUGCAUGGAAAACUAGAUAUAGCAAUCAGAUGAAGAAUCAACAAUAAAAGAGCAAUAAACAACACAUUCAGGUAAGAAUUCUAUGCAAGAGCAAGAUUCUAUUACAUUUCACAUUUCUAAUUCUUUUGCUAAUACCUAAGUUCCAUCUGUUGAAAUUCCUCCGCCACUAUCCUUCGUAGAUAUUCACUGUCCCCAAAUCCUCCAAAUUGCAGUAAUUCUCCAGCGCAAUAAUGUAUGUAAGACAUCUCGCUGACGUGACUGACAGAACACAUCAAGGCAGAAAAGCGCAAGAAAUUACAAUUGAUCUUUCGAAAAGUGAGAACCUUCCAAUUCAAUGAGAAAUGACAAUCAACCCAUUAAUUUUAACCCUUGUUUUCAUGUGGAUAGCUAAAAUAGUGCUAAACCAACAAAAACCACAGUUGACACCCAACAGGCCACCCUACCUUGAGUCAACCUUAUCUAGUUGAAGUGCUCUAAGUAUUUAUGGGGAUGGUAACAAGAUGACAUGAAAUGAAGAACUGACCCACAAACCAGGAGUCAUUUACAAUCGCAUAUCAUUAGUUUAGCAACUAAUUCAGUCACAUUGGAUUAAAGCAGAUUCAGCUGCUAAAAAACAAUACCAGGUUGACAGCAUAUCAUUUUGCAUUUAAAGCAUGACCAGUUCCAUAAAACCACAGUAUUAGAAUUCUCUAGCACACAAAUGGAUAGCACAACGCAGUGAAGGCCUACCAAAAUAGCUGCUAGAGUAUAUGAAGGCAAUACUAAACUGAACAUACUUCGCAGUAAUCAAAGAAUACUAAGCUGACGAACUUUCUCUCUUCAAAGCAUUUACAAGAGACUGUCCACAACCUCUGCCAAUUGAAGCGAUGAAGCACCACCUUUGAGUCCUUUGUGACCGUCGCCAGCCAACACUUCUCUGGUUUCCACUCCAUCAUCUUCACCUACCAAUCAGAAAUCAAGCAAACUUCACAAAACCAAUUCGGACCAAUCAAGUCGACCGCCCAUUAGGUCACAAAAGAACACUGGAAGCUAAACCUGAGAAGCCAGUGGUUUUUCAAACUGAAGCUGAAAUGGAAGCACAACACACUGUGGUCCUUUGCCAGUUUCCAUAGCUAAAGCUCUGUGAGCAGCCGAAAACACAGCACCAACACUAUAACAAAUCACAGGGAUGCAAGCUGAAAGAGGGCUUGUGAAGAUUAGAGUUCAAAGAACCCAAAGGAAACAUGGCCUGACAACAUGCAAAUAACUUUUACCAUUCCAAGGAUGCAUUGUCGGGGUUCGGAGAAGUUCAAGAAAUGUGGAGCUCCUCAUCCUUCUAUGAUUUCAAUUCCUUUUAGAAGUGCCUUCUGAAAGCUCUCUGGGAUGCUACAGCAUUUACAUCAACCGGUGGAAUGAUAAUCGAAUCCUGCUAGUGAGUCAGACGAAAUCAAUCCAGUAACUAACAUCAAUGGACUACUAAUAAUACUCCAAAGUUUAUGGAACUCUGUUUGUCAGACUUGAUAUUCUUUUUGAACUCUUUGGAUCCAACUAAUGGGACUUCUGACGCCAUCAACCACAAAAGCUUUGAUCAAAUUAACAUAGUGUAUUCAACUCAAGAUGCUUUCUUUUGUGGGACAUACUAUGACUCUUUUCCUUAUCAUUAUGUGCUAUUGAUGCGUUAGAAUUAAUGCAAGACAGUUUUCAAAUGGCAUAUAGGAUACUGAAAAGUUUCCUCAGGAAACUUAAGGAAAUGCUUCCUGUGUUUUUCUUUUAAGCAAGUGCACUAACAAGAGCUUAUGCACAAUAUAAGCAAUCAUUUCAUAGCAAAAGACAUUCUAGUUAAUGUAUUGUCUGACUCAAUAGUUCAGGUAUAUGACAAAUGGCUUUACCCACUCUACAAACAUCAAGAUGCAUUCUCUUGGAGGCAUGGAGUAGGUAUACCCUGGAUUCAAACUAAAUGAACAUGGAUCCAUGGUUAGAAAUAUUCGAAUUGUAAUUUUUGCAAUCGAUCCAAAUAUUUCAAGAUGUUUUUGCUUCUACCCUGUUUGCUAGUUCACUCACGACCACACCACUAGGGGAAGAGCUUGCGCUUGCAUUUAGCACUUCUAAAUUAAUAUGAUUAUCUCAAUCUCCUAAUGAAGACAGUUACGUGAGAUAAAACGGGUGGAACACAAUGGUUGGACAAAUUUUAUCCCAAGUGAGAAGCAUAUGCAUACUAAGGGAUGCCAUAUCAACAUGCUUCUUUUGCAUUGCAAAUUCACUCUUAAGUGUACUUAGAAAUAAGCAGUCAUGAACUGCAUGCUGAGCAUCGAGCAAACUAAAACCUCACAUUAGAAGGAUUGCCAUAUAGGGUCCUUCAUUUAGCAUUUUCUUCGACCUAUACAAUUGACUUUUGGCAUGCUAUCAAAAACAUGUACACAUCAGUUUUUCAGCACUUCCAGCAUUCCAAAAUCAAUCAGAUGUCGAGAAUCUCUAUCUUUCUGCAUAGGAUGAAGGAUCUUACUUGAAAACUUAUGUCAAAUGAUGUGCUUUGAAAGCCUUAUCAUCUAUUUCCGCUACUGACAUGAUAAGCAUAACCAUUUUGCCAAAGCACACAUUAACUUCCAUGAACAUCUCCCCCCGGAUUCCUUGAAUUCAAGUAAGAAAACAAUGGUGACACUAUCAACCAGGAAAUAAUAAUGACAAGAUCAUAAAUCUUGAAAGAUAUUGCAAGCGGGAAAUUUAAAUUGAAAUUGGGCAUUAGAUCUCAAAAGAGCAUAGGUCGAUUACCUGCUUGAUGUACCUUCAUUAGAAAAUGCGGAUCCCUCAUCCAAGUCAUCCGAUCCCUCAUUGAGUCGUACAUAUAGUAUGGAUUUGGUUCACUCCAUCUGCCAUCUGUAAUCUGAUAAUGUCGAUAAAUCCGCGUUCUAAAUAAUUAUGGAAUUGUUUUGAGUGACUCGCAUUAGAUGAGAUUCAGUUCCUGCAACUCUAACCUAUCAAGGCCUUCAAUUUCGGCUAAUUUUACACAUCCUCUAGCUCGUAAUUUCUUCAGCCUCCCGGAUUUUGGAAGAUCUAGCCUUUCAAUUGAAGUGCAUUGAGAGAUAUCUAGACUUUCCAAAUACACCAAACUAUCGAGCCCUUGAAUUUCGGCUAAGUUUUUGCAGUUUUUAGCCUCUAAUUUCUUCAGCCUCCCGGAUUUUGGAAGGUCUAACCUUUCCAUUGACCCUUCGAUAUUUAGCCAUUCCAAAUACUCCAACCUAUCAAGGCCUUGAAUUUCGGCUAAUUUGCGGCACUGGAGAAUAGUCAAUUUCUUCAGACCCUCGAGUUUUGGAAGGUCCACCUGUUUGAUUGAAUUGCACCAUGUGAUAUCCAAGCUUUCCAAAUAUAUCAAUUUGUCAAGACCUCGAAUUUCAAGUAGAUUGUCGCAUAUGUGGACCACUAACGUCCUUAGAUGGACAAACUGUGAAACGUCCAGCAUUUCGAUAGAUCCACACAUAUAGACUUCCAAGGAUUCGAACUUGAAGGGCGUGUUUAGGGAUUGUGGUGAUUCCAUUUCUUCAAUGUCUGUCGGUUGGGAGCAUUCUGAACUCUUUAAUUGCGUUGAUGGAAGCUCCUGGAUGCACAUAAAUUCGCAAUACCAAACUUGUAGUUCCUUGAGAUGGGGUAGGUGGGAAAGCGAAGGCAAUUGGUGACUUCGACAGGUGACGCCCAAAAAUGUUAAGCCGGAAGGAAGGUCCGGCAGCGAUUGGAGAUUAUGGCAUGCUCUAAAUUCAAGGUAUCGUAGGGAAGAAAGAUUAGCCAUGCUUUCUACUAGUAUCCCUUUCAGAUUUCUGCAAUCCCAAGCAAUUAACUCUCGGAGCUUUCUCAGACUCCCAAUACCAUUGGGUAAUUCUUCUAUACCACUUUCAGAAAUAUCUAGAAUCUCUAGAUUCUCCAAAGACCCUAUGCUAUUUGGUAAUGUAGAAAGGGAUAAAGUAUAGGAUAGAUCGAGUUGCUGCAGUGCUUUUAAUUUACCUAUUUCUGCUGGAAGCUCCCUGAGGCGGUAACACCACUGCAGCUCCAAGCGAAGGAGGCCCUCCAUGUCUCCAAUGGAAGCGUCGAUUCGCUUCAGUCUCCCACACCACAUGAGGAUGAGAACCUCUAACUUCUCAAAAGCUGAGAGGAAGUCAGUAUUUUCCAAGGACCAACAAUAUGAAAGGUCUAGAUAUUUAAGCUCCUUUGCCAUCUAUGAAAAAAAAAAAGGAAACAAUAAUGAAUGUCGAUGGGUGAGUGUAGAGUCAUUAUGAUUCAAAAGAAAGCAUAAAAGGAGAGGAAAAAAAAAGACUUUAAUUCUUACCUUGAAAAAACUCCAUCCUCUCCAUUUCUCAUUUAUCUCACUUUCUUGCAAUUCGAGUACAGCUAAUUCCUGCAUGUGAAAAUUGUCUACUUCAAAACUCAUGGGACAUUCUUGCCAUUGAAGCCAUUUUAACUCCUCCAUUGAGUCCUCAAAAUCUCCACUAAGAUGUGCCCGUUUCAUGAAAAGGAAUCUUAGACUCGUCAAUUUUUUGAAUUGUUCUGCUGUGUAAUUGUUGCCAUCUCGCUCGACUAUUUUGCCAAGGCCUUCUGAGUUGCCUUUACUUAGAUCAAUGGCCUCAAUCUUAUCCGUUCCCUAUAAGCAAGAAUCAACGUUUAUUAAUACUAAAUCCAACUAAAGUAAUCUAAUAUUAUUUGUCCAUAUUGCGAUUGACGUGCAUUAAUGUAUUCAAGAGACCAGCAAUGCGAAGAUAUGAUUUUUCUUUUUACGCCAAUAAACAAUAUUUAUAAAGGCUAACAAAGUGAAGGAUGUCAACUUCCAUUUUGAAAUUUGGCCGUAUACAUUUGGAUCUAAAAAAGAAUUAUGAUGUCAUGGUUCGUUCAAAGUAAAAAUUUUACAACUUGUAAUCUUCUUCUUCUUCUUUCCCUUACUGUAACUUCAUUACCAUACUAGUUAAGACAAGCGUGCAAUGCAAGGAAUUUAAUCAAAUUGCAAUGUGCAAAAUCAAAAGUUGAUUUGAUCUAUUUUAAUAGAAAUAUUUUUUCUCUAUGUAAAUUUCACGUUAAUUUUUAUGUGUAUAUUACUCGACUGUGCUACUUAAUAAUAAAAAAUAACACAUACUCUUAUUUUCCAUUAGAGUAAUAACUAAUUACAAGAAACCGAAUAUUGUGACAGUAGUUGUACUUAUUAUUUACUAGUAGUAACUUGAAAUAUUCUUAAUUAAUUAUUUUCUAAUCAUAAAUAACUAAGACAAUAAUAUUAGUUAUGUUAAUAUUCUCUACAACUUAUUAUUAUAUCGUAAAUUUUAGUUUAGCUUUAGAUUACAAUUUGAUAUAUUCAUAAUCAUAAAAAAACUUAUUAGCUAUAUUAAUAAUCUCUAAACUUUUGAUUUUAUCAUAAAUUUUAGUUUAAAUAUAAAUUACAAUUUGAUAUAAUCAUAAUCAUAAAUAAGCGAAAUACUCAACUAUAAUAAAAAUAUUAAAAAAAUUAAUUGUGGAAAGUGCAAAGCAUUUUUAGAAAUGAGAAAAUUGAAGCUAUUUUUGGCUACAAGCCUACAUGGAAUAGCUAUUCCUUGGCCCCGACAGGAAUAACUACUCCUGAUUUUAAGAGUAUAGUAAUUUCUAGCCCAUUUUUUAAUCAAAUGAAGGAAUAAUUGCUUCAUCAAAAUAGAAUGGAAAUAGAAUAGUUAUUCCUAAGAACCAAAUUGUAGCAAGCUUUCACAAAUAAAAUGAUAAUAAUAAUUAUGCAUAAGAAGUCAAGAAGUAAUACAGAAAGUUCAUGGACUUCCACAUGUCAUUUUCUUGGAACCAGAAAUUUUGCUAUUUGUACUUCACAAUGUUGUACAAGAUUUCGUGGAUACUCAUAUGUGAACAACGUAAUAAUUUGGGAAGGAUUUUGAUCUCAACACUCAAAAGGAAUCCCGAAAAAAAGAAAAAACUUCCACAAAAGGAAAUUCUCCAGGUUUGUCCUCCUCCCCCAAAAAAAACCCAGGGGCUUUUUUUUUUUGGGGAAAAAAAUAAAAGGGUGGGGGGGGGGCCCAAAAAAAAAACAAAACCCGGUAAUUAAAAAUUAUUUGGAGAUUCACUCCUUUAAGAAUAUGUGGCUAACAUGUUAUUAUUAUUAUGGUACCCAAAGACUAUUAUGCUAAUAGGACUUCCCCCCCCCCCCCCCCCCCCCCCCCCCCAAAAUAAACUUCCCUCUCAAAAUAUUAGAAUGCCCGAUCUAUCUUCAAGACUACUUUGUGUGGUGUGUAACUCUUUUCAACUUAAAAAAAUCAAUAGCUAGGGUGUGGCCGAAUCCCAAAAAUAAGCCAACCUUUUGUCCUCGAACAAAAGUCGCAAAACCUUUCAAACAUCUAUCAAGCCUAACCUUCAGCAUCUACGACAAAGAUAACAUAACCUUUCAAACGCAAUAAAAAUAGCCCAACUAUUUAACCGUAGAACAAAAUUAACACCUAGUACAAAUUUCAUCUAUAAAAAUUGUUAAAUCGCCACGGAUGCCCUACAUUGUUCAUUGUGCUAACGUACACAGUGACUGAUGUCAACCCACACCAAAAAAGGAUGUUGUGUUUUACUUUAUAAUCAUGUUAACAAUUUGUUACAAAAUUCCUGGCUUUUUGUAAAGAAAAAAAGUUUUAGUCAUGAUUAACAUGGUUCAUUGUGCAUAUCCGCACAAUGAGCUAUGUAGAAUGACUCGAGAUGAUUUAAAGUGAAAAUAGGCAGAAUUGAUGGCGGGCGUCAUUUUUGUCCCAUGAGUAAAAGGAUGAGUUUGAAAGGUAAUGUCAUCUUCAUUCCACAUUCAAAAUGCUGGGUCCUUUUAGGAUUUUUUUCAACUUGUGUAACAUUUAUCCCAAUUGCAAAAAGUCGUACUUCUUUUAUUUGGCUGUGCACUCAUUAAUAUCCAACGAGUGAGUUAUGAGUGUGUUUCAAUUAUCCUUUAAAUGCCUUUUAUUUUUUGGUUUAUUUAGUAAGUCGUGCUAGUGCUUUGUCCUUGCUUCGCACUUGGCAAGCAUUUUUUUCAUAAACACUUCAACAAAGGAGAGUAUUGGGUGACCUCUCACGUCGCUGUGCCAUGUUAUAGGAUGUCUUGUACAAGCAAUCUUUCCACAAUGUACUUUAGGUGCAACACUUGAUGUGGAGGAAAUGAAGACAUCUCAAGUGGCAUUUCAAUCGAGCUUACGCUGGAGGGUCCUUCUAAAGGUUCGGCCUAAUUGUAAAAGGAAGAGGCGAAGAGUUGAGUGGCUAACCCAGCCUCCUUCGUCCCUUGGGACCAACAAGGGGUAGCAGUACUUUUUCAAAAUAAAGAAGGAUAUUUGGCAUUUGUUUUUCAAUCGGAAGUGGUGCAUAUUGUGGUUCUUUCAGCUGCUUGUAUUUUAGAUAAUAUAUAUGAAAAUAACUUCGGAUAUUUUCAUUCAAUGUUGGAAUAAACUGAAAAGAAGAACUUAUAUCAUUUUUAGCAGAACCACUCCGAUUUCAACUUACGAUAGUGCCAUGGAUGAAGAACGAAAUGGAAGCAUGGAAGAAUACUGAAAUAAUUAUAUCAAACUGUACCUUUUUAGUUGUAAAAUUUAGUUAUACCAUUAUAUUGUAUAUAAAAUAUACAGCAUAUUCAUUUUUCUUUUGCUUAGUUUAGUUUGUUUUAUCAUGUAGUACGAAAGACACAAUAAAGGUACACUGGCUUCGAACUUGUCAAUCUAUGAAUUGGCUCUUGUGAUUAUACAUACGGCGCACGUUGAGACUGUAAGUAAGUGCGAGUCUUUUGAUCAACAACCGGAGUCAAACCAAAUGAUGGAUUAAAAAGAGUAGAAUCGCAAUCAUGAUUAAUUCACAAAUGCAAAUACAAUCUUAUGCUUAAUUAUACAGAAUAGAAUUUUAGAGUAUUCAUCCCCUUGAACUUUAAUGUAGAAAAUAAGUAUCCCUUCCAUUCUCUAUUAUGGAAUAGUGACUAAAAUUUCAUGAGAAAUGUGGACAUCGUUAGUCCUAUUAUAUUAAUUCUAACAUAUGAUUUAUAUACCCCGAGUAUGUACGGUUUACAAUCGUAUAGCCAAGUUAUUUAUUGCAUGUGUCAAGGACACAACUAAAUCAAUAUAGAAAUUCAAGAUUUUUGUCAGUAUAGAAUAACCCUAUCAAUAUCUAGAAAAUUUGAAAGUACCUCAUUCGAUAACUUUGUAAUAUAUACUUGUCUAAGAAAUAUCUUAGAUAAGCUACGAUACUUACUUGGAGAGAAGCAAGCUCCUACUUGCUAAUCAUGUCCAUGAAACAAUACAAGGAUACUAAUAUUAGAAGGUUCUAUGUUCACUAGAGCAAGUACUGAGUUGACGACCAACACUACUCUAACAAGAAAACAUGGACUAAGGGAACAAAAGUAAGAGAAAUGGUUACCUUGUUUCUCUUUAGCACUUUCAAGGCUUCCUCGAAGUCCCAUAACCUGCUACGGUGCCAAGGCUGCUGCUCAUUUUCCUCACGAACAAUUGCCCUACCAAGAUCUCUUAAUUGGUCAUGCAUUCGGAACUCAAGAUCAUCUCCAAUUUUUAUUAAUGACAUAGAGGUCAACACUUCAAUAUUCUCCCCUGGAAAAAAGUCACAAGCGUCCCACAUGUAGAAUGCGAUUCUCUUGUCAGUGCCAAUGAGAAAGCAAGCAAUAUCCAAAAAUAUUUGCCUUUGUCCAUUGUCUAAUACAUCAUAACUUAUCCUUAACUUUUCUUGCACUUCUAUACGAGGGAUCUUUUCUAACUUUUUUAUCACAUCUCUCCAUUCUUUUGAUUCCUUUCCGCACAAUAAUGAACCUAAAACCUCAAGGGAUAAGGGAAGUCCUCCGGUGGUGGAUACAACUUCACGAGUGAGGCCCUCAAAUUCACUUGGAGGAACAUCCUUUCGAAAUGCAUGUUUGCUAAACAAAAUCAAAGAUUGCUCGUAAUCCAAUUCUGUAAGUUCAUAGUUGUGGUCCACCCCAGCUACUUCAAGAAUUCUCUUGUUUCUAGAGGUAAUAAUGAUUAUACUUCCCAAAGAAAACCAAUCAUGCUUACCAGCUAAACACUUCACUUGAUCAACAUCAUCCACAUCAUCAAGAAGAAGAAGGACCUUUUUAUUUUUAAACCAGGAGGAGAUGAAAUUAAUUCCUUCAUCCUUAUUAUGAACUGCAUCUUUUUGAUUCGAGAUAUCAUAGAUUAACUGAUUCUGUAAAACAUGAGCUCCACGCUUCCAUGAUUCCCUUAUAUCAGCAAUGAAGCUACGAUGCUCAAAUUGAUUGGAUAGCUCGUUGUAAAUGGUUUUAGCAAGAGUAGUUUUACCAAUGCCUCCCAUUCCAUGGAUGCCAACAAAUAGGAGGGCAUGAGAUUUAUCAUCCAGAAGUUCCAUAAUGUUGUUCACAUGACUAGCAAUCCCGACCAAAUUCUCAGAAACAAUCAACUCAAACUUUUUCUUCAAUUCACUCAACACUUUUUGGACAACUAAUUUCACCAACUCUACUUCAGACCUGUCAAAUGUGACAAGAGUUCAAAUAUGUGGCAACAAUAAUUUUAUAUCGUUUAUCUAUUGGGAACAUUGUAAUAAACGAAUCCGAGAUAAAUUGAAAAAAAAAUUUAAGAAUUGUCUUUGUCACACCUCCAUAUAUUAUCUUAUAUGCUAAGAAUGAGGUUUGAGAAAUGCUUGUGGUUGUUUCGCAUGGCGUGCCCCAUUCCACUAUUACUCGAACAUAAUUUAUUAAAUUAGAAGAAACUUGAAGGCAUCACUUAUGAACCUUGAAUAUUGUAUACAUUAUGGAUUUGAACCAACUUUUGGACUUGUUGUUUGUUAAAGAUAUUAGGGAUGACGUGGACAUAACUUUGAAAACUUUCUGGAGCCUUUGAACAAUAAAAAAAUCCAAUAAGCCAACCCAAUAUAAGAGUCAGCAAUCAAUCAAUAAACAAGUCCUAACUUUUGAUGCAAGACAAUUUCAACUCCUGUAAUACCGAUCCAAAAAAGUCGUUCAGAUUGUGAUAUUGUGAACUACUUGAAUGCAAUCAAGGGGAUUUCUCCUUGUUUGCACAAUUCUACAUGAUUGCAAGUUUCUAUUUGUGUUAUCAAUAUAGAUUGGCGUUCUUAUCAGUUUUCAUUGCCUCUAGGGAUGAUAACUUCUUGUACUUUAUUAUCCUUUUGAAUAACUAUGUUCUUUGAUUUUAAUUGAUCUAAGUAGAAGAAUAAAUUUUUCCAAAAAUAAGAACAUUGAUUCAAUAUAUUUAGGUGUAUGAGAUAGAAAUUACUUGCUGAAGAUAGGCAAUGCAUUGAAAGUUAUUCAAACAAAUAUAUAAUAAAAAUAAUCCAUGUUUCCUUUUCUUUUAUAUUUUCCAUCGUCAUAUAUAACUAAUGAAACAUUUCUUUUGUAAAAUAAUUUUAAUAGCAACUAGUCAACGAUAUUAAUGAUUUAAUAAAUGUAACUUGAGAAGAUAAAGAAUUAUGCCUUUGACAAUCAUAAUACACAGUAUAUCAUGUUACGAGCUCUAAAUAAAAUCAUCAAUAAGUUGUACUAUUAAUCUCAAAUACAUAUGUUUGUGACGAUGACUAAUGUGACGCACACUAUAAACAUGAAAAAAAAAUGGCAUAAUGUCACAAAGCCUUUGGAUAUAAGAGUAAAAACUCAAUCAAAAAUCUUAUCAUUCAAGUGAAUGGGAUCACACCAAUAAAAUAUACAAGUAGAUUUGUAAAUAUCAUUAAAGCAAAACACAAAAAAAAAAAAAAGGAAUAACUUAUAGAACUCAUGCUUCGCAGGAUCUUACUGCCGACAUGAUCUUUCUGUUUAUAUAUAUAUAGAACGAAAAUGAAGCGGGUGAGAAUCACAACAACCAGCAAACACCCGCACAUAUUAAAAGAAAGUAGAGAAUGCCUUGGUGAGAAAUUUUACCCAUUGGCUUCGUAUCCUUUCAAGUUGCUGACUUCAAGGAGUGCUUGCUUCCAUUUCUCCAAAAUCGCUGGGUCGAAAGAAGACCUCCCAAGUGAAUGCUUCUCACGAUCUUUAAAUGCCUCUCCAAACUUCCCAGUUUGAUAUCGCACUUCAUCUGGUUUCACUUUGUAGAAUAUAGGCAACACUAUUUGUCCGUUAUUAUUCUUGCACUCCAUUAUUUGAACCAGUUCAUCCAGGCACCAACUGCUUCUACCAUAAUUCACAGAGAAAAUGGGGAUCGAGAUUUUACUGUUCCUAAUGGCUACCAAAAGCUCUGGUUUGAUGUUCUCGCCUUGGCGGAGCUCGUCAUCAUCUCUAAAAGCAUCAAUUCCAGCAUUGCGGAGCCCAUGGUAGAGGUGAUCGGUGAAGCCAUGUCGAGUAUCCGGGCCUCUGAAACUCAAGAACACCUCGUAACAGUUUCCAGUCGAUGCACUAUUGUUAGUUUCUGUCGGAGACGAACCAGAUCCAACGAAAUUAGUUUCUGUCAGCACAGUCAUCGAACCAGAUGCACCAGUAUCAACAUCCUCUGCAUUUCCACUCGCAUUAGUUUUUCUCUUCUUAAUGAGACGAUGCAUUUCAGCCUCUGACUCUGCCAUUAAGUUCAGCUUUCAAGCCCUAGCGGAGAAAAAAACCAGAAUGCCCCUCAGAAAACAGGAAAUGCCUUCUUGCCUCUUCUAUUGUGGUCUAUUAAAAUUUCAAUACACGUGAAGCGGUGGAUUUGUUCGGAAGAUGAAAAGCGUAGAGAGACUUAUGACGAGGCUGUGACAGGGAUUUGCAGGAGAAGAUGAAAGAUGGGGGAGAGAGAGAGAGAGAUUCGUCAUGUCCGAUAUUUUCCAAACGAGUGCUCGGAAUAUAUAAAAACAUCAAAGCCUCGCGACAGUGAAGAGUCCCCUGCUUAGUCCAUUGCUUGCACGGUCGAACCGUCCUUUUCUUUUUUUUCAUUUGUUUUCCAUAAGAGAAGGUAUUUUUGUUAAUUAUAUUUCAGCUCUUGAUUCCACUUAUGAAUUUUUUUGGUCGUAGUUCCAUAUAGAAUUUACCCUUCUUACUUUAAGCCUUUUAAAUAUUAUACCAUCAAACUAAUAAACUUCAUUUUAAUACUUAAAUGUCGUAUUACAACAAUCACUUAUUCUAAAAAAAAAUUGUAUUAUUUACAUGUGUCAAUGAUCAUAAAUAUUAUCAAAUUGCUAUAUUUAUUUAUUUUGUACCCGAGCACAAUGAGAAUAAUGUAUUUUUGGUUCUUGUUCUACCUUAAUUUUCCCUUCUUUUUUUCUGUCAAACCUUAAUUUAUCCUUCAAAUCUCAUAAAUAAAUCCAAAUGCCUUCUUGCUUUUGCUUUUCUUUAUCGUACAUAUAUCUUUUUUAUUGAUUUGAUUUAUUUGGUUGGCAUGCACCAAUAAAAUUCACGCAUUGCCUUCGUGUGGUGGAAGUUUCAAUGCAGUGGAGAAUUCAAGGCAAUCCUACCUGGGAAGAAGAUAAUAUGUGAGCAAGUUUCAGUGCACAGGAAUGAAAAAAAUAAAAUCAAAAAUAAAAGAGAAUAGCUAUUCAGAUACCGUAAAUUAGAAUGGUCAAUUCCAUGUCUAUUCCUAUGCACAAUCGAGAACUGAACUAAUGGAACCAAUAACUAAACUAAUUACUAAUUUUUGGAACCAGGGCCAGGGCCGGAGCCUACCUGAUCUAAUAAAACGGGUCACUAAAAACGAAACCUCACGGUUAGCCUAGAACUGGGAAGAAGAGAAAAUAGAUGAGGCCUAAAUCUUAUUUCUUUUUGUGAAAAGAUAAUACUUUUGGCAUGAAUGCAAGCCCCUCAAUCAGAACCUUUUUUCCUUUGUCCUAGAACAUUAACGAACUUUGAAGGAUGUUUCAUGAAAAACGUAACAUUUUUAAAAAAUAUUUUUUGGAAAACCAUUUUCCAGGAAAACUAAAGUUUUGACUGACAAUAUUUUUUAUAUUUAGAUUGUAUUUGAAAAAAUGAUUAAAUGACAUUUGGUUCCUCUUAUUUUCAAAUUAAUUUGUUGAGUCUAUGAUACUUAAUGGAUUUUUCUCGAUUGGUUUAGUUAAUCUAGAAUUUGAACUUGCAAAAUGAAAAGGAAACCAGAAUUCGUACACGUUUUUCUUUUCCUGAAAAUGGACAUGAUUUCCGGUUACAUUUCGGGCCAUUCAUCAAGUGAAUUAGCUAAUAGGAAUAGCCAUCGCAGAACCCAUGGAACCAAAAGGCCGAGAAACAAUCAGGUCGAACUCAAAAGGAAAUCGUGAUGAUCGUAUUUUUUUUUUUUUUUUUUGGGGGAUCUCCAGAUCACUCUUGGAUCCAGAAAUAGCUGUCUCCACAGCCGAUCACCCAUAAAAAGCGCAAGGACUCUAGAACAGAUCGCCACCAAAAGAUCAAGCAGGGCUGGACCGAAGAGGCGGCACGAAGAAGAGCGACAGUUACUAAGGAGAGAGCGAACUGAACUCGUUCUUAUACAAAUACAGGUCCUUCACCGCGGAACCGUUCAAGGCCGGGGACAGCAGCGGGUACUCCAGGUUCUCCCUGGACACGUCGAGGCACAAAUCGUCGUCCGAACCGCCACAACCGCCGCCGCCGCCGCCCCCGCCCUGGCCGGUGGCGGAAUCGCGGGUCGAGCUCGGGGGCUCCGGGUUCUCGGGAGGGGCAGCGUCGCACUCCCUUGCAUUGUGGUGGACCACGUUCGAAUCGAUUCGAUUCGAACGAGAAGACGAGAAGAAAAAUCGAGACUUCGGGACGGAAGAGAGAUUUCAACAAGGGGAAGGGGACGAUUCUCGGAACGACGAGCGGAAGUUCGAAGAAAUCGGCGAGGGAAGGGAAGGGAAGGGGACGGCGACGGUGAAGAAGAUGAGCGUCGGUAAAGAAGAGCCGAAGAAGAAGGGCGAGCGAAAAAUCGAAGGGAGAGCGAACAGCGUACCUCAGAAAAAGUGAAAGAACCUGGAACCGUGUUGAGCGUCGUUGAAGAAGUGCUAGACCUUCAAUGAUGAAGAAGAUCUGGACCUUCAAUGGCAAAGAAGAUGAGCGAAAGAUCGAAGGGAGAGAGCCGCAUACCUCAAGAAAAGCGAGAGAGUCUGGAGAGGAAAAGUGGAAGGUAAGAGAGAAAAAGGUUAGAAAAGGUGAAAAGGGAAAGUAUUUUCACCUGAGGAGGAGGAAUUCGUUUUUCUAAAUUAAUACAUAAUAUUUAUGUUGACGAUAAAAUAUUUUUCGUUGAUCAAAUAAUUUUUAAAGAAUUAAAUGAUUGAAAAUCAGGAAAAUGCUUUUUGGUAAAAUACUUUUAGUGAAACAAGCAAACCCAAUAAAGAUAUAGUGAAUUUUUUGAGAGAGCACAAGAAAUUCUCAAGUUUUCAGUUUUAUAUUUAUAUAAAUAGAUAAUGUUUAGAACUUAAAUAAAGCUUUUUUAACCAUAGAAACUUAAGUAAUUCUAACUCCACAAAUUUUUUUUGGUCAAAAAAUUCCACAAAGUUUAUAGAGCUAUUUCCUUACCUACAUAGUAUCAAAAGUAGUCUCAUCUUUCGGAUUAUUAUCAUUUUUAGAAUAAAGUAUUUAAUUUCAAAUAUGUUGAGUUUAUAUAUAUAUAUAUUUCGAAAUCAAUAAAUUUGACUUUAUUUUCUUUAAUAUUAUGAAAUGGUCAUGCUCUUGCAUGUUAUAAGAUGAUUUUAUUACUGUGUUUGGACAAAAUGAUAAUCUAGAAGGGUACAAGCUUCUAUGUACUCGUUUAUAUGGUGAUCAUAUGCACAAACUUUCUAAGAAAGUAAACUUUUGAUCAUCAUAUUCUUGUGAAUUAGAUUUUAAUCCUAAUAAAUUUUUUAGCGACAAAACUAAUCAAAAACAUAUUCAUUAGAUUGAUUAAAUGCUUUCGACCCUUGAAGAAAUUAAAUUCAUUUCCCUAGAUAAUCUAAAUCAAUCACAUAUUUGUGUGCCCUUUUUUGCUAGUGAAUUGGAUUAGUGAACUAAUCUAGGUGGACUGAUUCCCAAUUUUCUAAUCAAACACAGUUUCAUUUUGGAUAUAAUUUUCCAUGUCAUUUUUUUAAAAGUGGAUUUUUUAAUGCCACGUCAAACAAGUAACAAUAUUGUUUAGCGUAGGAUUAAUGAGGUAAAUUUGAGAUUGGUUAUUGAUUUUUUUCAGAUAAAAAAGUGUCGGCAUAUUUUUUAUUGGACAUUAAUUUUGAAUUUUUCAGAGAAAAGAAUUGGGAGUAGAUUUACGACUGAAUCCAAAGUUAAAGAUUUUUUUUAGAUAAAAAGUUUUGGGGUAGAAUUAAAAUUGGAUUUAAAAUUCAAGAGGUUUUAGGAGAGCAGACCCAUUUUAAAAAGGGAAGAGAAAAUCGAGGAGCUUCACUCGUUUUAAUCACGGGGCGGAUAUGAAAUUAAAUAGCAUUUAUUUUUCUAUCUAUCCCUUUGCCCGAUGGCUGGGUCCUACCAGUCCUUACUUCACUUGAGGCCACCACUCUUCUUUUUACUUGAGGUUCUUGCCCUUGUUCGGGGCGAAUUUGAAACUAAAUAUGAAGUUCAAAAUUUUUUAAGACGAAAAAAUUAUGGGAUGAUUUAACAUUGAGUCUAAAAUUAAGGAUUUUAUGAGAUAAAAAAAGUUUGGGACAAAAUUAAAACAGAACCUACAAUUUGAGGGUUUUUAAGAGAUGCAAAGGGAAAAGGGAGAGCACGCACCAAGAGAGAAAUGAAAAGAAAGGAAAAAGAAGAAAAAAAGAAAAUGAAAAGAGAGUGGGUUUUGCAUGCAGAUCUCCCCUAGAUUUACUUCCAUUCGUGGUGUGCCGAAUAAGGAUUUAAGCCAUUUGUCCGUCUAAUUGGAGUGGUUUUUGGAAUAACAGUACAAAUUACAAAAUUAUAUGAAAUUUAUAUUGCGAAAUUCAAUUUUGAAGUUGUGAAGCUAUGAAAGUAAGGGUAUCGUGAGGCUGUGAAGUAAACAAGAGUUGAUCUGAAAUAACAUUUUAAUAGAUAAGGUCCGAUAAAAAUUCAAUACCCAUAUAACGGUGGAUUUGUUGGGAAGAAGAAAAGUGGAGAGAGACUUGGGACGAGUCCAUUGCUUGCACCACUGGACUUUCCUUUUCCUUUUGUUAAGUUAUUUUUCACUGGAAAUGGUAUUUUUAUUGAAUAUUUUUAAGCUCUUGAUUUCCCUUAAAAAUUUAAUCCCUCUCACUUUAAGCCUUUUAAAUAUUAUAAUGUUAAAUCGAUAAACUUCAUUUCAAUACUUAUAAGUUCAAUGAGUUAACACAUGCAAUUAUCAACAUACUAUAUAUAUUUAUUUUGUACCCAAGCAUAAUAAGAAGAAUUUCUUCUACUAUGGUUCUGCCUUAAUUUUCCCUUAAAAUUUCACAAAUUAAUCAAAAUACCUUUUCGCUUAUGCUCUUACUUUAUUAUAUAUAUAUAUAUAUAUAUCUUUAUUGAUUUGAUUUAUCUAAUUCAAUCAACUGGCAUGUAGCAAUAAUUCAAACUUGCGGAGAUAGAUAUCAAUUACUAAUUCGUUGACUAGGACCACCGACCGUGCAUUUAUAGUCUUUGCCUUCAUGGCGGGGAAGUUUUGAUGGGGUGCAUUUAUAGUCGUUGCCUUCACGGUGGGGAAGUUUUGAUGGAUAGGAGAAUCCAAAGUGAUCCUGCCCCGGAAGAAAAUAAUAUGUGAGCAAGUUUCAACGCAAAAGCAAUUAAAAAAAGUAAAAUAAAAAAUAAAAGAGAACUACUUUAUUGAAAUCCGUGGAAAACGGUCAUAAUUGAUGAAUACGUGCAAAGCAUCAAGACAAUUGCUGCACCAUUGAACUUGUUUUUUAGGACCCAAAUAAAAACUUUCCUUUUUUUUAAAAAAAUUUAUUUUUCAUCAGAAAAGUUACGUUUGUUGAAUAUAUUUAAACUCUUGAUCCCAAUUAAAAAUUUACCUUGAUCUCAGCCAAUGGCAUUGAAUUAGACCCAUAAUAAAUAUAGUCUAUAAUGAAGAAUAGACCAAAAGGACUUCCAAUGAUACAUAACUUUUUUACACACAUCUACCUUAAUUUUGUUAGUAAUUGAAUAUGAUGGCAAAUAGAGUGGGAAGUUUUUCUAAAUAUAAAAUAGGAUAUGGACAACGACUUGAAUUCAUCUAGACAAGAAAAAUGCAGAUGCAUGGACCAUUGAUAAAUUUUAUUAUUUCUUGGACUAAUUAAAGAGCAAUCAAUGUUGAAUAGGAAUCGGUACGAAGAUAAAUAUUUUCAUAGCCCUUACUACACGUCUUUGAAGGUGGAGAUCACUUUGAAAACAACUACUCUGUACUUUUUGUCUUUCCUCUUGUCUAACUUCUUUUCCAAGUAGAGUUUUCAACUCAUGAUGACUCUUUCAUGUUCCUUUGCACUGCUUCCCUCACAUGCCCGUGACAUGGAUUUGCUGCAGAAAAUUAAAAGUGGAAACAGAGAUUCGUCCGGUCCAAUAUUUUCCACACAAGUGCUCACAGUAGAUGAAAACAUACAAAGUGUCAGGACAAUGACCAGGGCACUCUCAGUCCACCGCUUGCACCGUCCAACUUUUCUCUUUCUUUUGUUAAUUUAUUUUUCAUCAGAAAAGGUGUUUUUGCUUAAAUAUAUUUCAGCUCUUUGUCACACUUAGGAAGUUAUCCCUCUUACUUUGAGCCUGAUAUAUAUUACCUAUAAUCUUCAUUUUUACACUGAAAUAUUGUAUUAUUAAUGAUAGCUUAUUCUAAAAAAUUAUGUUAUCAACGCGUGUUGAGGAUCAUAAAAAAAUAUUAACAUGCAUAAAUGUAUGUGUAUAUAUAUAAAUAUAUAUUCAUUUAGUACCGUAACACAAUGAAAAGAAUUUAUUUUUUGCUCAGAUUCCGUCCUAAUUUCUCCUUCAAAUCUCAUAAAUAAAUCAAAAUAUGUUUUUGCUUUUACUUUACUUCAUAUAUAUAUAUAUAUAUUUUUUUUUAUUGAUUUGAUUUAUCUAAUCUAAUUAGUUUUUUUUUUAACCCAGGGAACCCUGCAUGGCCGGCAACCAUAGGUAAACCAUUAGAGGCGACACGUGCUAGCCACUACACACGUGUCACCGGGUAAGUCGCCAAAAGACUCAAAGUUAGCCUUUGCAAUUUGCGUUGUAGGAGCUUCAAACACUAGACCUUCUCGAUGGAAGUCUAGCGCUUACUUAGCUGAGUAUCUAAUCUAAUUAGUUUUUUUUUUUUUGGUAAAAUGUAAGAAGUAUCUAAUCUAAUUAGUUGAUAUGCAUCAAUAAUUUAAAUUUGCCGAACUGAAUAUAAAUUAGUAAUUCCUUGACUGAACCAUUAAACAUGCAUUUAUGGUCGUCGCCUGCAAUGGGUGGAAGUUUCAAUGCACAGGAAAAGGCCAUCGCCUGCAACGGGUGGAAGUUUCAAACGCACAGGAAAAGUGAACUUUCAAGGAAAUGCAGACGCUGCAAAAGUAGAUUUUCAAUGAGAUUGCAACUUUUUGCUCCUUGUUGUUUUUUCACGCGUGCCCUGACAACUCUCUCUCUCUUUCCAAUUUUUCUUUUCUCCUCUGUCCUUCCUUUUCUUUCUUUUCCAUUGCAGGCCACUUUAUCAGUUUUUCUUUGUAAAAGCUUUCUCUCUUUGCCGACCAUAACCUGUCUCUCUCUAUCUCCUUUUCUUGGCCCGGAAGAAAAGCUCCAUCUUUUUUCUUUUCCGAGCUCCCCUUGGCAAUUAUGGUAUGCGGAAAAAUGCCCCACCCACUCGGUCGAGAAUCCUCUGCUUUUUCAUGCCUAGAUUUUCUUGUCUUCUUUGGCCGUGAAUUUCGAUCUCUGAACGUCGAGAUUGUGCCCUUGUCAAAAUGGAAAUUACUCUCUUGAUCUUGUCCUCGAGGUUUUUGUUGCUAUUCAAAACAAAUUUGGGACUGGAUAUAAAAUUUGAAAAACUUUUUUAGAUGAAAAAAAUUGAGGGUUGAUAUAGCAUUUGGUUUUAAGUUGAGGGUUUUUGAAACAAAAAAAAAAAUUCGGGAUAAAAUUAAAAUUGAACCUAAAAUUUGAGAGUUUUUAAAGAAUUAGGACCGUAAGAAAAGAGGAAAGAAAAAGUGGAGGAGCUUCACCUCUUUUUAUCAUCCAGGGGCAUAUUUGUAAUUAGAUUGCAUGUAAUGAGUUUAUUUCUACCCCACUCCCGGUGGCUCGGCCCAGGAAUCCUUCUCUUCUCUACCAAGUUUUUGUCCACUUCUUAUUGCAAAGGAGUGGCUAGCCCACCAAUUCUUUCUCUACUUAAUUACGAAUUUACUCAAAUUUAUUGAUGUCACGAUUUCUUAAUCAACCCAAAGCCAAAUUAAUAAAUUAAAAUUUUCAAUUUUUUCGAAUUUUUUUUUGCUUGGUUUAGUUUAGCACUUGCAAUAUUCCUUCAACACCUAAAUUGUAAUGUGUGUUAAUUCAAAUAUUUAUAUUAUUGAAUGGAACUAAUACGUGAAAUGUUAAUUCAUUUAUAUUAAACUGCAUUUUAAAUAACACUUUAACAUAAAUGCAUGUGGUUCCUCUUAAAUAAUGAGGGUAGCUAUUUUAAUGAAAAUGUAAAAUAAACCGACAAAGAGUUGAUCUAGUGGUAGCAUGCUAAUCCGGACUUCACCUGCCAAUGGGCAAGGGUUCAAAUCCUGGCAAAAAGCCCUUGUUGGAAGGGAAGAAAUCCUUGAUGCUCAAUCCCCAAAGUAGUUGCGUACUUUAGCCACCAUUUUAUUUACCAAAAAAAAUAAAUAUAAAAUAGGUUUUAUUUACCAUCCAAAAUACACCUAGCCAUAUUAUUCUCAUCCAACAAUUUAUUUUAUGUAGAUCUCCCAUUAAAUAAUGAGGGUAACUAUAUUUGAAAAUAUGUUAAAUAGAUUUUACUAGUCACUCAAAAUAUAUCUAAGCAUAUUAAUAUUGUUAUUCAACUUGAUUGGUACAAGAAGUGAAACAUUUUGUCUGCUCAAUAGAAAGAAGCUUUAUUCCAAUAUCCACUUGUAACAAUGCAAGCUAAAAAAAUUACAAUGCUAUUUAAAUGCCACCAAUCCAAACUAAAUUGUUGAUACUUGAAGUUGUGAAGUGUUAAAAAAAAAAAAAGAGUGCUUUUGCAUGUCACAAGCACUCCUAUUUAUACUAUUGAUUGACAAUACUUUAUAACUGCUAAAUUAUCACAUUAAUUCAAGAGCUUAAUUGCAUUAUUCUCUAAAGCUAAUCAACUCUAGCUCGUAAGUUGAGAGUACUUUGCCUAAAAUGCGUCCAAGAUAAGAGGCAUCAAACAUGAACGUAAUAUAUCAGCCUAUGCAUUUUUACCACUCUAAUAGAAGAGUAUUAGGUGUAUUUACCAUGUCAACAAUUGCAAUACUAACAUGUUCAGCCUAUUAAUAUAUACAAUAGUCCAUCAUCAAUUUGAUGCAAUAAAGUUGACCUCUGAUAACAACAAACACAAUUUUAUCGAAUUCAACAUAGUAUUGUUAUUAAAAGGCAAUGUCAUGAUUUUACAUUUUUAUCAUAUUAUUAAUUCAUUAUAUGCAUGCUAUUUAGUUCCGUAAAUAUUGCUUUAAGUUUAUAUUUGCGAUGUUCAUUUUUUCACACUUGUUUUUUCCGACAUCACACUGUGCAAAAGUUUGACAAACAUCGUGGCCCUUCAAUUAAUUUUCUCUUGAAGUCUAGACUAGGGCUUCUGCAAUGUCCUUGGCCUAGAUUAUACUUGCUGGGUAGGGGAAGAUCUUCAUAGGCUCUCUCAAUCUUCCGAGAAUAGAGCAGAAACCCAAUAGUCUGGAGAGGAGCAAUAAGUAUGCAAGGCAGGCCAACCUCAGGCCAAACAACAAAAAGCGUCAAGUAAGUGUUCAGUUUCGAAGUUGGAAGUGUCAUCUCUUAAGUGAUCAACAGAACUGAAAUCUAGCCUAGGAAAUGGCAUAAACAUCUAGAACUUUUACAAGCAUAACGUCGUCUAGGAAUAGUUGUUUACUUAACUAGCCCAUUACUUCCCAGGCAAUAUUGAUUCGCUGUCAGUCUACCAUCAAAUCCCUUUAUUAAGAAAAACUGCUGCAUGAGAAACAAGAACAAGGAAAGGACUCAUUUACUGAAUAUGAUAGACCAUAUAGCUAAAUAUUUGAUUUGAACAGACAGGACACUGACAAUAUAAUUGAUUGGAAAGACACCAAAUAUAUUGAAGCGCAAAACCACAUCUAUAUCUCCACUGCAAAGGCUAUGCAAACAUUGCUUUGAAGAAUUUGAGAGCUCUACAAAUAAAUCUUGAACCUUGUCAGUUAAACCAGAAUCUCCGAGUACUAGUCCAGGCAUUCGAGGAACUCCUGGAGCUGGAGGGAAGAAUUGAGUAGUGCGAUCUUCAAAUGCCAAAGAGUUACUAGAAGCAAUCUAUAAAACAAAUGAAUAAUUACUUUCCAAUUGGAAAAUAAAAAGAUGAAAAAAUAUGAGAUCAAAGCUAAAGAGUCAAAUAAAUCAACAAGUUACAGAUGACGCCAAACAUACGCUUCCAAAAAAUCUUCCAUAAACCCAUACUAAAGCUGUUGGACUGUGAAAUAAGAUUCUAAGUUUGAAAAAGAAGUAUUUAAGAACACCACACUAAAGUAACUACUUAACUGUAAACGAAGCAUUAUGAAAGGUGUGAGCUAUAAGUUAUCUGCUAUUGGUAAUAAAGAUCACGAAAUCGUACCAACUUUUAACUUGAAAGAUGCCAUACUCCAUUCACUUGGGCAUCCUCCUCCCAAUUGAGACACAUUACAACUGCCAUACUUCAAGCUUCUCAACAGUUUUCCAUUCUGCUUCAUAUUUAUACCUUGCUAGAAUGAUUAUACCACAGUGUGCAUAACUGCUACAAGCAUUAGCAUGUCAAAAGCAGCACCCUGCACAUUUAUAGUUCCAUAAAGACAGCUACUUUGAUAAGUAACAUUAAUUAUGUAUAAACAACUUCUCUUCUCAGCAAUUCUUGUGGAUCCGUAGGUGCUAUAUUGGAUUUGAAUCAGAUUUCGGAUCCAUCUAUAUUGAUUGAUUGCAAUCCAUGAAGUGGAUGAUUAGUAAUAAACUGGUAGAAAUCUCAAAGAAACAGAAUUGCAGCAUCCUCAGCCAUGUGCUCAGCCAUUCUACUCAUGACCAAGCCGCUAUAGCUUGAUAAAAACAUAACCAGUUAUUUACAAACUUUUCCACCCACAAGCACAAUUGAGGCACACACAAAUCCCAUCAUUUAAGGGUCACCUGAACAAAUUUACUAACAAUUGAAAGAAGCUAUUAAUUUUCAUGAAAAUGAGCAUCUCAUGGAUGAAUGCUUUAGUACGACACCAUCCACCUAGACCAUAGAUUCUCACCACAAGCUGGACCCCAGUACACACUAUCCUGUAAUUUGUCGUUGACAAUUGAAAUAGUUUCAACUAUUGAUGACAACAUUAGCAGCGAAGUAAAAAUCUUGUCCUACACGAGAAUGCAAUGGAGCACAUCAAUAAGAUUCAACUCCUAAAGUAUAUAAAUCUAUUAAAUGAGCAUAUUAACUAUGUAUGAUAUGUGAUUAAAAUAACUCACUGCUGAUUUCACUGAUUAGAUAUGAGUCAAUUUCCUUGAUUCAUAAUUUAACUUGUGCAUCAAACAAUGUAACGUCAAAAACAUUUCAUGGCUUUGAUCUAGGACUGAGUCCCACAAUAAAGAACAAAUAUUUAAGCAUCACACGCAAAAUUGCCCAAGCAACACACCCAGGGUUUCUUAAGCAUCACGUCAAAGAUGAAUUGCAUCACAUAAUCUGCAAAGCAAACACUCGCCAAGUUCAAUAACAAGAAACAUUAUUGGAGUAUAUGUAAGAUCCUACUACGCAAGCUUCAAAAAAGAAAGAAAGGGAAACUUUGUAAAAUCCUAAUAAUAUUCAAAUCCUAGUUGAUAAUUUUAGUGAUUAAACUUCGAGAAGAAUCCUGAUCCUUGUUUGAGUUUCAAAGUCAAUCUUCACCAAAAACUUGGUAGCCAUCCUGCAUGAUUUUGUUGGCUGCAUCAGGCUUAGUGGAUGUUUUGAUUGUCUCAUACUCAAUUCUAUGAAUGGGAAUCCAAUUACAAUACUAUGUAUAAGAUCUUUGCGUCCUUGGUCAAAUGGGUACUCAUUGGGCAAAAGAAAAAUAAUUUGUAGCAAUAUUUCAUGUCUGGAGAUAAUAAAAUUAGUUGAAUUUGAAGUAUCUUUGUGAUUAGUUAUUAUCUAAUAAUUAAUUUACAUAUGUCAUGGAAUACCAAUCUCAAACAUUAUAUCAGAUUUUAUGAUUCCAUUGGAUGAGAAUCACGAUCCACAAUCAAAAGAUUUAAUUUUUUUAUUCAUGACUCACAUUUCCAUGUGACCACUUAGGUGAGGCUACCUACUUAACAGUUAAUUAAUAAACGAAUAUUGUUCCAUGUUCAAAGUUCAAACCGCGAAAGACAGAUUGACUCAUGUAAUCUAUAUAACUAAACGAUAGAGUCAACUUGAUCAACAACCUGACCUAUCAUGACCUGUUUAUAUUUAGUUCAGUAAGUUCUCUAAUAAAAAAUCAUACAUAAAUUUGGUUUCCUUAGUUGUUACAUAUUAUGAUUUGAUCACACCAUAUAAAUAAAACAUUUCAUGUAAACCUAGGAUUUUGUAAGCUUAUGGCUAGUCCCUUUUCAAACUUAUUUGACAUUGAUGAAGAUAUGCAUAUGGUACAUAUGUCACGUUGGUCAUGUUAGGAUGGGAAUGACCCAUUCAAUUCAAUCAAAUUAGUUAAACGGGUUAUACAUCUCUUGCCUAUUUAACAAAUGGGUCAUGUUCAAAUAGAAUUUUCUAAUAAAAUUUUUUGUUAAUCUUAUCCUGCUCAGAUUGACCUAUCUACCAAUCCAUUGUUAACUUGACAUUGAGGGACAUGACCAAUAAAAAUGGAGUGCCGCUUCUAUUAGCAGCUGAAUGUUCAGUUAGCAAGUUUGUUAUUUGCAUUGCAUCAUGCAGAUUUUGAGCAAUUCAGAAUAUUUCCCAAGAGAGACUAGAGAAAAACACGUUUUGAUGAUAAAGGAAUGUUUCAGGAGGAAUAUCUAGUUGAGAAGUAAUGAGGGUAACGUUCAAGUAACAACAUAGAAAACGUAGUUCAAGUAACAACAUAGAAAACUUACUUCGACAUCAUGCAGUAAAACUGUACCGUCUUCAAGUCCCAAGACAACAACCUUGCCAUCAGGACACCGGCAUAAUGAUGUUACACAUUUACCUGGAGCAGACUAGAAUGAUUAAGAGAAGCUAGUAUUGACGACACACAUUGAAAUGUGCAAAGUGAAUUCAUUGUAAACGAGAGAGAGAGAGAGAGAAUAUUUUGUCCCAGUAAAAUUAAUAGAAGAAGAGGAAAGAUAGAGGAUAGACAUUAACCAACAAAAUGUUAAUCAAAAUUUAUGAAGUGAGGGAAAAUGUAAUAACUGUACAAAAUAACUGAGAGGGAUAUUAGUCACUCGAUAUGGGAUUUCUUUGAGCUAGUAGGUCAUCUAAAGCAAGGGAGUCUAUCUCUUGUUGGCAGCCUCCAAUCCAAUAUCAUCAAAAAAACAAACCUUUUUAUUCAAUUAUGGAACCUCAAGGCGAAGUGGAUGCACGAAAAAUUACUUCAGGUGAGGAUUACAAGUGUAAUAGUAUUUACAACUUAGGAUCUUAAGAGAAACCAUUCAAGGAUUGGCUCUAGUACUAUAGUGCACUCAAAACAUUCUCCAUAUCCAGAAGACAAUAUGAUGACCGAAGCAUUGAGAUGUUUCCAGAGAAAAAAUCUCCUCUCUAAAUUUUUCCGGUGAGAAUAGACAUCAAGGACUACCAAGGCUAGGCAUCUAAUUCUAAGUUCUUACAACUUUGAAUUACGAAAAGAUUAAAUCAUAUAGGAACCCAACAUACUUGGAUGUAGCUCCCCUGACCCUCCUAGUCUUUUUGCUUUCUCCAAUUUCUACUCCAUCCGUCUUGACCAGAUUGUCAUACAAGUACGCAGCAUAGCUCGAGAUGUAUCCUAUUCAAAAGUUAGAACUCCCACCAUCAAACUUGAUUAAUCAAACUGAUGUGACGAAAUGCCCCCCAGUAAUGACAAGAAGAUAAAUAAAACUUCAAGCAAUACAAAAUGUAAGAAACUUUCUGCCUAUAGUCUAUAUUUCAGUAUCCAAUAAAUCUCUCCUUGCAGGGCAUGCUCAGUCAGUUAAAGAAUGCUCAAUCAGUAAAGGAAGAGGAGUCAGCAGUAAAAUUACACUGUGAGAGUCAUAAUCAGGAACCUAAGAUCUUUUCAGAUGCCUGAUGACAUUUAGAUAAUAUUCUGCAGUGGCUAAACGUGCCAACUCCAAGUGGUAAUCAAGCAUUUCUGCAUCUGACAGAGCUAGUCUAUCUAGCAUACAUGGCAUCCCCUCCAAUUCAUGUUAGUUAUUUUCAUGGACACUUUAACUGGCGUACGAAGAAGGGCAACAAGAAGGCAACACAGGAGUAUGGUACACUUACGGUCGGGGUAGAUGACUGACCGGCUAGGUUAUGGAAAAAAUCUCGCAAAGGCAACAACCUGGUCGAGAAGUUAAUAGGAAUCUAUGUGCCUAUAAAUAAAAUCUCUUAAUUCAACUAAUACCAGCUUGGAAUUCUUUACUCGCAACUAAGUCAUCUCUAGAUUUCCACUCGCAUCACCAUCAUUCACUCUUCAUUUCUGUGUAAAAGACCAACUCCUUAGUUCGACAGAACCUCUUCAUUUAGACUUUCAACCACUUUUAUCUCUAAAUUCAUCCAAUUAUCCAUCGAACGCAAUUUGAACUAGAUUGGCAUUACAAUGGUCCUAUGGUGAAAAAGGAAGCACGUUUAGGAAAAGCGAAAGUAGAACGAGAUAAGGCCAAUGACUCAAAGAGCAAGCACAGCAAGCCAUCGUAGAAGAAAUGAACACACUAAAUAAAGGAAAAAGGAGAACUUUCUCGAGUCGAAGCAAUACCUAGGAGAGAUUGUCCACAGCCUCUGCCAAUUGAAGCAACAAAGCACCCAAAGCACCCACCUUCGAGUGCUCUGUGACCAUCGCCAGCAAAUCCUUCUCCAGAUUCCACUCACCCCAUCUUCACCUGCCAAUCGGAAAUUGACCAAACCCCUCACAAAACCAAAUCGACCUGCCCAUUAGGUCACCAAAGAAUGCCUAACGGGAGCUGAGCCUGAGAAGCCAGGCGGUUUGUCAAACUGAAGCUGAAACCGAAGCACAUCUGGUUAAAUGUCGAGACAACGGGCCAAGCUCGAAUUCGACCAAGCCAUUUGCCAUCACCAUCCCAACUCCUAGCGCUCGGCCGAAUGUUAAUACUCGACCAAGCCCCAGUUGGUGAGCUUUAUGCUAAACUCCUGUUAUAAGGUAUGCACAUGCGUCAAUGAUACAGUAGGGUGAAAGAUCCAAUGUCUUUCUUUUUCUCUUUUAACUGGAAUUAGACAAUUCACCUUGUUACAAGGUACGUUUUUGCUAUACUAGGAAAAUCUCAUUUCUCCACUUGUGCAUGCAGAGUUAGAGACUUGCAACUGGGCAAAGAAAAUAGCACGCAUAGUACCUCUGCUGCAAGUGAUAAAACCUAAGCACAUCCAACAAUUGAAAAGCAAAAGAAUAAGAUAAUUUACUCUUCCUUCCAAAUACGAUUACAAAAGCCCUGCAAGUAUGUGCUUUGAGAGCUAUUUUGGUUCCCGACUAUAUGACAAAUUAAGCGAUGCCAAAGCUUUCAAUUGUUGAAAUAGUAGAUCUUAUAUACUAAUUCUAGUCAACAAUUGCUUUUUCAGUAUUUAGAAAAUAGGACACAACUACUUUCCAUCAAUAAUUAUCAUGAUCUUUGGAAUCAUGCUUAUGCAAAACUGAGCAGGAAAAAGACUGACCCUAAACCAGCUGCUCUUUCUUUGGUCUUUUUGGUAGUUAUUCUGAAGGCACAAUGGGUAUUUGCACCAGUUGUCAUCAAGCAGAGUUGCAAACCAUGUAAACCAGAUUCCUUGUGCUGAAGUUUGGAAUGAACUUCCUUAACUCCAGGAAAGGGAACAAUGAAUUAUCCAUAAGUAUGAACCAAACGUGUUAAAUUUGAAAUCAAAAUCAAUCUGCUCACCCGAAGGCACAAUUUACCAAUCAAAAGCUUAGUCACAUUCUGCAGCUUCUGAAGCAGCUCCUCAACUAGGCUGCAAUACCCUCUGUAAAACUCAAACCAAUUUCGAACAAAACAAUCAGUUGGCCUUCCAAAAUCCUCGCCUCUCAUAAAAAAAGGUUCAACUCCGCUUCAAUCAAGGAUGAGACUUCCGCUACCAGCUGCCUCACCAUACCAAAAAACCCUCUCAAACGCAAUGACAGGACAGCAAAAGAGGACUCGUAAUCUCCAAGGGAAAAACCUCAUCAAGUGCAUACCAAAAGCAGCUAUGGACCGCAAUUUCCCUCAAAGUUCUCGAACAAAGCUUGAUGUUUUGCUUCAGACCACGGCAUCCAGCUGGCCUUCAACAUCUCAUGCAUCACCUCAUCGGUCACCUCCGAGUCACAGAUGGACAGGGACCUAAGAUUAAUCCAAGCAAUACUCCCACUAAACCAGAAGCUCCGGAGCCUCAUAUGCAGGUUCACCAGCUAAGAGCAUUUAUGAAGGAGCGGCGGUACCGCGAAAUGGCCGGCCAUCUCGCACGGCCUCUUUAGUCACAUCAAUGAGAGGUCCUUGACGUGGUCGUCGACAACAAAGCGAAGCCACAGGCUGAGCUCAGGCGCGCAACGGUCGAGAAAAUCGACGUCGACGUGGAACUUUCUCUAGUCGAAGCAAUUACCAAGGGAGAUCGUCCACAGCCUCUGCCAAUUGAAGCGACGAAGCACCACCACCUUCGAAGUCCUCCGUGACCAUGGCCGACCGGCAAAUCCUUCUCCGGAUUCCACUCCCGCCAUCUUCACCCGCCAAUCGGAAGAAAUCGAGCCGAAACCUCACAAAAACUAAUCGGAAAAAAAAAAAAAUCGAAUCGCCGCCGCCCAUUAGGAGGUCGAGAAAGAACGUCCGAACGGAAGCCGAACCGGAGAAGCCAAAGCGGUUCGUCGGAACUCGAAGCUGAAACGGAAGCAGCCCGGCGACCCCCUGCUUCGUCGGUCUCCAUUGCUAGAGAGGAUGCUCCGCCAAGCAGCCCGAAAACCGCAGCCAACGGCUCUGCCGGAACGAACCGCGAGGAGCGUACGGACAGCGACGGAGGCAGUUGAAGAGCGAGAAGAAGGAUGGAAGAGCGAAAGAGAGGAAGGUAGGAGGUCCCCCCCACUGGAAGAGCGAGAAUUCCCGGCGACAGAUUGCAGGCAGGAAAAGAGGGACCAAAAGAAGAGAGGGAGAGAUUUUCUUAAAGGGCCGCCACGGGAUCAAAUGGGCUGGGCCGGGCUGGGCCGGGCCGGACUUUAUAACAAAUAUAUCAUGGUCAAGCACUUUUGGGCCCAUGGAGGCUGAAGGAUCCUCGCCCGCCAGACUCGUGGGAAAUCACAUUCACGUCGGUGCAAGUGUGGUGGACUAAUUAUUGAAAUGUAAUUUGGAAAAAGUAAUGCGAUAAUCCUCAUAAUUAAAGAAAUAUCCUAAUGAAUUAUUCAACGGAAUCUUAUGAGAGCAAAUAUUCAUGCCUGCGUAAAUGCUAUGACGAUAAGCCAAGCUCGAACUCGACCAAGCCAUUUCUUUUUCAAUUUGGGGUGAUUGGAUAUCGAAUUUGAACAUACAAAAUCAUUCUCUGGUCAAGGGGCAAACAGUCAUUCAUAUCUAUGCUUACCCUUAUUGCACUUUAGAUAAAUCACUAAGUCUUGUUACCAAUAAACGUCCAAGCCUAGUUUGAUUCGGCCAUUCCUCAUAUCUGCAAUGCAGAGGAAUUCAGCCUACUACAGUACUUUAUGUGCCCCACUUGAAGAGUACGGAGAUUGUCGAGUUCCGAGCUUGUUCUUUCAAUGAUGAUGGAUGUAAGCUCACCUUGCCAAUCUUGCUCUUACCAAGAGAUGCAUUCCUCCUAGAAAAGAUUAUCAUCGAUGUCAAGAUCGGUGGAAGAUGCGAAUCGAAAUCUCUCAAGUCUUUGCCACAAUUGGUUCUACCCUACUUAACAGCUUUUGAAAAAGCUAGGUUGUCUUUAAUUAUUGUUAAAUGUGAGGUCUUGUUAGCAGCAGCAACAAGUUAAACAACGUAAGAAGAACUAUGGCGAGACACUCCUACAUAACAAAUGUUUUGCAUCCUAGUUCUUAUUAAGUCUACUAGUCCUUCGCAUGGUGCUUCCCCGCUCAGAUCACAAAGAUGAGUAGUCAUAUAGGCACCAUUUUGAAGAUUUUAUCAAAAUAAUAGUUAUACCGUAACCUGCAAUGAACUAUGAGGAAAUUUGAAGCCGACUUUAUUUCUCAAGCAUCCUCAGAAACUAAGGAAUAUCUUUACAAAAGAAGAUUGCACCGGUGACAUCAAACCUUUCAAAAACUGGAGGGAGAGCCUCUGAAGUUAGGGUUCUCGACUGAGUUUUGGCUUCGGGCAAUGCAAAUUUUUGGACCUCUAGCUAACCCAUCCAUGAGGCGACGAUGAUGGGGGCUUGCUCAUGUCGAAAAACUGAGUAGAGCUAGUCAAUUGACAAAUCAAAUCAAAAUAUAAAGUUUUAAUUAAACUGGAAUUUUGAAUAAGGCCUAUUCUACAAAUGAACUAUGCUCUCCUUUGCAAUCAUAGAAAAACAUGUAUCGUUUACUUUUAAAUUGGUUUUUUCCUUGAUAUUAGGGGCACGUAAUCCAUCUAACAUUUUUUUUUAUUUAGGUUUAAUACCAUUAAAAAUCUCAAAUUAUUGCCUCAUGUCACAUUUAUUCAAGUUGUCCUUAAAUUGAACUUGCAUCUGAAAAUGCUAAGAUUUUUUUUUUUAUCUGAUGAACAACAAACAAGAGAAUUAUAAGCCACUACCAAAAGCAGUAAUAUAAUAGAUUAUCAGUACAAAUGCAAAAGGGCUAUCAUCAAGCACUCAUAUUUUAUCAAGGUUUAGUUUAUGAGAUAGGACUUCAAUUUGAACACAAAAGUCAUAAGAGUUGAACUAUCGUAAUGAUCUAUAAGGACAUGCUAUCCAAAGCAAAUUAUACACAAAAAGAUAUAUUUUAUAAGUUGUGAUUGUGCAAAAUGAGCCUAAUUCAAUGCACCUUCUGUAAUUCGCCAUAUAGUAGCAUAAGUAAAUUAUACCCAAAGGUGUUUGGUGCAAUAGACACAAGUUGUCUUCUAGACAUUUCCUAUCAAUAGUAAAGCUUCUCCUCGUUUUCCCUAGUCAUUUUUGUUUUUCUGGCCAUCUCUUCUUGUUUUGUCAGUUCUUGAAACUUUUAAUUGCAAUUUCUCCAAAACGAUCUUGUGUAAACAGCUAAUGGAAUUUAAAAUUCAUAUGAGGUUUGCAUUGACAAUGGACCUAAUACCAAUCAUUUUUUUUUUGUUGGUAAUAAUAUUAUCUCAUCUUAUAAUUAACGUUCGAUGUCUAUAUUUCUGCACUUGCAUAGGGUAAGAUUACAUUUUUUCUUUUUAGGAAGAGAGGGGAAGAAUACAUGGAGACGUGAAUAUUUGGAGGGGGCAAUAAAUAAAUAAAAAAAUUAAUUUUAUAAUAAGUUCAGCUAAAGUUCACAAAAAACCUAUCAUCAUGACAAAUAAUAAACAUAAGAAGUGUCACGUCAGCACAUAUUACAUUCAUACAUUCUUUCUCCUUCAGAUUGGCAAUAAUUCCAAGAAAAAAAAAUAAUACAAUUAAACAAUUUUAAAUUCUUGAAUGUUUAUACAUCAUUAAAUUAAAAGACUACAUUAUAAUCUUUAUUAAAGAUACAAAAUCCAUUAACAAUCUUGUGAACAUAAUCUCAUGACGUUUGGUUUUUGGGUGGAAAAUCUCCUUUAUCUUAAUCCUAUCAUUUAUUUGAGGAUUCCAAAUCUCUGAGAUUGGAAUAUAGCCAAUGUUCUUGAUUGCUACCUUGAAACCAUAUAUCUUGCUAGUCACGUUCUACACAAGAAUGUAUUUUGUCCAUUGAAUUGGAUGCAUCACUUAACAAUGAUUGAAGAACCAAGUCAAUCUUAGGUGAGAGAUUUCAACAUUCAAAUGUAGAGUUCGUUAGUCGAGUACACUAGCCGAACCAUUCAACCCAAAGUAUAGAUAAUCCCAACCAAACAUUUGGUUCUCUUACACAUGAAAAUAAUGAAGACAGAGAUGAAGCAAAAGCUUGGCACUAUCGAGCAGGUCUCAGAACUUACAGCAAUGCACCACCAGACCCAGCAUCUGUGGGUCAAUUCUAUCCAACUCAAUAGAUAAAACAUUACCUUUUCACUCCACUUUUUUCUUUGAUGAAUGCCCACCUAGCAGAAAAGGCACAUGGCAGGUAUAGAUUAAGACUUCUCCAAGAAGGGUGAAGUCGAAGAGCUUCAGUCAGAAAGUCCACAUGCAUUGCUUCUCACGCCGAUGUCUGCAGCUUCGAGUAUUAGAGGUCCACCUACCACAGCAACACAAGCAUAACCACACAAAUUCUUGAACGGACAGUCAAUUCUGAAUUAGAGAUUCCAUCUUCAUCCUCAUCCAGUAUGUAGAUCAGGGCCCACUUUCUUGCAGCUAAAACACAAGCCACACCUCUACUUACUAUUGCCAAUAAAACAUCAACUUGAUUUCAGUCCGGUGUUCCUUGAAUAUAUGGGCCAUAACCAACGUGAUGUUUAGCUACCUUUGUUGGGUAAAAGUAAAAGAAUGACACAUGCGUUAUGCUAAAACAUAGGUGGGAAGCGAACCUUGUGUGCCUAAAGAGGCUACGGCAUCAUGUAACUAUGAAUGCUCUACAGUAUCGUGCUAUACUAGAUCCCAUGUGGUAUAUACCAUCAUGAACUUGUACCUGGCGGUUCUCAAACAGUAACUCAGACUGCUAUGCGCCUACCAUAAGGGGAUGAUUAUUCUUUUCAAAUUUGUCUGGGGACUAUAGAUUCAUCCUUUUUCGAACUUUGUCCUCUCCAUUGAUUUAAAAUUUAGAGGAAAAACUAAUACUUCAGUAUUCUACUUCUUCGACUGAAAAAAUAUUCUUCUUUGAAGCAUAUUUUUGCACCUCUUCAAUCUGUAGGAACAAACAUGAAGUGGUCCAUUAAAGAAGCACAAUGUACCUAUGCUUGUCACAUGUAAACUUAAUAGUAGGUUCUAAGUGGAAAUGUUGUAAGGAGCAUGGAUAGGAUUAAUUCAGUUCCACCAUACACCUAUGAGAUAAAUUUGUUACUGACAAUGGUAAUUUUAUCAAACAUUGAUACAUAAAGGAAAGAGUAUGGGCAAUAGUAAGUUUCCAGACAUCUAAAACUGCUAAUGGACAUGGUAAGAAGCUCAAAGAAAAGAUCUUCAGAACUAUACAAUUGAUGGCAUAGCAUGAAUUGAUCCUUGGCUCGAUAGUAUGACGGUGUCAAAAUGUUCUUACCACUAACUGACAAUGGAGGAACUACAGUAUGGAAUGCUACAAAGCUUCUCUCUCCAUCUCAAUACAUUCAAGGACUACUAUACACGAACAAGAUUCUAUUACAUUUCAUAUUUUAAUUCUUUUGCUAAUACUUGCGUUCAUCUGUUGAAAUAUCUUCACAAGUGUCCCUUGCAAAUAUUUGGUGUCCCCCAAAUCCCCCAAACUGUAGUAAUUCUCUUUACUCUCUGCAUUAUUUCUCUGAGACAAUAAUGAGGGUAAGACAUCUUACUGACCUGACAAGAUAUAUCAAGGCAGAAAAGUGCGAGGAAUUGCAUUUGAUAUUUCGGAAUGCUAGACCUUCCAAUCUAAUGAGAAACGACAAUCAAUCUGCCAAUUUCAACCCCCGUUACCAUGUGUUUACUUAAAGUAGUGUUGGACCAACAAUAACCACAGUUGGACCAACAAACCACCCAAACUCGAGUCAACCUCAUCUAGUGGAAGUGCUCUUAAGUAUUUCCUAUUCCAGUCAUGGAACAGAAUUGGGAGAACUUGUAUGUAUUAUUGCAGGAAAGAUCCUAGCAAGGGAAUCUAUAUCUUGUUCCCAAGAAAAUUAACAGAAGAAGAGGAAAGAUAGAGGACAAACAUUAACCAACAAAAUGUUAAUCAAAAUAUAUGAAGUGAGGCAAAACACCACAACUGUACGAAAUAACUGAGAGGGAUAUUAGUCACUAGAUAUGGGAUUUCUUUGGGCUAGUAGGUCAUCUAAAGCAAGGGAAUCUAUAUCUUGUUGGCAGCCUCCAAUCCAAUAUCGUCAAAAAAAAAAAAAAAAAUCUUGUUGCUCAAUUAUGGAAUCUCAAGGUGAAGUGGAUGCACGAAAGCUUACUUCAGGUGAGGAUUACAAGUGCAAUAGUAUUUACAACUUAGGAUCUUAAAGAAACCAUUCAAGUAUUGGCUCAAGUACUAUAGUGCACUCAAAACAUUCUCCAUAUCCAGAAGACAAUACGAUGAGCAAAGCAUUGAGAGAAAAGAUCUCUCUAAAUUUUUCCAAUGAAAAUAGACAUCAAGAACUACCAAGGCUAGGCAUCUAAUUUUAAGUUCUUACGAAUUUGAAUUACCACAAGAUGAAGUCAUAUAAGAACCCAACAUACUUGGAUGUAGCUCCCCUGACCCUCCUAGUCUCUUUGCUUUCUCCAAUUUCUCCCUCCAUCCCUCUUGACCAUAUACUCACACAAAUACGUAGCAUAGCUCAAGAUAUAUCUAUUCAAAAGUUAAAACUCCCACCAGCAAACUUGAUUAAUCAAAAUGAUGUGACGAAAUGCCCCCCCAUGUAAUGACAAGAAGAUAAAUAAAACUUCAAGCAAUACAAAAUGCGAGAAACUUUUCGCCUAUAAUCUAUAGUUAGUAUCCAGUAAAUCUCUCCUUGUAGGGCACGCUUGAUCAGUAAAAGAUUGCUCAAUCAGUAAAAGAAGAGGAGUCAGCAGUAAAAUUACAUUGUGAGAGUGAUCAUCAGGAAUCUAAGAUCUUUUUAGAUGCCUGAUGACAUUUAGAUAGUAUUCUGCAAUGGCUAAACCUGCGAACUCCGGCAUCAAGCGUUACUGCAUCUGACACAGCUAGUCUAUUUAACAUACAUGGCAUCCCCUCCAAUUCAUGUUAAUUAUUUUCAUGGACACUUUAACUAGUGUACGAAGAAGGGCAACAAGAAGGCAACACAGGAGUAUGGUACACUUACAGUCGAGGUAGAUGACUGUCUUGCUAGGUUAUGGAAAAAAUCUCGUAAGGCAACAACCUGGUUGAGAAGUCGGUAGGAAUCUGUGCGCCUAUAAAUAAAAUCCCUUCAUUCAACUAAUACCAGCUUGGAUUCUUUAUUCGCAACUCAGUCAUAGAUUUCCACGCGCAUCACCAUCAUUCACCCUUCAUUUCUGCGUGAAAGACCAACUCUUUAGAUCGAUGUCACCUUCUCAUUUAGACUUUCAAGCACUUUAUCUCUAUAUUCAUCCAAUCAUCCAUCGAACACAAUUUGAACUAGAUUGGCAUUACAGUGGUUCCUAUGGCAAAAAAGGAAGCGUAGCACAUUUAGGAAAAGCUAAAGAAGUAGAAGGAGAUAGGGCCAAUGACUCAAAGGGCAAGCACAGCAAGCCAUCGUUGAAGAAACGAACACACUGAAUAAAGAAAAAAGAGAACUUUCUCGAAUCGAAGCCAUACCCAGGAUAGAUUGUUCAUAGCCUCUUGCCAACUGAAGCGAUGAAGCACCCACCUUCGAGUCCUCCGCGACCGUUGUCAGCAAAUCCUUUUCAUGAUACCACUCUCCCAUCUUCACCUGCCAAUCGGAAAUCGAGCAAAAACCUCACAAAACCGAAUCCACCCACCCAACAACGCCAAAACGGGAGCCGAACAUGAGAAGCCCAGGGUUAAUCGAACUGAAGCUGAAACGGAAGCACACGUUGUGACCCCACCGAGCAGCCUGAAAACAACAGCCGCCAGCUGUGGUGGAACAAAUCACAAGGAGUAAGGAGAGAGCUCAAAAACAACGGAGGAAAGCUGAAGAGCGAGACGAAGAAGGGAAGAGCGGGAGUGAUGUCCACUGAAGUUUGAGAAUUCGCGGAGGAAGUUGCGGGAAGAGGAACAGGCGGGAGUCAAAACAAGGAAGGAAGAGAGAGAUGGGAAUUGGGCCGUAAAGGGCCGCCGCAUAAUCAACUAGGUUGGGCCGGAAUUUAUAGCCUUGCCGAAUAACGCCCGACAGGGCCCUUUCAGGCCCAAUGAGGCAUCACAUUGAUGCGAAUGUGGUGGAUUAGCUAUUGAAACGUAAUUUUGGAAAAAACAACGUGAUCAUCCUCAUUUAUUUUUGGAUGAAAAAGAAAAUGCUAAUGAAUUAUUCAAAUCGGCAUCUCACAAGAGAUGACAAACAUUCAUGCAUGCUUAAAUGUUGAGACAACGGGCCAAGCUCGAACUUGACCAUACCAUUUGCCACCGUCACCCAAGCUCCCAACACUCGGCCAGACACAAAUACUCGACCAAGCCCCAGUUGGUGAGCUUUAUGCAAAUCUCCUGUUAUAAGGUACACAAUCAUACAGUAGAAAGAAGCAAUAAGAAGAUCCAAUGUCUUCUUUUUCUCUUUUAAUUGGAACUAGACAAUUCGCAUCGUUACACUAAUUCUAGUCAACAACUGUUUUUUCAGUAUUUAGAAAAUAGGACACAGCUGCUUUUCGUUAAUAAUUUACUAUGAUCUUUGGGAUCAUGAUUAUGCACUAUUGAGAAGGAAAAAGACUUACCUUAAACUAGCCGCCUUUUUCUUUUUGACCUUUUGGUAGUUAUUUUGAAGGCAAAAUGUACAUUUGCGCCAUUAGACGUCAAACAAAGUAGCAGAUGAUGUGAACCAAAUUCUAAUGUGAUGAAGUAAGAACUUCCUCAACUCCUGGAAGAGGGACCAUGAACUAUCCAUAAGUAUGAAACCAAAUGGGUCAAAUUAAACAAUUUGCCCACCCGAUUACCAAUCAGAAGUUCAGUUGCGUUCUGCAGCUCUUGAAGCAAUCCCUUGGCCAGGUUGCACUACCCUCUGUAAGGCUCGAACCAAUUUUGAACAGAACAAUUUCCGAAAUCCUCGUGUCUUGUAAAAAAGUUCAACUCAGCUUCAAUUAAGGAUGAGGCUUCAAUUACCAGCUGCCCCAUCACACCAAACGACCCUCUCAAAUGCAACAAUAGCAAAAGAGGACUCGAAAUCUCCAGUGGGAAACCCUCAUCAAGUGCAUGCCAGAAGCAGCGAUAAACCACAAUUUCCCCUCAAACUUCUCGAACAAAGCAUGACGUUUUGCUUCAAACUGCGGCAUUCCUCCAACCUAAGGUACUCGAGACUGCCCUUCAAGAUAUCACGCAUCACCUUAUUUGUGAUCUCCGAGCCGCAUAUGGACAGGGACCUGAGAUGACUCCAAGUGACACUUCAACUAAAUGGGACGCUACACAGCCUUAAAUGCAGGUUCACCAACGGAGAGCAUCCAUAAAGGAGCAGCGGUACGGUGAAAUGGCUGGCCAUCUCGCGCAAACCCUUAGCCGCAUUGACAGAGAGGUCCUCCACACGGCGGUCGACAGUAAAGCGAAGCCACAGACUGAGCUCAGGCGUGCAAUAGUCGAGAAAAUCAGUAUUGAUGCAGAACUUCCUCACCGUAGGCGACACGUAGAUGGUCAAGACGCUGUCCACGAACGGGGCGUCCUUCCAGGGGAAGAAGACGACGAGGUUCGGGGCGGCGGUCCAUCUGGACCUCCACCUGUGAUCAGCAUGGUCGCCUAGAGUUUCGCACCGAGGACAGGAGGAGGACGAUGAUGGGGUCUGUGAUGGCUUCUUCGCCAUGAUGGGUUGAUGGUCGAGCCUACAGUUUUAGAUUUUUGGUCGACCGAAUUUGGGCUUCCAUAGAGCUACACGUGUCGCUCCCAGGAGAGACGACCGUUUUCCUGCGCCUUUUAAGCUCGAGCGGCGACUCUACCUCGGAGCACGAGUUCGAAUAUACGUACGGAUUUUUUGCGUCCCCUAAUGCUUUGUGGAGCUGAUCAGUGGACGAAAUUUUAGAAAUCUUCCUUUAUACUCACUCAGACAAUCGAGUCUGGAUAAGCUCAAGUGGGCUUCCACGAUUGGGCUUGAGCUUGAGAAAGAAAUUGUUUACUUGAGCCCCGGCCCAGUUAAGUUUGCGCGUGUCUACCCAAUUCUUUUUUUUUUUUUUUUUUUCUUCUGUAAGUAACUUCUCUAAUAUAAUUCUUCAGCGAAAACCAUAUUCAUGAUCAAGUAUGGCACCUCAUGAGCUUAAAAUUAACAGACAAUUGCUUUCAUCACACCUUAAAUUACAUUGGCCCGAACGCGAGAAAUGAUAGCACUAGAAAUUCAUGAGGUUCGCUAGCCUAGAUAGGCUUGUUCUUUUAGAUCAGUAUGAUUAGUACCUUAAUUUCAUAUAGGGGUUAAGUCAACAUUGGCGUGUAGAAAUAGACUUUAGAUUUCGAGUUUCCAUAAAUUUGACCGAAGAUGGCUUUUUUGGUCAAACCAAAGAAUCGACCUUUGACCUGAAAAAAAAUUAUAUUUUCACUCGUUUUAAUCUUUUUUAGACAUCCAAUUUAGGAAAACCGCAAAAUUUAAGUACUUCAAAUCCAAUUAAAGAAAUUCCAAUUUCAAGAAUCAACAAGCCAUUUAGAAUACCAUAUUUAUUACCAUAUGAUUUGAGCUUAUACUUCUAAAGAUCGCGCCAUUUAGCGCAAUCAUACAAAACCCCUUGGGAGAAUACAAUUUAUUCUUUUCCCAUCUUGGAAGGGGUCAUUUUUGUUUUUGUUUUUUGCUUUUAGUUUUUAGUUUUUUUUUUUACAUUCAACGGGGAGGCGCCACAAUUAAAAGGAGAGGGGGAAAAAGAAAAAUAAGGAGUAACGAUUCUUCAUGCUGACUCCUUCACCGUCGCCCCAUCGUCAUUGGACUUCAUCCUCACCACCGCAAGUUGCAUCCAUUGUUCUUGGAUUUCAUUCUCUUGAGGAGUCGGAGCAGUAGUCACCGCUGCCCAUUCCGGCGAUUGAAACCCACGCCAUCACUUCAAUGAGCUCUCUCCAUCACUCCCCUUGACGCCAUCAGUCGCCAUAGCCGCUCGUCCUCACUGUUCCCGAGCCACCCUUUCCUACUCUAUUGGUCGGUGCCUUCCCACCGUGAAACCGAAGAGCCCAGGUCUCGUCCAAAGACUCCCUCGUCGGUCGUUGUUCUAUUCGUUGACAGUCGUAAAGGUUCCAGUUGUCAGUUGCAAGUGCCCGUCACAGCCUAGUUAUGUCACUGAUAAACCAGGCCUUCCUGUGGCCUUCGACGACAGUCAUUGAUGAGAAGCCACUAAAAACCCGACGGUCCAAGGGUUAAUUUUUAAGCUCUAAUAUUCCGGUUGGUUUAUCCGAUUGCCACCCUGUUAUUGUUCCCUACGUCUUGUGGAUGCAACGGCCAGCACAAUGGUUAGAUGAUGGUCGGAGACGGUGGUUCAGUGAAGAGCGAGAAUGAGUGACGGUAUACGAGUACUUUUGAGCGUAAGGUUUUAAACGUUUCUAGUUCAAUGAAGCUUUUGAUAUUGAUCCGUAGGCAUGAAAAUUCAUUACAGAAGCCAUUAAAGGUGGGAGCUCCGAGAAUUGGGAGCCAGGCGUCAAAGUUGAGGGUUUCUCCAUAUAUAUUAUCCAAAACGAAAUGAACGAUGUUGACAUGUCUGAUGGGGGUGGUGGUGAGCUAGGUAGCACCGACACGCGACACGCGAUAUGCGACAUGCGACAUGACACGACACGAUACGCAACAUGCCAUUUCUCAAAAAGUAAAGAAUUUCAAUACGUUCCGACACGUUAAAUGUUAAAUAAAUAUUUUUAUAUAUAAAUACAUAAAUAAGUAAAUAAUAAUAAUAAUAAUAAUAAUAAUAAAAAGAACCUAGAAUUAAGUUAUACUAAAAACAUUAAUAAUACUUUGUUAAUAUCAUUCAUUCGUUUAAUUUGACAAAUUCAACUACAUUUCAUUGUAAUAAUCCAUAAAAUUUGAAGGAAAAAACAAGUAAUCCACAUUUUACUAUUAAUUUAAAAUUUAACAAUAAGCAAAAAAACAAUCAACAUUCCAUCAAGUAAUAUAACAAAAAGUCAUUUAUCCACAUUAUCUACUUCCUUUGAAAAAAAAAAAAAAAACAGACUCUAUCUUUGGCUCAACAAGUGAAAGAUUUGUAACUUCAAGCACCCCAACAUCUUCAAACGAGUCAAAUGCAUCUUCGCCAAUAUCCCACAUCUUAGACGAAGAUUUCAGAAUUUCCCUUACUCCUGAUUCUGCUGAAAAAUGUUUCCAUAGUUCAACCCACUCUGCCCACCAGAUAGCACUCAAAACAUGAAUCCUUUGGGUGACUUCACGCAAUGGACUUAAAGGUGGUUAUUAAGAAUCACUUGGGAUUACAACACACCAUCCCAUUUUUUAACUCAACGGAUCACUCAGAAAAACAAACUCCAAUCUAGUCCCAAACUGAUCCAUUUUCAGCUAAGGCCAAAAGCCACGGAGUUCAAGAAUCAAACUACAAGGAAUGCACUACCCUCGUCAUAAAAAUUUCGAGUUCAGAUGAGAAAUGGCAAAAAUAGGAACAAGACAGUCACUCCAACUCCAAUUGCACUAAACAUAGUACCCAAAACCCAGAAAUCUCCAAUCUUGAAGAGCUCUCGAGUAGCCCAGUUCAAAAAAAUUCCCUCUUUCCCAACAAGACGAUCACCGCACGAGCCGCAUCUCAAGAAUUCUACCACAAGAUUUCGGAUCUCCAAAGAAAUCCCCCUUUCCCCGAUCUACUCUAGGGUUUGCCGAAAAAUCCCAAAUCGGAUUAUAAAGAAAUCCAAAAUGCUAACCUGAGAUGAGCAAAAAGAUGAAAUCGCAAGAUGAAGAAGAGCAACACGGCAACGCCUGUGAGCGGCAGAGGUGACGGCUUGCCGUCGGGGCGACGGCUCGCUGCUUGCGAGAGAUGAAGGCGGGGUUGGAGGCAACUGUGGCAACGGGUGGGGCUGAGGCGCGGGGGGCUACGACGAGUCGGCGACUGGUGGGGUGGGCCGCACGGCCGACAAAGCAACUCUGGCGAUUUUCACGGCGAAAGAAGAGAACCAGAGUGCUCUGCUCACUGCUCAGGCUUGUGCAACUGAAGACUGAAGAGAGUCCAGAACCGUGCGUGCACUGAAGUCUGAAGUUUUAAAUUUUAUUAUUAUUUCUUCAUAUAUUUAUAUUUAGUCCCCAAAUGUUUUGGGAAUUUAUAAAAAUAACCCCGUGCAUGUCGGAAAUACUAACUCGCGUGUCGGAGCGUGUCCGAGAAGGUUGACCGCGUGUCGGUUUUUGCAGAGCGUGUUGGACAUGUGUCGAAGUGUUAGACACGACAUGAAGGGUCCUGGAAAGUGUCUGUGCUUCCUAGGUGGUGAGGGCCCCACACGGGACGAGGUGACGGUCCGAGCCUCUCUUUUGCUAAUUGCAAAUUGUUGUAGUGGGGAUUGGGCCCCAUUUUAUCUACUUUUCAUCUACCUUUUUUUCUUUUUCCUUCAAUCCUGUCGUAUUUUUUUAAUAAGGUGCAGGGGUGCGAUUGAGUUGAGUUUGGAGGGGCGCACGUACUCAUCACUAACUUUAAUAGAAAAUCAUUUUUCUUUUUCCUUCAAUCCUGUCGUAUUUUUUUAAUAAUGUGCGGGGGUGCGAUUGAGUUGACUUUGCAGGGGCGCAUGUACUCAUCACUAACUUUAAUAAAAAAUUAUAGGCUCCUAUUUGGGUUCACUUACCGGCAUUUAUCGGAUUGUUUCGAUAUUAUAAAUUGUGCCAUUGAGUUAGCCUCAUUUAUUUGUUAAAGUUACUAGCUCUUAUAGGAUAUUACUUCUCUUAAUUUGGGUAAUUUAUCAACUUUUCAAGGGGUAAAUCACAAUAAUUGAUAUUAUUUGAGCAUAUCGCGUGUUGAUAAGAGAUCGGAUUGAAAAGAUUUACCAAACCAGUGUUGAAGAUAAAAAUAUCUCAAUUAUUUGAUAGGCAAGAGGUAGAAAAAUGUGAAAAAAAGAAAAGAAAAGAAAUUUAAACCCUUUAUUGUUUCCUGAAAAUGUACCCGAAGUCGCAUUUUUGCUAACAUUUCGUGCCUACACUUUCAGUCAUUGCAAGCCUACUCCUUCAUGCACUAUAAAAGGGAGUACACCCCAGUGAUAACAAACAUGGCAAAAAGUUGUCAUUCUUCCGGUUGCUACAGUAUUUCUACAACCAAACACUCCCAUAUUCAGACACUUAGUUCAGAAGAAAAGAAAAUGCAAAAGAGAGCUCCGGCUUCCUCUUCUUCAGGUAAACCAAGUUAACCCAAGAGGCCCUGCUUCGCUCCAAUCAAGUAGUAACUUUUUGCUUAAUUGCUUGAUCAUCGUGGUUUUAGCUUUACUCGAGGGAAGUAUUCAAUGAAGAGUUUCUGUGUUCAGCAUUCUUUAGAUGAGAAAUAUGACAGAAGCCUGCAUUGUAAGUAUUAGAUUGAUUGGCUUUUGACUCAUGAGUCAUGAGUGUUCUAAAUUGCUUUCGUUCGGUUUUUUGUUUGUGGGUUGGUGCUAUGGCUUCAAUGUCAACAACAGCAAGUGUACACUACUGAAUUUUGAGAUAAUGUGUGCAGCUAACUAUAGAAAACUGAAAUUCUCAUUCAACUAAUCCGCUAAGAUUGAUGUGUGGCAUUAACAUUAGGAUUGCCAAGUAGGCUUGACGCAAAAGUCAUACGUUAACAUAAAGUCUUUGAACGAACAGAGCAACAUACACAACAGAAACACAACAGAAUUUUUGUUUAACAUGGAGCAAAACAUUUUUUGUGGAUACAGAAAUCUGAUAAGUCCUAAAGAUUUAGAGAAUUGUGGAAACCUAAUAUCAUGCACAUCAGGACACUACAUAAGCAAUUGUUUCAAUCGAUAUGAAUUCUUUAAAAUCAACCUUUGAGAAGUCCAUCCAGGAGAUGAUCUUUCUUGAAUUCAUUCCCACAAUCACAAGCACACUGAGAGGUAACAAAUCACAAUUGACACCCACACGUGCACCCCUGUGCACACACAGAGUAAUGGUCCAGACAUAUAGCUCUAAGACAACAAUUGCUAAUAAAAUAAGCAAACUCUCAUCCAAAUUGUCUUGAAUUUUCCCAACUAGGAACAAUCCUGUCACGUGAGGUAACGACUGACCAUCACCAACCACAAAACAGGGUCGAUUUCAUUUCAAAUUGUUGUUAUACUUGCUGUAUCAUAUCCAAAAUCAACAAGCGUGCAAGAGAGGGAAAAAAAAGAAAGAAAAACUAAAAACCCACAUCCUAGAAGGACCCAAUUCAAGAACAAUUCACUAUCAAGACGAUCAAAAUAGGUAUUCAAAUUUGGCGAAAAGAAAAAAAAAAGAAUCCUAAGAAACUGAUAGCAAGAAAAGGAAAAAGACUAAAUUCUGAACUUUGAACCAAUAAAAAAAAUGCCAAUUGGGUCGUCACACCAGACCAAUAGAAACUACACAAAGAGCUUGCUUCGCCUCAUCUUCUCCUACUCGUGGAAGAUGAUCUUGACAAGGGAUGAGGCGUGGACAGAAAUGACAAUCCGAUCUCCUUCACUGCGGAUGCGGAAGUAAAAUCAAGGAAGAAAGAAGGGUCGAUGAGUUUAGAAUGGCGGUCGUUUUCUAUUAGGACAUUUCAAAGACGGGGCUAAAGUUGGGAUUUUCAUUUUUAUCUAUCUCCCGUUUGGUGAGUAAUUACUGGCGAACAAGCCACCGGUGGUCGGUGGCGGAUUGUACUUGCAUAUGCGUUACGUUGUUUUUGACAAAGAAGAAAAGGGAGGAAGAAACGAAACGAAAAGAUAAACAUGAAAAAAUUAAUUUCGGCGAAAAACAAAACAUAGAUAAUAAAUAUUUAAAUUUAUUAAUGACGAGGAUUCGGCAAGAGUUCGGACCGUGCGCAUCACUCGUGACGUACCCCCCGCCCCCCCCCCCCCCCCCCAACUAUAGGGGGGGGUAUUAUUGAGGAUCUGCUUCCUCAUGGGGGGGGGGGGGUCACAUAAGAACAAAAAUGAAAGGGGGACAAAAUAAAAUCGUCCUAANNNNNNNNNNNNNNNNNNNNNNNNNNNNNNNNNNNNNNNNNNNNNNNNNNNNNNNNNNNNNNNNNNNNNNNNNNNNNNNNNNNNNNNNNNNNNNNNNNNNGACUUUUUGGGAUCCUAGCAUGUAUCACAGCUGAAGGAAUAUUCGACCACUACUCUAAAGAAACCUUUCUAAUCGUUGAAAUCUUUCUUUAUGUCUUUAUAGAGAAUGCCUACCCCUUGAUUAAAAUAAUGUUAUGCCACUUUCUAUUAAUUUUUUUUUUUAAAAAGGAAAGAAAACUGAUGAGAAAUAUUCACAUGCUCCGGGUGCUAAUGUCCAUGAGUCAAUGACAAAAAUAUAUUCGACCCAAACAAAAAUGAAAAAACCAUAUCAGUCAGAUUGGAUUUUGUUAAUAGAUAUUUGUAGCAUGCUUUAAUAUUCAAAUAAGGAAAGUUUAUUAUUCUCAAACUUCAAUCUGUUUUUUCUUUUUUAAAUCAACACUUAUAAAUUAAUCUUUUUUAAAUCAACACUUAUAAAUUAAUACAAAAAAGAAGGCCAAGAAUAGAUGGCAAGCAUUAAUCAAGGCGGCUUCUUUCUUUCUUAUUAAGAGGAGAUGUCACUGAUAACAUAUGAUUUAUGGGCAUAUGAAUCUCAUCGCUGUCACAUGUUCCACCAAAAACACCCUUAAAAGAUAUCCCCCUAAAAUAAGAGCAAAAAUUUCGACGACUCCUUAUAAUAAAAGUCACAUAAAAUUAAAGUUUGCCGGCCAUCUAUCUAAUAGGAACCCAAUUAGAAUCAUUUGCAGUUGUUGUCAUUUGAAAUUAGACCAUCCAUCGAAUAAUUUAGAUCUUUUUAAUAAACAUAUGUAGCACACUAAAUAUUCAAUAAAGAAAGUUCAUUAUUUUCAAUCCGAUUUUUGCGAAAGUCAACACUUAUAAAUUAAUUCAAAAAAAAAAGAAGGCCAAGAAUAGAUGGCCAGCGUUAGUCAAGGCGUCUUCUUUAUUUCUUAUAAAAAGGAGACAUCACUGAUAACAUGUGAUUUAUGGGCAGAUGAAUCCCAUCCUUGUCACAUGUUCCACCAAAAAGACCCUUAAAAAAUAUCCCCCUAAAAUAAGAGCAAAAAUUUUGACAACUCCUUAUAAUAAAAGUCGCAUAAAAUCAAAGUUUGCCGGCCAUCUAUCUAGUAGGAACCCAAUUAGAAUCAUUUGUAGUUGUUGUCAUCUGAAAUUAGACCGUCCAUCAAAUAAUUUAGAUCUUUUUAAUAAACAUCUAUAGCUCUCUAAAUAGUCAAAUAAAGGAAGUGCAGAAAAUCAAUCUGCGAUCUGAUUUUUGCGAAAGUCAGCACUUAUAAAGAAAGCAAAUUAAGAAGUCGAUGGGAUCGAUAAUACAGAAAAUCAAGGUGUCAUAAUCAUCUCCAAGCAAAUGGAGAAGUCACUGACAACGUAUGAUUAAGGGGCAUCUGACUCCCAUCCUUUCGCAAAUAACCCAGAUAGACCCUUAAAAACCACCCCCACAAAAUAAGAGCAAAAAUUUCACCGAAUCCUUAUAAUAAAAGUCGCAUAAAACAAAAGUUUGCCGGCCAUCUAUCUAGUAGGACCCAAUUAGAAUCAUUUGUAGUUGCUGUCAUAUGAAAUUGGACCAUCCAUUAAUAAUUUAGAUCUUUUUAAUAAACAUCUGUAGCAUGCUAAAUAUUCAAAUUAAGAAAGUUCAUUACUUUCAAUCUUCAAUCUGAUUUUUUUGAAAGUGAAUACUUAUAAAUUAAUACAAAAAAAAAGGCCAAGAAUAGAUGGCAAGCAUUAGUCAAGGCGUCUUCUUUCUUUCUUAUGAGUAGGAGACAUCACCGAUAACAUAUGAUUUAUGGGCAUAUGAAUCCUAUCCUUGUCACAUGUUCCACCAAAAAGACCCUUAAAAAAUAUCCCCCUAAAAUAAGAUCAAAAAUUUCGAUGACUUCUUAUAAUAAAAGUCGCAUAAAACAAAAGUUUGCCGGCCAUCUAUCUAGUAGGAACCCAAUUAGAAUCAUUUGUAGUUGUUGUCAUCUGAAAUUGGAUUGUCCAUCGAAUAAUUUAGAUCUUUUUAAUAAACAUCUGUAGCACGCUUAAUAUUCAAAUAAAGGAAGUUUAUUAUUUUCAAUCUUCAAUAUAAUUUUUUUUUCGAAAAUCAACACUUAUAAAUUAAUGCAAGAAAAAAAAAGGCCAAGAAUAGAUGGCAUGCAUUAGUAAAGGUGUCUUCUUUCUUUCUUAUAAAAAGAAGACGUCACUAACGACAUAUGAUUUACAAGAAUAUGAAUCCCAUACCCAUCACCUCUUCCACCGAAGAUGCCCUUAAAAAAUCUCCCCCUAAAUUAAGAGCAAAAAUUUCAUGAACUCCUGAUAAUAAAAGUCGCAUGAAACCAAAGUUCAUCAGCCAUCUAUCUAGUUGGAACCCAAUGAUGAUGAUGAUGAUGAUGUUGAUGAUAAAUGCAGUUGUUGUCUUUUGAAAUUGGACCAUCCAUAAAAUAAUUUGCACGAUCUUCACCAAUAACGGUAGUCACGUUGCAUGAUUUUGGUGUCUACAUUAGGUUUAGUGGAUGGUUUGAUUGUCUUAUACUAAAUUCUAUGAAUGAGAAUCCAAUUACAAUGCUAUGUACACAAUCUUUGUGUCCUUGCAUUCAAAUGGGUAUUUGACAAAAGAAAAAUAAUUUGUAGCGAUAUCUCAUGUCUGGAAAUAAUAACAUCAGUCAAACAUGAAGUAUCUUUAUCAUUCGUUAUUAGCAAUAUCCAAAUUGGGCUAUAUGUCAGACUUAACUUGUUCUCCGGAUCAUGAGAAAACUUCUGUGAUUUCGAAAUGGGCCGCCAGGGCUCAACUGGGCCGGGCUGGAUUUUACGACUAUAUUACCUUGUCAAACAACGCCCAAAGAGCCCCCUUCGGGCACAUGUAGGAGCGGUGGAUUAAUUAUUGAAAUGUAAUUGGGAAAAAGCAAUGUGAGAUCAUCCUCAUUCACUUUAAAUUAGAAGAGUAUGUUAAGGAGCUACUCGAAUUGGCAUCUUAUAAUCGCCUGCUUAAGUGUCGAGAAGACGGACCAGCUCAAGCUCGAUAGAGCCAUUUGCCAUCACCACCUGAGCUUAAAAAACUCGGCCAGAUUACUCAACCAAGUCAAUUGUCAUUGUCACCCAAAAUCCACCCGCUUUAUGCGCACCAUUUCUUUUUUAACUUGGGUGAUUGGAUAUUGAACUUGAAUGUACAUAAUCAUUCUCUAGUCAAGCGGUGAAUGUCAAUGUUUGAUCUGGCCAUUCCUCAUAUCUGCAAUGCAAAGGAAUUCAGCCUACUGCAGAACUUCACGUGCUUGGCUCCGCAUCUUGAGAGCGUGGAGAUUGCUGGGUUCCCAGCUCGUUCUUUCGACGAUGAUGGAUGUUAGCUCACCUUGUCAAUCCUGCUUUUACCAAGAGAUGCAUAGUCAUUAACGUCAAGAGCAAAGGAAGAUGCCAAUCGAAAUCUCUCAAGCCUUUACCACAGCUGGUUCUACCGUAUUGAAUUGCUUUUGAAAAAGCUUGGUUGUCUUUAACUAUUGUUAAGAUCAAGGUCUAGCUACCAGCAUCAAAGAGUUAAACAAAGAUGUUUGGUGAUUGAUUGCUGGGUUCCCAGCUCGUUCUUUCUUAUUGCUCGACUGAGUUUUUGCUUCUGGUAGUGUGACACUUGUCGCAUUUUAAAUGAGAGUUUAAAUCCUUGUACGGUUUUUUGGACCUCUAACUAACCCAUCCAUGAGGCGACGAUGAUGAGGGCUUCGUCAUAUGUUGAAAAGCUGAGUAGAGCUGGUCAAUUGACUUAUCAAAUUAAAUAUUGAGUGUAUUUUUUCCUACAAAUCGAGCAAGGCUAAUCGAUUUGGAAUUUUGAAGAAGGCCUAUUCUACAAAUGAACUAUGCUCUCUCCUUUUUGCAAUCAUAGAAAAACAUGUAUCAUUUGCUUUUAAAUUGGUUUUUUGCUUGAUAUUAGGAGGCAUAUGAUCCAUCUUAACAUUGUUUAUCUUAAUUGUGUUUGAUAUUAGGACAUCCCAAACUGUUGCCUCAUGUCACAUUUAUUCCACUUGUCCUUAAAUUGAACUUGCAUCUGAAAAUACUGAGAAACAGUUAUAACCGAUUAUGAACAAACAAGAGGAUUAGAUUAUUGCAGAUUGCUACUGAAAGUAGUAAUCUAAUAGAUUAUCUGUACAAAGGCAAAAGGGCUAUCUCAAGUACUUACAUUUUUAUCAAGGUUUAGUUUAUGAGAUACAACUUCAAUUUGGACACUGGGGAAAUAAAAGAGUUGAAGCAUCGCAAUGACCUAUAAGGACAUGCAACGUGGAGAACAUUAUAUAUCCAAUGCUAAUUAUACAUGAAAAGAUAUAUUUUAUAAGUUGUGAUAAUUCAAAAUGAACAUCAUUCAAUACACUUUAUCCAAUUCGCCAUAUAGUAGCAGAAGUAAAUUUCAUAAGGCUCUAAACGGCUAUAAAUAGAGGGUUUAGCCAAAGAUGUUUGGUGCAAUAGACACACAUUGUCUUCUAGACAUUUCCUUAUCAAUGGUAAAGCUUCUCCCCAUUUUCUCUAGUCAUAUUUGUUUUCCUAUUUUUCUCUUCUUGUUUUCUUGGUCCUCAAAACUUUUAAUUGCAAUUUCUCCAAAACGAGCUUGUGUAAAGCGGCUCAUGGAGUUUAAAAUUUAUAUGAAGUUUGCACUAACAGUGGCCCUGAUAACAAUAAUUUAUUUUGUUGAUAAUAUUAUUAUCUCAUCUUACAAUUAAUGUUCGUUGUCACUAUUUCUGCACUUGCAUAAGGCAAGAAUACAUGUUUUUUUUCUUUUUUUUAACGAGAGCCCAGUCCGGGGGGGAAUACAUUUUUUUUUUUUUUUGGGUUGAAGGUAGAUAUUGCAUUCAUUCAUCGAAAUAGACAAGUCUUACAAGACAACGAUGGAUAAAAUUCCGAACAUAUAAUUUCCAAGAGAGAUAAAGGAGGGUAGCUCACCCAAUUUAAAGGAAGUUUCUUGGCUUGAUGGGUUUUAGCCAGCCAAUCCACUGCUCGAUUUGCUGCACGUGGGCAAUAAACCACUCUUGCGGAUCGGCACAACUCUAACUCUGCUUUGCAUUUCCUCAUUAUUUCUUCCAAAUCCCAUGGAGGAUCGGCCCAGCCCAUGACAAUAUCAACUAAAGUCGAGCAGUCACUUUUGCACGUCCAUCUAACUAUUUGACUUUUCUCUCUUCCCACGUGCCAAGUGUCAAGUUCCCUCAAGUACAUGAGCCCGUACAGCAAAGAAAGAGCUUCGGCUUGCAGAGAGGAAGAAGCCCUAACUUUCAGAAGCAAAACCCUCGACCACCCUCCCCGAUGGAUCUCGGAUGAUUCCAGCAAUUGAGGAGAGGAAAUCACCUAGGAAUCAUGACGUGUCAACAUUGAUUUUCAAUUCAGCUUGGUCCGGCAGCUUCCAUCGAGCAGGUACGCUUCGAUUUGGGGGAAAAGGUCUCUUUCGAUUCUGCCAUCUGCUAAAGGUUUUAUGCUGUUCUUGUGCGAGAUCCACUAGAUCCGUUGGUUGCGGAGGUUUUGCUCUGAAAAUCAAGUUGUUCCGGGACUUCUAGAUGUUCCAGAGCACCACUGCCAUGAGUUCUCUUUCGGUAAGUCUUCCCUUUCUUCGAAAAUCCCCAACAGCCACUGAUCGAACCUCUUGACAUUACUUGGGUUGCUAAUGAUGUUGAUGCGUGGAUCCGCCUAGACUGUUUUUGUCCAUUUGCACAACAAAAAGAGAUGUUCUGUGGUUUCCAGGUUUGUGUAGCAAAACGGGCAUAAGGGGUCGAGUAAAAUCUUCCUUUUGUAGAGGUUUUCUCGUGUGGGGAUAGAGUUUUGACAUAGGCUCCAGAGAAACGUUCGCAUUUUCGGAGGUAUGGCAAGACUCCAAAUUUGAGUCCAUAGAGUUUGUGGGGGCUUAAAAGAGCAGGAUGCCCUGAUUUGGUUUGUGCUAAGGGUUUUUGAGUGGCCUCUGUUGUAUUCGCUCUUCACGGUGUAUUUCCCUGACCUGUUGCUUGUCCAUACUAGACUAUCCUGCUUAGGAUUCAAACUCAGAGAAAUCGCUAGAAUCUCAUUAGCAAUUUUUCUUCAAAAGGAUUUUGUAUUUGAUGUUCCUCCCAAGCUUUGGAUUCUGCAUUAAUCAAUUCUGACACUAGGAUAGGUUCCUAUUGGUUAGCUGGUCCUCCGAUCACCCCAUGCUUUAACCAUUUGUCUUCCUGUAUUUUAAUGGAUUUUCCAUCCCCCACUAACCACUUAGCAUCUGCUUCUAUUGCUUCUCUUCCUAUUAACAGGCUUUGCCAUCCCCAAGACGGUCGUUGUCCCUUGCUAGCUUUCCAUAGAUCACCAUUUGGGAAGUAGAUUCCUUUUAGUACUCUGCUCCACAAAGCUGAUGGAGAGUUGGAUAAUCGCCAGGCUUGCUUUCCGAGCAUUGCAUGAUUAAAGGUAAGCAGAUCUUUGAAACCCAAACCUCCCUUAUCUUUUCUAGUUUUUAAAACUUCCCAUUUUUUCCAAUGCAACCCUCUCUUUGAGUCACCUUUUUGCCACCAAAAUGAUGCAAUUCUUCUUUCUAUGGCUCGACAGAUGGACAUAGGCAAUUUAAAGAUGGACAUUGCAUAAGUGGGAAUGGCUUGCACAACACUCUUGAUCAAAAUUUCUUUGCCUGCUUUGGUAAGUAGCUUUUCUUUCCAACCCUCUAGCCUUGAAUUUACUCGUGGUAAGAUCCAUGCAAACAUUUCUUUCUUUGAAAGACCCCCAUUCUAUUGGAAUACCAAGAUAUUUGCCAGUUUUUUCUAUAAUGGGAACUCUAAGCUCAUGGGCUAGGUUUCUUUUCAAAGAUAAAGGACCGUUGCUGCUAAAAAAAACCCAUGAUUUGUUUAAAUUUACAGCUUGCCUCAAUGCAUAGUAGUACUGAUUAAGUAUAUGGGCUAGGUUUUGGCAUUCAACAAUAGUUCCAUCCAGAAAAAAAUAUAGCAUCAUCGGCGAAAAGUAAAUGAGACAGUGUAGGGCAGAACCUGUUUAGUGUUAUCCCCUUGAUGCUACCCUCUUCAAUAGCUUUGUUCAUCAACCAUGUUAAAACAUUUGCUAUUACGAUGAAUAAAUAUGGCGAGAGGGGAUCUCCUUGUUUGAGUCCUCUCAAGGGGAAAAAAUAUGGAGUUGGUUCCCCGUUAAUCUUCACACUUAGGGACACCGUCGAGACACAUUGCAUGAUUAGAGAUACCCACCUCUCACAAAAGCCCAUUUUUAGCAUACAAUCCUUUAAGAAAUCCCAUUCAAUUCUGUCAUAGGCUUUCUGCAUGUCCAGUUUCAAGAUCGCCUGGAAUUUUUUUCUUUCUUUUUGUGAUUCGCAGAUGAUGUAAUACUUCCUGAACAAUAAGUAUAUUAUCCUAUGUUUGUCUGCCUUGAACAAAGGCACUUUGCUCAGGUUCUAUAAUAUCUGGAAGCCAAAUCUUUAACCUAUUUGCCAAGACUUUAGAGAUGAUUUUGUAGCUGAAAUUGCAUAAACUGAUAGAUUUGAAUUGGCCAAUGUUUUAUGGAUUUUUAACUUUUGGUAUCAAAGAGAUGUGUGUUUUAUUGAGGUGAGGAUCAAGGGUACCUGUGUCGAAAAAAUUCUGCACUAACUGGAAGAGAUCAAGCUUUAUGUUCUCCCAUGAUUGUUGAUAAAAGAGGCUGUUAAAUCCGUCUGAGCCGGGGGCUUUUAGUGACCCCAUUUGGAAAACUGCUACCUUUACCUCUUCCAUCAUGAUGCUAGCUAGCAAAUUUGCAUUGAUUUCCUCUUCCACUGGAUUGGGGCACUGAUUUAGGAUAGGUUGAUAGUUUCUGGGACCCUCUGAUUUGUAUAGGUUCUUAUAGAAGGAGCCAAUAUGAUUUCUGAGAGUUGAGGGAUCUUGACACCAGCCUUGAUCUUCCAUUUGCAGCAUAGUGAUCUUAUUUCUCUACCUUCGUUGUACGGUAGUUGCAUGGAAAAACUUGGUGUUUUUGUCACCCCAUUGCAACCAUUUGAUACGUGAUCUCAUACCCCAGAAUUGUUCUUCUUGUUUCCACAAUUUUUCUAUCCGGUUUAUAAUGUUAUGGGCUUCCUUCCUGCUGGCAUGUUGGGACUGUUUAUUAGUGAUCUCUAUUAAAGCCUGGUUGAGCUCCCUAAUCCGCUUUGGUGCAUUGGCGAACUUCUUUUUACUCCACUUUGCAAGCACUUUUGUAGUUUCAUUGAUUUUUGUUGAAAAAUUGGUCUAGUUGAGGGGUGUUUUCUUCCAUAUUUACUGUAUGAGCUCAUGGUACUCUUCAUGUUCUAUCCAGAAUACUUCCAUCUUAAAAUCUCUCUUUCUUUUCUAGCUUUCAGGUUGCAGCCUAAGGAGAAAAGGGCUAUGAUUCGAGCCAAUGGCUGGAAAGGCUUGUACCUCAGCUUCGUGGAAGGUAAUUCUCCAUUCCAUAGUACAGAGAACUUGGUCUAGUCUUUUUUUAACAAGAGCCUCCCCUUCCCUGUUAUUCGCCCACGUGUAUGCACACCCAUGGCUGUCCAUAUCCAUUAGGAAACAUUCAUUUACAUAUCUCUAAAAGCUGAUAUUCUAUAGUUAUCUACUUCUCGUUUCCCCACCUUCUCCCAUACAUAUAAUAUUUCGUUAAAAUCUCCCAUGCAAAUCCCCGGAAUGGAAUUAGUGGACUGAAAUUCCCUCAACUUUUGCCAUAAGUGCUGCCGCUCUCCAAAAUUUGUUGGUGCAUGAACAAAAGUUAUCCGCAUUUGAUAUCUGCUGUCUGGAUCAGUACACUCCAAAUUAAUAACUCCUUAGAGCUAUCAUUCACCUUCAACACCACUUCCUCAUUCCACAUAAUAGCUAAACCCCCCGCUAUUCCUAUCGGAUUUUCUAAAAAUAGAUUUUCUAAUUGAAGUUUCCUGCUGACUCCCUCCACCAUCGUUGCUUUGUUUUUUGUUUCCAUGAGAAAAACCAGGUUGGGCCUUUCAAGAGCAACUAAGGCUCUUAGUUCCUGGAUUGUUAGGGGAUUGCCCAACCCCUGACAAUUCCAGCUUAUGAUUUUCAUAUCGUCGUUGGUGGCUAAUUAGGGCUAGCCACCAAAGCCCACUCAUAACCAUCUUUAAUCAACUUAAUUGGGGUUUCCAAAAGGUCCGUAUCAUCGAUUGCGAGAGGAACUUGCUCUGCUGCACAUUUCUGUUAUUUUGCCUUCUGCACAUUUCCUACUUUCGAUAGAAUUAGCUUAGGAUCUUCAUAACAUAUUAUCUGUUUGCCGUAAUCUGGAUUUUUCUUAUAACAAGCCGCAAAGUCUUCGAUUGCCUCCUGCUCAUGAGAACUAUCUGCCCUUUUCUUGCUACAGGUGGUGACUCUCCUAGUAUCCACUUCUUCUCUGGUGAUUAUGUCCAUUUCCAGUACUGGGGGGCAUGUCAAGUACAGUCUCUUCCACUAUAGUCUCUUCUUCUAUUUUUCCGUAAAACACUUCCCAGUGGGGGCUAUGAUCGCACACUUCUACCUUCAACCAGGAGCCAUAUGGUCCAGUUUUGUUUGCUGCCCAAGGUGACUGUUCAUAUGAGAUUUCUUCACAGUUAGUGGCAUAGUGGCCAAUUUUUCCACAUGAGUAGUAGUAGUGCGGUAGGCGAAAAUAUUUAAAUUCCACCCAUAGCCAUUUAUUGCCGAUAUCCAGUAUUGCCCUUGAUUUCAGUGGAGCUGUCAAGUCUAUUUCCACUUUCACUCUUCCUCCUUUUUGUGGUGUAUUGCUUGUUGAUUCCACCUGGAUUUUCAAGACAUGACCUAUUUUUUUCCCCAGGUCAUUGAACACAGCUUCUAACCUCCAGCCGUGGGGGAUGCCUCCAAUACGCACCCAGAAAGCAUUUCUGGAAAAGUCGUAGCAAUGCUUAGGUAUUUCAGGUUCACAUUGUUUAAGGACCAAUAAGUUACUGGCAAAAGACCAAGGUGCAGUUUUCAGAACUCUUUUUCCUCCUCUGAUUGAAAAAUAAAAGUGAACAAUCUUAACCACCCGUGGUGGUGGCGUAGGUGGUUGGGCAAGGGAACUUUUCACGAGAGGUCCCGAGUUUGAUCCACGGCGUCGUCAAGCGAUUUACCCGGCAAGCAAGGGUGGUGGUGACUCUACUUGUCCCCAGGGUUUACUUCGCCGUAAAGCGGCGCACGAGGUUCCCUGGGUCACCAAAAAAAAAAAAAAGUGAACAAUCUUGGUUCUUUUUGGGAGCAGACCACAUAUUCUGAUUUCCAAGCUUUCUUCAUGGUAUUAAGAAAAGUUGGGAAGUUAACAUUAGGUCUAGAAAAUAAUUUCUCAAAUAGAGUGCGAUUGCAUUCAUCCCUCUUUUGUGGGAGUAUUUCUAUGGACACUUCUACAACAUCAUUCUCAGACCAUAGAUGGCCCAGACUUUUACAUAAUGCGGCACUCGCAUUUCAUUCUCUUCUUUACCCUCCAUUCUCUCUUGCUACAGGAAUGCUGGUUUUAGGUACUCAGAGUGGGUUAUGUAAGGACUUUGGAGGCAAAGCUAUAUGGGAAAUAGCUUGAAGGGAGCUCUAUGAUAAGUAUAGCUGAAAACAGGGGGCACGAGAUUACUUGAGUGGAUAAGAAGAUGUAGACAGUGAAAUAUUGGUCCGCAGCAUGGUACUAUGUCAACAGUGGAAAACGAUUGAAAGAUGUGAUUUGGGUACGUAAAUAACUUCAUACACUCCUUUGGUUUCUGCCGAACAUAUAAUGAGGGACUUUACCCAUUUCUAAAAACAGCAAAACCUAAAUGUUGCCAGAUCUAGUUUAUAACUUCAUAAUCGAUUCCACAGCUGCGAAGAAAACCAUAAGCCCAGUGAAAAAUCAUGGAAGAGCGACAGAAUCCCACCGUUGCAAGGCCUGAACCCCAAGAUCACCCUGCUUGGAAUGGGUUCUUCAGAAAGGAGAAGCCAGAACUGUGCCAUUACUUGGAACUGCUCAGAACUGCAGAGAAAACAAUCGGAAGAAAAAUUUCUGGAAUGCUGAUGAUGGGUUUCAUUGAUCUAGCAGGCUAGAAAAAGUAGUAGAGAUUAUUGAGAUCAACAUUUGGAUUUUAGGGUUUUUGGGGAAAAAGCUACAAGAGUGAUAGAGGGGAGCUCGCAGAGACGAGAGGAGAGAGGAGGAAUGGAUGCCAAGGGCUGGUCGGCCUGGCGUUAUUUGGGGGGGAGGGGGGCGGGGGGGAAUACAUUGAAGACGUGAAUAUUUGGAGGAUUUUAUUUUGGAGUAAAUUUAGCUAUAGUUCACAGAAAGCUACCAUUACGACAAAUAAUAAACAUAAGAAAAGAAAAUAAGUAUCGCACAUGCACAUGUUACAUUUUUUUAUUCUCUCCUCGAGAUUGGCAAUAAUUCCAGGAGAAAGAAUAAUACAAUUAAACAAUUUUAGAUUCAUGAAUGUUUGUACAUCGUUAAGUUAAAACACCACCUGACACUCCUUAUUAAGGAUACGAGAUCCAUAAAUGAUAUUGUAUACAUAAUCUCUCGAUCUUAAACCAACCAUUUAUUUGAGGAUUCCAAAUUCCAAAUCUCUGCGUAGCUUAUGUUCUUUAUUGCCACCUUCAACCAUAUAUCUAGCUAAUCAUGUUCCACACAAGAAUGUAUUUUAUACAUCAGAUCGGAUGCAUCACUUAACAAUGACAUAUGGAGAAGCGAGUCAAUCUCGGGUGAGAAAUUUCAACGUUCAAAUGGAGAGUUCGUCAGUCAAGUACACUGCCUGAACCAUUCAACCCAAAGUAUAGAUAAUGCAAACCAGAUAUUUGGUUCUUACACAUGAAAAUAAUGAACAUAUACAGAUGAAGCCAAAGCUUGACACUAUCGAACAGGUCUUGGCGCUUACAGCAAUGCAAUGAAGACGGUUACCACCAAAUAGUAGCCAUGACUCAGCAUCUUUCGGUCAAUACUUAAUAGAUAAAUCGUUACCUUUUACUCCACUUUUUUCUUCGACAAAUGCUCGCCCAGCAGAAAAAAAUCACGUGGCAGGUAUAGAUUAAGACUUCUCCAAGAAGGGUGGAGUCGAAGAGCUUCAGUCAGAAAGUACACAUGCAUUGCUUCUCACACUUACGUCUGUAGCUUCAAGUAGUAAAGGUCCACCCAUAGCAGCCACCCAAGCAUACCCACCAAAAUUCUUGAACAGACGGUCAUUCUGAAUCAAUGAUUUCAUCUUCAUCCUCGUCCAGUAUGUAGACCAGGGCCUGCUUUCUUGCAGCUAAAAAUACAAGCCACACCUCUAUUUGCUGUUGCCAGAAACACAUCAACUUGAUUUCAGUCCGGUGUUCCUUGGAUAUGGUCAUAACCAACGUGAUGUUUAGAUACCCUUGUUGGGUAAAAGUAAAAGCACAACACAUGCAUUAUGCUAAAAUAAAGGUGCGAAGUAAUACUUGUGUGCCUAAAGAGACUAUGGCAUGCAUGUAACUGUCAAUGCUCUCCAGUAUCUUGCUAUACUAGAAACAAUGAUAGUAUCUAUCAUCAUGAACUUGUACAUAGCAGUUCUCAGUCAGUUACUCAGACUGCUAUGCACCUACCAUAAGAGGAUGUUUAUUCUUUUCAUAUUUGUCUGGGGACCAUAGAUUCAUCCUUUUCGAACUUUGUCCUCUCAAUUUAUUAAAAAUUUAGGGGAAAUACUAAUACUUCAGUAUUUGACUGAAAACAUAAUCUUCUUUGAAGCAAACUUUUGUACUUCUUCAAUCUGUAGGAACAAACAUGAAGUGGUUGAUUGAAGAGGCACAACGUACCUAUGCCAGUCACAUUUAAACUUAAUAGUAGGUUCUAAAUGGAAAUGUAGGAAGGAGCAUGGACAAGAUUAAUUCAGUUCCACCAUACACCAACGAGAUAAAUUUGUUACUGAAACUGGCAAUUUUAUCGAACAUUGAUAACAAAGGAAAGAGUGUGGGCAACAAUAAGUUUCCCAACAUCUAACACUGCCAAUGGACAUAGUAAGAAGCUCAAAGAAAAGAUCUUCAAAAAUAUACAAAUGAUGGCGUAGCAUGAAUUGAUCCUUAGCUCGAUAGUAUGACCGUGUCAAAAUGUUCUUACCACUAACUGACAAUGGAGGAACUACAGUAUGGGGAAUGCUGCAAAGCUUCUCAUUCUCCAUCUCCAGGUGUAAGAUAGGGUCCUAGAUGUGUAGUUUCAUUGGUUAGCAUUUCAUAUGUGAGAAUAAUAUAAUCAAGCAAAAUGUCCUCACAAAAUAGAAGUAAAAAGGGCACCAGUAACCCAUUAGGGGUCAUCAAAUGCACAUUUCUUAACCUACAAGUACAAGGCUCCAGCUGUCAAGAUAUGUUGGCACUUUUGCAGUUACAGUAAGGAAGAAAGUAAAACAUCCUUUGAAACCACAAGCAUAUAAUGGCAUGUAUAUGCAUUAUGCACAUAGGAGGAAAAACUAAGUUGCUGCUACUCAUGCUAAUGAGAAGAGCAGAUAAACAAUAAAAAGGAACAAUAAAAGAACAAACGUUUUUCAAACCAGACCAGUGGUUCAGCAGGACAAACUAGUAGAACCAUGCUCCACCAGUUCGACCAAUUGAACCAAUUUCAUGUGAUGUCAUCUGAUAGAAUACUUUGCACAUAUUAGAUUACACACUUUCAAAACAAAAGAAGCUAGUGAGUCAGCAGACACCAUAGCAUCUUAAUAUAUUACACAAGCUUGAUGUCAUCUUAAUAGCAUCCUGCUCAAUUUUCAGAUAGAUUAGGCCAACACGGUCGAUGGAUAAGUUAUCCACCACAAAGUGUAGCAAAAAGACACUGGAGCAAAUGGCUAGCACACUUGUUAGUUACAAGAAGCUGGAGUGUCAAACCCCAACCCAAGUCCAACAAUUCUCUUUUAAAAGGCCCAGAGCUGGUCCAGACUAGUUCACAGGUUUGCUGGGUACCAGUUGAUAGGUACACCUGGUUACCAGUUGAACAGGCUCAAUACCACCAGUUCUUGACCAAUACUGUUUCUGCUGAGAAACCAGACUGGACAGGUCUGGUUACUAGUCUAGCCAGAGCCACCUCUUAAAACUGUGAAAAGAAUAGGAGUCGACAAAAAAGCACAAUAUGCGAGUCUUUUCCUUUUGCCGUCAAUGUCAUAAAUAGUGAGUUGACAUGAUCAAAAUAUAACUCUAGAUAUCAUGAGUAAGAAAUCAAUAUGCAAGCUCCAUAUUCAUGAGUUACCUUCCAUUGGUACAAAUCCCAGUUAUUUGCACAAGUGGUUCCUGCAAUAUGCACAAAUGGAAGGUCACUGACCUAUAGGAUCGUCAUCCUAGCAUCUCCACAGUUUUCACAACUGCCAUUUAUCUUAUUUAGCAACAUAACAAUUUGAUGUUCCCGUUUCCAACAGAAUAUAUUAACCACAUUGGCCAAUUUGGGCUACAAAAUAUGAUAUACAAAGCUUUUACCUCAAUAGAGCCAAAUCCACACAACAGUGACCAGGAAGCAUGCACAACAAGAUCCUUCCAAAGGUCUUCCCUGCUUCACAUUGCUUGAAUUAUUCAUAAGUCCAAUUACCACCGGAAUACUUUGUUGCAUCUUAAAAAGAUUCGUCAGGUAUUUGAAAGGAAACAUAAUCUGAAGCAAAUUCAGAGUCAUCCUGCAAUACCAUACGGAGAAAUGAUUAGCAUGAAAAAGUAGUUGUCCUCUGCACAUGUGGAUCUCUGGAUAAUAUUUGUAGUUUCAUAUUAUAGGUAUAUACCCCAUAGAAGGACAGUGAAUUGGGAAUAUGUAUCUAGUGGAUGCUGAAAUUGACGUAAGAGGGAAUUGUAGAAAUAAAUUCUUACAAAGUAUCUUUUUCAAAAUAGAAGAGAAAGGCAUCUGGGCAACUUCCUUGGAAAUUUGAUGAUCAAAUUAGCUCCUAAUAGGAAACAUGAGAUACGGCAUUACCAUACACAAGGAUCAUAAGCUAAACAUAGAGCCCAAUCCGAUAAGAUCACCCAACUAAAGCUUCUAUGUAUAUUAUCAAGUAAAUUUUUUUUUUGAACAGAUAUUAUCAAGUAAUUAAACCUGAGAUCAAAUACGAAAAAGAUUAUUAGACAGAGGGUAAAUGAAAAACCAUUGUUAAGGACAACCUCCAGAAGACAACCCCUAACCUACAAAGGUUUCCUUUUUUGUUCUCUCCUCUCAUUAUAGUCUCAAGGUUCUGGCCACUCAGACAAGGAAAUGAAAAUAUAGGCGCAAAUUCAUGGUAAUAGGCAUAUGGAUAGAAAUAUCUACAGACAAACCCCAUUAACAAAAGUCCUGAAUCAGCUAAACAAGAAAUGAAUAUUUCAGCUCAAAUAAUUGAUGAGUUGGGUAAAACGAAAAGCACAAGCUUUCAACUAAAGGAUUGCAAUGUUUACAUAAACCAAUUUUUUAGCCCAAGUAUCAUACUCAAACUCCUGUUAUGCAUACAAAGAGGUCCAAAAUUUCACAUUUGGUACACAUAUCAGUAAUGAGGACCAGACUUGAAGGGGAGAAAAGCAAUCACUUCAAACAACAGAUGAUAGCAAUGAUUUGUCCCAUAGUUAAUAUUUUCCCACUAUAGCAUGUGUAAAACAUUUAUAAAUGGAAAAAGUAGAUAUAGCAUUAAUGUGAAGAAUUUAAAAUGAAAAAGCAAUAAAAAAUAUAUUAAAGUAAGAACUCCUAUACACGAACACGAUUCUAUUACAUUUCAGCUUUCUAAUUCUUUUGCUAAUAACUACGUUCCAUCUAUUGAAAUUUCUUCACAAGAGCCCUUCGCAAAUAUUUGGUGUCCCCCAAAUCCUCCAAACUGCAGUAAUUCUCUAACUCUCCGCAUUGUUUCUCUGAGACAAUAAUGAGGGUAAGACAUCUUACUAACCUGACAAGAUAUCUCAUGGCAGAAAAGCACAAGGAAUUGCAUUUGAUACAUGAAACCUUCCAAUCCAAUGAGAAACAACAAUCAACCCAUCAAUUUCAACUCUUGUUAGUGUGUGGUUACUUAAAAUAGUGCUGGACCAACAAUAACCAUGGUUGAAGCCCAGCAAACCACCCUAGCUCAAGUCAACAUCAUCUAGUGGAAGUGCUCUUAAGUAUUUUUCGUUCCAGUCAUGGAACAUAAUUGGGAGAACCUGUAGGUAUUAUUGUGGGAAGGAUCCUGGGUUUCGUGCUUUGGUGGGUUCAAAUAUGAAUAUAGAUGAAGAUGAUGGCAAGAUGACCUGAAAUGAAGAACUAACCCCCAAACCAGCAGUUCAUUUGCAAUUUCAUAUCCUUAGUUUUGGCAACUAAUUUGGUACAUUGCCUCAAACCAUGAGUCAGCCGCUAGAGCACAUGAAAACAAUACUAGGCUUGACAGCAUAUCAUUCUGACAUUUAAAGCAUGACCAAUUUCCAUUGCACCCUUAUAUUCUAAUUCUCUGCUACAUAAAUGGAUUGGACAACCUAGCAAAGGCCAACAAAAUUAGCCGCUAGAGUACAUGAAGGCAAUACUAAGCUGACCAAACCUCGCAGUAUUCAAGCCGCCCUCACCAAAUAUCAGGUACAAAGGAUGAAGAGAUGACCCACCACCCUUGGAAUUAUAUGGUCAUCUUAUGAAUAAACUAUGAAUCCCGUCUCACUUCAUGUCUCUGGAUGAUACAUAUGAUUCUAUAACUAGGGCCAGGUUGACCUUUUCUUAUUAGCCGAAUGAAAUUCAUUAAGAAAACCAAGGAGGAGCAAAACUCACAUAUGGUUCACCAAGAGAAAAAAAUUAUUAUUCGAUGGUUAGUCAUUCUAUCAACAAUAAUGACAUGUCACAACUUAGCCCAAGUAAAUGUAUAUGUGAAUUGCAAUGACAGGAAAAAGUUUAACUUUCAAGAUAAAUACACAAGGAAUUUCUACUGGAAGCUUUUUAUACAUUGUUAUGCCAAACAUUCCACUUGGUACCUCCAUCAGGUAUGAACAAAUAACAACUAAAGAUUCUGGGGUUCCAGGUGCCAUAAUGUAAAGGAUGUAUAAUUAUGACCUAGAGCAAGUUAGCAAAAAUACAUGACGACAAGUUUACCAUCGGAAUGCACCAUAAGGAAGGAUCCUCAUUGACAAAAUCUAUUGUAUUUUCAAAGUUGAUCACUUGGCUCUGACAUAAAUCGCUUUAUGCGUUUCAGAAGCCAGCCGAAGAAAUUUGCAAACUGAAAGAGAGAUGAAAGCAAAAGCUUCAGCAACAUGCACAUUAUUAACCAAUACAAAAUGCUUUGGACCCCUAAGGCAAAUACCACAAGCAUGCCAAGGAUGUUGGAUUCCAUAGGAUCCUACCAAUGUUAUGAUCUUGCUCUAGAUUUUAGCAGUCACACUAUAAUUUUUUUCAUUUUGAAACUAAUAAGACUGCAUUUCUUCAGGGUAGCAUGCGAGAAUUGAAAAGUUACAGACAAACCCCAAGUUGUGCGAGGCAUGGGAAGCAAAGAUACAAAAAAGUCAUGUGAUUUCUCUUUUUCGCUCCUUCAAAAGCAUGAUGAUAUCAACAAAACAACAAUGUGUGAUUGUCAGUAUUCCUAAAUGAACUUAACGGGUACUAAAUGGACCUUUGUUGGAGAGGUUCAAGUCAUGUGUAAAGGCCCACCAUCUAACAAUGACUCCUUUACAGUGUCGAUAACAAGCUCAUUUUUAAAAUAAUUAAAACGCCAUUUGACUUACAGCUAUAUGUCAUUCUAAGCACCCGAUAUCAUGUCUUAUCCACAAAUAGUUCAACUUCAUGUCUAAAAUUUGGUAAUUUAGUGUCACUAAAUACAUGAUACCAUACAUGAUGAAAGACAGGCAAGAUAUUACAAUAUUUGCAAACAGAAUAUAUCAAGAAAGGUAGAGAAAUCACAAGAAAGAUUGUAACAGGCAUACUGGCUUCACAACAAAGGAGAGCACCCUUAUCAAUCACUCAACCUGUACAAGCAGCACUCCAGCCUUUUCUACUGCAUUAUCCACCAGUGUCUCAUCCAAACCAAUAACUAGAUAACAACAACGCCAUCUUGAAAGACCCCUGAGCUCACCCAUUCUAAAGCCAAUAAUUUCUACAGCAGGCUGUUAAGUAAAUAACAAUACUUAAAUCACUUAACCCCAUAAUUCAAAUAUCAUCUCUUAUUAAGAAAACUGACACACACUCAUGAGGGACAAAAAUAGCAUUGACCACAUAAGUUACUUGUUGGAACCAGCGAAGUUAAAAGUUUACAAAAGAAAAUGUUUUACAAAGUAAAUUGUCAUUACAAGCCAUCUUCAUCCUCUGCAAACUGUGUUUGAACUAAACAACAUACUCUAGAGUCUCUGACAAAUAAAAGUUAUACUGGAAAAUUCAUUAAAGAAAUGGAGCCUAUUCUGCCAUCCAAUUCAUGCAAGCAGGAUAGGAGUUUGGAAUGUUCAUGUAAAUUAUCAAGUUCUGCCCCAAAGUCGCUGAGAGAGAGAGAGAGAGAGAGAGAGAGGCCAUUUAUGUGAUAGUUGUGGGCUAUAAGCACAAUAUUGGCAGGAAAUGCUAGUGUUUUCAAGGAGACAAAGCCCUAGCCCUUCGACUAUUAGCUUGGGGAAGGGUAACUUCUUUACAAUAUUCAAAUAUCAAUCCGCAUCUCUAUACAACAGCUUGGGUAAGGGUAACUUCUUUACAACAUUCAAAUAUCAGACCGCAUCUCCAGAGUAGGAGGUACUUGAUUAAAAACUCUCCCUGUUACCUAUUUACCUCCCCAAUUAUCAAACGUUUACACUGCAAUCUAAGGCGAAUUCCCAGCUUACAAGAGAGGCAGAUUAUUAUAACAGUUAAAUAGUAUACCACAUCUUUAUUUCAAAGCUUACUUUUUUAUCACAUGGCAAUUGUUCCACAAAAUUCUACACCGUCGUGAAUGCACAUUUUGAAUAGAUAAAAGGAGAAAGGAGCCCGAAAGCAUUGAUCGGCAGUACCAUGGACUUAAAGAAAGUUCAUAAGCCUUGGUAAUAAAGAAAUAGGCAGGCUUUUAAAAAUGGGGAAAAUCCUAUAGGUGCUGUAAAAGAUAUUUGGCUUUCCAACUGUGGUGGCACUUCUUUGGACACCAAGUCUUUUUUUUUUUUUUUUCAGUUUUUAAGGUAAAUAUGAGCUUAUAGGUGGUAAUUUGUAAAUAGGAGGCAUCCCCUUGGUGCUCCUUAAUAGACAGACUCACUUUUCAAAAAAAGAAAACAGGAGAGUCUAUAAUCUUAAAGAAUGUAACUAGAAACAUCAUUUCUCACUAUAGUAGUAAUCAAGAAGAAUAAGAAGCGUAUACAUGAGUCACUACACCAAGGAGAAGCACGGAAUCUGAUCUAAUUGACAACAGCCCUUGCACACCUGUGCAAGCACAUGAUCACAUGCAUGUGCAUGCCAAAGCAAAUGUUCACAACACACAAAAAUGGCCACAUAAAUAGAGAGAAAUCUGGCAAGGGGAUAAACUGGUAAUAUAUUUUCUCUAGAUAGUAAAGGAUUUUGUUGAGAGAAAAAGUUUCAGUAUAUCCGUAUAUAUGAGAACAAAACAAAAGAACAACAAACAAAAAUGAAGCAUUAGAAGAGUAUAUAGAAUCAGUACAUGAUGCUCAAAGCCAGUUAAAAUGUACAAUGCAGAAGCAACCAAAGAUUCCAGACCUUACAUUUUGUUGCUUUCUUUCCUAAGGCACCACAUGAGACAAAGGUGCUGUGCUUCAGGACUUCUUAGAAAUUGAUCCUCCUAAUUAGGCAUUCCAACAACUAAAAAACCGGAUGGCAUGUUUUGGCAAGAACCAAACCACCUUAGACAAGCCAGAAAUUUGAUGUAAAAGCUUGGGCACGAAGUCAGAAAGAAGAAAGAGAUAUCAACACUUUCCCCAAAUGCUCUCACACACAACACCAUUCUAUGAAAAACAAAUUCCAUUUCCUGAGAUUCUCAAUUGUAAGAAUCUUAUUCUAAUUGGGUGUGCAUUUACUACAAAACUUACACUCCCAAGUAAUGGAAUUUGAUUCACAUAUUGGUGUUAUAUGUGUAAGCAUUUGAGUGAAAUGUUAAGAACCAAGGAAUCUUUGGCAGCAGAUUGUUUACAUUUAAACAACGAAAUGGUCAUUUGGGAUAUUGAGUUCAUGAGCCAAGCCAACAUUAGGAGUUUGAAGCUUUUGCCUGCCUUCUUUAAUGUCUUGCAUAAUUCAAAGGUUUCUGCUGCGUUUAAGGAUGCUUUUGUAAUAUCUUUAGUAAAGUANNNNNNNNNNNNNNNNNNNNNNNNNNNNNNNNNNNNNNNNNNNNNNNNNNNNNNNNNNNNNNNNNNNNNNNNNNNNNNNNNNNNNNNNNNNNNNNNNNNNAUUAGAGUUCUCUUUUUGCUGGGAGCAACCUCGAAAAAAUACUUCAUUAGAAAUGAGGCAAAAUACUGGUUAACAGUGUUUAUCAGUAAAGGAGGCAAUGCAGCACUCUCUUCAUUGUUCUUGGACAAGAAGGGUUCGGACAGUUUCCUAUGCUUUGGCCAUGUUAUCUUGGGUUAUCAGAGGUUUUACUGGGCAAGAAAUUUGGGCAUGGCAGGGCACUCGUUUACAGCACAACAAGUAGGAAAAACUCAAUUCCCCCGUGUCUUUUGGCUGAUUUGGAAGGAGUGGAAUGAGAGAGCUCUUGAUGGAGAGAAAUUUUCCAUUCUAUUUUAUUGAAAUUUGGCUUAAAGUCACACACUUUUGGUAUGGUGCAAACUUGCAUAAGGAUGUAAAUACCAUGGGUGAUCAGUCAAUGAUUUAUCUGGUAUUUGAGCUCCCUUUUGGUUUUGGGAGUUGUUUCAUAUAUGGCUUUAGUUUAUUGGGCUACUUUUUUAUAUGGGUUGCACCCCCUUGGUGCCCUAGGGGUGAACUAUAUAAUCUAUAAAAAGAAACUUACACGUUUCUGAGGAUUUCAAGUUGUUCCAAUUACCCUUUAUGCCAACACAUGUUAUCUAAUCAUAUAGUUUCAAGUACCAACAUCAACAUCUCACAUAUGAUUUUGCGCUAAUCAGCCAAAAACACUAUAUUAACUCACGGUUGUAAUUCCCUUUGUGAGUAACAUCAUCGUGACUAAAGGGUGCCGUUACUACUGAAAGUCAAAAUAAAAAAAGUUCAAGAGAAACUUUGGAUCCAAUGAGCUACCAACACACUACCAAAAAAGGAGCAAUACUGGGGACUAAGAGUAGUAUACAAAACUCAUUUGAAGAGGAAAAAUGCAAAUAAUGCGUAAGAAGGUCACAAACACCUAAUACGAAUCUAUUUGGCAUGCGAUUUAGUAAAACCAUUCUCAACACUAGGACUUAAUAUCCUAAGUAUUAUUAUGCCAAAAAAGAGUUGAUAUAAAAUUGUGAUCUAAAGAUAUGAUAAAACAAAUAAUAUAAAAUAAUCAAUUCUCACAUCUAAGUACUAAACAAAUGAUUGUGAAUAGAGGCUCUCAUAACCAUGGUUAGCAUCACAGAUUAGAUCCAUGUAGGCUCGAUUCGCUGUCAUUCGAGCACCCACCAGUUAGUUUUCUGCUCAUUUUCUUCAAAGAUCUGAGUUUUCAUUCUCAUCCUUAGCUUGUUGACCGUAAACAUAACACAUGAAAUAAGAGUUUCGCUAACUACAUUGAGUUCAAUGUGUCACGCCCCGGACCCCGAGCGCGUGCCCAUCCCUAUCUGGUCGAUAAAAAUUUGCGACUUCCCAGGACGAGUCGCCGACCCUUUCCAUUUUAUUGCACAUGCGGAAGCGAAAAGAAAUCCCCUGACAGUAAUCAUCUCGGGAUAGAAAGGCAAGAUAAUAGAUUCACACACAAACAUGCUUUUAUAUAUACACUGAGUCAUGAACACAAGUCUAUGGCCAAAAGACUACAAAAGACUGGCCUUCCAAAAAGAAGUGGUCCUAACUGACCUACGCUUCCAAUCACCUCCUCUCAGCUCCAGGUCCUCCACUCGACGACCCUGAAAAUGUUGUCCCACAACGGGGUGAGAUAUCAUCUCAGCGAGUCUAAGCUCUAAACCCCAAUUAGGAGGGAAAUACGCCAAGAAGCGUCCUAAGCACGCAAUCACAUAAUCAAGGAGAUUUACCUCGUCUCAGAUCCACCCUGCAGGUCAGUACAAUUUAUCUCACAGACAACACGAGAGCAUGAGCAACAAAUAAGCUCCAUUAAUUGACACGCCACACUCAAUUAAUCAUGCAUUCUUAGAUUUGAUCUCGGCAUAUAGCACGGCCUACUCUCAGUUCGGCGGUCUUCUGGCAUUGCCAGGUAUCGUCUCACCCCAUUGAGCACGGCACGUCUCUUUAUCAGACGGCUUUCCCGAAGGAGCAUAGGGUCCAGAAUCAACUGCGACCGGCUUCCCGUUGUCCAGGGGGCAUCCCACAUAGGGAUAACGUCCAGCUCAAUAGCCCGGGACGAUUUCUCAUAACCAUCACACGAUCACUCAAAUAUGGCCCAGGACACCGUGCAUUGCACUCAAAUGCUUCAAUUAAAAUGGUGAGCCUGGCCUUUUUCUUCGUAUUAAAAAUUCACAUGAAAUUACUUGUGUGUGGGUACACGGUAAACUUGAUCCAGAAAAAUUGAUAUUCCUCCUUUUUGAAAUCCCACUAUUUCAUAUAGUACUAAAAACUAUUUUCGGUGUCAAAACCCGACACCUGGGAUUUUCUGAAUAAAUAUUGGAAAUUCACAAUUUUUGGAAUUAAAUACCAAAAGUCAAAUCAACACUCAAUUUGCAUAAUUUAACAUUCAAUUGCAGAAAUUAACCACACCAUUGCAAUCGGCACGAAAUUCCGGUCACCGACUAUCCCGGCCUAAUUUCCGGAAAAAAAAUAAUUAAUAAUUAAAUAAUUACUUAAAUCAAUUAAAUAAAUCAAUUUCAAUUCUAAAAAUACUAACCUAGGCCAGAAUCAUUAAAUUAAUAACCAAUACGGACCCGGAAAAAUUCCCGAACCCUACUAGAUAAAUAACACAAUUUAUUUAGGCCUUAGCUAAACCAUGCUAACCACCUAACAUGCUCAAUUAAAUAAUUCAAUUUCUAAUUUAAUCUAACUAACCACCUAAUUCCUAAUAGAAUAAAUCUAACACCGCUUAAACGUCAUUAACCUACUAAGCAGAGUUUAGAGUAUAAACUCACCGGUGUAUCGCGAAAACCGGUUCACCGCGACGACGACGCGACGGCGGCCGAAACCUUAAUUUUCGGCGGCGUCGACGAACUCUCGGACCAGGCCUAAAACGGGCCCAACAAAUCUCAACCCAAAUCUGAGAUUUGUUUCCAACUUGGGCUGGGCUUCACUUGAUUCGCAGGCUGAACUUCGGUGGACUUGGGCUUCAAUUAACGCAGGCUUGGAAAGGCUGAGUUGAGCUUGAAUUCAAGUGGGCCUUAAGCUUGCAAUGGAAUUGGGCCUGAGCCUGAAUCAUUUGGGCUUUGCUGGGUUAAACAAAAUGGGCUUCUCUGGUUUCUUGGACGGGCGCAACUGCUGGGCUGUGAAAUCCACUGGACUGAGCGCUGCCAACCGAAGCAGAAACGGAGCUACAGGUCUUCGGGGCUUGCUGGCUUAGCUGGCGUCGAGCUGAAGGUGACGCUGGCGAAGACACAAACGAAAGAUGGAGCAGGGAAGCAGCUGGCGGUGGAGUCUUCGAGCGGAUGAAGUCCACGGCGUUAAUGGGCUGAAGAAAUCGAGCAAAGGGACUUCGGUGGUGAUGAGUCACGGACGGUGGCAGCUUCUGCCGUGAGCUGCUUCAAGGAGUUUCGGUGGGGUGUGGCUUCGGUUGCUGCACCCGGUGGUCAACUAAGGAGAGGGAGAGCUUGGGUUGUUGACCGAUGAUGGGGGCUUCGCUGGCGAGCUGGUGGAGAAGACGCGAGGAGGGGCAGAAAACGUGGACUGCUGCGGUCAGUUAAGGGAAAGAUGAACUGAUUUGUUGACUCACGUGCUGGCGUCGAUGGAAGCAGAUGGAGAAGCAGCUUCGGCCACUUGUUGGAGUCAACACACGGGCAGCUUGCUCGUGUCUUCCAUUGACUGUGGGCGCUGGAACUUGCUGGCCAACACUCGGCAGAAGGAAGCAGAGCUCGCGGACGUGGAGAACAAGAGAUGGUGGGAAUGGCAGAGAGCGUGGGAAGGGAGCUUCGACCAAAACGAAAGAAAGAAAAGGACAGAUGCAAUUGGUCUUCAGCUCAUCGCACGAAGGGAGAGAGGCGGUGGAGAGGCGUGUGAAGGAAGCCAAGGAGGGGCCCAAUUUUGACAAACCUUAGCCAUUCCAUUAAUUGGAUGUUCCCUAUUACUUUCCAAUCAAUUAUCCACCAAAAUAACUCAAUUUAAGUGCAAAAUUCCAUCCCCAAUUAUUGAUCCGAAUUUCACUAAUUUUUAGGAUAAAUUCCUUCACUCAAUUUCCCAAAUUGAGGUCCAAUCUUGAUGAAGAAAAAUCCCGAACGAUUUUCUAUAAAUUCCUGACACUCACAGGCUUGGCUUAGAAGUCCCAAUUUCCAUCAAUUUAGCCCAUCUGAAUUUCCGCUGAUUUUCCGUAACGUCCGAAUCAAUUUUCCGCAAAAAUCCCGGAAUCUCUGAAAAUUUCUCGGAGAGUGAGUCGACGUUCCUAAAAUAACUUGUGACACCUCAGAACUUUCAAUUUCUGAAAUCGGGUUCAAAUUCACGGUUAUUUUCAAUCCGGCGUGCUUUUAGCGUGACCUAGUCUACCGGAUAACUUUUAGGAAUUUUUGGUGCAAUUGACCCGUGAUCGAUUUAUCUCGAGUCACAAAGUACAUCUUCGACACAUUAGCAACUCUCAGUUGUCGUGAAAAUCUCAAUGUUUCAAUUACGGGCACCGGGUACCAAAACGACAGAAAAUCAAUUUAGUGCCGAUCGAUGAGAAUUUUUUCAAUCAAGUGGAAUCACCCACAAUUUGAUCACAUAUCUCAGUCGAAUCGACCUAUCUUUGAUUUCUGAUCGAUCUCUGACGGUGCCGUAAUGGCCCUUGCAGAUCAACACGGUUGAGCAGUCGAUUCUUGGUCGAAUUCUCAAGUCCAAUUGCAUUUAGAUUCCCUAAUUGUUUCCCCGGAUAGUCCAGUUAUCUCGUGAGUGAUCAGCUCAGAGAAUAUCACUAUUAGCGUUUCGAUGAAAGGCCCGAUUUAUUUAAUCGAAAACAAGUUAUGAAAAUUCAGGCUGUCACACUAGGUUCCCGAUUCUUUCAAGAAUCUCAAACGGACCUACGUACCUCGGACUCAGUUUGCCUUUCUUACCAAAGCGCGAAGUUCCUCUCAUUGGUGACACUUUCAGAAAAACGUGAUCACCAACUUGAAACUCUAAAGACCUUCGACGCUUAUCUGCAUAAAUUUUCUGUCUGCUCUGCGCUGUCUUUAAUCUGCCUCUGAUCACUGCCACGGCAUCUACUGACUGCUGAAUCAACUCUGGGCCUGUUAUCUUCCUUUCCCCAACUUCAUCCCAACACACUGGUGUUCUGCACACUCGGCCAUACAACGCUUCGAAAGGAGCCAUCUGAAUACUCUGCUGAUAACUGUUAUUGUAGGCAAACUCCACUAAGUGAAGCUGAUCUUCCCAACUUCCUUUGAAGUCUAUUACGCAAGCUCUCAGCAUGUCCUCGAGAGUUUGAAUAGUCCUCUCAGACUGGCCAUCCAUCUGUGGAUGAUAGGCCGUACUGUACUGUAGCUUCGUACCUAAAGCACUCUGCAAGCUCUUCCAAAAAGCAGCAGUAAACCUCGGGUCUCUAUCUGAAGUUAUCGUAACCGGCACUCCAUGUAUACGAACUACCUGACGCACAUAUAGGUCUGCGUGUCUAUCCAGACUCAAGUCCUUUCGUACUGCAAUGAAGUGAGCCGACUUUGUUAGCCUGUCGACCACUACCCAAAUUGAAUCAUUUCCUCUUUGACUCCUUGGUAGUCCAGUCACGAAGUCCAUCGUGAUGUGCUCCCAUUUCCAUUCUGGGAUCGCGAGAGGUUGCAAAAGUCCUCCUGGCUUACAGUGUUGUGCCUUUACUUGCCGACAGGUCAGACAUUUGGCGACAUGCUUGGCGAUGUCCGCCUUCAUACCAGACCACCAAUAAUGUUGACACAGAUUCUGAUACAUCUUCGUACUGCCAGGAUGAAUGCUGUAACUGCUACGAUGAGCCUCUGAUAAAAUCUCCUCUCUGAGCUCUACAUCGUCAGGUACAACCAAACGUCCUUGGAACCUCAACGUUCUGUCCUCAGAAAUUUGAAAGUCAGCUUUUCUUUUAUCGGUAUCCUCUUGCAGGAUCUUCUAAAUAACCAGAUCCGUUGACUGAAGCAUCUUGAUUCUGACUUGCACUUCCGGCUCAAUUCUGAGGGUGGCCAUAAGAUUUGAAAGGUGGCCUACCUCAAAUUUGAAAACCGAAUCUCUAGCCUUCUCGAUUAAAGUCCAUUCCUUAAGUACCAUCUGUGCAACUGAGGACUUUCGACUCAGUGCAUCGGCGACCUUGUUCGCUUUUCCGGGAUGAUACAAAAUAUCACAGUCAUAGUCCUUCAACAGUUCCAUCCAUCGGCGCUGCCUCAUGUUCAACUCCUUCUAAGAGAACAAAUGCUUGAGACUCUGAUGGUCCGUGAAGAUCUGGAACUUUUCUCCACACAAAUAAUGCCUCCAAAUCUUCAAUGCAAAUAUGAUGGCUGCAAGUUCUAAGUCAUGCGUAGGAUAGUUCAAUUCAUGAGGUCUCAACUGGCGGGAAGCAUAUGCAACCACUCUGCCAUGUUGCAUCAACACGCAACCCAAUCCUCUGAAAGACGCAUCACUAUAGAUCUCGAAUCCUCCAGGACCAGAUGGAAUCGUCAAUACCGGUGCGGUAGUCAGCUUUUCUUUCAGCUCUUGAAAACUACACUCGCACUUAUCUGUCCAUAUGAACUUCUCGUUUUUCUUCGUGAGCUUUGUUAGAGGCGAGGCUAACGAUGAGAAACCUUCCACAAACCGUCUGUAAUACCCUGCUAAACCCAGAAAACUUCUGAUUUCUGUCACUGUUGUCGGUCUUGGCCAAUUGAUCACUGCUUCUAUCUUGCUUGGGUCCACGGAGAUUCCUUCUCCUGAAAUCACGUGACCCAAGAAAGCAACACGAGUCAACCAAAACUUGCACUUGCUGAAUUUAGCAUACAACUCAUGAGUCCUUAGAGUCUGCAAUACCAAUCUCAAAUGUCCUUCAUGCUCCUCUGGACUUCUAGAGUACACCAGAAUGUCAUCAAUGAACACGAUCACGAACUGAUCCAAGUAUUCCUUGAAAACUCGGUUCAUCAAAUCCAUAAAAGCAGCUGGGGCAUUCGUCAAUCCAAAUGGCAUGACCGUGAACUCAUAAUGGCCAUACCGAGUACGAAAUGCUAACUUUGGAAUGUCUUCUUUUGUGAUUCUCAACUGAUGAUAUCCUGUCCUCAGGUCGAUUUUCGAAAAUAUCGACGCUCCUUGCAAUUGAUCAAACAAGUCAUCAAUCCUUGGAAGUGGAUACUUGUUCUUGAUCGUCACUUGAUUGAGUUGUCGAUAGUCAAUGCACAGGCGCAAUGAACCAUCUUUCUUUUUCACGAACAGAACUGGUGCUCCCCAAGGUGAUGCACUGGGACAUAUGAAUCCCUUAUCCAAUAAUUCCUGCAUCUGCACCUUCAGUUCUUUCAAUUCCGAUAAAGCCAUCUGGUAAGGAGCCUUAGAGAUUGGCUCUGUCCCGGGGGCUAACUCAAUCACAAACUCUAUUUCUCUUUCUGGCGGUAGACCUGGCAAUUCUUUCGGAAAUACAUCUGGAAAUUCCUGAACCACUGCGAUGUCUUCGAUUUUCAGCUCCUCAACUGUCGUGUCCACGACAGUCGCUAGAUAACCUUGGCAACCCUCAUCUAACAACCGGGUUGCCUCUAGUGACGAGAUUAGGGAAAUCGAGGGUCCUCCUCGACUCCCUAUAAACUCGAAACUCUCACCCUCUAACGGGUUAACCUGGAUCGCCUUGCGAUAACAGUCUAGCUUAGCUCGUUGUUUGGUGAGCCAGUCCAUGCCAAUUAUUAGGUCAAAGUCAUACAUGGCUAGGACUAUCAAGUCAAUCUUCCCCUCUCGCUCACCAAUCGCUAACAUGCAACCAAGACAACCCACUUUAGCUAACACCUUAUCCUUCAAUGGUGUCGAUAUACUAAUCACUUAUUUCAACAACUCAGGAAUUAAUCCUACCAACUUAACAUACCGCUCAGCUAUAAAUGAAUGAGUUGCACCAGGGUCAAAUAAAGCAUAAGCAGCAUGGUUGUUCAGUGAAAUAGUACCUGUAAUCACAUUAGGCGCAUCCUCCGCCUGUCCUCUUGUGAUCGCAUAAGUUCUUCCUUGAGCUGGAGGCCUAAGUAGUCCACCCUGCUGUACAAUCGGUGGCGGUAGUCCUCGGUUCUGAUUCAUCUGUGGCGGUGGCGGCAACUGUGGCGGUCCCAUCGGUCUUCUGGGACAAUUUUUAGCCAUGUGACCCUGUUGGCCACACUUAAAACAAGCGCCCGACCUAGAGGAGCACGGGGCUGACCCAUGUCGCUUUCCGCAGAAGCGACAGGCACCAUUCUGUCUCCAUGUUGAUUUUCCUACUCCACCCUUCCUAUUGAGCGGAACAGGGUAUCUUCCUCCAGUCAUCGGUCUUUUCCCAAACCGAUUUCUAUCUUGGUUCGAAUUAAACCGCGAUCCAGAUGCGGCAGCUCGUUCAUUCAAAUUUUUCUCAAUCAGCUGAGCUCGUCUAUACAGCUCAUUGUAGUUCUUUAUAUCAAAUGGCACCAGCGGAUCUUUCAGUUCUGGUCGGAGGCCAUCUAUAAACCUCAUUGCCUUCUCCUCGGGAUCCUGGAUCAACCUAGGAGCAUACUGUGAAAGCUCAGCAAACUUUGCCUCGUACUGGUCCACAGUCAUUGGACCUUGACGGAGGUGCAGAAAUUCCGCCAUCUUUAAUUGCUUGGCACAGCUGGAGAAGUACUUGUUAUUGAAUGCUCUAACGAAGACGUUCCACUCUGGGACUACGCCUGCUGGGAAUACUUCUCUCCUGGUGGCUUUCCACCAAGUACUUGCAACUUCCUGCAUCUGAUACACGGCAAGGGUAACCUUCUCUUCUUCAGAGCACUUCAGUAGCUCAAAUGCUUUUUCCAGUCCUUCGAUCCAACGAGUCGCAGCCUCGGGAUCUCUCGUCCUGGUGAACUUUAGUGGUUGCAACUUUAGGAAAUGCUCAACGAGCUUAUGAAUCGGUCUGUUUGCAACUACAUUCCCUUCUGGAACUUCAGCUUGUGCGGUAGCGGCUGCAGCAGCUUGAUUCUGGGCCUGCUGCCCCAUCAGAUUACCAACAGUCUGGAGCACCUGCAUGAUCCCUUCGAAUCUAGGAUCACCAGGGGCUGCUACCCCGGCAUCAACUGGCGGGACUGGUGGUGGUGCUACACCACUCGCGCUAGCCUCAGCUUGCGCUCUACCUCGACCGCCUCGGGUACUGCCUCUUGUAGGCAUUCUAGCCCGAGUCACUGAGGAUAAGGUCCUCUGCCUAGGAGUUCUCGGCUCCUGAUCACUCAUACUGUAGACGAUCUACAACACCUGUUUCCAAUUCCAUACUGAAUUAGAAACCGAGUGAUUUCACAAUCAAUUUACCAGACAGCUAUCAGUCACAUGCAUCAGCAUAAUAUAAAAGCCAUUCCUACUAACUAUCCCAAGAACCCAUCGCACCUUAUCACUCCAAUUACAAACUUCGCUCUGAUACCAAAAAAAGGGGAUGUCACGCCCCGGACCCUGAGCGCGUGGCCAUCCCUAUCUGGUCGAUAAAAAUUUGCGACUUCCCAGGACGAGUCGCCGACCCUUUCCAUUUUAUUGCACAUGCGGAAGCGAAAAGAAAUCCCCUGACAGUAAUCAUCUCGGGAUAGAAAGGCAGGAUAAUAGAUUCACACACAAACAUGCUUUUAUAUAUACACUGAGUCAUGAACACAAGUCUAUGGCCAAAAGACUACAAAAGACUGGCCUUCCAAAAAGAAGCGGUCCUAACUGACCUACACUUCCAAUCACCUCCUCUCAGCUCCAGGUCCUCCACUCGACGACCCUGAAAAUGUUGUCCCACAACGGGGUGAGAUAUCAUCUCAGCGAGUCUAAGCUCUAAACCCCAAUUAGGAGGGAAAUACGCCAAGAAGCGUCCUAAGCACGCAAUCACAUAAUCAAGGAGAUUUACCUCGUCUCAGAUCCACCCUGCAGGUCAGUACAAUUUAUCUCACAGACAACACGAGAGCAUGAGCAACAAAUAAGCUCCAUUAAUUGACACGCCACACUCAAUUAAUCAUGCGUUCUUAGAUUUGAUCUCGGCAUAUAGCACGGCCUACUCUCAGUUCGGCGGUCUUCUGGCAUUGCCAGGCAUUGUCUCACCCCAUUGAGCACGGCACGUCUCUUUAUCAGACGGCUUUCCCGAAGGAGCAUAGGGUCCAGAAUCAACUGCGACCGGCUUCCCGUUGUCCAGGGGGUAUCCCACAUAGGGAUAACGUCCAGCUCAAUAGCCCGGGACGAUUUCUCAUAACCAUCACACGAUCACUCAAAUAUGGCCCAGGACACCGUGCAUUGCACUCAAAUGCUUCAAUUAAAAUGGUGAGCCUGGCCUUUUUCUUCGUAUUAAAAAUUCACAUGAAAUUACUUGUGUGUGGGUACACGGUAAACUUGAUCCAAAAAAAUUGAUAUUCCUCCUUUUUGAAAUCCCACUAUUUCAUAUAGUACUAAAAACUAUUUUCGGUGUCAAAACCCGACACCUGAGAUUUUCUGAAUAAAUAUUGGAAAUUCACAAUUUUUGGAAUUAAAUACCAAAAGUCAAAUCAACACUCAAUUUGCAUAAUUUAACAUUCAAUUGCAGAAAUUAACCACACCAUUGCAAUCGGCACAAAAUUCCGGUCACCGACUAUCCCGGCCUAAUUUCCGGAAAAAAAAAUAAUUAAUAAUUAAAUAAUUACUUAAAUCAAUUAAAUAAAUCAAUUUCAAUUCUAAAAAUACUAACCUAGGCAAAGGUUCCCCAGUGUUCNNNNNNNNNNNNNNNNNNNNNNNNNNNNNNNNNNNNNNNNNNNNNNNNNNNNNNNNNNNNNNNNNNNNNNNNNNNNNNNNNNNNNNNNNNNNNNNNNNNNGGGCAUUCAGGAUUGCGUUCACGCACGUGAGGAGGGAGGGGCCCAUGGAGGUGGAAACCGAAGGCGGGGCAAUAAUUUUGUCAUAAUUGCUCAUGCUUUACAAGUAGCCUCCGGAACUUUAAUUCAAUUUUGCAAUAUUGCUUCCAAACUUUGAUUCAAUAUUCAUUAUUGUAAACUUUUAAAUAUUUUGAAGUGGCUUAAGAACUACAUUCGACAUUUACCAAUGGACCAUAUUAAACUAAAGUUUCAUAUCAUAUUUCAUCAAUUAAAAAUUUAGGGAUGAUAUUUUAUGUUAGAUUAAAGUUUAUGGAUCAUCAGUGCUAAUUAUCCUAUAAAACUCUAUCCAACUUCUCAAACAAACUUCUCAUUGAAGCAUUGUCCCAUGGAUCAACGUGCUGUUGAUUUUGUCCCUUGGUAAAGGAUGCAUUGCACUCUUAAUUAGUAAAUAAAAACGAAUUAAUGGAUAUUAGAGAAGAGUGUUGAAUGAUGAGCAUAGUGGGAAGUAACAGCAAUGUGAGGUAAGAUUAAGAUGUGAGAGUUGAAAAAUGUAACUAAAGAAAAAAAGUUAAAUUGGUCAUUAAAAUACAAUUAUAAUGUGCAUCAAAUGGCAUGAAUCCUCAACCUGCUUAUAAUUUCCCACAUCAGCUUUUACAUACCUAGCUUCCUUUAGAAACCUCAAUACUUAUAUGCUUGACUAUUGCUUAAAAAGACCUGCUAACUGUUGUAGACGUUGCCUGCGAAGCAAUUUACGUUAAGAAUAUGAUUUAGGCUUUUCAUGUUGUUUUAAACAGAAUGGAUCACAAACAGACAAGUUUUCAAUCAAAUGCUUUGGAUAUUAUUGUUUCCUUGAAUCUUGGAAAAUGGUCAAUGACAAUUUUAGUUUGCAUGUGGGAGGAGGACAACAAAGAUACCCGUGAUGUGAUAAUUGAAUGCAACUAAUACAUGAGGAAUGAUUCUUGCAAUGUAAUUCUUCGCUAUGUCUCUUUGCUAGAUUGUGCGGAGAAAAGCUAGAACUUGCAGAAUCUCACUGGGCCGACUGUUGUCAGUGGUGAAUAUGUUCCAUUUGGUUUGUUGGCAGUAUAUUAUCCACAUCAACUCUGGCAGAAUCCAUUUCUAUUGCCUCGCCAAAGAUAAUCCUAUGCCAUUAAUCCACCAUUCUGUUCAGCAAAGUGUAAUACCCGUGAAUACAUUAUAUAUAUAUAUAUAUAUAUAUAUUGUUAAUCACUAAAAGGACAGUGCAUCUAGAGGUAGCUGCUAAUUAACUUUGCUUCUAUAAGUGACGGGUAGACAUAGUGACCGAAAUUGAUGUCCAACUUUAAAGAAGACCUCGAAAUAUGAGUUAUUUUGUAUAGAUUUUUGUGCAUCUAGAGGUAGCUGCUAAUUAACUUUGCUUCUAUAGAUUUUUGUUUCAUUUUACUUUUAAGAUGGCACAUUCCUGGUUUUCUGUUGGGGGAAACAGUCUAGCAUUUUCCUUCUGGUUAGAAUGGCCAUUCUCAUUGACUAACUAAACUGUUUGUCUGUGACAGGUUGCCUUCUCCUGCUGCCUCGAGGGAAGGAGGCUUGUGCCCUUUGACACCUGAAGAAGCGGUGCUUCUGCUAGCCGCUCUUGGUUUUAAAAGAAAAACAUUCGUAUACGUCGCUGGAGCAAAUAUAGACUGGCCUCGUUUGAACAUGUUUAGUUUGCCUCGCCGCUUUCCUCACCCUCCGUUCAAACACGCGCCAAUCUAUUGUGUUGUUCUUCUUAAGGAUAUUCGCGAGUCUUCUCUUGUUCGGCCUUAUUGUCGGAAUCUUUCCUCCAACGUAAUAUAUUCGGUAACCAGAGACCGAGGAUGAUAGCUGACUCCCUGAGUCCAUCAUGGCAAAGGCAUCCGCUGGGGUGCAGACUAUAGAGUCCAAAGCAGCUAACUGCAGAAUUACGGGAAAAGGCAGCGAACGAUCAGACUAACAAUAGUUGCGACAGAGAUUAAUCCAUAAUCAUUGCAUGCUUCUCAAAUCGUCACAUGAAAAUGAAAAAGAGAGAAAGAACAUGUAGAGAAGGCUAAUAAAAUCAAGCUAGAGGCGACUACUUCACGCAAACUAUAUAUCUGAGAAGAAAGUCAAAAAUUAACUUUUUGGCUUAAAAACACCAAAACAAGAAGACAAGUAAAUCAUUUUCUAAAUUCCAGAUUUUUUUUAAUAUACAGUUAUUCGGAUCAUUUGAAUAUUUCUUUCCUUGUAAUUAUCUCUUAAUUCUACUUUAGUUUUUGAAAUUGAUUCGGGCAAGCCCGAACCUCACAAACGGGUCGGGACCCAGUCCCCUCUUUCGGGCAUGUGUGGCUUUUUCUCUUUUUUCUCUUUUCGCCAGAUGCGAGCUGACAUAAAUUAUAGCAGCUAGAAGCUAAAACUCUCUUUCUCUCUCUCUUUCUCUCCCUCUCUAAUUGCUUCGAUCAACACCUCGAUAUCUCAAUUUCCCAGUUGAUCGAAAGUAAAAAGGUUCAAUUUUUCCGAUGAAUCUCUCUUUUUCUUCAAUCGGUUAUUGUGGUCAGUCCUUACGUUUGAGUUUCUUGUCAUGUGCAAGAAGUACAAACAAAAUCUCACUUUUUACGACCAAUAAGUGAUGCGAUUUUUGUGUCAUAAAAGAUAACUCUAUCUUUCUUUUGUUCUCUUCAUUGGCUAAAGGCCCUAGCUCCAUUGAUGGGGGCGUCAGGAGAUUUAUUCGGAUCACCAUAGGUUGUUUGUACAAAUCCCAUAAAAUGAAUCUAAGAUGCUUUGAAUUAAAGCAAUUGGUACAGAUAAAAAGAUAGAUUUAAUAUGUCCACGAGGCUAGUAAAAGAUUUUGCAUGACUCUAAGUACGCGUUUGGAGAGCCUUUGACCAAAGUCCUUGCAUUGAUUUUAGGGCAAAGAGUUUUUCACCAAAUGCAAAUAAUAUUUGGUAAACAUUAUUUGCAUCAAGGAAUUUACCUUUUUUUUUAAUAAAAAAAUUAUAAUGGUGACCCUCCUCGAUAACUCAAGCAAAGUUGGAAACUUCGGUAACAAGUGUUGCCUAGAUCGUGCGACCCCAAGUGAGCCAAAUCAAAGGGCCUUUGAUGUCGUGCAACCCAAUUGAUGGAUUUCCAAGAUCGUGUGAUCCUAGGCACCAGCCGCCGAGGUCGUGAAACCCCAGGCCAGGUGACGCUGAAGUCGUUUGCUCACUUAAGCAGAUCUGGACUCCAACGUCACACAUGCCGGCGACGAAUAGCCCAACCCCAACUGAAAUGACACUAGCGUCAGUUUAGCUCCUUCGAGCGCCUCUGUGAAUCCCAUAUUUGAAGGGUAGAGACAACGAACGGUGUAAAAUGAAGAGGUACAUGUACUCCAGCUUUACGUGGAAUUUUCUGUGGCACCUUAGAUGAAGGGAAAGCAAUUGAGGAGUCUGGUACGUAUCUUUUUAUACAAUAAUUACGUCUGAUAUUCAUUCGUACUAGUAAUAAAAUGUUGUUUAUGGAUGUUUGUCUAUUUGUACGAAAAAGUCCAUAAGACAGCAGUUGUUCACAGUGUAAAUUUUCAUGGUGUAAUUGCGCUGGGAAUGCUCUCGAAGACAUAGUGAAGCAGAUGCAAUCAAUUGAGAUUUCUUUACAGGAAUUGGAAAGAUAAACAGAUUUUAUCAAAUUUCCACUUCGUCUCAGACAUAUCUUUAUCAACAUUUCAGUUAUGAGUUGUUUUUUUGCAUGUCCUGAAGUGAUCAAAUGAACUUAUUGACCAACAUAUCCGUUACUAGCAAAUGGAUUUAUGCCGACUAUUUGAACAGCAAUCAUUUAACAUAAGCUUUGCACAAUUUCCUUUUCUUUUAUAAGAAAAUAGUCAUUUUAUUGAUCAACUUGUGCAAAGAAAACAUGGGGGACUACAUUUCCGUGCAAGUCCAUUACAGCAUAAUGUCCCACAUAUACAGUCCACGUCGAGGUGUCAAACCUCCCCGGAGAAGAUUAACUUGUUAUCCCUGGAGUAAUUUUUAUUUGUUGUACAAUGGCCCUUCAACUUGGCACCAUAUGAUCACUAAGACUGACUUUCGUCCCUGCUCGAUGGCCCUUCCAGGCUAACUUCCUCACUAAUGCCUUCAAAUUGUUCCCCUUGAUGUGCUACCAGGCCCAAGUAAAUUCACCCGUCAAGUCCCUUGCAGAUCUCGUACAUGAGAGUAGCUGUAAAACUUGUCGCCAAAAUCAGCUUUGAGAAUACACUAAGAGAACAAGUGCAUUCAAUAUUCUUCAUGUUGUUUAACUAGGACAUAGGGGCUAUCAAUAUCACACCUAGUUUGUAUCUUGUUCGUAAGUGCGCAACCAAUUAUGAAUCACCAGACAAGUUAUAGAGCCAUAUUUUCGCACAUUAGGCUUAAACUAUACAAGCCCAAGCCAAGUCUAUUAUUCCCACAUUUCCUCACCAGCUUCCAAACCUCCUUUACAGAGAAAGAGCCCCUACAUGAUCCAGUAAAUACUACUUUGUCUAAAGAGCCAGAGUUUGGAAAAAUCAAACCGCAUAAAGCCAUUUGAGUUUCAAGUAGAUCAUCAGACCUUGUUGGAGGCCAUCUCCAUCCAUUUACCUGGAUAACAUUUGCAACUGUUGCUAUAUUACCUAAAGCUGAAAUAUAAAGCGUAUGUAAACUUUUGCAUGGACGUGGCAUGAAAGGGGAAAAUGAAAAUCCUUAGGAUUGUUUGUAAGAGCUGUACAUACAAUUGCUGUUGCUAAACACUGUGAUUUCAAAUGUGUCUAAAGAACUUAGCUCAAUAAGGUGUUUGAUAAGUUGUUUUUAAGAAGGAAGAAUAAAAUAGGUUGUUCAACUUCUUUUGAUGGAAUGAAUUGGUUUUGUGUCCCCUCUGCUUCAUAUUUUUCUCAUGUCUCCAAGUUUGACAAUGCUGCUGUUGGCGUUAUUGAACAGAGGGUAGCAGUGGAGCUUGCAAACAUUCACUCUACCCACCUCACAAGGAAUGAAUGCACUUUCCCCAUGAUGCCAUUGAGAAAGGCUUUCUUUGUGGUAUCAACUGGUUAUGCGUUGUUGAUGUUUUGGCGGAAGAACGGUCCAACCUACCGCUGCCAACCUACAGCAAGCAGAGUCAGAGCCCAGUGAGUGUUGGGCCACAAUGACUCGGUAGUAUGCCAAAAUGUCAAUGCUCCAAUUUAGAUAAUAAUUUUUGUAGCUCGAUAGCAGUGGAGCUUGUUUUUUUUUUUUUUUCAAAAAUUUGCUUUACUAAACUCUUGGACGAUGGAUCUAUUAAUCCUUGUAGUUUCCCCGACAGUAUGACUUGUCCUAGUGAGAUAUUUGGCAGUUUGUCUCUCUUUAUCAAUACUCUUCCAAUUUUACCUAUUUCUAAUGGUUGUUUUCCGGAGAGAAUGCAGGGCUAAUGCUACAUCUAUGGCAAAGAAUGAUGCGAGAAACUUACAGCUUCACUUUCGAACCUAACUGUCACUUCCUUUAUUUACUGGGAAGAAACUAAACUAGAGAGAGAGUCUUUCAUUGAAGUUGCCUUGAUCGAUGCGAAAACAGGGGGUGUCAUUAUAUCUGGCUCGGAAUCCUCCAUUAAUUUGGACGUUGUUGUUCUUGAAGGUGGCUUCAACAAAGAAGAUAAAGAUAACCAGACCCAAGAAGAGUUUGAGAACUACGUGGUUAAAGAACGUCAAGGAAAGAAACCGCUUUUCAUAGGAAAUCUCCAAGUGACACUCGAGAAAGGUGUUGGGCAGCUGGAAAAACUAACAUUUACUGACAAUUCAAGCUGGAAUAGGAGUAAAAGUUUCCGUAAAGGACUUAAGUUGGCAUCAAGUUAUUGUGGGAGUUCACAAAUCCGGGAAGAAAAAACAGAUGCCUUCUAUGACAAGGAACAUAGAGGAAAAUAUAAGUCCUUCCAGUCUUUUUACAGUAUAUAAAUCUGUCCUUUAUGACUGACCAUAACAUGGUUUUAGAUGUCCACAGCCGUCAAUUUUUUGAGAGCGUCAUCUUAUACAGACCUUAACCUCUUGAACAAAAAUUCUGAUAAAUAAUAAACGUUGAAAGUCUUUGUUAUUAACUAUCGUUGACACUUUGAUCACUUGGAUGCCUAUCAGAAUUUAGCUUCUAGUCAUUAAUCUAAUAGUGACCAAGACCUUAUAUGCAUGUCCUCUUCAUUUACUACAUACAUGAAGCAUCAUCCACCUGUAUCUGACGAUGAGGUCUGGAGGUCGGAGAAGAUUGCCAAAUAUGGGAAAUCUCACCAAAAACUGAGUGAAGCGGGAAUAGAUAGAGUGGAGGACUUUCUUCUGCAAUUGUUUACGGACCCCAACAAACUGAGAGAGGUAAGCACUUAAUUAAUGUUUCUCAGUAAGGAUUUGAUUGACUGCCAAGAAUGUAAGUCAUGUGUCUUCACUCAUCACAGAAAUUGGAAAGAGCAUAAUACUGAAGAAUUGGAAUAUCCUCUUAGAUCAUGCAAAGACUUGCAAAACAAAUUGGAAACUGUACUGUCCCGAUGGCAUGAGGAAGCACGGUGCUGUAUUCAACACUAAUUGUCAACUGAUUGCCCUAAUCAAAGACCUAAUCAAAGACGGUGCAUGUUUGGCUACUCAUCGACUUUCUCCCCAAGAUAAGGUAAGUAACUAAGGAGUUCCUACCGUGUUUUGUCCAGACAGUUCAUGCUCUACACGCCAUCAUGCUGAAUUCAUAUAAUUUGUCCCAUAUCAUCUGUACAAUCAGUAAUUUGACCUUCACUCAUAGCUGUGGCUUAAUAGGUGUUAGGAUUGAUAAAAGAUAUGGAAACUUGGAAUAGGAGUUAGUAUGACAUCUAGACGCUUUGUUUUUCUUUUUCUUUUUUCUUUUUAAUUAUUAUCAGUACCAAGACUGUUCUCUGAGAUGUGUGAAGCUUAAUUAUUUGGGAAACAGGCCAAAUGCAAAUAUACUGACAUGCACCUGUAGAUGAUUGAGAACAACCUACUGAAGUUCUUUUCCAGCACCACAAACAACUUUUGGUACCUGCUUCAUACCCUAUCACUGAACAAUCUAGUAGACUAAGAUUAUAAAUGCCAACCAAGAAAGCCAAUCAAGAAAGCCAAUCAAGAAAGCCAAAGUCCUAUAGCAUCAUCAGAGCUUAAAAAAUCAGCCAUACCACUUCACCCAGGGAAAACUGAUGGACUGCAGGACUAGUACUAGCACCAUCGAGAAGACUAAAAAAAUUCCUCCUUAGGAGAAGAGUCAAGACCUAAAUAAGCAAACAAAAACAGUUAAAUGAAGAACAAUGAAAUGCCAUCUAUCGCUCUGUGUUAACAGUACCACUUGCCAUGGUCACUAACAAGGUUUGGCAGCAAAUCAAACUUCCUCAUGAAAUAUGUUAAAGGCAUCAGCCCACUGCUUACACAUGACUAAUAAUGAUGUCUGGAUGACAUGAAGUAAAUCUUCAAAGUCCAAAGCCUGUUGAGCAACUUGACAAAGUUCAUUUUUUCUGCGGACAGAAAGAGAUUGAUAAUCUAGGGAGGCAUUUGGCUGACAAAGAUUCUCAAAAGUCCGUCCUGAUUUCAAUUUGAGAAUUAUAACAGGCUAGAAAAUGCGUUUGGUAAAACUCCGAAAGCAGCUGAUGAAAAAAAAGGAAAACUAUUCUCAGAAUCAAAAUCACAAACUCAAGAUGACUUUUUAGUAUUCUCAUUCAAUUGCAAACAUGGAGACUUGGAAUAACUAAGCUUGUUUUUGGAAUGUGAUGUAACCCAAGCAUAUUCUCACAAUUUUCAUCCCUAAUGACAUACAUCAUUUUCACUUAACAAAUAUUUUACAAAAAAAAAAAAAAAAAUCGAAAACAGUUUCUAUGAAGAUGGAAUCGGAAAUCCUCCUCUAGAUUCCACUCCGCCACCCUCACCUACCAAUUGGGGGAAAUCAAACAACAACCUCACAAAACCGAAUCAGAAAACAAUCGAAUCGCCGCCGCCCAUUGGGAGGUCGCGGAAAGAAGGCCCGAAAGGGAGCCGAAUUUGAGAAGCCAAAGCGGACUGUCGGAACUUGAAGCUGAAACGGAAGCGUGCGCUGUUAAAACAGCGCUGGUACAAAGCCGUUACGCUCGAUUUGAUAGUCGGAGGAAGGGGGCAGGGGCGGAUCUUUUUCUUUUUAUUUUUCUUUUGUUUUUGAUAAUUGAAAAUUGAAAUAUUCAUUUCUUUUUCCCUCUCGUUUACUUAUUUUAAGGACGUGUUUCACAUUGGAAUAUGAAUCUUUUGAUUUUUUUAGUGGCAAAGAAUCUUCUUAAUUAAUAAGUUAAUAUUCAUAGUCACAACUAAAUGCGAAACAAAGAAACUCUCGUUCGACUCUAUUCCUUUAUCGAUUUCAUUUUAUUUUUCCAUUUUAUUUCUCUAUUUCGUACCUUCAAUUUUAUCAUGUCAAAUAGAUCAUGAGUUCUUUAAAAUGUGUAUGAUCGUUUAUCAACUAGUUCCGAAAAGUACCGGAUUUUUUUAUAAUCUUCGUUGUUCCAGUGGAAGAAAGUUUGUAAUAUUUGAUAGGGCAAGGAUUGGUCGAAUCGAUGGUCGGUAAUCUCUUAAGAGUAUCCAGUGGUUUCUUCUUUGAAACUCUUUGAGAAAACGAUGGAAUCGAGGAAUUCCUUUUUACCGUGUCUCCUUUUUGCUGAGCAAAUGAAGACUGAUGAGACUAAACCAUACGCUACGAACACAUCAUCGUCUAUCUUUUGUUGUUCAGUUUUUGCGUUGCUUAUACCUAAUAUCAACUUUUGUUAAUUGUUCUACAAAUUAUCCAGAAAUAAAAUCGCAAAAAUUCUUAAAAUGAACAAAAGAAAAGAAAAACUCCCAACAGAAUAGCUCGGCAACACGAAAAAGGAUUAAAAAAAAAGGAAGACAAAAAAUUGAAAGAAAAAAGCAGUGCAUCGAAAAAAAUCGUAAAUUUUCUUCAUAGAGUAUUGGAUUUUCUAACCAUCAUUGGCCCAAUCUGUGCCCUCGCCGGUGUCUUGGCAGCGCAGGACUCUCGCCAAGACUUCAUCGACGAGCAAACCGCCGCUCGUGCUGAAGUAGGGGUCGGCCCGAUAACCGGGAGUCGUACGGUCGCGGCUUACGCUCAGAAGUACGCGGACAAACCUAGAGGUGACUGCGACCUUGAGCACUCCGGACGGCCCUACGGCAAGAACCUAGUCAAGGGCUAUGGUGUCCUGAGCGGCAGAGACUCAGUGAAGAUGUGGGUGGGAGAGAAGGACAACUACGACUACUGCUCCAACUCGUGCGAGGGAGGCGAGUGCCUGCACUACACUCAAGUCGCGUGGCGCAACUCGGUUCAUCUAAGAUGCGCUAGAGUGAAGUGCGAUAACGGGCGGUGGUCUACGAUCCUCCUGGCAAUUACGGAAGGCGAGCGGCCGUAUUAAACGGUCUAUAUAAGUUCUGAAUAAACUCUUAUGAUUCAGACGAUUCUACAAAACCACACCACUCCUUGUUUGAGACAUACAUAUCGGAAGCUUGCUGUCACUAGACGCCACUUCCUACCAAGAAGUUCCUACUUUUGCAUCUCUCUCGUUAUCAUAUAGAAAGUCACACAACAAAACACAAAUCAUCAUAACUCAACAAUCUCGGUACGCUUUCUCGAUUUCUUUUUUGACUGUUUGUUUCUGAUCCCUCCAUACGAAUCCUCUUUGCCAAAUCUGACAUUGCGUGCUUUGUGGGAACUCCCGCUUGGCAAAUACCGUGCUCAUCAUCAUCAUCGUCGCCGGUAGUAUCUUCUGAGUCUAUUUCGCCAGUGCUAGAAGCUAACGAUUCGGAGGUUAACAACUUGCCACUGCAGAUUCUGCAGCUGCUACUGCUUCAGGGGUAUGAAGAUCCGCGAUCCCCAGCAUCAAGUCCUGUUUCGUUAAUUGCUCUACAAAUUAUCCAGAAGUAAAUUCGCUAAAGUUUCAAAAUUAACCAAAAAAAAAAAAAAUCCAACCAGAGCAGCACAGCAACACGAAAAGAAAAGGUAAUGAAAAAAUGAAAGUGAAAGUAAAGUUCCUUUGUAUAGUCGCUUAGUAAGUGUCUAGGCAUUUCUUGGAAAUCCUACCGCUUUCUACAUUUUAUUUUUUUUGGUUCUGUUGUUGUCGACAAAACGAUGCACUUUUUGCACACUAACAUACGUUGUUGCUGACUGAGAGGAAAAGAAGAAAAUCUAUAAGAUAAAGUGCGGAUCGAGUGGUCUGCCCAUUCAUAUUUCAAUCACCAUAUUGCAUAUGGCCCACAUGUACGCUUGCAUGUUGAGAUCAUACAAGGAGUGGCUUUGCCGAGCCACUUUGGGCAUCCAAAGCCCUUUGGGCUAAAAAUUGGUGUUUGGGAAUUAUUUUGCAAAGAUAAUUGAGGCAAAGCAGGCCUUUGGAAGGCUGAAAGCCCAAGGAAGGUAGGAGGCUGCCUUGGGCAUUUAGCCUUCUUGGAAUGCUGAGAGGCCAAUAAAUGACAAAUUUUCUCCCAUAAAUAUCCUCACUAACAUUUCGUUUUUCUGGUUUUGCCCGUAACUGUUCACCUUCUUCUUCGUUGAGAUUGGCAAGCAAGAUUGCGAGGGGCCAACGACGGGCUCAACGGAGGUCGGGGUGAGGCCGGUCUGGUCACGGCAACCGUCACCGGCCAGUGGCAUGACCUCGGCGACCCCCACAAGUCGCAGCGAGUUCGCGUAACCUCCGGCGACACAAAUUUGGGUCGCCGGAGUCGCUGUAACCUAGAUCUUGGUCACGGUGAGGUUGCGCGACCUCCGACUCUAGGUCGCCUGAGUCGCCGAGACCCAGAUCUGGGUCGUCUGAGUAGCGGUGACCCAGAUCUGGGUCUCCCAACCUCCUGCGAAUCAGAUCUGGGUCGCCGCGAGGCCGCGCACGAUCUCCAACUACUGGGUCGCCUGAGUUGCCACAACCCAGCAACUCGGUAGCAUAGGGCGUUCCCGCAAGCGACGACGACGACGGUGAGGGCGCAUCGGUGAGGCAGGGGUAGAGGGAGAGGUCGAGGGUGGCGGCGUUGGGGUGAGACUUGACGGCGGUGGAUGGAGCGGCAGAUGAAGUAGAAGGACUUAUGGUCUCUGGCGGCCAGUCUUGCAACUUGAGACGUCAGCCACCUACGACAAAUUUCAAUCGCCGGCAGCCCCUGCCCUUUGCCAGCCAACCAUUUAUUUUUCCUUUUUUUUAUUAUAAAAGUUCUUUUUUUUGGGUAAAGAUUAUUACAAAAGUUCUUUGUAAUUGUAAAUUUUUCCAAACGCUAUUUUGCUUAAAGGUACUUCACAAUGGACUUUUAGAUUAUAACUUACCAAACGCAACAUGCAUUUUAGAAAACUCCUUUUAACUCAAGGUCCUUUGCAUUUUCCCAAAGACUUUCCCCAAAAGUCCAACCAAACGCACCCAAGGUCUACGACAGAUCAAAUCGCUGCACUUUUGUCUACCGGUGAGGGUGAUACAUGUCCAUCACUCAGUUUCCAAUUGAAAAGAUAAAGCCAAUAUCAAUUCCGGCAUAGUGAUCCGUAUUGGAUUGCCAGCUGGAAUCCUUUGCAAAAACAAUAUUGCUUAAUUGAGGUCCAUACGUUCUACUGUAAUAACUUUGCACACCCCUAACGAAAUAAAGUGGUCUGACAGGAGGAGGCUUGGCUCCGUUCCAGCAGAGCUGGUACGGAAGCAUCGGAGGACUCAUGGGACAUCACAUUGAUGCGAAUGUGGCGGUGGAUUAGUUGUUGAAAUUGUAAUUUGGAAAAAGCAAUGUGAUCAUCUUCACUUCAGAUAACCUAAAACAAACGCAAAAUACUGGUAAAAAGACGUUUCCUCAGCAAGAGGAGGCAGAAUCAGUGCGGCAUCUCCUCCUCCCCGUUUAUGGACAAGAAUGGUUUGCACAAUUUCCGAUGCUUGCACCGAAUGAUCUUUAGGUAAUUGGAGCUUUUAUGGAGCUAGAACUCGCUUGGCAGGGCAUUCGUCUCCGGUGCCGCAAGAAAAGAAGGAUUUAACUCAAUUCCCCGGGCGUGAUAAUACCUGUUAAGGGGCAUUCGUUUCGGAAGAACCCAAAUCUUCUCUGAGGCCUGUCAAAAUAUGUUUCGCAAGUUUCAUGCCCGUCAUUUGGUUGCUCGUACAUAUAAAACUCAACACAAUUCUAUCUUCAAAUCUGGUGACCAUCCACCGUACGAGAGAUAUCCAUACCUCCAUUUAUAGUAUUCUGAAAGCCCAAACUUGGAUCAAGUUUAAAUUCAAACCAAUGAUUAUGACCUAUAAUUUCAAUUAUACGCUUAUAGUAGAGAUUGCCAACUUGUUAAAUCAGAAUCAAAUCAGAUUUUACCUCACCCUUUCCAGUCAUAUAAUAUUAGUAAUCCAUAUCAUUGCAUACGAUAGGUUUGUAUAAGAAUUUAACAUCAGGAUGUUCUGAAAGAUAUGGCAUCUCAAAAUGUGUGAAGCAUAACUUACUAUAACAAAUUCCUACAUCUGUCUGAUCACCCUCCUAGGCUGUUCCAUGCGAUGCUUAAAAAUAAAAAAAUUUAUCCGAUAGAAAGGCUAAAUGCAAAGGUAAUAACGUGCACCUGCAGAUGAUCGAGGACAACCAGCUGAAGUUGUUUUCCCGCACCGCAGACAACUUUUGAUACACGCUUCAUACCCUAUCAUUGAACAAAGUAGCAGACUAAGAUCAUAAAAACCAACCAAAAAAGCUAGAGUCCUAUAGCAUCAUCAGAGCUUAAAAAACCAGCCAUACAACUUCACCCAAAGAAAACUGAUGGACUGCAGGACUAGUACUAGCACCAUCGAGAAGACUAAAAAAUUCCUCCUGAGGAGAAGAGUCAAGAACUAGAUAAGCAAACAGAAACAGUCAAAUGAAGAACAAUUGAAAGCCAUCUACUGCUAUGUAUUAACAGGACCAUUAACCAUGGUCAUUAAUAAGGCUUCACAACAAAUCAAACUUCUCAUGAAAUAUGUUCAUGGCAUCAGCGCACUGCUUGUACAUGACUGAUAAUGAUGUCCAGACGACAUUAAGUAAAUCUUCGAUGCCAGAAGCCUGUUAAGCAACUUGAUGAAAUUCAUUUUUACUGCAGACAGGAAGAGAUUGAAAAUCUAAAGAGGCAUCGGGCUGAUAAAGAUUCUCAGAAAUCUGUUCUAGUUCUAUUUGAGAAUGUUAACAGUCCAGAAAAUGUGUUUGAUAACACUUCAAAAGCAGUUGUUUAAAGGAAAACUAUUCUUAAAAUCAGAAUUAUAAACUAAAGACGACUUUUUAGUGUUCACAUUCUGCAUGCAAACAUGGAGAUUUCAAAUAAGUAAGCCUAUUUUCCUGUUGUGACGAGCAUAUUCUCACAACUUUCAUCCCUUACAACAUACAUCAUGUUCACUCAACAAAUUUUUUGUUAAAAAGCAUUGAAAACAGUUUCUAUAAAAAUGGAAGCAAAAAUGUAAUCGAAAACUUAGCAGGCCUCUAAUGGUAGAGAACAAAAAUGACACGUGAAUCAUGCGACAAUGUUUAAAAUUUUGCAAGAGUAACUCCUGCAUCUUUGUCCCACUACUUUCAACAUCUAAAUUACAUUGACUUCCAGAGGUUUCUGUGGAAAGAUAGUAUGAUACUUAAAGGUUGGGUGAAAACCUUAUUAAGCAUGAACAAAUCAUUCAGGCUACGAAGUAUGAGGCAUCAUGUUGUUCAGCUUAUGGUGACUCUUGAAAGUCAACUUGGGCAUUUCGAUUAUCAGAAGAAAAGUUCUUCUAUCAUGCAAGGUGUAGAGUUAAUUCCAGGAAAAAUGCCUCAAAAUUGCUCCAUGUUAACCAUCAGUUUCGUUUUAAGGAUGAUGAUCAUAUCCUGAGUUAUAUGAGUUUUACUUUCUGUAAACCAAACAAAGUCGAUACCUUUGAAACAAAUAUCAGU